AUUUAACACAGCUUCGAUUUCUUGAUUUAAGCUUUAAUUCUCUCCAUGGUCCCAUUCCGUUCCAGGUUAGCCAUCUUCAGAGCUUGCUCAUCUUAAACCUGUCACAGAAUGCAUUGCAAGCUCCAAAUUGGUCCCAUUUCUCUCCCAUGCCUUUCUUGCGCAUCCUCAACCUCAGUUACAAUCCUCUUGCGUCGAAAUUCCCAUAUUUUAUAUCCAAUUCUCAUAGCCUGACUCACCUUAGCCUUAAUUAUAACGAGUUUACUGGUGAUUUAGUACGUGAAUCAGUAUUUGCCAAUCUGCAUAAUCUUGAAGUGCUCAGUCUUGUUGGCAAUUCUUUUGAGGGGCCAUUUCCGCCGGAUGUAGUCCAGCUUUCCAAAUUAAAACGUCUCUUCCUGUCAGGUAACAAAUUUUCAGGUUCAAUUCCCAAUGACAUAAGGUUGCUUUGUGAUCUUGAAUACCUAUAUUUAGGCAACAAUUCCUUUGAAGGACCGCUUCCACCAAAUAUAUUCAAGCUUUCAAAAUUAAAAAAUCUUGUUAUUUGGAGUAAUAAGUUUUCAGGUUCUAUUUCCAAUGAUAUAGGUUUGCUUUCUGAGCUUGACACCCUCAAUCUUCGCUCUAAUUUUUUUAAGGGUCCGCUUCCGUCAAAUAUAUUCAAGCUUUCCAAAUUAACAAGUCUUGACCUCGCAGACAAUAGAAAUUUAUUUGAAGGAAGUAUUCCUAUUGGACUGGGACUCUUGACUAACCUCAGGUUCUUAGAUCUACAUUCCAGUAAUCUCAGUGGCUAUAUUCCAUCUGACAUUGGAAACCUGAAGCUACUAGUACUUCUUAAUCUCGGUUCUAAUAAAUUGACUGGACCGCUUUUAAAGAUCGUUUCUAAUCUCACAAAUCUUAUAUAUUUUGAUGUAAGUGAUAAUAGUCUUCGUGGAAAUAUUCAGAGUGACUUGUGGAUAUAUAACGAUCAUCCAACUUUGGAAUACAUCAAUUUAAGUGGGAACCAUUUUACGGGUAUAGUUUUUCUCUAUAGAUCUUUUCCUUUUGUCAUAUGUAACUAAGCUAGUAAUCUGGUUAUUGCAGUUUUACCAAAGUUUCAACAAUCUUGACAGGUGAGCUUCCAACAACAAUUUGCAAUGUCACUUCCCUUUCAAUUCUUGAUUUGUCAAAUAAUGAAUUAAGUGGUGCACUUCCAAACUGUUUCGGGAAUCUUGCUGAUGGAUUGCUUUACAUUAAUCUUGCUAAUAAUCAGUUUCGAGGAACAAUACCAACUACUUUCUCCAGGAGUUGUCAGCUGACAUAUCUAAACAUGGAUGAUAAUGAGUUUGAAGGAUUGUUGCCCCCAUCUUUGGCGAACUGUAAGCACUUGAAAAUUUUUGAUAUUGGCAAUAAUAAAAUAGGUGGUACAUUUCCGUCAUGGCUUUAUGCACUUGGAGAGCUAGAAGUCCUUGUCUUGCGAUCAAAUAAACUCUGUGGUACAAUAAGUGGAAGGAGCAUAGAAGAUCCCUUCCCCAAGUUGCGGAUUGUGGAUCUGUCCAACAACCACUUCACAGGCCAUUUGCCAAUUCAAUACUUUAAGAAUAUGAAAUCAACUGAUAAUUUGUAUAGUUAUCAGCUUUUCACAGCAGUUUUUUCUUUCCAUUAUGAAGCAGCAGUCUCAUUAAUUGUGAAGGGAACAGAGUAUGAAGUGGCAAAUAACCUUCAUAUUUACACAGCCAUUGAUCUGUCGUGCAACAAAUUUCAGGGAGAAAUUCCAAAGGUUACUGGAGAGCUUAGAUGGCUUGCAUUGCUCAACUUAUCUCAUAAUAGUCUAACAGGACCUAUCCCAUCAUUGCUGGGAAAUAUGAAAGAACUCCAAUCUUUAGAUUUGUCUUCAAAUCAACUGACAGGGGCCAUUCCACCUCAGCUAACUGCAUUGACAUUUCUAGAGGUCUUAAACCUCUCGGGAAACCAUCUUAGUGGAGAGAUUCCUCAGAAAGGACAGUUCAGCACAUUUAACAAUGAUUCUUAUCUAGGAAACUCCGCGUUAUGUGGAUCACCUUUGACGAAGAAAUGUGCAAACACAGCAUCACCUCCACAAGAAGUCGGAAAUGGUGAUGAAGANGAUUUGUCUUCAAAUCAACUGACAGGGGCCAUUCCACCUCAGCUAACUGCAUUGACAUUUCUAGAGGUCUUAAACCUCUCGGGAAACCAUCUUAGUGGAGAGAUUCCUCAGAAAGGACAGUUCAGCACAUUUAACAAUGAUUCUUAUCUAGGAAACUCCGCGUUAUGUGGAUCACCUUUGACGAAGAAAUGUGCAAACACAGCAUCACCUCCACAAGAAGUCGGAAAUGGUGAUGAAGAAGAUGGUGGUGAUGAAUUGACAUGGGAAGCAAUCGUGAUGGGAUAUGGAUGUGGACUGAUAUGUGGAUUGUCAUCGGCAUACAUUGUUCUCAAACUAGGAAAGCCUUGGUGGUUUGUGAGAUAUAUCGAAGUACUGCAACAGAAGUUGAUGAAAAGAUGCUUGAAGAAAGGUACUGGUCGAUCAAGACGAACUUGAAAGUUGUUGUCCAUGUGGACAUUUCUGAACCAGUAGUGUACUAGCUGCAUAAGUAUUUGGUAUUAUGUAAUAUUCUGUUUGGUGGGGAAUCAUAAUAAUUUUUCUUCCUGUAGGGGUAUUAAUAUUAACCUUGUUAUCUUGAUCAAUGUUAAUGCAAAUUAAAAUGAAUGAAAAAACAAAAAAUAUGCAUCAAAUCCACUCCUGCUGUACCAAGAUCCAUUAAUUUGCUUUGGUCUUUUACAUAACAAUUUAACAGCGCACUUCCCCACUGUUUGAAAGAAUUUAAUAAUAAACUCGAGUUUUCCAGGACUGCACCAAGUUCACAUAUUCAAUAUCACACAUUCCAGUCUCAGCUUCAGCUCCCAGGGUAGAAGAGAAGUUUUAUGUACAAUAACAGUUAAUUACCAUAGCUACUUUAGUCUUGGUUCAGUUUUUGCAGAGAUAAUUACCAGAUUUUGAAAUCCUUCAUGUGAGGAAACAAAUAUCGAGAGACAUUUCUGUUUACAAAUAUAGGUUUUCUAGACAUAAUUACAGGAACUUUUACCAUUAUACACUUUUAUAGUACUGGUUAAGAGUUUGUUGUUCAGCCUAGUGAAAGAAAUAAUUCCUCUGCUAUUUCAUUAACAUUGCUGGUAUAUAUACAAUGUACAACACACCCUUCAAGGCUAUAAUCAGGGAACCUAAAAUAUAUCCAAAACUAAUCAUAGAAACAGACUAACUAAUUACAAUAAAUCAUAUCCAGAAAUAUCUCCACAGAUGUCGCAUAGAUAUCUUUAACACACCCCCUCAGUCGAAGCGGGAGGUAAACGAACACUGAGACUGUCUCUGAAGUCUUCAAAAAGAACACGCGGAAGACCUUUUGUAAAAAUAUCUGCUACUUGAUAUCUGGAUGGCACAUGAAGAACCCGUACUUCACCUCGUGCAACUUUUUCCCGAACAAAGUGAAUAUCCAUCUCAAUGUGUUUAGUACGUUGGUGUUGUACUGGAUUACCCGAUAAAUAAAUAGCACUGACAUUGUCGCAAUACACCACAGUUGCCUUUGUAACUGGACAAUGCAAUUCCAACAACAGAUUUCGGAGCCAACAUGAUUCAGAGACCACAUUAGCUACACCCCUAUACUCGGCCUCUGCACUGGAUUUGGAAAGAGUCGGUUGUCGCUUAGAAGACCAGGAAAUCAAGUUGUCACCCAAAAACACACAAUACCCAGAUGUAGACCGCCUCGUGUCGGGGCACCCACCCCAGUCAGCGUCAGUAUAUGAAACAAGAGAGGACUGUGAAGAGGAAUAGAGAUGUAAACCAUAGUCCUGUGUUCCUUGAAUGUACCUAAUGAUUCUUUUAAGAGCUUGCAUAUGAGUAACCCGUGGAUCAUGCAUGUGCAGACAUACUUGUUGAACCGCAUAAGAAAUAUAUGGACGUGUGAAAGUCAGAUAUUAAAGUGCCCCAGCAAGACUCCGAUACAAUGAAGGAUUCUCAAACACAGAACCAACAGACGCACUAACCUUGGCCUUCGUAUCAACUGGUGUAGGUGAUGAUUUACAAGAGGACAUGCCAGCCCUCUCAAUUAUCUGUUGUGCAUAAUUCUUCUGUGACAGAAACAUGCCAGCCUUAUGACGAGUGACUGAUAUACCAAGAAAAGAACUCAAGGGGCCAAGAUCCUUCAUAGCAAAUUCUGAACUAAGAAGCUUUAUAAUCGAGACACGGAGAUCAUCAGACGACGCAGUGAGAAUUAUGUCAUCGACGUAAACCAGAAUAUAGGCCAUGUGAGAACCGUUGCGAUAAACGAAUAAUGAGGUGUCACAUUUGCUUCUAAUGAAACCAAUAGACAGAACAAAAUCAGCAAACUUCUCAGACCAAGUCCGGGGGGACUGCCUCAGGCCAUAAAUUGAUUUACGUAACAAACACACAUAAUCCGGAUGAGCACGAUCACGAUACCCCAAAGGUUGAUGCAUAUAUAUUGUUUCCUUUAAGUCACCAUGAAGGAAGGCAUUCUUUACAUCUAGCUGAUGAAUUGACCAGCCAUUCGAAAGAGAGAGAGAAAGCACUGUGCGGAUUGUAGCUGGUUUCACUACCGAGCUAAAAGUUUCGCCACAAUCAAUACCCACCAGCUGAGUUUUUCCAUUUCCGACAAGGCGAGCUUUAUGCCUCUGAAACACACCAUCCGAAUUUUCUUUAUGAGCAAAAACCCACAUAGACCGAAUAACAUUAACAUCAGGUGGACGGGGCACCAAAUCCCAUGUCUUAUUUUGAAUAAGUGCAUUAUACUCCUCAUCCAUGGCUAUUUUCCAAUUCGGGUCCCGAAGAGCAUCAACAGGGCUAUGUGGUAAAGGUGACCGAGGAGCUGUUGUGUUAUAUGCAUGAUCAGAAUAUCGCAUAUUUGGUUUAAAAAUACCUCGUUGGCUCCUGGUAACCAUUGGGUGCUGGUUUAUAGGAGUAGGGGAAGAUGUUGAUGUUUGUGGACUCGAGGAGGAAGAUGAACUCAAUGAGGAGGGAGAUGGCGACGUUGAUGAAAGUAAGGGAGAGGAGGAUUGGUUUGAGAGUACUGGACUCGGUGAAAGAGAAUGAGGAGAACUCCCAGGGGAAGGUGAGAAACUACCAUGUCGUGUCUCAUGUGUGUGAGUACUGUCUGGGUGAGCAGACACAGACACAGAAGGACUUUGAUUUUGCAGAUGAUACACUGAAUAAGGUGAUAAGCCAUCUGCUAAAAAAUCAUAGGUAGAAGUGGAUGAAUCAUGUAACUUAGCAAACGGAAACACAUGCUCGUCAAAUAACACAUGGCGACAAAUUAUAAUCUGUGCUGUGAUGAUAAAUCAUAACAUUUGUAACCACGGUGAUUAGCCGGAAACCCCAAGAAAACACAAGGUGUUGAACGAGAUUGCAAUUUAUUAAUUGUGGUAGAGGGAAUGAGAGGAUAGCACAAGCAACCAAAGACCCGAAUGUGAGAAAAUGAGGGAACCCGUUGAUAUAGGAUUUCAAGAGGUGAUAAAUUGCCUAAGACCUUGUUCGGAAGAACAUUUAGAAGAUAGGUGGCCAUUUGUAAUGCAUGAUUCCAAAAAGAUGAAGGAAGAGAUGCAUGAGCUAAGAGUGUUCGAGUGACAUUAUUAAUAGUUCGAAUUUUUCUUUCUGCUUUCCCAUUUUGAGAAGAAGUAUGAGGACAAGACAACCGAAAAGUCAUGCCAUUGUUCUUAAAAAAAUCCCAGAAAUGAUGAUUAGUAAAUUCCCUCCCAUUAUCGCAUUGCACAUUUUUAAUGGUACACUCGAAUUGGGUGAGAAUAUGAUUGUGAAACGCCACAAAUUUAUCAAAGACAUCAGAUUUCUUAGCAAUUGGAAAAGUCCAAAGAAAAUUGGAGAAAUCAUCUAAUAACACAAGAUAGUACUUAUGACCCAUAGUACUCAAAACCGGAGAUGUCCAAAGAUCACAAUGAAUUAUAUCAAAUGGCUUUAAAGUACUUGAACUAGACGAAACAAAUGGCAUCUUGAUAUGUUUUCCAAACACACAAGAUCGACAAAUGCUAGAAUGUGAAAGCUUAGAACAAUGAAUGCUUUUAUUGAGUCGAAGAGCAUCCAAAACUUGUGCACCGGGAUGGCCUAAACGAUCAUGCCAAAGAGAGGAAUUGAUGGCUGCAAAAGUAGAAUGAAGAGCUCGAUUGUUGAUAGAUUGUGUAAGAGGAUAAAGAUCGCCUUGGCUCUCACAUCUCAUUAUUAGCACUCACGUCUGUAAAUCCUUCACAGAAAACCCAAAAGGAUCAAAUUCCACCGUAACAGAAUUAUCAGUGGUAAAUUUGCGAACAGAAAUAAGGUUUUUAACAAUUUUGGGAGCGUGGAGGACAUUUUUAAGGGACAAAGGAAGGCCAGGAGAUGGUAAUGCAGUAUGACCAUAUCCUUGAAUUGAAAUAAUAUUGCCAUCACCCACAACAAUGCCAUUAUGAUGAGAAUUAUGUUGAUUGCUCAAAUUAACAUAGGACGAGAAAUUACCAUUUGAGGAUGUCAUAUGAGAUGUAGCACCAGUAUCCAUGUACCACGACGGAUCAGGUUGAUUGAGAGUCAUGGUAUGCAUUGCAGAUUCAAUAUCCGUUGGAACAAAAGAAGCUGACUGCCCAACCGUUGUUCCUGUGAAAGCCUGCUGUGGUCGAGGACCAAGAACUCCAGGCUGUGGUUGUUGAACUCCCGUGGAACGGGGCUGAGUCCAGCCCUGAGUUGGGAAUGGACAAGGGGGAGCGGACCAUCCCUGCAUCCAAGGUGGAGCAGCCAAGAUUGGAAAUAACCCGGUGCCCACUGUUGUGAACCCCAUUGCAUCCUAUUCUGUUGUUGUCCACCACCACGGCCUUGACCCAUACGACCCCCACCAGAACCACGACCUCCACCUGAACCAGAUCGUUUAUUAUUUUUCCUGUGGUUAUUAUGCUUAUUGCCACGGGGAGGUGCGGAUCCCUGAUUCGAGCCUGUGUCGUCAAAAUCCGUCUGUGAGGCAACCAACAUUGCAGAGUCAGACCCUGUGGCAGCUUCUUUUGCUAAAGCAGCCUCCUCUAAUGUUAACAUAGACCGGGCUUGAUAGAAUUGUGGGAGAGGGUCACUCUGUCGAAUUAAGGUCCCAACACCACGGUAUGCCCUUGGAAGGCCGGAAACCAGUUGAAUAACAAGUCUACUAUCCGAGAUUGGUGCACCAACAUUUUUCAGUUGAUCAGCAAGAGAUUUGAGACGCUGACAGUAAGCCGAAACAUUCGGAAAAUUCUCCAUUUUUGUACUGGAGAAUUCAGCCUCCAAAGUUACCACACGGGAAUUCUUGUUGUCCUGGAAUAUGUCACGCAACCUGUUCCAUGCCUCCAUAGCAGUGGCAUCUGGUUCAAUGAUCGUAUGUAAAAGAUCAUUGGAGAUAGUCGCAUAAAUCCAAGACAGAACCGUAGCAUCAAGCGUCGACCACAAUUCCUUUUCAUCCUCAGUAGAAAGAACCUUCUCUUUGCCUGUGGCAGGAGGAAUAAUAUGAGAAAGCACCUUAUGAGAACGUGCGGUAAUUUUGAAAAGCUCCGCCCAUGUCGAGUAUUGACCAUUCUCCAUCUCAAGAAUAAUGGGGAUAUGAUUGCGGAUAUUUGACACCGCAAGAGCUGGAUGAAAGGAGCUCUUGUUACCAGACAUUGGCUGCUGAUUAGUUGUAUCAGUCAUGAUAAUGAGAAAAGAAAAGAAGAUGAGUGCUUAGCGGAAGAAAAGAAAGAAAGAAAGAUCGUGGUAUUGCCUUAAGGCUCUGAUACCAUGAAAGAAAUAAUUCCUCUGCUAUUUCAUUAACAUUGCUGGUAUAUAUACAAUGUACAACACACCCUUCAAGGCUAUAAUCAGGGAACCUAAAAUAUAUCCAAAACUAAUCAUAGAAACAGACUAACUAAUUACAAUAAAUCAUAUCCAGAAAUAUCUCCACAGAUGUCGCAUAGAUAUCUUUAACACCUAGUCCUAAACUAAAAUUAUCAGUUCGAUGUGAAAUACGAAAUCAUAUUGCAGACGUCAUUCGUUGUUCCACCUAGUCCAAAACUACUCUAAAACUAUAUUGCUGGUAGUCUUUCAGUUCAUCCUACUGUAUGCAAUAGUUUCAUAUAUAGGUAACUCGGCCUUGUGUGGACUUCCUUUAACAAAAAAAUGUCUGCACUCAGUGUCACCACCACUGGAAGUCGAAAAUAGUGAUGAUGAAGAUGAUGCUCAUGGUGAACUUAAUUGGGAAGUAAUCCUGACGGGAUGUGGAUGUGGAUUGAUUUGCGGAUUGUCUUCUGGGUACAUUGUUUUCAAAAUAGAAAGGCCUUGGUGAUUUCUGCAAAGUGCUGCAACUUAAGUUGAUGUUACGAAGCACGAAAAAUAUUGUUCGACCAAGAUCAACAACUUGAAAAUGUGUUCUGAAUCUGUAUUAAUAUUAAAAUAUUAUAAUAUUAUUCAUUUAACACUAUCGUCCAAUCAAUUUAAUUGAUUAUCAUUUAAUCAAUAUAUUAGAUAAAUAUUAAUUGUCUUCCUUACCUCUAACCAAUGAUGAAAUUAAUAACCUCCCUAUAAAUCUAUUAAGACAGCUUUGAGUUGUCAAAGUCCUCAAACAUAUUAAACACUUUGAAAAAUUUGUUUCUGCAAGUCAAAAUUGCAAACAACACUUUGAAAACUUAGGUGCCGAAUAGUCCUUAUAUUGGAUUAAUCAGAUUUAAAUAUUUAAUGGCGCUAACAAAAUCUGUUGAAGUUAGCAGUUAUAAGGCAUAUAAUUAGAAAAAUGGCACAGUAUAUAAAGCCUCAUCAUCUUUUUCACUCUGUUUUAUUUCUCUCAUUACUUCCAUCCAUUCUUACAACACUAGCUGAAACAAGACGAGAGGGAGAAGCUCUUGUGAAAUGGAAGAAUAGCCUAGCCCCGUCUUCUUUUCUCGAUACUUGGUCACUAACCAAUCUCGAUGAUCUUUGCAACUGGACUGGCAUUACUUGUAACUCUGCAGGUUCAGUCUCUGAGAUUAACCUUAAACAAAAACAACUCAGUGGAACGAUUUCUGAGUUUGGUUUCACUUCAUUUCCAAAUCUCAACAAUCUGAACAUAGCACGAAACAACUUUUACGGUCCAAUACCACCAGCCAUUAAGAAUUUGACACAGCUUCAAUACCUUGAUUUAAGCUUUAAUCAUCUCAACGGUUCCAUCCCGUACCAGGUUAGCCAUCUUCAGAAAUUACAAAUCUUACACCUGUCGCAUAAUGAAUUGCAAGCUCCAAAUUGGUCCAAUUUCUCUUCCAUGCCUUUUUUGCGCAUCCUCGGCCUCGGCAGCAAUAAUCUGGAGUCAGAAUUCCCAGAAUUUAUAUCCAACUCUCAUGGCCUCACUUUCCUUGACCUUUCUUUUAACAAGUUUACAGGUGAUCUUGUGCAUGAAUCAAUUUUUACCGAUCUACGUAAUCUCGAAAACCUCCAUCUUGCUAAAAAUUACUUUGAGGGGCCGAUUCUACCUAGUAUAUUUAAGCUUUCCAAUUUAAAAAUUCUUGAACUAUCAGGUAAUAAAUUUUCUGGUUCUAUUUCCAACUAUAUAGGUUUGCUUUCGGAGCUUGAGACCCUCUAUCUUGACUUCAAUUUUUUUGAAGGACCAAUUCCACCAAAUAUAUUCAACCUUUCUAAACUAAAAAUUCUUGAACUAACAGGUAAUAACUUUUCAGGUCCUGUUUCUAAUGAUAUAAGUUUGCUUUCCGAGCUUGAAAACCUCAAUCUUGCCUUAAAUUCUUUUGAUGGGCCUUUUCCAUCAAAUAUGUUCAACCUAACCAUAUUGAGACAUCUAAAUCUCUAUGGCAAUAAAAAUUUAUUUAAAGGAAGUAUCCCACUGGAUAUCAAAAUAAGUCACAAGGACUAAUUAAUUACAUCUAUGAAGCAUCUAUCUCCUUAAAUGUGAAAGGAACAGAGUAUGAAGUGAAAAACAUUCUUCAUAUUUACACAACCAUUGAUCUGUCAUGCAACAAAUUUCAUGGACAUGUUCCAAAGAGAGCUUAAUUAAAUGGCUUGCAUUGCUCAAUCUAUCUCAUAAUAGUCUUAACAGACAUAUGUUCUGCAUUAUUAUUAUACUUUCAUCAAUAUUUUUAAACANAACAAAAACAACUCAGUGGAACGAUUUCUGAGUUUGGUUUCACUUCAUUUCCAAAUCUCAACAAUCUGAACAUAGCACGAAACAACUUUUACGGUCCAAUACCACCAGCCAUUAAGAAUUUGACACAGCUUCAAUACCUUGAUUUAAGCUUUAAUCAUCUCAACGGUUCCAUCCCGUACCAGGUUAGCCAUCUUCAGAAAUUACAAAUCUUACACCUGUCGCAUAAUGAAUUGCAAGCUCCAAAUUGGUCCAAUUUCUCUUCCAUGCCUUUUUUGCGCAUCCUCGGCCUCGGCAGCAAUAAUCUGGAGUCAGAAUUCCCAGAAUUUAUAUCCAACUCUCAUGGCCUCACUUUCCUUGACCUUUCUUUUAACAAGUUUACAGGUGAUCUUGUGCAUGAAUCAAUUUUUACCGAUCUACGUAAUCUCGAAAACCUCCAUCUUGCUAAAAAUUACUUUGAGGGGCCGAUUCUACCUAGUAUAUUUAAGCUUUCCAAUUUAAAAAUUCUUGAACUAUCAGGUAAUAAAUUUUCUGGUUCUAUUUCCAACUAUAUAGGUUUGCUUUCGGAGCUUGAGACCCUCUAUCUUGACUUCAAUUUUUUUGAAGGACCAAUUCCACCAAAUAUAUUCAACCUUUCUAAACUAAAAAUUCUUGAACUAACAGGUAAUAACUUUUCAGGUCCUGUUUCUAAUGAUAUAAGUUUGCUUUCCGAGCUUGAAAACCUCAAUCUUGCCUUAAAUUCUUUUGAUGGGCCUUUUCCAUCAAAUAUGUUCAACCUAACCAUAUUGAGACAUCUAAAUCUCUAUGGCAAUAAAAAUUUAUUUAAAGGAAGUAUCCCACUGGAUAUCAAAAUAAGUCACAAGGACUAAUUAAUUACAUCUAUGAAGCAUCUAUCUCCUUAAAUGUGAAAGGAACAGAGUAUGAAGUGAAAAACAUUCUUCAUAUUUACACAACCAUUGAUCUGUCAUGCAACAAAUUUCAUGGACAUGUUCCAAAGAGAGCUUAAUUAAAUGGCUUGCAUUGCUCAAUCUAUCUCAUAAUAGUCUUAACAGACAUAUGUUCUGCAUUAUUAUUAUACUUUCAUCAAUAUUUUUAAACAUUUCUCAAUAUGUAUUUUCAAAGAAUUCUCAAGCACUUGAACAUUUGGACCGGUUCUUUCGAAGCCAAGAUGCCCAGGUUAUAUCAUGGCCAUACACAAAAAUGCCCAAAAAUAAAUAAAUUAAGAGAGAUUGCUCUGGGUCUCCCCAAGCCUUCCAGGACUCAUUCCAAGUCUUCUGAGGACCACUGCCUCGCCCUUUCAAAGACGUGAUAGUAGCUCAAGAGUGAUAUAAAUUACUUUCCGGACACUAAAAAUAAAUAAUCCGAUCAAAUUAAUUAAUAAUAAAUUAAGGAUGAAAUCCAAAUUAGUCCUAAAUUUUGAUAAUAUAUAAAAAUUAUAAUUAUAAAUUAUAUAACCAAAUGAGAAUUGAAUUAACUUACUUGGUACUAAAAUUGAUAAAUACAGUAUAGUAAUUUAAUUGAUGAAAAGUCAAAGUCUUCUAAUAAAUCCAUAAAGAAUAUGAAAAUCAAAAUAACGAAAAUUAUAAUUGAAAAAUCAAAAUCAAUAGUGUAUUGGAAUAUUGUUCACACACUUAUAUAUCAAAAUUUGUGGUCCAAAAAUUAUAGCACAAUAUCCUAAAUACACCACAUUAAAUAAUAGUUCAAAAAUAUUCAAUAAAUAAUUGUUUUCAUUCAUAAUUUUGUUAUUUUAAAAACUAAUAAUUUGGUUGAUGUUAACCUAUAUUUUAAUAUAUAAUUAUAUUAUUUUCAUGUUAUUUUAUUUAACCAAAAACAAUAUUUUUAUAAUAUUUAUUACAUUAAUUAUAUUAAAAGAUAUAAUUUCAUUAAAAAAAUUGAAUAAAAUUAAGAGGAUAACUCUAUGCCUCUCCAAGUCUACAAGACUCAUUUCAAGUCUACCGAGGACCACUACCAUUGAGAGAUGUGAAAGUAGUUUGAGAGUGACAUAAAUUAUUUUCCUGACAAUAAAAUGUAAUAUCUAAUAUAAAUUAAUUAAAUUAGAUAAUAAUAAAUCAAAACUAAUCAUGAAUUAUGAUAAUAAUUAAAUAAAUUAUAAUUAAAUUAUAUAAAUCAACUCCAAAUGAUACAAAUAACACUAAACCUUAGUUACUUUAUUGGUAAAAUAAAUAUAAUAUAAUAAUUAAAUUGAUGAAAAAUCAAAAUCAUCUAAUAAAUUCACAAAAAAUAUAUGAUCAUUAGUAUAUUAUAUCAGUAUCCACACACUUAUAUUUCAAAAUCUAUCCUACAAAAUUAUCAUCUCUGUAAACUAGCCACAAAAAAUAAAAAUUUAAAGAUAUUAGAUAUUUAGUUAUUUUCAUUAUAUAAUUUUUCCACACUAAAUAACAAAAUAUCUUUAUCAAAUUAUUAUUUAUGAAUUAAAUAUUCAAGUUAUAAUUCCAGCAUGCAGCGUAUAAAUAGAAGUGUGCAGUAUGAUAUCAGAUUCAUAACCCAGUUGAGGAGAAACAUGGCACACUCUGUGAAGCCUUCUCACCUUCUUCUCUUUGUUUUCUUUCUCUCAUCACUUGAAUCCAUUCUUGCAACAACACGAGAGGGAGAAGCUCUUGUGAAAUGGAAGAAUAGCCUAGCCCCUUCUUCUUUUCUCGACUCUUGGUCCCUCACCAAUCUCGAUAAUCUUUGUAACUGGACUGCCAUUACUUGUAACUCUGCAGGUUCAGUCUCUAAGAUUAACCUUUUUGAGAAACAACUUAAUGGAAUGCUGUCCGAGUUCGGUUUCACUUCAUUUCCAAAUCUCAACUAUCUCACACUCGCAGACAACUUCUUCUCGGGUCCGAUACCACCAGCCAUUGAGAAUUUAACACAGCUUCAAUAUCUUGAUUUAAGCAUGAAUAGUCUUAAUGGUCCCAUUCCGUUCCAGGUUAGCCAUCUUCAGAGCUUGCUCAUCUUGAACCUGUCACAGAAUGCAUUGCAAGCUCCAAAUUGGUCCCAUUUCUCUCCCAUGCCUUUCUUGCGCAUCCUCGACCUUAGUUUUAAUAAUCUUGUGUCGAAAUUCCCAGAAUUUAUAUCCAAUUCUCAUAGCCUGACUCACCUUAACCUUUCAAAUAACAAGUUUACUGGUCAUCUUGUGCAUAAAUUUACCAAUCUACAAAAUCUUGAAACCCUCUACCUUCAGAUCAAUUCUUUUGAGGGGCCGUUUCCACCAGAUAUAGUCCAGCUUUCCAAAUUAAAACGACUCUCCCUGUCAUGUAACAAAUUUUCAGGUUCAAUUCCCAAUGACGUAAGGUUGCUUUUUGGUCUUGAAUCCCUAAAUUUAGGCAACAAUUCCUUUGAAGGACCGCUUCCACCAGAUAUAUUCAAGCUUUCAAAGUUAAAACGACUUGUUCUUUGGAGUAAUAAGUUUUCAGGUUCUGUUUCCAAUGAUAUAGGUUUGCUUUCUAAUCUUGAACACCUCGAUCUUGACUCUAAUUUUUUUGAGGGGCCGUUUCCGUCAAAUAUAUUCAAGCUCAGAUUAAAAAUUCUAAACCUCUCAAACAAUAGAAAUUUAUUUCAAAGAAGUUUUCCUAUUGGACUGGAACUCUUGAGUAACCUCAGCUACUUAGGUCUACAUUCCAGUAAUCUCAGUGGCAAUAUUCCAUCUUACAUUGGAAACCUGAAGCUACUAGAAUUUCUUGAUCUCGGUUCUAAUCAAUUGACUGGACCGCUUUCCAAGAUCGUUUAUAAUCUCACAAAUCUUAUACUUCUUGAUGUAAGUUAUAAUAGUCUUCAUGGAAAUAUUCAGAGUGACUUGUGGCAAUAUAACGAUCAUCCAACUUUGGAAUACAUGAGUUUGAGUGGGAACUAUUUUACGGGUAUAGUUUUUCUCUAUAGAUCUUUUCUUUUGUCAUAUGUAACUAAGCUACUAAUCUGAUUAAUUGCAGUUUUACCAAAGUUUCAACAAUCUUGACAGGUGAGCUUCCAACAACAAUUUGCAAUGUCACUUCCCUUUCGGUUCUUGAUUUGUCAAAUAAUGAAUUAAGUGGUGCACUUCCAAACUGUUUCGGGAAUCUUGCUGAUAGAUUGCUUUUCAUUAAUCUUGCUAAUAAUCAGUUUCGAGGAACAAUACCAACUACUUUCUCCAGGAGUUGUCAGCUCAAAUAUCUAAACAUGGAUAAUAAUGAGUUUGAAGGAUUGUUGCCCCCGUCUUUGGAAAACUGUAAGCACUUGAGAAUUCUUGAUAUUGGCAAUAAUAAAAUAGGUGGUACAUUUCCGUCAUGGCUUUAUGUACUUGGAGAGCUAGAAGUCCUUCUCUUGCGAUCAAAUAAACUCUAUGGCACAAUAAGUGGAAGGAGCAUAGAAGAUCCCUUCCCCAAGUUGCGGAUUGUGGAUCUGUCCAACAAUCAAUUCACAGGCCAUUUGCCAAUUCAAUACUUUAAGAAUAUGAAAUCAACUGAUAAUUUGUAUCGUUUCCAGGAUGGCAAAGGAGUUUUUUGUUUCCGUUAUGAAGCAUCUGUCUCAUUAACUGUGAAGGGAACAGAGUAUGAAGUGAAAAAAAUCCUUCAUAUUUACACAACCAUUGAUCUGUCCUGCAACAAAUUUCAAGGAGAAAUUCCAGACGUUAUUGGAGAGCUUAGAUGGCUUGCAUUGCUCAACUUAUCUCAUAAUAGUCUAACAGGACCUAUCCCAUCAUUGCUGAGGAAUAUGAAAGAACUCCAAUCUUUAGAUUUGUCUUCAAAUCAACUGACAGGGGCUAUUCCACCUCAGUUAACUGCAUUGACAUAUCUAGAGGUCUUGAACCUCUCGGGAAACCAUCUUAGUGGAGAGAUUCCUCAGAAAGGACAGUUCAGCACAUUCAACAAUGAUUCUUAUCUUGGAAACUCCGCGUUAUGUGGAUCACCUUUGACGAAGAAAUGUGCAAACACAGCAUCACCUCCACAAGAAGUCGGAAAUGGUGAUGAAGAUGAUGCUGGUGAUGAAUUGACAUGGGAAGCAAUCGUGAUGGGAUAUGGAUGUGGACUGAUAUGUGGAUUGUCAUCUGCAUACAUUGUUCUCAAACUAGGAAAGCCUUGGUGGUUUGUGAGAUAUGUCGAAGUACUGCAACUGAAGUUGAUGAAAAGAUAUGCUUGAAGAAUGGUACUGGCCGAUCAAGACGAACUUGAAAGUUGUUGUCCUUGUGCAUUUCUGAACCAGUUGUGUACUAUUCUCUUUGUGGCUGCAUAAGUAUUUGGUAUUGUGUAAUAUUCUGUUUGGUCUUGAAUCAUAAUGAUUCUUCUUGCUCCAGGGUUAUUAAUAUAAACCUUGGUAUUGUGUGCUAGCUGUAAUAUUCUGUUUGAUCAAUGUUUAUACCAGUAAUUUUAUGCUCCGCAGUGCAUCAUGCAGCUCUCAUAUUAUCUCUAUGAUUAACCUGAAUUCAGUUUCAUUUUGUUUCCGAAUCUCAACUACUUCAACUUGAGCUACAAUAGCUUCACUGGUCUAAUACCCCCAGAUAUUGAAAAUUUAACAGAGCUGCAAUACCUUGAUUUUAGCUCUAAUAAACUCACUGGUGCAAUUCCGGACCAGGUAAGCCAUCUUCAAACAUUGCGAACCUUAAACCUGUUGGAUAAUCACUUGGAAGCUCCAAACUGGUCCGCUUUUUCCCCUCUGCCUUCUCUGACAAACCUCUGUCUCAAUAAUAAUAAUCUUUCGUCGAAAUUCCCAGACUUCAUAUCAAAUUACAUCUUUUAUACGAUAUAUUAUGAAAACACUAUAUUUUGUAAUGUUCAUCUUAUCCUACCAGCAAAAUUACAUCGCUAACAAAAUUAUAUCAAUUUUAUUUUAUAAACUCAAAUAAUUUAAUUUAUGAAACAACUCUAUGAGAUUCUUAUCAUGAGUUAGAAUUCAAAUAAAUAAAGAGUUCAUAUUGAUAAGUGGAAUUGAUGUGCAAGUAAGGGGUAUAAAAAAAUCUCAAAAUAACUCCAAAAAGCACAUGACAUGUUUGAUUUAAUAGAACUGGUACAUAAACAGGGGGACCAUUAUAUUUAUAAGCAAGUGACCAACAAUAGUUUACUACUGAUAUUUUGUGAUAUUUUUUGUGAUAUUUUUUGAGACCUUUAACAUUAUUCUGUGAAGUGGUAUACUACUGUUACUAGUUCUGAAACUUCAAACAAAGUAGGCGCAACAUUGUAAGAGUGAUUAAUAAAGUUGAGAAACAGUGUGUACAUUGAGCAGUAUGACAAUCAGGUUCAGCAUAUAAUACAAUCAGAUUCACAAUCAGGUUCACGAGAAACAUGCUGCAUUCCAAAAAGCCUUAUUAUCUUCUUCACUAAAUAACAAGGCAAAUACAGCAUAUAAAUACAAGUGUGCAGUGUGGUAUUAGAUUCAUAACCCAGUUGAGGAGAAACAUGGCACACUUUGUAAGGCCUUCUCACCUUCUUCUCUUUGUUUUCUUUCUCUCAUCACUUGAAUCCAUUCUUGCAACAAGACAAGAGGGGGAAGCUCUUGUGAAGUGGAAGAAUAGCCUAGCCCCUUCUUCUUUUCUCCACUCUUGGUCACUCACCAAUCUCGAAAAUCUUUGNNNNNNNNNNNNNNNNNNNNNNNNNNNNNNNNNNNNNNNNNNNNNNNNNNNNNNNNNNNNNNNNNNNNNNNNNNNNNNNNNNNNNNNNNNNNNNNNNNNNNNNNNNNNNNNNNNNNNNNNNNNNNNNNNNNNNNNNNNNNNNNNNNNNNNNNNNNNNNNNNNNNNNNNNNNNNNNNNNNNNNNNNNNNNNNNNNNNNNNNNNNNNNNNNNNNNNNNNNNNNNNNNNNNNNNNNNNNNNNNNNNNNNNNNNNNNNNNNNNNNNNNNNNNNNNNNNNNNNNNNNNNNNNNNNNNNNNNNNNNNNNNNNNNNNNNNNNNNNNNNNNNNNNNNNNNNNNNNNNNNNNNNNNNNNNNNNNNNNNNNNNNNNNNNNNNNNNNNNNNNNNNNNNNNNNNNNNNNNNNNNNNNNNNNNNNNNNNNNNNNNNNNNNNNNNNNNNNNNNNNNNNNNNNNNNNNNNNNNNNNNNNNNNNNNNNNNNNNNNNNNNNNNNNNNNNNNNNNNNNNNNNNNNNNNNNNNNNNNNNNNNNNNNNNNNNNNNNNNNNNNNNNNNNNNNNNNNNNNNNNNNNNNNNNNNNNNNNNNNNNNNNNNNNNNNNNNNNNNNNNNNNNNNNNNNNNNNNNNNNNNNNNNNNNNNNNNNNNNNNNNNNNNNNNNNNNNNNNNNNNNNNNNNNNNNNNNNNNNNNNNNNNNNNNNNNNNNNNNNNNNNNNNNNNNNNNNNNNNNNNNNNNNNNNNNNNNNNNNNNNNNNNNNNNNNNNNNNNNNNNNNNNNNNNNNNNNNNNNNNNNNNNNNNNNNNNNNNNNNNNNNNNNNNNNNNNNNNNNNNNNNNNNNNNNNNNNNNNNNNNNNNNNNNNNNNNNNNNNNNNNNNNNNNNNNNNNNNNNNNNNNNNNNNNNAUUAAAACGUCUUUUUCUUUGGAGUAAUAAGUUUUCAGGUUCUGUUUCCAAUGAUAUAGGUUUGCUUUCUGAGCUUGAAUUUCUCAAUCUUUACGAUAAUUUUUUUGAGGGGCCGCUUCCAUGCAUCAAAUAUAUUCAAGCUCUCCAAAUUAAGGGUUCUUUACCUUAACGGUAAUAAACUUCUAGGUUCUCUUUCCAAUGAUAUAGGUUUGCUUUCUGAGCUUGAAAGCCUCGAUCUUAACUCCAAUUUUUUUGAGGGGCCGCUUCCGCCAAAUGUAUUCAAGCUCUCCAAACUAAAGAUUCUUUCCCUUUAUGAGAAUAACUUUUCAGGUUUUAUUUCUAAGGAUAUAGGUUUGCUUUCUGGACUUGAAACCCUCUAUCUUGACUCUAAUUUUUUUGAGGGUCCGCUUCCCCCACAUAUAUUUAGGCUGUCCAAAUUAAGAGAUCUGGACCUCUCAUACAGUAGAAAUUUAUUUGAAGGAAGUAUUCCUAUUGGACUGGGACUCUUGACUAACCUCAGGUACUUAGAUCUAUAUUCCAAUAAUCUCAGUGGCUAUAUUCCAUCUGACAUUGGAAACCUGAAGCUACUAGAAGGUCUUAUUCUCGGUUCUAAUAAAUUGACUGGACCAGUUUCAAAGAUCAUUUCUAAUCUCACAAAUCUUAUAUAUCUUGAUGUAAGUGAUAAUAGUCUUAGUGGAAAUAUUCAGAGUGACUUGUGGAAAUAUAACGAUCAUCCAACUUUGGAAUACAUCAAUUUAAGUGGGAACCAUUUUACGGGUAUAGUUUUUCUCUAUAGAUCUUUUCCUUUUCUCAUAUGUAACUAAGCUGGUAAUCUGAUUAUUGCAGUUUUACCAAAGUUUCAACAAUCUUGACAGGUGAGCUUCCAACAACAAUUUGCAAUGUCACUUCCCUUUCGGUUCUUGAUUUGUCAAAUAAUGCGUUAAGUGGUGCACUUCCAAACUGUUUCGGGAAUCUUGCUGAUGGAUUGCUUUACAUUAAUCUUGCUCAUAAUCAGUUUCGAGGAACAAUACCAACUACUUUCUCCAGGAGUUGUCAGCUGACAUAUCUGAACAUGGAUGAUAAUGAGUUUGAAGGAUUGAUGCCCCCAUCUUUGGCGAACUGUAAGCACUUGAAAAUUUUUGAUAUUGGCAAUAAUAAAAUAGGUGGUACAUUUCCGUCAUGGCUUUAUGUACUUGGAGAGCUAGAAGUCCUUGUCUUGAAAUCAAAUAAACUCUAUGGUACAAUAAGUGGAAGGAGCAGUGAAGAUCCCUUCCCCAAGUUGCGGAUUGUGGAUCUGUCCAACAAUCAAUUCACAGGCCAUUUGCCAAUUCAAUACUUUAAGAAUAUGAAAUCAACUGAUAAUUUGUAUCGUUAUCAGAAUGACACAAGAGUUUUUUCUUUCCAUUAUGAAGCAGCAGUCUCAUUAACUGUGAAGGGAACAGAGUAUGAAGUGAAAAAAAUCCUUCAUAUUUACACAACCAUUGAUCUGUCCUGCAACAAAUUUCAAGGAGAAAUUCCAGACGUUAUUGGAGAGCUUAGAUGGCUUGCAUUGCUCAACUUAUCUCAUAAUAGUCUAACAGGACCUAUCCCAUCAUUGCUGAGGAAUAUGAAAGAACUCCAAUCUUUAGAUUUGUCUUCAAAUCAACUGACAGGGGCUAUUCCACCUCAGUUAACUGCAUUGACAUAUCUAGAGGUCUUGAACCUCUCGGGAAACCAUCUUAGUGGAGAGAUUCCUCAGAAAGGACAGUUCAGCACAUUCAACAAUGAUUCUUAUCUUGGAAACUCCGCGUUAUGUGGAUCACCUUUGACGAAGAAAUGUGCAAACACAGCAUCACCUCCACAAGAAGUCGGAAAUGGUGAUGAAGAUGAUGCUGGUGAUGAAUUGACAUGGGAAGCAAUCGUGAUGGGAUAUGGAUGUGGACUGAUAUGUGGAUUGUCAUCUGCAUACAUUGUUCUCAAACUAGGAAAGCCUUGGUGGUUUGUGAGAUAUGUCGAAGUACUGCAACUGAAGUUGAUGAAAAGAUAUGCUUGAAGAAUGGUACUGGCCGAUCAAGACGAACUUGAAAGUUGUUGUCCUUGUGCAUUUCUGAACCAGUUGUGUACUAUUCUCUUUGUGGCUGCAUAAGUAUUUGGUAUUGUGUAAUAUUCUGUUUGGUCUUGAAUCAUAAUGAUUCUUCUUGCUCCAGGGUUAUUAAUAUAAACCUUGGUAUUGUGUGCUAGCUGUAAUAUUCUGUUUGAUCAAUGUUUAUACCAGUAAUUUUAUGCUCCACAGUGCAUCAUGCAGCUCUCAUAUUAUCUCUAUGAUUAACCUGAAUUCAGUUUCAUUUUGUUUCCGAAUCUCAACUACUUCAACUUGAGCUACAAUAGCUUCACUGGUCUAAUACCCCCAGAUAUUGAAAAUUUAACAGAGCUGCAAUACCUUGAUUUUAGCUCUAAUAAACUCACUGGUGCAAUUCCGGACCAGGUAAGCCAUCUUCAAACAUUGCGAACCUUAAACCUGUUGGAUAAUCACUUGGAAGCUCCAAACUGGUCCGCUUUUUCCCCUAUGCCUUCUCUGACAAACCUCUGUCUCAAUAAUAAUAAUCUUUCGUCGAAAUUCCCAGACUUCAUAUCAAAUUGUCGAAACCUGACUUACCUUGAUCUUUCAUUAAACUUGUUAACAGGUGAUUUGGUUCUUGGUAAUACGGAAUCGCUCUAUCACAGAAGUAAUUCUUUUGAGGGGUCAUUUCCACCAAAUAUAUUAAAACUUUCAAAAUUAAGAGUUCUUUCCCUAUCNCUUUCCCUAUCAUAUAAUAGAUUUUCAGGUUCUAUUCCGCAUGAUAUAGGAAUGCUUCGUGUUUUGGAAUCCCUUUUUUUUAGUAGCAGUUCUUUUGAUGGCCUGCUUUCACCAAAUUUAUUUAAGCUUCCAAAAUUAAAAGUUCUUUCCAUGUCAUUUAAUAACUUUUCGGGUUAUAUUCCAAAUGAAAUAGGAUUGCUUCAUGAUUUAGAGUCCCUUUAUUUUAAUGGAAAUUCUUUUGAGGCCGUUUCCACCAAAUAUAUUCAACCUUUCCAAAUUAAAAGUUCUUUACCUCUCAAAUAAUAACUUUUCAGGUUCUAUUCCUAAUGAUAUAAGUGUGCUUCGUGAUCUUGAGAUACUUGAUUUGUCCUCUAAUUCUUUUGAAGGGAUUAUUCCAUUGGAGCUGGGGUUCUUGAAUAAGCUGAGCUAUUUAUAUCUUGAUUCCAAUCAAUUGACUGGACCGCUUUUGAAGAACAUGUAUAAUCUCAGUAAUCUUAUUGAGAUCAACUUUAGUGGAAACCGCUUAACAGGUUUGCUAUUCAUUCUUGUUUUCUUCUUUAUGUAACUUCUUUAUGUAACUUCUUCAAUGCUGAUGAAAUGAUCACGAACCACAAUUUCACCAAAGCUCCUUUAAUUUCAACAGGUGAGUUUUCGACAGCAAUUUACAGAGAGAGAAUUACGAUGUUAUUAGGGAAAUCUAAAGAGAAGGUGCAGAGACCUCGGCAUAAUGAUCCUCCAACCUCUCAUUAACAAUGUCCAGGUUUCUUUAAAAGUAUUAAAUGUUAUUAACAUAGUACUUAAUGGUGUUAUAAAGAGAGUCGUGAUGUAACACUAUAUUUUGUUUACGAGAUAUUUUAAGUGUAAGAAGGUCCAUGCUGAGUUGUGAACAAUUAUUCUCACGUAUAUUAUCAAUGGUGAACAUCUUUAUUAGUAAGAUUGUGCUUUUUAGUUGGAUUGUGGUCCUUCUGUUGCUCCUUGGUAAGAUUUUUCGUCCUAGGUGGGAUUGUUAGGCACAAUGCCAGUCUAAUCAAGUUUGCGAAGGAAGUGUUAAAUACUAGAAUUAUUAAACCUGUAUAUAAAUUUAGAUGUCUGCACAGCGUUGUUACAUUGUCGAGUAGACAACUAAUUUUAAUCUGGUGGCAGGAAAUAGGGAAUCAAGAAGAAGAUGCAGCCAACAAUGAGAAGCUAGAGAAGCAAUUGAACUACUCGAACAAGAGCAAAAGCGGAUAGAAGCAGAACCAGAUGUUAAACUAGAGGCAAAAAAGAGAGCCUCCAACAGGCUUAUUUUAAGGUAAAUUACAAGAAAAGAAAGUCUGCCAUCAAUGUUAGACAAAAAGAUAUGCCGAUGCUCACAGAUAAUAAUAGUAGCAGGCGUACUUACUCUCUCUACAUAUAAUACUGUAACAAAGGUUUUCAAUGAGCCAAUUUAUUCCAACUAAGCAGGCACUAAGCAGCCACGUCAGAUCCACCUUAGCAAUCACUUUGCAUUUGUGAUGAUGAUCACAAUUAAAUCUUUAUCCCAAUGAUUUUUCUAUUAAUCUUUUGUGGAAUUCUAUGUCUGCAGAGAGAGCAAUACGUGUUGGUCAUGGUUUCUAUAAGUGAAGGUGAGACAACAAUGGUGUUCUCUUUGCCUCAAUUACACCCCUAAUUGCUGGCUAUUUGAGCUGCUGAAAGUUUAAUAAUGGCAAUCGUUUGUAGCUCGAAGAGAAUGAUGUAAGAAUUUAAUCUCAAUAGGAAGCUGUAGAACACAACAAUAUUGCAUAUAGAAGCCAUCCAGCUGCACACCCUGAUCACGGAGUUUUUGAGUCUUUAGAAUGCAAAAAUACAAUGCACAUGGGUAUGCCUACAAGUGGAGAUAUUUAGAAAACUGCUUCUUGUGCACAGUUAGUUAAAUAUUUACUAAUAAUAUAUCUUCAAUAACAACAUUACAGCUACAGUUCAGCAAUGAAUGAUCAUCAAAUGGCUUCUGCAGCACCGACACAGAAUGCCAGUGGACUAGUGGAGUAAUUCCAGGGGAUGCUCUGAUCAUAAAUUCUCGCUGGUGAAUUGAAGAAUUGAGCUUGAGCUAAGAAGGUGAUCUGCAUAUAAUCUUUAACCAUUUUCUGAUGGUACAAAUGUUGCUAUUUAAAAAAAUAAAGAUCAAAUAAACAAAUAUUACUUUACUAAUAUUUUACAUAGCUGCUGCUGUCGAAAACUGGAAACUUGUUGUGUAUUAUAAAAAUAGCAAGGAACUGAACUAAAUAAGCGAGGCAGGUAACUAUUGGAACAAACUGGCAUAUACCUUCUCUUUUCUUAUACUUCUUGCUUGGGGGCAAUAAGUCGUCUCUACCAUAAUAAAGUAAAAAGUAGUCAAAUUACAACUCCCUUGGGUUUCCGUUUGAAUUAGGACAUGUGUGGUGCACCAUACUCUCUUGUCAAAUAUUUUGAAGUUUUGCAUAUUGCAGUUUCACUUUUCAAAGAAACCUCUCUGUCAUUGCUAUAUUAGUAUGCGACUGUUAUUUGGAUUAGUUAUGAUCUGUAUCUAAAAUUAAUGGCACAGAUCUUGAUUUCUAGAACACCAGGUAAUAUUCUCAGAAACAGUGAUAUUCUGUUACAAAGUGAUUGUUGUCGACCAUCUUUACACAUUUUUCUUAUUAUUAAAAAAUAAAUUUUAUAAAAUAGAUUUUUAAAAUAUAGAUACUAUUGAUAUGGUCUUUAUAAUAGAUAUUAGAUAUUAAAAUUUUUAUUUAUAAAAAUUUAUGGAUGAGUUAUUGUAAUAACUGAUUGUCGAGAUCCUAGGUUCCUGGCUAAAUAGGAGUCCAUAUAUUUUGUUAUAAUAUAAUCAAAUAUCAAAACAUUCCUAGGAGGUCUAUAAGUUUAUAACGGUCCGAUAAAGGAAACAUGAAUAAAAUUGAUCAAAAUAUUUUGACCAUUUCAGGUGAUAAUGAUCAUAUAAUUUUCAUAUGACAGAACAAUAAGCCGUAGAGUUUGCUUAGGGGAUUAUGUAGGUUGCAGCAAGAUUUUCAAAAUAAAGCUGAUUUAUCAUUCAUAUAUUUUUUUGGUCCUCUUGGUUUAUGAGUGCUCUUUGUAUCUCUUGCUCUUAGCAUGCAUCCCCUCCCUUUAGUAAAUCAGCUUUGUGCUCAAUUACCUAAUUAUAGAUGAUGUUUCCUAAAUGGAAUAUUUCAAUUAAAUAUAUUAAUUGCUAAGCAACAGCCAAUAUGUUGUGUUGGUUAUUAAAUUAUUGUAGGCAUUUAUUCUUACAGAUGGUUUGGAGAUAAUUUCGAGCAAUCUAUGAGUUUGAAUAAUAUGUCUUAACAGUAUAUAGGGCCAUGAGGAGCUUGGCGCUGCCAGCUUGCGCUUGCGGGAAGAUGAAGAUUUUACGAGAUUUAAAAAUAUUGCAACUAUAGAGCUAGGAAGAUAAGAGAUUGGAAGUUGGUAAUUCUCCCCUUUCCCAUCAGAAUUCAAUGACUCUUUGAAACUGUACUUUCGUGAAUUUUGUCUUAAUUUCAUCAGGCGACCAGAACAACUUCAGAGACAUAUGGUGAGUUGUUGUCGAGUAUUUUGAAGAGUAUCGUUCGCAGGGAAGGAUUGAUAUCAAUACCAAUUUCAAGUCUUUUAUCUCUUAUGAUUCAGAAGUGUGGAGAAGAAUUUGGUGGGAUUUUCUAUCAACUAAUUAAUGUAAUAAGUAAAUAAAUAUAAUAAAUAUGAGAGAAAACAACCCAAGAAUUAGAGUUCUUCAAUCGCUAUCAUGAAUGUCUAAUUUGUGUCUCUUGUUUGCUAAAAACAAUCCUUCUAAUAUUAAUAAACUCCUCUCCCAAGGUAGAUUAUAAUGCUUACAAUUAUCCAUUAAAAGCCACUCCCAUGGUCAAUCAAAGAACACUUGUAAACUAUUAAGAACCAAGGAUUUUAAGUCUCACAAUUCUCAUAUCAAUCUCCCGAUCUAAUACUCAAAUUGUGUCCAUCAUAUCAUGUACUAGAAUUAUAACUCCUCUCCCGAUUCGUUAUAACUCCUAGAGAUUCAAUCACAAGUUAGCUACUCCUGUAAUUGUAUAAAGAGCUCAAUGACAGAUUAACAAAUCAAGAGAAAACACAAUCCAACUAAACAAACAUAUUAAGCCAAAGAAUACUACCUAACUCUUGGAUCAAAGGAUUAGCUACUCAUGAUAAGAUGAAACAAAUAUAUAUUUAUACCACAAACCAUGAGCGUAAGAAUUUAAAUACGAAGAAUACAACUUGACGAAAGAGCUUGAAGUCCGGAUGAAUCCCUUCACUCCUUCUUCCAAUAUCUCUCACAAGUGCUUCUCUCCCUUUUCUCUCUAAAAAAGCUAUCUCUAUAUUAUUCUAUAUGAUACAAAGUUAGUUGUCUCUAAUCUCUAUCAAAACCCUAAUAUAUAUAAGAGUUUUCUUAAUUUACAAGAAAAUAAAAUAAUAUCCUAAAACUAGUUGGAUUCUGAUGCUGAAAUUCGUAGGCUUCUGUUCAGGCCUGAUUCUGGGCUGAUCCAGUUGGAUUUUGACAUCUGGACCACCUUAAACUUGUAGAAAAUUCCUAUAUCUUCGCGUGGGCUGUUGAAUCGCCCAAUUCUGACAUCCAGAACUCAAGUUACGGCCCAAACAAGAUUUGCUUCGCUGGCUAUAUAUAAAGUCCGAAUUUCCAUCUAAUUAAGCCCAAAUAAGCUUGAUUUAAUCCAACUUUAGGAAUAUUUAUUUUCCUGCCACUAAACACUUAAAAUCAAUUAGUAAUAACCCGAUUAUUUACAAAAUACUAAAAUUAUGGGAAUAAAAUCAUAUAAAAACAUAUAUAAAUAUAUGCUCUAUCAUGAGUUUUGUGUCCUGCUUCUCAUUUCACAUACAUUGCCUUUUAAGAAGGGUGUUCUUAUAUAAUUUUGGAAGUGCUAUUGCUAAUUUGUUUCAGGUAAUAGCUGCACCGCAUAUAUAAAAUAUACAAAAAAUGUUUUUCCCGGCCUUCUUAAAAGUUUGAAUAAUAUUCCCCCUGUCUUGUGAUUGCAAACAAUAAUUGUUUUUGUAUCCAAGUACUUAAGCUUUUCCAUUAACUUUUUGGAUUUUGAACCAUGAUUGCCAAUGAGCAUUGAUAAUAUAGCCUAGGCCUCGGUCAUUUGAAUUUUUUGGAUAUUGUCUAAAGGCUUUCAAUGUAGUGAUUCUGUGACAACGUUGGACAAUAAUGUGUACAAGCUGGAUUCAGCAGAUUUCUAACAUGUGUUGAUUAUUACUAAUUAUGGAUUUACUGGUAUAGCAAGAAAUUACAGGCCCGAGGUCUUAAAGUUUGGGUGUCAUCACUUUUCUGGUCUACUUGCAAUCUUUUCUUCUUACUACCUCUUCUAGCAGUGUGUAGUUCCACUUUGCUAUUAAAUGAGCAAGUUAAUGACUGUUUAGGGGAUUGAGAUCUGACAAGUCUUGCUACUUUUGAUGGGUUUGAUAGGUUUGAUGAGUGCUUAAGUGAUAUUAAUCACCAAACUUAUGUAUAUGCAUUUUGAUGUGUUGAUUAUUUAGCAUAGUUGCUGCAUAACAAAUAUUAGUUAAAGGAUGAGAUCUUCUAAAAGAAGUCAGAAAUGUAAAAGCCAAUGUCAAAGUGGAUUUGAUCAAAAAGAGAUUCGCAUGCUGAUUAUUACUUUUUUGUGCAGAAAAAAUGUGAUCUCAAACAUCCCCUGGCAAUGAGAUAUAUCGCAGGGCACAUUGUCAAUGUUUUAGAUAUGUUUACAUGUUUAGCUGAUCUGCAAAUUCCUUUACGUCUUGGUUUCUGUCUCAUGUGAUUAUAUUCUCAGCGUUUGGAACUUGGAAUUGCAUAGCUUACCGCCAACACAAUUAUACAACUUCUUUUACUCAGUGAAUGAUGCUACACUUGAGACUUUCAUUAUGAUAUUUAUCUUGAGACACAUGUUCCCCAGUUUUAUAACUGGUAUAUUUGGCCUUGCUUUGUAUUUUUAAAUAUUACUGUUCAAUGGACUUAUACUAAACCCUUGCUUAUAAACAAGUACUCUUCAUCUGUUUGUUUGUUUAACUAUAUGACAUUUUACAUGUUUUUAUAGGUAGAUGGGAAAAAGAAUAAGGUUUAUGGGCAGAAUCUUUGUUAUCUGGAAAAAUUGUUUCUUGAUUACAAAACACUAUAUUAUAACGUCGAUUCACAAUAACUUAAUUGAUCAGCGCUCGGAGUCUCCUUUCUAAUCAAGGCUGUGGAGUGUGGAGGCCUAGGGCCUGAGCAUAUAAGGAUAUUCACAAUAAUUUUUUUUUUUUAUGAAUUUAUUUUCAUAGAUAUUUGUGUGUAGUUCCUUAAAUUGGGAAUACGGCUCGAGAGGAUAAGGGAUUGUUUGGUUGUUUAGUGUGAUUGGUAUUUUACUAGAUCAGAGAGUUUAUUACCACAAGCAUCCUAUGCAUUAACACUUGUCAGCAGCUGAAUUCCUGACAUAACACAUGAAUUCAGAAGACAUGACACAUGAAUUCAGUAUUUGGAAUUUGAUUGAAAUUCUGAAUGAUUUAUUGUUUACCAGAGGUUAUAACCACUACUUGUAUAUGGUAUCGGGUGUGUCCAUCUCCGGAAGAUCUAAUUGGCGUUAUAUGUUAAAUUUUCAAUAAAUAUCUCCGGAAGAUCUAAUUGGCGUUAUAUGUUAAAUUUUCAAUAAAUAUCUCCGGAAGAUCUAAUUGGCGUUAUAUGUUAAAUUUUCAAUAAAUAUCUGGAUGUGUAUUUUUGAUUAUCGAAAGAGUUCCCAUAUUAUUAUGUCGUUUUAUUUUCCUUCACUUUUGGCAGCCCCAAGUGAAAGUGAUGACUAUUGGUACUUGAGUUUUUUUGGCUGAAAUCACUAAUAUAAUUGUUACACUACAACAAAACUGGCAUCAGACAACACUAGUCACACAACGGACGCUGGAAAAAGUGUUGGCCGAAACAAAGACACAACACUUUAUUUUCGUCCUCGAAAAACUAUUGUCUAACACCUACGACCUACAACGGUUAAAAAACUGUUGUCUAAUAAAUUUAAUCAGACAACGGUCUCUUAACUGUGGUAUUGUGUAAUGAUGCACGUUAGACAACUGUUUUUAGAGCCGAUGUGUGAAGAAACUUCAGACAAUAUUCCGAGAAACCGUUGUUGUAAUGAGACAAGUGUUUUAUUUGUUGUGUUGUUUACGAAAAGAUCAGACAAGGGUUCCAUAGAGUGUUGUGUGACUGGGAAGCUAACAUACAAGUGUUUUUGUUAGCAUCGUAUCAUGGCCUUAUAGACAAGCCUUUAGCUAGUAAAACGUUGUCUGACUGAAUGACUUAUAAGAAAAUAAAUGUACAUAAAAGAGUGCAAACAUUCAAAAGUCCUAACCAAAGUUACAAAUAUAUAUUCAUUUUCUUAGUAGUCAUAGGCUUUUCUAGCAUUAGAUCAAGUAUUGAUCAAGGAAAUGCGAAUUUUUAACUCAUAAAAAUGAAAGUUUAUUAUACAACGGUUUUCUUCCCAUAAAUCGUUGUGUCAUUUUCAAUGAUACAACUUAGAUGCUUAUAAAAACCGUUGUGUGUUAGACACUACGGGACAAAAAAUACCUUUUUAUAAUAAGACAAAAUUUACAAUUAACAAGUAAUGUUAAAAAAACAUACAAAAUGAAUAUAAAAAAUUUAGAUUUUUUUUAUACAUGACUAAUAUUGUUAGUUCUCGACAUCCGUACGGUUAGAUCAUCGAAAAAAAUAUUUAAAAAUUAAUAUUAUGCUCAUCUUAUACAUAACAAAGAUUNNNNNNNNNNNNNNNNNNNNNNNNNNNNNNNNNNNNNNNNNNNNNNNNNNNNNNNNNNNNNNNNNNNNNNNNNNNNNNNNNNNNNNNNNNNNNNNNNNNNNNNNNNNNNNNNNNNNNNNNNNNNNNNNNNNNNNNNNNNNNNNNNNNNNNNNNNNNNNNNNNNNNNNNNNNNNNNNNNNNNNNNNNNNNNNNNNNNNNNNNNNNNNNNNNNNNNNNNNNNNNNNNNNNNNNNNNNNNNNNNNNNNNNNNNNNNNNNNNNNNNNNNNNNNNNNNNNNNNNNNNNNNNNNNNNNNNNNNNNNNNNNNNNNNNNNNNNNNNNNNNNNNNNNNNNNNNNNNNNNNNNNNNNNNNNNNNNNNNNNNNNNNNNNNNNNNNNNNNNNNNNNNNNNNNNNNNNNNNNNNNNNNNNNNNNNNNNNNNNNNNNNNNNNNNNNNNNNNNNNNNNNNNNNNNNNNNNNNNNNNNNNNNNNNNNNNNNNNNNNNNNNNNNNNNNNNNNNNNNNNNNNNNNNNNNNNNNNNNNNNNNNNNNNNNNNNNNNNNNNNNNNNNNNNNNNNNNNNNNNNNNNNNNNNNNNNNNNNNNNNNNNNNNNNNNNNNNNNNNNNNNNNNNNNNNNNNNNNNNNNNNNNNNNNNNNNNNNNNNNNNNNNNNNNNNNNNNNNNNNNNNNNNNNNNNNNNNNNNNNNNNNNNNNNNNNNNNNNNNNNNNNNNNNNNNNNNNNNNNNNNNNNNNNNNNNNNNNNNNNNNNNNNNNNNNNNNNNNNNNNNNNNNNNNNNNNNNNNNNNNNNNNNNNNNNNNNNNNNNNNNNNNNNNNNNNNNNNNNNNNNNNNNNNNNNNNNNNNNNNNNNNNNNNNNNNNNNNNNNNNNNNNNNNNNNNNNNNNNNNNNNNNNNNUUUUUUUAUACGUGACUAAUAUUGUUAGUUCUUGACAUCCGUACGGUUAGAUCAUUGAAAUAAAUAUUUAUGAAUUAAUACACAACUAAUUGAAUACAUAACAAAGAUUAUAUCUACUACUUUUUAAAUUGUAAACAUAAAACACAUACUAAUACAUGCGUCCGAAGUACAAAAUUGUCUCGGUUUUACACAUGAACAAUACAUAUUUGCAUAUAUACAUAACAUAAAUAUAUUUUUUUAAUACAAAGAGUGCAAAAACAAGAAUUAAUCAAGGAAAUGCGAAUUUUUAACUCAUAAAAAUUACCUUUUUAUAAUAAGAAAAAUUUUANACGAUUGACUAGUGUUGUUAAAAACCGUUGUCUGAUGCUGUUUUUGUUGUAGUGUUAUAUUAAAUUCUUGUGCUAAAACUUGUAUGGUUUGCCCCGCCCGCGGCUUCAAACAGCCAACAAGGUAAGCUAUUAUACUCAGGGGACCGAAAAAGGUAACAAAUGCAUAAACGAUUAGCUUUUCUUCUUUGCUGCAUAGUUUUUUUUUUUUUGUCAGGUUCUUUGCUGCAUAGUUAAUAACAAAUAACAUGAUCUCAAAAAAAAAAAAGAGGCGCGUACUAUGAAUGUAAAAAUAACAAUUUCAAUACUCUUUUUCACUAUAGAAAAACAAAAUUAUUGUGCUAGAUCUUUGCCCGUGCCUUGCACGGGCUUUAAAGCUAGUUUUUUAUUAAUAUGUGAAACUCCAAUAUAUAUUAUUAUACGAUAUAUUAUGAAAACACUAUGUUUUGUAAUGUUCAUCUUAUCCUACCAGAAAAAUUACAUCGCUAACAAAAUUAUAUCAAUUUUAUUUUAUAAACUCAAAUAAUUUAAUUUAUGAAACAACUCUAUGAGAUUCUUAUCAUGAGUUAGAAUUCAAAUAAAUAAAGAGUUCAUAUUGAUAAGUGGAAUUGAUGUGCAAGUAAGGGGUAUAAAAAAAUCUCAAAAUAACUCCAAAAAGCACAUGACAUGUUUGAUUUGAUAGAACUGGUACAUAAACAGGGGGACCAUUAUAUUUAUAAGCAAGUGACCAACAAUAGUUUACUACUGAUAUUUUGUGAUAUUUUUUGUGAUAUUUUUUGAGACCUUUAACAUUAUUCUGUGAAGUGGUAUACUACUGUUACUAGUUCUGAAACUUCAAACAAAGUAGGCGCAACAUUGUAAGAGUGAUUAAUAAAGUUGAGAAACAGUGUGUACAUUGAGCAGUAUGACAAUCAGGUUCAGCAUAUAAUACAAUCAGAUUCACAAUCAGGUUCACGAGAAACAUGCUGCAUUCCAAAAAGCCUUAUUAUCUUCUUCACUAAAUAACAAGGCAAAUACAGCAUAUAAAUACAAGUUAUAAGUACAAGUGUGGUAUUAGAUUCAUAACCCAGUUGAGGAGAAACAUGGCACACUUUGUAAGGCCUUCUCACCUUCUUCUCUUUGUUUUCUUUCUCUCAUCACUCGAAUCCAUUCUUGCAACAAGACAAGAGGGGGAAGCUCUUGUGAAGUGGAAGAAUAGCCUAGCCCCUUCUUCUUUUCUCCACUCUUGGUCACUCACCAAUCUCGAAAAUCUUUGUAAAUGGACUGGCAUUACUUGUAACUCUGCAGGUUCAGUCUCUGAGAUUAACCUUUGUGAGAAACAACUUGAUGGAAUGCUGUCCGAGUUCGGUUUCACUUCAUUUCCAAAUCUCAAGAAUCUCACCCUGGCAGACAACUUCUUCUCAGGUCCAAUACCACCAGCCAUUGAGAAUUUAACACAGCUUCAAUAUCUUGAUUUAAGCAUGAAUAGUCUUAAUGGUCCCAUUCCGUUCCAGGUUAGCCAUCUUCAGAGCUUGCUCAUCUUGAACCUGUCACAGAAUGCAUUGCAAGCUCCAAAUUGGUCCCAUUUCUCUCCCAUGCCUUUCUUGCGCAUCCUCGACCUUAGUUUUAAUAAUCUUGUGUCGAAAUUCCCAGAAUUUAUAUCCAAUUCUCAUAGCCUGACUCACCUUAACCUUUCAAAUAACAAGUUUACUGGUCAUCUUGUGCAUAAAUUUACCAAUCUACAAAAUCUUGAAACCCUCUACCUUCAGAUCAAUUCUUUUGAGGGGCCGUUUCCACCAGAUAUAGUCCAGCUUUCCAAAUUAAAACGACUCUCCCUGUCAUGUAACAAAUUUUCAGGUUCAAUUCCCAAUGACGUAAGGUUGCUUUUUGGUCUUGAAUCCCUAAAUUUAGGCAACAAUUCCUUUGAAGGACCGCUUCCACCAGAUAUAUUCAAGCUUUCAAAGUUAAAACGACUUGUUCUUUGGAGUAAUAAGUUUUCAGGUUCUGUUUCCAAUGAUAUAGGUUUGCUUUCUGAGCUUGAAACCCUCCAUCUUUACUCUAAUUUUUUUGAGGGGCCACUUCCGCCAAAUUUAUUCAAGCUCUCCAAACUAAAAGAUCUCACCCUGUCAAGUAACAAAUUUUCAGGUUCAAUUCACAAUGAUAUAAGGUUACUUUGUGAUCUUGAAGACCUAUAUUUAGCUAACAAUUCCUUUGAAGGACCGCUUCCACCAGAUAUAUUCAAGCUUUCAAGAUUAAAACGUCUUUUUCUUUAGAGUAAUAAGUUUUCAGGUUCUGUUUCCAAUGAUAUAGGUUUGCUUUCUGAGCUUGAAAGCCUCGAUCUUAACUCCAAUUUUUUUGAGGGGCCGCUUCCGCCAAAUGUAUUCAAGCUCUCCAAACUAAAGAUUCUUUCCCUUUAUGAGAAUAACUUUUCAGGUUUUAUUUCUAAGGAUAUAGGUUUGCUUUCUGGACUUGAAACCCUCUAUCUUGACUCUAAUUUUUUUGAGGGUCCGCUUCCCCCACAUAUAUUUAGGCUGUCCAAAUUAAGAGAUCUGGACCUCUCAUACAGUAGAAAUUUAUUUGAAGGAAGUAUUCCUAUUGGACUGGGACUCUUGACUAACCUCAGGUACUUAGAUCUAUAUUCCAAUAAUCUCAGUGGCUAUAUUCCAUCUGACAUUGGAAACCUGAAGCUACUAGAAGGUCUUAUUCUCGGUUCUAAUAAAUUGACUGGACCAGUUUCAAAGAUCAUUUCUAAUCUCACAAAUCUUAUAUAUCUUGAUGUAAGUGAUAAUAGUCUUAGUGGAAAUAUUCAGAGUGACUUGUGGAAAUAUAACGAUCAUCCAACUUUGGAAUACAUCAAUUUAAGUGGGAACCAUUUUACGGGUAUAGUUUUUCUCUAUAGAUCUUUUCCUUUUCUCAUAUGUAACUAAGCUGGUAAUCUGAUUAUUGCAGUUUUACCAAAGUUUCAACAAUCUUGACAGGUGAGCUUCCAACAACAAUUUGCAAUGUCACUUCCCUUUCGGUUCUUGAUUUGUCAAAUAAUGCGUUAAGUGGUGCACUUCCAAACUGUUUCGGGAAUCUUGCUGAUGGAUUGCUUUACAUUAAUCUUGCUAAUAAUCAGUUUCGAGGAACAAUACCAACUACUUUCUCCAGGAGUUGUCAGCUGACAUAUCUAAACAUGGAUAAUAAUGAGUUUGAAGGAUUGGUGCCCCCAUCUUUGGCGAACUGCAAGCACUUGAAAAUUCUUGAUAUUGGCAAUAAUAAAAUAGGUGGUACAUUCCCGUCAUGGCUUUAUGUACUUGGAGAGCUAGAAGUCCUUGUCUUGCGAUCAAAUAAACUCUAUGGUACAAUAAGUGGAAGGAGCAUAGAAGAUCCCUUCCCCAAGUUGCGGAUUGUGGAUCUGUCCGAUAAUCAAUUCACAGGCCAUUUGCCAAUUCAAUACUUUAAGAAUAUGAAAUCAACUGAUAAUAUGUAUAAUUAUCUGAAUUCCACAGGAGGAAUAUAUUUCACUUAUGAAGCAGCAGUCUCAUUAACUGUGAAGGGAACAGAGUAUGAAGUGACAAAUAACCUUCAUAUUUACACAGCUAUUGAUCUGUCGUGCAACAAAUUUCAGGGUGAAAUUCCAAAAAUUAUUGGAGAGCUUAGAUGGCUUGCAUUGCUCAAUUUAUCGCAUAAUAGUCUGACAGGACAUAUCCCAUCAUUUCUGAGAAAUAUGAAAGAACUCCAAUCUUUAGAUUUGUCCUCAAAUCAACUGACAGGGGCCAUUCCACCUCAGUUAACUGCAUUGACAUUUCUAAAGGUCUUAAAUCUCUCGAAAAACCAUCUCAGUGGAGAGAUUCCUCAGGAAGGACAGUUCAGCACAUUCAACAAUGAUUCUUAUCUAGGAAACUCCGCGUUAUGUGGAUUACGUCUGACAAAGAAAUGUGCAAACACAGCAGGGAUUCCUCAGAAAGGACAGUUCAGCACAUUCAACAAUGAUUCUUAUAUAGGAAACUCCGCGUUAUGUGGAUCACCUUUGACGAAGAGAUGUGCAAACACAGCAUCACCUCCACAACAAGUCGGAAAUGGUGAUGAAGAUGAUGCGGGAGAUGAAUUGAGAUGGGAAGCAAUCGUGAUGGGAUAUGGAUGUGGACUGAUAUGUGGAUUGUCAUCUGCGUACAUUGUUCUCAAACUAGGAAGGCCUUGGUGGGUUGUGAGAUAUGUCGAAGUACUGCAACUGAAGUUGAUGAAAAGAUAUGCUUGAAGAAUGGAACUGGCCGAUCAAAACGAACUCGAAAGCAGUUGUCCUUGUGGACAUUUCUGAACCAGUAGUGUACUAGCUGCAUAAGUAUUUGGUAUUAUGUAAUAAUCCACAUAUUCAAUAUCACACUCUUCCUGUGAGGAAACAAAUAUGGAGAAACAUUUCUAUUUACAAAACUUUUACCAUUAUACACUCUUAUAGUACUGGUUAAUAGUUUGUUGUUCAGCCUAGUCCUAAACUGAAAUUAUCAGUUCUAUGUGAGUAUGCUUUCAAAUAAGAAUUAGGUGAUCUGCCUAGUCCAAAACUACUCUAAUACUAUAUCGCUGGUAGUCUUUCAGUUCAUCCUAUUGUAUACAAUAGUUUCUUCCUUUGACACAAAAAUGUCUGCAGUCAGUGUCACCACCACAGGAAGUCGAAAAUGGUGAUGAAGAUUGAUUUGCGGAUUGUCUUAUGGGUACAUUUUUUUCAAAAAAGGAAGGCCUUGGUGGUUUGUGAGAUACAUCGAAGUGCUGCAACUUAAGUUGAUGUUACCAAGAAUGAAAAAUAUUGUUCGACCAAGAUCAACAACUUGAAAAUGUGUUCUGAAUCUGUAAUAAUAUUAAAAUAUUAAAAUAUUAUUCAUUUAACAAUAUCGUCCAAUCAAUUUAAUUGAUUAUCAUUUAAUCAAUAUAUAUAGAUGGAUAUUAAUUGUCUUCCCUAGCUCCAACCAAUGAUGAAAUAACCUCCCUAUAAAUCUAUUGAGUCAAAAUUGCAAACAACACUUUCAAAACAUAGGUGCCGAAUAGUCCUUAUUUUAAAUUAAUCAGAAUUGAAUAUUUGAUGGCGCUAAAAAAAUCUGUUGAAAUUAGCAGUUUAUAAGGCAUAUAAAUAGAAGUGUGCGUUACUUUAAGGAUUCAUGAUCAAGUUGAGGAGAAAUAUGCACAGUAUAUAAAGCCUCAUCAUCUUUUUCUCUUUGUUUUCUUUCUCUCAUUACUCCCAUCCAUUCUUACAACACUAGCUGAAACAAGACGAGAGGGAGAAGCUCUUGUGAAAUGGAAGAAUAGCCUAGCCCCUUCUUCUUUUCUCGACUCUUGGUCCCUCACCAAUCUCGAUAAUCUUUGUAACUGGACUGGCAUUACUUGUAACUCUGCAGGUUCAGUCUCUAAGAUUAACCUUUUUGAGAAACAACUUGAUGGAAUGUUGUCCGAGUUUGGUUUCACCUCAUUUCCACAUCUCAACAAUCUCACCCUUGCAGACAACUACUUCUCGGGUCCGAUACCACCAGCCAUUGAGAAUUUAACACAGCUUCAAUUUCUUGAUUUGAGCAAUAAUUAUCUAGAUGGUCCCAUUCCUUUCCAGGUUAGCAAUCUUCAGAGGUUGCUCAUCUUAAACCUGUCACAGAAUGCAUUGCAAGCUCCAAAUUGGUCCCAUUUCUCUCCCAUGCCUUUUUUGCGCAUCCUCAACCUCAGUAGCAAUCCUCUAGCGUCGAAAUUCCCAAAUUUCAUAUCCAAUUCUCAUGGCCUGACUCACCUUAGCCUUAAUUAUAACGAGUUUACUGGUGAUUUAGUACGUGAAUCAAUAUUUGCCAAUCUGCAUAAUCUUGAAGUCCUCGGUCUUGUUGACAAUUCUUUUGAGGGGCCAUUUCCCCCGGAUAUAUUCAGGCUCUCCAAAUUAAAACGUCUCUCCCUGUCAGGUAACAAAUUUUCAGGUUCAGUUCCCAAUGACAUAAGGUUGCUUUGUGAUCUUCAAUCUCUAUAUUUAGCUAACAAUUCCUUUGAAGGACCGCUUCCACCAAAUAUAUUCAAGCUUGCAAAAUUAAAAGAUCUUGCUCUUUGGGGUAAUAAGUUUUCAGGUUCUGUUUCCAAUGAUAUAGGUUUGCUUUCUGUGCUUGAAAUUCUCAAUAUUCACUCUAAUUUUUUUGAGGGGCCCCUUCCGCCAAAUAUAUUCAAGCUCUCCAAAAUAAGGUUUCUUUACCUCGGGGGUAAUAACUUUUCUGGUUCCGUUUCCAAUGAGAUAGGUUUGCUUUCUGAGCUUGAAUCCCUAUAUCUUGGUUCUAAUGUUUUUGAGGGGCCGCUUCCACCAAAUAUAUUCAAGCUUUCCAAAUUAAAAUGGCUUGACCUCGCAGACAAUAGAAAUUUAUUUGAAGGAAGUAUUCCUAUUGGACUGGGACUCUUGACUAACCUCAGCUACUUAGAUCUAAGUUCCAGUAAUCUCAGUGGCUAUAUUCCAUCUGUCAUUGCAAACCUGAAGCUACUAGUAUUUCUUGAUCUCAGUUCUAAUCAAUUGACUGGACCACUUUCGAAGAUCGUUUCUAAUCUCACAAAUCUUAUACUUCUUGGUGUGGAUUAUAAUAGUCUUAGUGGAAAUAUUCAGAGUGAUUUGUGGAAGAACUCUAUAUCCUUACGUUACAUUGAUUUUGAAAAUAAUUAUUUUUCUGGAAACAUUCCUGAGGAAUAUAACGAUCAUCCAACUUUGGAAUACAUCAAUUUAAGUGGGAACUAUUUUACAGGUAUAUUUUCUUAAUAUAUCUUUUCCUUUUGUCAUAUAUAUGUAACUAAGCUAGUAAUCUGAUUAUUGCAGUUUUACCAAAGUUUCAACAAUCUUGACAGGUGAGCUUCCAACAACAAUUUGCAAUGUCACCUCCCUUUCGGUUCUUGUUUUGUCAAAUAAUAAAUUAAGUGGUGCACUUCCAAACUGUUUCGGGAAUCUUGCUGAUGGAUUGCUUUACAUUAAUCUUGCUAAUAAUCAGUUUCAAGGAACAAUACCAACUACUUUCUCCAGGAGUUGUCAGUUGACAUAUCUAAACAUGGUUAAUAAUGAGUUUGAAGGAUUGAUGCCCCCAUCUUUAGCGAACUGUAAGCACUUGAAAAUUCUUGAUAUAGGCAAUAAUAAAAUAGGUGGUACAUUUCCGUCAUGGCUUUAUGCACUUGGAGAGCUAGAAGUUCUUGUCUUGCGAUCAAAUAAACUCUAUGGUACAAUAAGUGGAAGGAGCAUAGAAGAUCCCUUCCCCAAGUUGCGGAUUGUGGAUCUGUCCAACAAUCAAUUCACAGGCCAUUUGCCAAUUCAAUACUUUAAGAAUAUGAAAUCAAAUGAUAAUUUGUAUCGUUAUCUGAAUUCCACAGGAGAAAUAUAUAUCUCUUAUGAAGCAGCAGUCUCAUUAACUGUGAAGGGAACAGAGUAUGAAGUAGCAAAGAACCUUCAUAUUUACACAGCCAUUGAUCUGUCGUGCAACAAAUUUCAGGGAGAAAUUCCAAAGGUUACCGGAGAGCUUAGAUGGCUUGCAUUGCUCAAUUUAUCUCAUAAUAGUCUAACAGGACCUAUCCCAUCAUUGCUGGGAAAUAUGAAAGAACUCCAAUCUUUAGAUUUGUCCUCAAAUCAACUGACAGGGGCUAUUCCACCUCAGCUAACUGCAUUGACAUUUCUAGAGGUCUUGAACCUCUCGGGAAACCAUCUUAGUGGAGAGAUUCCUCAGAAAGGACAGUUCAGCACAUUCAACAAUGAUUCUUAUCUAGGAAACUCCGCGUUAUGUGGAUCACCUUUGACGAAGAAAUGUGGAAACACUGUAUCACCUCCACAGGAAGUCGGAAAUGGUGAUGAAGAUGAUGCGGGUGAUGAAUGGACAUGGGAAGCAAUCGUGAUGGGAUAUGGAUGUGGACUGAUAUGUGGAUUGUCAUCUGCGUACAUUGUUCUCAAACUAGGAAAGCCUUGGUGGUUUGUGAGAUAUAUCGAAGUACUGCAACAGAAGUUGAUGAAAAGAUAUGCAUGAAGAAAGGUACUGGUAGAUCAAGAUGAAAAGAUAUGAAGAAGUAUUUGGUAUUAUGUAAUAAUCCGUUUGGUCGGGACUCAAAAUGAUUUCUCUUGCUUCAGGGGUAUUAAUAUUAACCUUGCUAUCUUGUUCAAUGUUAAUGCAAAUUAAAAAGAAUAUAAAAGCAAAAAAUUUGCAUCAAACACCUGUUGUACCAACAUGCAUCCAUUAAUUUGCUUUCAUCUAUUAAGUAACAAUUUAAGAGCGCUUCCACUCUGUUUAAGCAUGGAGAUUACACAAAGAAGGCAAGUCCAUGGAUUAACACGUAGUCCACAUCUAUGCUACGAACAAUUCACAUUGAUCUUAUAUCUGUUCAACAGUCUCCCGAAGAUAGGCCAUAAAUGUCAUCUGUGGCUCUUAUGUUUGUCAGUAAAGGAGAAUCUCUGAUGCCUAUAACCUGGUUUUCUUACAAGAUGCCCAGGUUAUCAUGGCCAUGCAGAAAAAUGCCCAAAAAUGAAUAGCUCAGGUCUCCCCAAGCCUUCCAGGACUCAUUCCAAGUCUUCGGAGGACCACUGCCUCCCCCUUUCAAAGAUGUGAUUGUAGCUCGAAAGUGAUAUAAAUUAUUUUCCCCACAUUAAAAAUAAAAAAUCAGAUUAAAUUAAUCAAUAAUAAAUUAAGGAUGAAAUCCAAAUUAAUCCUAAAUUUUGAUAAUAUAUAAAAAUUAUAAUUAUAAAUUAUAUAACCAAAUCAGAAUUGAAUUAACUUACUUGGCACUAGAAUUGCUAAAGACAGUAUAAUAAUUUAAUUGAUGAAAAGUCAAAGUCUUCUAAUAAAUCCAUAAAGAAUAUGAUAAUAUGAAAAUUAUAAUUGAAAAAUCAAAAUCAAUAGUGUAUUGGAAUAGUGUUCACACACUUAUAUAUCAAAAUUUGUGGUCCAAAAACUAUAGCACAAUAUCCUAAAUACAUCACAUUAAAUAAUAGCACAAAAAUAUUCAAUAAAUAAUUGAUUUCAUUCAUAAAUUUGUUAUUUUAAAAACUAAUAAUUUGGUUGAUGUUAACCUAUAUUUUAUAUAUAAUUUCGUCUUAUUUUAUUUUACUAGAAACAAUAUUUUUAUAAUAUUUAUUACAUUAAAUAUAUUAAAAGAUAUAAUUUUAUUAAAAAAAUUGAAUAAAAUUAAAAGGAUAAGUCUCGGCCUCUCCAAGUCUACAAGACUCAUUUCAAGUCCACCGAGGGCCUCAACCAUUGAGAGAUGUGAAAGUAGCUUGAGAGUGAUAUAAAUUAAUUAAAUUAGUUAAUAAUGAAUCAAGACUAAUCAUGAAUUAUGAUAAUAAUUAAAUAAAUUAUAAAAUUAAAUUAUACAAAUAACACUAAACCUUAGUUACUUUAUUGGUAAAAUAAAUAUAAUAUAAUAAUUAAAUUGAUGAAAAAUCAAAAUCAUCUAAUAAAUUCACAAAAAAUAUAUGAUCAUUAGUAUAUUAUAUUAGUAUCCACACACUUAUAUUUCAAAUCUAUCCUCCAAAAUUAUCAUCUCGAUAAACUAGCCGCAUAAAAUAAAAAUUUAACGAUAUUAGAUAUUUAGCUAUUUUCAUUAUAUAAUUUUUCCACACUAAAUAACAAAAUAUCUUUAUCAAAUUAUUAUUUAUGAAUUAAAUAUUCAAGUUAUAAUUCCAGCAUGCAGCGUAUAAAUAGAAGUGUGCAGUAUGAUAUCAGAUUCAUAACCCAGUUGAGGAGAAACAUGGCACACUCUGUAAAGCCUUCUCACCUUCUUCUCUUUGUUUUCUAUCUCUCUUAACUUGAAUACAUUCUUGCAACAACACAAGAGGGAGAAGCUCUUGUGAAAUGGAAGAAUAGCCUAGCCCCUUCUUCUUUUCUCGACUCUUGGUCACUCACCAAUCUCGAUGAUCUUUGUAACUGGACUGGCAUCACUUGUAACUCUGCAGGUUCAGUCUCUCAGAUCAACCUUUUCGAAAAACAACUUGAUGGAAUGCUGUCCGAGUUUGGUUUCACUUCAUUUCCGAAUCUCAACAAUCUCACCCUCGCAUACAACUUCUUCUCGGGUCCGAUACCACCGGCCAUUGAGAAUUUAACACAGCUUCGGUAUCUUGAUUUAAGCUUUAAUUCUCUCCAUGGUCCCAUUCCGUUCCAGGUUAGCCAUCUUCAGAGCUUGCUCAUCUUAAACCUGUCACAGAAUGCAUUGCAAGCUCCAAAUUGGUCCCAUUUCUCUCCCAUGCCUUUUUUGCGCAUCCUCAACCUCAUUAGCAAUCCUCUUGCGUCGAAAUUCCCAAAUUUUAUAUCCAACUCUCAUAGCCUGACUCACCUUAGCCUUAAUUUUAAUGAGUUUACUGGUGAUUUAGUACGUGAAUCAGUAUUUGCCAAUCUGCAUAAUCUUGAAUUGCUCAGUCUCGUUGAAAAUUCUUUUGAGGGGCCAUUUCCGCCGGAUAUAUUCAGGCUUUCCAAAUUAAAACAUCUUCACCUGUCAAGUAACAAAUUUUCAGGUUCAAUUUCCAAUGACAUAAGGUUGCUUUGUGAUCUUGAAUCCCUAUAUUUAGGCAACAAUUCCUUCGAAGGACCCCUUCCAUCAAAUAUAUUCAAGCUUUCAAAAUUAAAAAAUCUUGUUAUUGGGAGUAAUAAGUUUUCGGGUUCUGUUUCCAACGAUAUAGGUUUGCUUUCUGAGCUUGAAAGCCUCUAUCUUGACUCCAAUUUUUUUGAGGGGCCGCUUCCGUCAAAUAUAUUCAAGCUCUCCAAAUUAAGGAUUCUUUCCCUUUGGCAUAAUAACUUUUCAGGUUCUAUUUCUAAGGAUAUAGGUUUGCUUUCUGGACUUGAAACCCUCUUUCUUGACUCUAAUUUUUUUGAGGGUCCGCUUCCCCCGCAUAUAUUUAGGCUCUCCAAAUUAAGAGAUCUGGGUCUCUCAGACAAUAGAAAUUUAUUUGAAGGGAGUAUUCCUAUUGGACUGGGACUCUUGACUAACCUCAGGUACUUAGAUCUAUAUUCCAAUAAUCUCGGUGGUUAUAUUCCAUCUGACAUUGGAAACCUGAAGCUACUAGAAGUUCUUGAUCUCAGUUCUAAUCAAUUGACUGGACCGCUUUUAAAGAUUGUUUCUAAUCUCACAAAUCUUAUGUUUCUUGAUGUAAGACAAAAUAGUCUUAGUGGAAAUAUUCAGAGUGACUUGUGGAAAUAUAACGAUCAUCCAACUUUGGAAUUCAUCAAUUUAAGUGGGAACCAUUUUACGGGUAUAGUUUUUCUCUAUAAAUCUUUUCUUUUGUCAUAUGUAACUAAGCUAGUAAUCUGAUUAAUUGCAGUUUUACCAAAGUUUCAACAAUCUUGACAGGUGAGCUUCCAACAACAAUUUGCAAUGUCACUUCCCUUUCAAUUCUUGAUUUGUCAAAUAAUGGAUUAAGUGGUGCACUUCCAAACUGUUUCGGGAAUCUUGCAGAUAGAUUGCUUUUCAUUAAUCUUGCUAAUAAUCAGUUUCGAGGAACAAUACCAACUACUUUAUCCAAAAGUUGUCAGCUGACAUGUCUAAACAUGGAUAAUAAUGAGUUUGAAGGAUUGUUACCCCCAUCUUUGGCGAACUGUAAGCACUUGAGAAUUCUUGAUAUUGGCAACAAUAAAAUAGGUGGCACAUUUCCGUCAUUGCUUUAUGUACUUGGAGAGCUAGAAGUCCUUGUCUUGCGAUCAAAUAAACUCUGCGGUACAAUAAGUGCAAGGAGCAUAGAAGAUCCCUUCCCCAAGUUGCGGAUUGUGGAUCUGUCCAACAAUCAGUUCACAGGCCAUUUGCCAAUUCAAUACUUCAAGAAUAUGAAAUCAACUGAUAAUUUGUAUUGGUAUCGUAUUUCCACAGGAGAAUUAUUUUUCCAAUAUGAAGCAGCAGUCUCAUUAACUGUGAAGGGAAGAGAGUAUGAAGUAGCAAAUAACCUUCAUAUUUACACAGCCAUUGAUCUGUCGUGCAACAAAUUUCAGGGAGAAAUUCCAACGGUUACUGGAGAGCUUAGAUGGCUUGCAUUGCUCAAUUUAUCUCAUAAUAGUCUAACAGGACCUAUCCCAUCAUUGCUGAGAAAUAUGAAAGAACUCCAAUCUUUAGAUUUGUCCUCGAAUCAACUGACAGGGGCUAUUCCACCUCAGUUAUCUGCAUUGACAUUUCUAGAGGUCUUGAACCUCUCGAAAAACCAUCUUAGUGGAGAGAUUCCUCAGAAAGGACAGUUCAGCACAUUCAACAAUGAUUCUUAUCUAGGAAACUCCGCGUUAUGUGGAUCACCUUUGACGAAGAAAUGUGCAAACACAGCAUCACCUCCACAAGAAGUCGGAAAUGGUGAUGAAGAUGAUGCUGGAGAUGAAUUGACAUGGGAAGCAAUCGUGAUGGGAUAUGGAUGUGGACUGAUAUGUGGUUUGUGAGAUAUAUCGAAGUACUGCAACAGAAGUUGAUGAAAAGAUAUGCAUGAAGAAUGAUACUGGCCGAUCAAGACGAACUUGAAAGUUUGUUGUCCUUGUGGACAUUUCAGCUGAACCAGUAGUGUACUAUUCUCUUUGUGACUGCAUAAGUAUUUUGUAUUGUGUAAUGUUCUGUUUGGGCUUAAAUCAUAAUGAUUUUUCUUGCUUCAGGGGUAUUAAUAUAAAACCGUUUGGUCGGGACUCAUAAUGAUUUCUCUUGCUUCAGGGGUAUUAAUAUCAUCCUUGCUAUCUUGAACAAUGAUAAUGCAAAUUAAAAAGAAUGAAAAAACAAAAAUAUUGCAUCAAACACCUGUUGUACCAAGAUCCAUUAAUUUGCUUUCAUCUCUUACGCAACAAUUUAACAGCACUUCCACACUGUUUGAAAGAUUAUCAUAAAUUCGAGUUUUCCUCUCCAGCACCAAAUCCAAAUUAAUAUACAAUGCCACACAUUCCAGUCUCAGCUUCAGCUCCCAGGGUAGCAUUCAUUUAGCCAAGCACGACAGUGGCCGCUUACGUGCCUAACAAUAACAGUUGGGGAUUUGAGUGAACUUGCCUUGGUCCUGCCUUCAAAUGUCUGACAAUAACAGUUGGAUAUGUCGACAAAAAAAUUGUUCCUCACAGAGGAGCUAAUAGCAAUUGACUUCGAAUAAAUCCGACAGUUCUUUUCAUCCAGUUAUUAUUUCAGCAAUAUGUCUAGCAAAUAUGUAGUGCACUGGACACCAUACUACCAACACAAGUAGUAAAAGGAGAGACCAUUGUUUCGAAUGCUCGGAAAUUUGAACAGGGUUUUUUCCACCUGCCCCCUGACUUUUUACACAAACAGGUCAAGAAAAACAGAAGCCGGCUUCUGGAAAAAUGAAGCACUACUUUAUGAGUGACCAUUGUUUUGAAUGCUCGGAGAUGUGAAGUGGAUUUUUUCAGCCUGCCCCCAGACUUCUUUUUGUAAAACUAGAUUUCUUUAGCUCCGGUGUCUUAGUAUUGGAGAUUAUGAGUGACUGUAGAAAAGACUUUAAUAUGAGUGUGAGAUAUACCCCGGUGGAAACAGGACCUUGAUCCAAAGGGUCACGGGUUCAAACCUCACCUGAUCGGGUUCCACUCCACGCUCGGUCCACAUCUAUGCUGGAUUCAUAUUAAAAUGAUAAUGGAACACGGGCGUCCAUGGUUGGGGAUAUCAUAUUAAAAAGAUUAGCUGGGCACAGAUGAAUAUUUAUAUGGAUUUUAAAAACAAACUAUGACUUAAUAUAAGAAAAAUCAUUAUUUUUUAUUUUUCCGACUAAACAUUUGUUAGCCUUCUCUGGUGCCCAUCCAAAUCAUUCAGCGGGUUCUACUUUCAGCUCAUCACAAGAACAUCAUUCUGCAGGUACUUUCUUAUAUUGUUUGCCAGCGGUGACCGAGCCAGAAACUUUUUCGAGGAGGGGCCGGAAUAGAAAUAUUAUUUAAAUUUGAAAAUAUUAUAUAUCAUAUUGAAAAUAGUAUUAGUAACAAAAAUCCAUUUAUUUUAGGUUUCUAUGAGAAAACUCAGUCGUUUCAUUAAGAAAAUUUAAUUACUUAAUUACCAAACGGUUGAGGAUGAAGAUUUGAAAGAACGAGUUGCAACGGGGAGACUCAUAGACGCGACAGAAAAAAAUAGAAAAAGAUAUUGUUCAACAACCGAGUCUAUAUUAUUAAAAUUUAUGAUAAAUGAGAUAAUUUUAUUUUAUAAACUAACUAAAUACAUAUAAUAUAGUAUUAUAUGUAAUGCUACGUAAAAUUGGAUACAAGAUUUUGCACAAAAUGAUAUGAUAACUAAAGUGAAAUAUUUUAAUUGGUGCUAUUAAUGUAUAUAUACAUUUAUUACAAUUAAAACUUAACACAUAUUAUUAAUUUUGUGAAUAAAAUAUUUUUCUUAAUAAUAUAUAAGUAAAAAAAAUAAAAAUCUAGGAGGGGCUCAGGCCCCCUCUGGACCCCUCUAGCUCCGUCUGUAUACACCUAUCAUAUUAUUGACAGGUGGCUCUCUCAUAUUGCUCACAGGCGAACUCCUGCAUAUACUUUGUGAACCAAUCAUGACAAAAAUAUCAUCAUCCAAUCAAUUCGAUUAAUUAUUCUUUAAAUCAGUACAAAUAUUGUUAAAUAUAUGGAUGAUUAUCGUGUUUCCGCGAACCAAUCAUGAAAUGAAAUUACCUCUGUAUAAAUCCAUCGGAAAUAAGACAAUUAAUGGGGCCGUUUGGGCAAGCUUAAAAGAAGUGACUUCUUGCUUAAACUAGAGAAGUGGAGCAGAAGUGAGAAGUAAAUAAGUUAUUAAAGUGUUUGGAAAAGAAGCAGAAGCUGUGAGACAAAAGCUAGCAUUCUCAGCUUUUUAAAAGUGACUUCUUUACACAAACGGGUAAAAAAAGCAGAAGCCAGAAGCAGCUUCUGCUUCCGUUAAACAAACAGGCCCAAUAUCUCAAUCGAAUACACCCCGUGAGUUGUCAAACUCCUCGAAACGUAUUAAUCACUUUAGAAAUUUGUUCCACUGGCGCCAUUCAGUUCCAGAGUUGGUGGUAGGGGCCGUGCUUCUUGUGUUUCUUCUUUUCAUUAUUGACAUUGUCAUCUAGGUCCUUGCUUCUGGGCUUUGGAGAAGUAAACAAUGGAUCUAUUAGUCUUCCAUAUCGCUGAUACGCGCUAACGCGCAUUAUAGUGGAUUGAUCUUUAUUAGUGAUUUCUGUGGAGAUGCAUAAUCAUUAUAAGCUCCAAUAUAAAAUAAACCUAAUUUAAAGUUAGUAUGGGCAUUUGUGUUGAUAAUUUACGCAAUGUUAACAGGGAUUGCUCCCAAGUCUUGGACGGAUUCUUUCCAAGUCUUCUGAGGACCUAUUUGCACACUAAUUUGUCGCCAACUAAAAAUUCAACGAUAUUGCUAGCUCCCUCUACUAAUUUUUUGCGGGACGUUUUUUACUUUUAACACAUAUCUUUAGAUAGAAUUAGUAUUGUAAAAAGCGGGAAUCAGACUUAAUCGGUGAAGUCACAGAACAACGAUUAAUCGAUGAUUAAUUGGAUUGAUUGGGUAUCAAUCGGAUGAUUAAUGAAAUAAUCGGAUAUUUAAUCCGUUCGACGAGUUACGGAACAGGGAUUAAUCGUGAUUAAUCACCGACUUUUAGAACAGAGGAUAGGAUAAUAAAAUUAUUAUUUUUGAUUAUUUUUUUUGUGAAUAAAAAUUUUGAUUAUAUAUUUUUAUUAAAAAAGAAUUUAAAAUAAUAUUUUUAACUAACCGGUCCAAACAGCUAAAAGUGUGUGCCCAAGCGUCAUAUAAAAACGGAGGGAGCGAGCAUGUGCUGACUAACGGUUCAACUAACAGUUUACAAGUACUCCAUCUGUCCCAUUUAGUCCUAUUUAAUUAUAUACGUUUUUUUUUAACUGUUUGACACGCACUUCAAUGCUCUUCUAAAAUAUGGUUCUAUAACUUAUUUUUAAAAUUUUCUUUUUCUGAAUAAAAAUAUAACAUUCAAACUUUUAUUCAGAAAAAAAUAUCGUAAAAAUAAGUUAUAGAAUUAUAUUUUAUAAGAGCAUUAAAGUCCAUGUCGCGUCCCCGUCUUCUGAUGUAUAAAUUUGCGCAAUGUUAACGGGGAUUGCUCAUUUGCUCUCAAGUCUUGGACGGACCAAGUCUUCUAGGACCCAUCUGCACACUAAUUUGUCUGCCAACUAAAAAAUCAACGAUAUUGCUGCCUCUGCUAUUUUUUACCAGGACGUUUUUUACUUUUAACACAUGUUUAGAUAGGAUAAUAAAUAUUAUUAUUAUUGAUUAAUUUUUUUGUGAAUAAAAAUUUUGAAUAUAUAUUUUUAUCAAAAAAAGAAAAUUUUAAAAAUAAUAUUUUUAAGGGAAAUUAUUAAUGGUACUAUUGUGCUACUGGCUUUUCUAAAUGGUACUAUUUUGGUGUUUUCGACUUACAUGCAUUAUCACUUCCAUUAACGAUACUACCAUUCCGUCCCUCAAAACGUUAAAACCAUUAGUUGACCGUAUUUAUUUUGUAUUUUCCUUGUAAAAAAAACAAAAGAAUACAACUAAUAUUUGUAUUUUUUGUUUGUGUUCAAAUCGUCGAGAUAUGGAAGAGGUUAUCAGAAUUUUAGAAUUGAUUCGAUGUCCUUCAGAAAGUCAGGGGGAAACGGAAUGAGAUACGAGUUUUGAACAAGAAUCCAGUUUAGUUGUUGUUUAUCUUGAAAAACAGAUUUGGAAGUCAUAUAUUUUCAGCCUUUGGCUUCAUGUAUUUCUGUCUCAUCAUUCCCAGAUACUUGCUGAGGUUUAUAGUCACUGUUUAUUAAAUGUUGUCGUACAUUUUCCUGUAUUAUGCACCCAUGUGGCGCCUGUGUUUUGCAUGUCAUGCACAAUUUGCUCAACUACAUACAGGUCACAGGAUGAGUGCAUGUGCCAAAGGGAUUAGUGCAUUGAUCUGUGUAGUGUGAGGACACUGUGAUACAAGGCACAAUUUCUCAGAUUUCUUCUGUCAACACCACUCCCAUCCAUAGCUCCCACCUUUUCUCUCUCAAUCUCAUGUUUCUCUCUUUCUCUCGCAGCUCCGCCGCCACCACUACAUCAGUCUUCAAGAACUCAAGAAAAAAUAUGGAUAUCAGUUAUAUUUUUUGUGUUUUUUAAAGAAGUAUAUGAAAUAAAUAUAGUCAACUAAUGUUUUUAACGUUUUGAUGGACCGAAUGGUAGUAUCAUUAACGGAUCAUAAACUGAGUGGUACCACUUGUAAGUAAAAACCAGUGUUGUAAAAAGCGGGAAUCGGAUUUAAUCGGUGAAGUCACGGAACAAAGAUUAAUCGGAGAUUAAUCGGACUAAUCGGUGAUUAAUCGGAUAUUUAAUCAGUUCGGCGAGCUACGGAACAGGGAUUAAUCGGUCGUGAUUAAUCACCGACUUUUAGAACAGAGGUAAAAACACGAAAUGGUAUUAUUCAUAAAAGCCAAUACCACGAUGGUACCAUUAAUAAUUUCCCUAUUUUUAAUUACCGAGUCCAAAUAUUUAAACGUGUGUGCCCAAAAUUAAAGCCGCAUAUAAAAAAACGGAGGGAGCAUGUACUAACCGUUUCCAUAACAGUUUACAAGUAUAAGUUAUACUCCCUCUCAAUUUUUUUAUUUUUUUAUAUGACGUUUUGAUCUUGGGCACACAUUAUUAAGUGUUUUGACCGGAUAGUUAAAAAUAUUAUUAUUUAAAUUUUCUUUUCUGAAUAAAAAUAUAUAACCAAAAAUUUUAUUCACAAAAAUUUUUAGUGAUUUUUUCGUGAAUACCUAAGGCCAAUUUUUCAAAUAUUUUGUAAAAAUACCAAUUUUUUGAAAAUAUUUGCAAAGAUAAUGUAUUCAACCACAUGCAACCAUACUUAUAACCAGAUGUAACCAUAAUUGCAACCUCUGCGGGACCAAUUAACUGAAUUUGUAUUUGGUUGCACUAGUUAGUAUUUUCUUAAAGUUAGUAUUUUUGUAAAUAUUUUUAAAAAAAAGUAAAAUCGCAAAAAAAAAAAUCGAAAAAAUGGUUUGAUAAAUUUCUAAAUAUUUAAUCACAGAACAAUAACUUUUACAAUCCGAUCAACUCAUUUAAAAAUGUGUGUCAAAAGUAAAAAUGUCAUAUAUAUAUAUAUCAUAUAAAUGUCAUAUAAAUUUAAAACAAAGGGAUNCAUAUAAAUGUCAUAUAAAUUUAAAACAAAGGGAUAUAUAUUUUUUAAUAAAAUAUACUCCCUCUAUCCCAAAUAAGUGUCAGUGACAUUUUGCAAAAAUAGCUUGGGACAAUAGAUUUUUUUGCCACUCAACUUAAUGUGUUUUUAGAAAUUCGCCACCCAACUAAUUUUUUUUUCCUUUUACUCACUAAUGUUAGGUUUGGAUUUUUUUUAGCCACCAACUUAGGUUCGGAUUUGAUUACUAGUAUUAUGAUAAUUUUAUUUAUCACUAAACUUACUGCGUCUUUAGGAAUUAACCACUGAACUAUAAUUUUUUUAUUUUACUCACUAAUGUUAGGUUCAUUUUUUUUGUCACUGAAGUUAGGUUCGGAUUUGAUUAUUAGCAUUAUAUUAAUUAUGUGUAACAUUAUUAAAAUAUAGUGGUCUAUAAUAUUUUGAUGAUUUGGUAUAUGUCUGUAUCUUUAUAUAUAGUACUUUUUAUGUCUCCAAUGUCGUUUAACUUGAGUGGUAAGAAUUUUACACGCAUUUUAUGGCUUUUAAAAGAUGUAGUUUCAUAAAUAAUUUUAUUUUUUUCUUCCGAAUAAAAAUUCAGCGUUUUACACACAAAAAAAUAACAAAAAAAAGUUAUGAAGCUAUGUUUUAUAAGAGUCUUAAAAUACGUGCUAAGCAGUAGAAAAAACUGUAAACUAAUGAGAGGGACAUGUAGUAAUAAUAAUAAAAUGAUGCAUUAUAGAGGACAAUCAUCGAAAAUUAAGUUAACCUCUCUAUUUAUUUAUCUUGAAAAUUGUAGUAAAAUAAAGUUAUUAAAAUUUAUGAAGAUAAAUUUGAGAGAGAUCUUGGACUGAGCUAGUCAAUUGAAACUUUAAUAGCGAAAGAUGAUGCAUCAUAUCAAUCAAUUACACUUUAUCUUCUUAUCAUCAGGGAGGGUGAAUUGUUUGAAGUCAUUGAUUUCAUAUUCAUGAUUUAUUGAAUUUUAGAAUUCUAAUUACGAUUUUUCCUGGUUUUAAUUUUUCAUCGGCUCAUUUUAUAUUAUUUUUGUUAUAUAUAAGGAUAUAAACAUACGACACAUCAUCAAAAUAUUACAUACUAUCACUAUGUAUAAAUGAUGCGACAAAAAUUAUCAUAAUGCUAGUAAUUAAAUCCGAACCUGAGUAGUGGCUAAAAAAAAAUCCAAACCUAAUAUUAAUGGUAAAAGGAAAAAAAAAAUAGUUAGGUGGCAAGUUUCUAAAAACACUAUAAAUUGAGUGGCAAAAAAAAUCUAUUUUCCAAACAUAGCUUGGGGUAAUAACAAAACCUUAAUCAACGCAAGCACAGCAGACCGCAGGCAUAAGGCUUAUAAAUAGAAGUGCAGUAUUGUGUUGAUGGUCAAGUUGAGUGGAAAUAUGGUACACUUUGUAAAGCCUUGUUAUCCUCUUCUCUUUGUUUUCUUUCUCUCAUUACUUCAAUCCAUUCUAACAACACUACCUGAAUCCAGACGAGAGGGAGAAGCUCUUGUGAAAUGGAAGAAUAGCCUAGCCCCGUCUUCUUUUCUCGACUCUUGGUCACUCACUGAUCUCGAUAAUCUUUGUAACUGGACUGGCAUUACUUGUAACUCUGCAGGUUCAGUCUCGGAGAUUAACCUUUGUGAGAAACAACUUGAUGGAAUGCUGUCCGAGUUUGGUUUCACUUCAUUUCCAGAUCUCAACUAUCUCACCCUCGCAGACAACUUCUUCUCGGGUCCGAUACCAUCAGCCAUUGAGAAUCUAACACAGCUUCAAUAUCUUGAUUUAAGCAUGAAUAGUCUCAAUGGUCCCAUUCCUUUCCAGGUUAGCCAUAUUCAGAGCUUGCUCAUCUUAAACCUGUCACACAAUGCAUUGCAAUCUCCAAAUUGGUCCCAUUGCUCUCCCAUGCCUGUCUUGCGCAUCCUCGACCUUAGUUUUAAUAAUCUUGUGUCGAAAUUCCCAGAAUUUAUAUCCAAUUCUCAUAGCCUGACUCACCUUAACCUUUCAGAUAACAAGUUUACUGGUGAUCUUGUGCGUGAAUUUACCAAUCUACAAAAUCUUGAAACCCUCUACCUUCAAGAUAAUUCUUUUGAGGGGCCGUUUCCGCCUGAUAUAGUCCAGCUUUCCAAAUUAAAACGUCUCGCCCUGUUAGGUAACAAAUUUUCAGGUUCAAUUCCCAAUGACAUAAGGUUGCUUUGUGUUCUUGAAUACCUAUAUUUAGGCAACAAUUCCUUUGAAGGACCACUUCCACCAAAUAUAUUCACGCUUUCAAAAUUAAAAUUACUUGUUCUUUGGGGUAAUAAGUUUUCAGGUUCUAUUUCCAAUGAUAUAGGUUUGCUUUCUGAGCUUGAAACCCUCGUUCUUGACUCUAAUUAUUUUGAGGGGCCACUUCCGCCAAAUAUAUUCAAGCUCUCUAAAUUAAAGGUUUUUUCCCUUGUGUACAAUAACUUUUCAGGUUCUGUUUCCAAUGAUAUAGGUUUGCUUUCUGAGCUUGAAUAUCUCCGUAUUGGCUGCAAUUCUUUCGAGGGACCGUUGCCAACAAAUAUAUUCAAGCUUUCCAAAUUAAGUAAACUUGACCUAUCAAAUAAUAGUAAUUUUUUUGAAGGAAGUAUUCUUAUUGGAUUGGGACUCUUGACUAACCUCAGCUACUUAGAUCUAGAUUCCAAUAAUCUCAGUGGCUAUAUUCCAUCUGAGAUUGGAAACCUGAAGCUACUAGUAUUUCUCGAUCUUAGUUCUAAUCAAUUGACUGGAUCGCUUUCAAAGAUCUUUUCUAAUCUCACAAAUCUUAUAUAUCUUCAUGUAUAUGAUAAUAGUCUUAGUGGAAAUAUUCAGAGUGACUUGUGGAAAAACUCUGUAUCCUUGCGUUUCGUUGAUCUUGCAAAUAAUUAUUUGUCUGGAAACAUCCCUAAGGAAUAUAACGAUCAUCCAACUUUGGAAUACAUUAAUUUAAGUUGGAACCAUUUUACAGGUAUAUUUUCUCUAUAUAUCUUUUCCUUUUCUNCUCAUAUGUAACUAAGCUUGAUUAUUGCAAUUUUACCUAAGUUUCAACAAUCUUGACAGGUGAGCUUCCAACAACAAUUUGCAAUGUCACUUCCCUCUCGGUUCUUGUUUUGUCAAAGAAUGGAUUAAGUGGUCCACUUCCAAAUUGUUUCGGAAAUCUUGCUGAUAGAUUGCUUUCCAUUAAUCUUGCUAAUAAUCAGUUCCGAGGAACAAUACCAACUACUUUCUCCAGCAGUUGUCAGCUGACAUAUCUAAACAUGGAUGAUAAUGAGUUUGAAGGAAUGUUGCCUCAAUCUUUGGCGAAAUGUAAGCACUUGAAAAUUCUUGAUAUUGGCAAUAACAAAAUAGGUGGUAUAUUUCCGUCAUGGCUUUAUGUACUUGGAGAGCUAGAAGUCCUUGUCUUGCGAUCAAAUAAACUCUAUGGUACAAUAAGUGGAAGGAGCAUAGAAGAUCCGUUCCCCAAGUUGCGGAUUGUGGAUCUGUCCAACAAUCAAUUCACCGGCCAGUUGCCAAUUCAAUACUUUAAGAAUAUGAAAUCAACUGAUAAUUUGUAUCGUUAUCGGAAUUCCACAGGACCAUUAUCUUUCUCUUAUGAAGCAGCAGUCUCAUUAACUGUGAAGGGAACAGAGUACGAGGUAGCAAAGAACCUUCAUAUUUACACAGCCAUUGACCUGUCAUGCAACAAAUUUCAGGGAGAAAUUCCAAAGGUUACUGGAGAGCUUAGAUGGCUUGCAUUGCUGAAUUUAUCUCAUAAUAGUCUGACAGGACCUAUCCCAUCCUUGCUGAAAAAUAUGAAAGAACUCCAAUCUUUAGAUUUGUCCUCAAAUCAACUGACAGGGGCUAUUCCACCUCAGUUAACUGCAUUGACAUUUCUGGAGGUCUUCAACCUCUCGGGAAACCAUCUUAGUGGAGAGAUUCCUCAGAAAGGACAGUUCAGCACAUUUAACAAUGAUUCUUAUCUAGGAAACUCCGCGUUAUGUGGAUCACCUUUGACAAAGAAAUGUGCAAACACAGCAUCACCUCCACAAGAAGUCGGAAAUGGUGAUGAAGAUGAUGCUGGUGAUGAAUGGACAUGGGAAGCAAUCGUGAUGGGAUAUGGAUGUGGACUGAUAUGUGGAUUGUCAUCUGCGUACAUUGUUCUCAAACUAGGAAAGCCUUGGUGGUUUGUGAGAUAUAUCGAAGUGCUGCAACUGAAGUUGAUGAAAAGAUAUGCUUGAAAAAUGGUACUGGCCGAUCAAGACGAACUUGAAAGUUGUUGUCCUUGUGGACAUUUCUGAACCAGUAGUGUACUAGCUGCAUAAGUAUUUGGUAUUAUGUAAUAAUCCGUUUGGUCAGGACUCAUAAUGAUUUCUCUUGCUUCAGGGGUAUUAAUAUUAACCUUGCUAGUUAAUUCAAAUUAAAACAAAUAUAAAAUCAAAAAAUUUGCAUCAAACACCUGUUAUACCAACAUCCAUUAAUUUGCUUUCAUCUCUUACGUAACAAUUUAACAGCGAUUCCACACUGUUUUAGGCAUGGAGAUUACACAAAGAAGGCAAGUCCAUGGACUAAUAUACGAACAAUUCAUAUUGGUCUUCCAUCUGUUCAACCGUCUCCCGAAGAUAGGCCAAAAAUGUCAUCUGUGGUUCUUAUCUUUGUCAGUAAAGGAGAAUCUCUGAUGCCUAUACAACCUGGUUUUCUUACCGAAAGGAAUGUAGGUGAAACCAGGGGCAUAAAAUGAAUCGGGACUAAAAUCUGCUAAAAUGAUAAUUAUUUACUCAUCAUUCGAGAUUAGUCGGGCUCGAAUGAAGAUUUAUAUGGAUUUUAAGAACAAACUAUGACUAAAUAUGAAAAAAUCAUUAAUUUUUCCGACUCAAUAUUUUUAGCCUCCCCCGGCCCUGGGUGAAACCAUAAGCUUCUCUGGUGCACAUCCAAAUCAUUCAGCUGGUUCUACAUUCAGCUCACCCACAGGAACAUCAUUCUGCAGGUACUCUCUUAUCUGUACUUUCUUAUAUUGUAUGCCAGAAAAUUUAAUAUCGACAAACUGCACAAUACACCUCGAUCUCAUAUUAUUGACAGGUGAGCUCCUCUCAUAAUGCUCACAGGCGAACUCCUGCAUAUAUACUUUGUGAUGUCAUUGAUGAUCGAUAGGCUUGAAAAAAAAUUAUGACAAAGAUUCAUAAAAUAUCUACUUCCAUCCUAAUUCAGUAUUCAAUAUUAUUCAUUCCGUAUCAUCAUCCAAUCAAUUCUAAUAGUUCUUCUUUAAAUCAGUAUAAAUAUUGUUAAAUAUAUUGAUGAUGGUUGUCUUUCCGCGAACCAAUCAUAAAAUUACCUCUGUAUAAAUCCAUCGGAAAUAAGACAGUUAAUAUCCCAAUCGAAUACACCCCUGUCAGUUGUCAAACUCCUCGAAACGUAUUAAUCACUUUAGAAAAUUUGUUCCACUGGCGCUAGUCAGUCCCAGAGUUGGUGGUGGGUGCUUCUGGGCUUUCGAAAAGCACCCAUUUACUCCAUUGUUUAGAGAAGUAAAACCCCACCUUCCGCUCAUUUGAUUGAUCAGCUGAAUUAGGCAGAGUUUACAUGGUCAUGAUCAUAGUCUCCCAUUUCCCAGAUACGCGCAUUAUAGUGGAUUUAUCUUUAUCAGUAAUUUCUGUGGAGAUGCAUAAUCAUUAUAAACUCCAAUAUAAAAAUUUAAAGUUGGUAUGGGCAUUUGUGUUGAUAAUUUGCGCAAUGUUAACAGGAAUUGCUCCCAAGUCUUGGACGGACUCUUUCAAAGUCUUCUGAGGACCCAUCUGCACACUAAUUUGUCUCCCAACUAAAAAAUCAACAAUAUGUUACUCCCUCCGUUUUUCUUAAACGAGGUUAAAAUUUUUGACACAAGAUGGGUUGACAGUAUAAUAAAAAUUUUUGUGAAUAAAAUUUUUUUUAUUUAGAAAGAUAAUCUUGAAAAUAAUAUUAUUAACUAAGUUAAAUCACUUAAAAGUGUAUGUCCAAAAAUUAAAGCGGCAUAUAAAAAAAAGGGAGGGAGCAUGUACUAACUGUUUCCAUAACAGUUUACAAGUAUAAGUUAUACUCCCUCUCUAUUUUUUUAUAUGACGGUUUGAUUUUGGGCACACAUUUUUAAGUGUUUUGACCAGAUAAUUAAAAGGGGUUUUCUCAUAAAUACCUAAGUCUAAAAUUAUUUUUACGAAAAUAUUAUAUCUUUUUUUAAAUAUUUUGCAAAAAUACCAAACUUUGUAAAUAUUUACAAAAAUACGGUAUGCAACCCGUUGCAACCACAUGCAACCUUACUUGCAACCAUAUUUGCAACCCCUGCGGGGUCAAUUAACUGAAAUUGCAUCUGGUUGCGUUUAGUUGCAGACCGUAUUUUUGCAAAUAUUUUCUAAAAAGUUAGUAUAUUUGCAAUUUUUUUAAAAAUAUAAGAAAAUCGCAAAAAUUAUAACAAAGCUUCAAGAUUUUUAACAGGUGAGCUUCCACUAAAAAUUUGCAAAGUCACUUCCCUUUCGCGUCUCAUUAUGUCAGAUAUUGGUCAAGUGGUGCACUUCCACAGUGUUUGGGGAACCUUUCUUUGCUUGGUUUCAAUAAUCUUGCUAAUAAUCAAUUUCAAGGACCAAUACCAACGACUGUCCAAGACUUGUCUGUGCAUAUCUAAACAUCCAUAACAAUCACUUUGAAGGUUUGUUGCUCCAAUCUUUGGCAAACUGUAAACACUUACAAAUUCUUGAUAUUGGAAACAACAAAAUAGGUGGUACAUUUCCGUCAUGGCUAUUUACUGUUGGAGAGCUAGAUGUCCUAGUUAGGACGGUAUUUCGACUAGAGCAAGCCGAGUUUUGAGCGGAGCCCAAUUCGAGCCAAGUUUAAUCGAGUCGAGCCGAGUCAGUUCGUUUGGCUAAUCGAGCCUAAAACUCUGUCCGAACUCGACUCGUUUAAUUUCACGAGUUGAGUCAAGCCAGCUCAUUUAGCUAAACGAGUUGGUUUUAACGAGUUAAACGAGUGAGCUCGUAUAAUUUUAACUUAAUCGAGCCUGGAUCUCUAUCCGAACUAUUGGCUCGUGUAAUUUCGCGAGUCGAAUCGAGCCGGCUCGUUUUAUUAAACAAACCGAAAUUUUUGCCCAAAUUUUGCUCGUUUAACAAGCCGAUCUGAACCUAGUUAAAUGAGUUCGAGCUAGUCGAGCUCGCAGCUUGCGAGCUCGCCGGACAGCUCUAGUACUAGUCUUGCGAUCAAAUAGGUUUCACGGUAUAGAAAGUGGAAGGAACACAAGGCAUCUGUACUUUCUUGUACUGUAUGCCACUUUGACAGUAAAAUUUAUACUCCCUCCGUCCGAAUGAAUUGUAUACAGUUUACUUUUUGGGACGUCCCAUCAAUUGUAUACAUUCCUAAAGUAGUAAACUUUUAUAAUAUAAAACAUCAUUAAACCAACUACUUUCUUCCCCUAUCUCCAUUCUAUAAUAAUAUAAACACUAUUACACCCACUACUUUCCUCCACUAUCUCAAAUUUAUUAUUAAAUAUAAAUGGGUCCCACCACUAUACUCACUUUUCAUCCAACUUUACUCAUUUCUAAUAAAAUUUCUUGGUCUCCGUGUCCCAGCCAUUUGUAUACAAAUGACUGGGACGGAGGGAGUAUCAACAAACUGCACGAUUAAAUCCUCGUACAAUUGACAGGUGAACUCCUGCAUAUGUUCUGAACUAUUACGUACUAUAUUAUGCAAGCUGUUUGCAACUUUCAUCAAAAUUUUCAAACAUUUCUUAAUAUGUUUUUUCAAAAAAUUCUCGGGCCCUCUUAAGGCCUAUUAUUAUUGCAACUCUCACGUUAUGGACCACUAUGUAUUUUACAAGCACGACGAAUCAUGUGGUCAUUAUGGACUCCCCAAGCCUUCGAGGACUCACUCCAGGUCUUAGGAGGACCACUGCCUAGCUCACCCUUUCGGAGUGAUGUAAAUUAUUUUCUAGACACUAAAAAUAAGUAUUCAGAUUAAUCAUUACAAAAUUAAGGAUAUAAAAUCAGAAUAAAUCCUAAACUUUGAUGAUACAAAAAAAUUAUAAUUGUAAAUUAUACAAUCAAAUUAAAAUCGAAUUAACUUCCCUCACACUUAAAAUUUAUAGCGAUCAAAUCAAAAUCGAAUUAACUUUCCUAUUACUAAAAUAUAAUUACAAUAUUAUUAGAUAAAGAGAAUAUAUAAUAAUCAAGAGAAAAUAGAUUUUUUUUUGCCACUCAACUUAUCGUGUUUUAAGAAACUUACCACCCAACUAAAUUUUUUUUCCUUUUGCUCACUAAUGUUAGGUUUGGAUUUGUUUUUAGCCACCAACUAAGGUUCGGAUUUGAUUACCAGCAUUAUGAUAAUUUUUUUUGUCACUAAACUUAUUGCGUCUUUAGAAACUAACCACUCAACUAAAUUUUUUUUUAUUUUACUCACUAAUGUUAGGUUCAGUUUUUUUUUGUCACUGAAGUUAGGUUCGGAUUUGAUUAUUAGCAUUACAUUAAUUCUGUGUAGCAUUUUUAAAAUAUGGUAGUACUCUGUGAUAUUUAGAUGAUUUGAUAUAUGUCUGUAUUUUUAUAUAUAGUAUAUUUUAUGUCUCCAAGAUCAUUUACCUUGGGUCAUAAGAAUUUUACACGCAUUAUAUGACUUUUAAAAGAUGUAGUGUCAUAAAUAAUUUUAUUUUUUUUUCCGAAUUAAAAUUCAGCAUUUGAAUUUUACACACACAAAAAUCGCAAGAAUAAGUUAUGAAAUUAUGCUUUAUAAGAGUCUUAAAAUACGUGCUAAACGGUAGAAAAAACGGUGAAAUAAUGAGAGGUACAUAGGAGUAAUAAUAACAUAAAAUGAUGCACAAGUUAGUAUAUUGGACUAAUAUUCACGCAUUUAUAUACGAGAAUAUAUGGUCCACAAGUUAGUGCACAAUGUCCAAGAAUCUUUAUCAAAGUAACACGGCAAGCAUGCAGCAUAUAAAUAAGAGUGGGCAGUAUGGUAUUGCAUUCAUAACCCACUUGAGGAGAAAUAUGGCACACUUCCUAAAGCCUUCUCACCUUCUUCUCUUUGUUUUCUCUCUCUCGUUACUUCAAUCCAUUCUACCAACAAGACCAGAGGGAGAAGCUCUUGUGAAAUGGAAGAAUAGCCUAGCCCCUUCUUCUUUUCUCGAUUCUUGGUCACUCACCAAUCUCGAUGAUCUUUGUAACUGGACUGGCAUUACUUGUAACUCUGCAGGUUCAGUCUCUGAGAUUAACCUUUAUGAGAAACAACUUGAUGGAAUGCUGUCCGAGUUUGGCUUCACUUCAUUUCCGAAUCUCAACAAUCUCACCCUCGCAUACAACUUCUUCUCGGGUCCAAUUCCACCAGCCAUUGAGAAUUUAACACAGCUUCAAUAUCUUGAUUUAAGCAUCAAUAGUCUCGAUGGUCCCAUUCCGUUCCAGGUUAGCCAUCUUCAGAGGUUGCUCGUCUUAAACCUGUCACAGAAUGCAUUGCAAGCUCCAAAUUGGUCCAAAUUCUCCCCCAUGCCCUUUUUGUGCAUCCUCAACCUCAGUAGCAAUCCUCUUGCGUCGACAUUCCCAAAUUUCAUAUCCAAUUCUCAUGGCCUGACUCACCUCAGCCUUGAUCAAAACGAGUUUACAGGUGAUUUAGCGCGUGAAUCAAUAUUUGCCAAUCUGCAUAAUCUUGAAGUCCUCAGUCUUGUUGGCAAUUCUUUUGAGGGGGCCAUUUCCGCCAAAUAUAUUCAAGCUUUCCAAAUUAAAACAUCUUAGCCUGUCAGAUAACAAACUUUCAGGUUCAAUUCCCAAUGACAUAAGGUUGCUUUGUGAUCUUGAAUACCUAUAUUUAGGCAACAAUUCCUUUGAAGGACCGCUUCCACCAAAUAUAUUCAAGCUUUCAAAAUUAAAACAUCUUAUUCUUUGGGGUAAUAAGUUUUCAGGUUCUGUUUCCAACGAUAUAGGUUUGCUUUCUGAGCUUGAAAGCCUCUAUCUUGACUCCAAUUUUUUUGAGGGGCCGCUUCCGCCAAAUUUAUUCAAGCUCUCCAAACUAAAGAUUCUUUUCCUUUAUGAGAAUAACUUUUCAGGUUUUAUUUCUAAGGAUAUAGGUUUGCUUUUUGAACUUGAAACCCUCUAUCUUGACUCUAAUUUUUUUGAGGGGCCGCUUCCCCCACAUGUAUUUAGGCUCUCCAAAUUAAGAGAUCUGGGUCUCUCAGACAAUAGAAAUUUAUUUGAAGGAAGUAUUCCUAUUGGACUGGGACUCUUGACUAACCUCAGAUACUUGCGUCUAUCUUCCAAUAAUCUCGGUGGCUAUAUUCCAUCUGACAUUGGAAACCUGAAGCAACUAGAACUUCUUGAUCUCGGUUCUAAUCAAUUGACUGGACCGCUUUCAAAGAUCGUUUCUAAUCUCACAAAUCUUAUAUAUCUUGAUGUGAGUUAUAAUAGUCUUAGUGGAAAUAUUCAGAGUGACUGGUGGAAAAACUCUGUAUCCUUACGUUACAUUGAUUUUGAAAAUAAUUAUUUGUCUGGGAACAUUCCUAAGGAAUAUAACGAUCAUCCAACUUUGGAAUACAUCAAUUUAGGUGGGAACCAUUUUACAGGUAUAUUUUCUCUAUAUAUCUUUUCCUUUUGUCAUAUGUAAAUAAGCUAGUAAUCUGGUUAUUGUAGUUUUACCAAAGUUUCAACAAUCUUGACAGGUGAGCUUCCAACAACAAUUUGCAAUGCCACUUCCCUUUCGGUUCUUGUUUUGUCAAAUAAUGGAUUAAGUGGUGCACUUCCAAAAUGUUUCGGGAAUCUUGCUGAUGGAUUGCUUUACAUUAAUCUUGCUAAUAAUCAGUUUCGAGGAACAAUACCAACUACUUUCUCCAGGAGUUGUCGGUUGACAUAUCUAAACAUGGAUAAUAAUGAGUUUGAAGGAUUGUUGCCCCCAUCUUUGGCGAACUGUAAGCACUUGAAAAUUCUUGAUAUAGGCAAUAAUAAAAUAGGUGGUACAUUUCCGUCAUGGCUUUAUGCACUUGGAGAGCUAGAAGUUCUUGUCUUGCGAUCAAAUAAACUCUAUGGUACGAUAAGUGGAAGGAGCAUAGAAGAUCCCUUCCCAAAGUUGCGGAUUGUGGAUCUGUCCCACAAUCAAUUGACAGGCUAUUUGCCAAUUCAAUACUUUAAGAAUAUGAAAUCAACUGAUGAUUUGUAUAGUUUCCGGAAUUCCACAGGAACCGCAUCUAUCUCUUAUGAAGCAUCGGUCUCAUUAACCGUGAAGGGAACAGAGUAUGAAGUAGCAAAUAACCUUCAUAUUUACACAGCCAUUGAUCUAUCGUGCAACAAAUUUCAGGGACAAAUUCCAAAGGUUACUGGAGAGCUUAAAUGGCUGGCAUUGCUCAACUUAUCUCAUAAUAGUCUAACAGGACCUAUCCCGUCAUUGCUGAGAAAUAUGAAAGAACUCCAGUCUUUAGAUUUGUCUUCAAAUCAACUAACAGGGGCUAUUCCACCUCAGUUAACUGCACUGACAUUUCUAGAGGUCUUGAACUUCUCGGGAAACCAUCUUAGUGGAGAGAUUCCUCAGAAAGGACAGUUCAGCACAUUCAACAAUGAUUCCUAUCUAGGAAACUCUGCGUUAUGUGGAUCACCUUUGACGAAGAAAUGUGUAAACACUGUAUCACCUCCUCAGGAAGUCGAAAAUGGUGAUGAAGAUGAUGCUGGUGAUGAAUUGACAUGGGAAGCAAUCGUGAUGGGAUAUGGAUGUGGACUGAUAUGUGGAUUGUCAUCUGCGUACAUUGUUCUCAAACUAGGAAAGCCUUGGUGGUUUGUGAGAUAUAUCGAAGUACUGCAACUGAAGUUGAUGAAAAGAUAUGCAUGAAGAAAGGUACUGGUAGAUCAAGAUGAACUUGAAAGUUGUUGUCCUGGUAGACAUUUCUGAACCAGUAGUAUACUAGCUGUGUAAGUAUUUGGUAUUAUGUAAUAAUCCGUUUGGUCGGGACUCAAAAUGAUUUCUCUUGCUUCAGGGGUAUUAAUAUUAACCUUGCUAUCUUGAUCAAUGUUAAUGCAAAUUAAAAAGAAUAUAAAAGCAAAAAAUUUGCAUCAAACACCUGUUGUACCACAGGCUUCCGACUCAAUAUUUGUUAGCCUCCCGUGCCCUGUGUGAAACCAUAAGCUUCUCUGGUGAAUAUCCAAAUCAUUCAGCUGGUUCUACUUUCAGCUCACCGCAGGAACAUCAUUCUGCAGGUACUCUCUUAUCUGUACUUUCUUAUAUUGUAUGCCAGAAAAUUUAAUAUCGACAAACUGCACAAUACACCUCGAUCUCAUAUUAUUGACAGGUGAGCUCCUCUCAUAAUGCUCACAGGCGAACUCCUGCAUAUACUUUGUGAUGUCAUUGAUGAUCGAUAGACUUGAAAAAAAAUUAUGACAAAGAUUCAUAAAAUAUCUACUUCCAUCCUAAUUCAGUAUUCAAUAUUAUGCAUUCCGUAUCAUCAUCCAAUCAAUUCUAAUAGUUCUUCUUUAAAUCAGGACAAAUAUUGUUAAAUACAUGGAUGAUGGUUGUCUUUCCGCGAACCAAUCAUGAAAUUACCUCUGUUUAAAUCCGUCGAAAAUAAGAAAAUUAAUAUCCCAAUCGAAUACACCCCGUGAGUUGUCAAACUCCUCGAAACAUAUUAAUCACUUUAGAAAAUUUCAACAAUCUUGACAGGUGAGCUUCCAACAACAAUUUGCAAUGUCACCUCCCUUUCGGUUCUUGUUUUGUCAAAUAAUAAAUUAAGUGGUGCACUUCCAAACUGUUUCGGGAAUCUUGCUGAUGGAUUGCUUUACAUUAAUCUUGCUAAUAAUCAGUUUCAAGGAACAAUACCAACUACUUUCUCCAGGAGUUGUCCGUUGACAUAUCUAAACAUGGAUAAUAAUGAGUUUGAAGGAUUGAUGCCCCCAUCUUUGGCGAACUGUAAGCACUUGAAAAUUCUUGAUAUAGGCAAUAAUAAAAUAGGUGGUACAUUUCCGUCAUGGAUUUAUGCACUUGGAGAGCUAGAAGUUCUUGUCUUGCGAUCAAAUAAACUCUAUGGUACAAUAAGUGGAAGGAGCAUAGAAGAUCCCUUCCCCAAGUUGCGGAUUGUGGAUCUGUCCAACAAUCAAUUCACAGGCCAUUUGCCAAUUCAAUACUUUAAGAAUAUGAAAUCAAAUGAUAAUUUGUAUCGUUAUCUGAAUUCCACAGGAGAAAUAUAUAUCUCUUAUGAAGCAGCAGUCUCAUUAACUGCGAAGGGAACAGAGUAUGAAGUAGCAAAUAACCUUCAUAUUUACACAGCCAUUGAUCUGUCGUGCAACAAAUUUCAGGGAGAAAUUCCAAAGGUUACCGGAGAGCUUAGAUAGCUUGCAUUGCUCAAUUUAUCGCAUAAUAGUCUAACGGGACCUAUCCCAUCAUUGCUGAGAAAUAUGAAAGAACUCCAAUCUUUAGAUUUGUCCUCAAAUCAACUGACAGGGGCCAUUCCACCUCAGUUAACUGCAUUGACAUUUCUAAAGGUCUUAAAUCUCUCGAAAAACCAUCUCAGUGGAGAGAUUCCUCAGGAAGGACAGUUCAGCACAUUCAACAAUGAUUCUUAUCUAGGAAACUCCGCGUUAUGUGGAUUACGUCUGACAAAGAAAUGUGCAAACACAGCAUCACCACCACAAGAAGUCGGAAAUGGUGAUGAAGAUGAUGCUGGUGAUGAAUUGACAUGGGAAGCAAUUGUGAUGGGAUAUGGAUGUGGACUGAUAUGUGGAUUAUCAUCUGCGUACCUUGUUUUCAAACUAGGAAAGCCUUGGUGGUUUGUGAGAUAUAUCGAAGUACUGCAACUGAAGUUGAUGAAAAGAUAUGCAUGAAGAAUGGUACUGGCCGAUCAAGACGAACUUGAAAGUUGGUCCUUGUGGACAUUUCAGCUGAACCAGUAGGUACUAUUCUCUUUGUGACUGCAUAAGUAUUUUGUAUUGUGUAAUGUUCUGUUUGGUCUUAAAUCAUAAUGAUUUUUCUUGCUUCAGGGGUAUUAAUAUAAAACUUGGUAUUGUGUACUAGCUGUAAUAUUCCGUUUAAUCAAUGUUAAUACCUGUAAUUUUAUGCUCCUGACUGCAUCAUGCAGCUCUCAUAUUAUCUUCAUAUGUGUAUUUAUUUGGAUAUUGAAGUUGCAUGGACAUAUGGAUAUGUGUUAACGGGGAUUGCUCCCAAGUCUUGGACGGACUCUUUCCAAGUCUUCCGAGAUCCUAUUGGUUCAAAUUAGUCCAAUUUGAACUGCCAUCAAAUGCAACUCUGUAGAUUCUGUCUCUGAGAUUAACCUUUCAGGACAUCAGCUCAAUGGUACACUUGCUGAAUUCAGUUUCGUUUAAUUUCCGAAUCUACAAAUUAAGCUACAAUAACUUCACUUGUCCAAUACCCCCAGACAUUGGAAAUUUAACAGAGCUGCAACACCUUGAUUUUAGCUCUAAUAAACUCACUGCUGCAAUUCCGGACCAGGUAAGCCAUCUUCAAACAUUGCGGACCUUAAACCUGUAGGAUAAUCAACUUGGAAGCUCCAAACUGGUCCGCUUUUUCCCCUAUGCCUUCUCUGACAAACCUCUGUCUCAAUAAUAAUAAUCUUUCGUCGAAAUUCCAAGACUUCAUAUUAAAUUGUGGUAACCUGACUUACUUUGAUCUUUCAUUAAAUAUGUUAACAGGUAAUUUGGUUCCUUCAUCAAUUUUUAGAAAUUUGUAUAAUCUUGAAUUCCUUUAUCUUUCUAGCAAUUAUUUUGAGGGGCCUUUCCCGCCANNNNNNNNNNNNNNNNNNNNNNNNNNNNNNNNNNNNNNNNNNNNNNNNNNNNNNNNNNNNNNNNNNNNNNNNNNNNNNNNNNNNNNNNNNNNNNNNNNNNNNNNNNNNNNNNNNNNNNNNNNNNNNNNNNNNNNNNNNNNNNNNNNNNNNNNNNNNNNNNNNNNNNNNNUUUCCCUAUCAUAUAAUAGAUUUUCAGGUUCUAUUUCCAUAUGAUAUAGGAAUGCUUCGUGUUUUGGAAUCCCUUUUUUUAGUAGUAGUUCUUUUAAUGGCCCACCUCCACCAAAUUUAUUUAAAUUUUCUAAAUUAAAAGUUUUUUCCCUAUCAUUAAUAACUUUUCGGGUUCUAUUCGAAAUGAAACAGGGAUGCUUCAUGAUUUAGAGUCCCUCUAUCUUAAUGAACAUUCUUUUAAGGGGCCGUUUCCACCAAAUAUAUUCAACCUUUCCAAAUUAAAAGUUCUUAAUUACCUCUCAAAUAAUUCCUUUUCAGGUUCAGUUCCUAGUGAUAUAAGUGUGCUUCGUGAUCUUGAGAUACUUAAUUUGUCCUCUAAUUCUUUUGAAGGAAUUAUCCCAUUGGAGCUUGGGUUCUUGAAUAACGUGAGCUAUUAUUAUAUCUUGAUUCCACUCAAUUGACUGGACCGCUUUUGAAGAACAUUUAUAAUCUCAGUAAUUUUUUGUGUUGGCUUGAAUGGAUCAUUCCAUUCCCUCCAAAACUCAUUCCGUUCAUGUCAACCAAACAGAGCAUCAAUUACUAGUUACUGGGAAAUGCAUUAGCCUAAAUGUUCCUGGUUCAUUGUUACCGGUAUUUCUUAACUGCUGUGAUUGCAAAUUCAGUUGCAGAUUGUUCAUAUAUAUCUAGAGAGACCUGACAUAACUUUAGCCUCUGAUAUACAGCUUCCUUUCACAGUUGUGCCUAUUCACCUAGACGCGUUUUUAACUGCAUAAUGUUGGGUCAACUUCCGACCAUUUAUUUUCUCAUUUGAAAUUAGUGUAUUAAAGUUCGACUUUAAGAAAAUAUAUAGUUUUGUUAAACAAAAAUUCCAAAAGGUUUGGUACGUUUUGAGCUGGGACUUUGAAAUUGUUUGUCGUUAAAGAUGAAGAUUCACUUUUUAAGUUAUAUUAAUCUGUAGUGGUAGACUGGUAGUUUUUCUUUAUUGCUACUUUCCUUGUGCGUUCUUUAUAUUGAUUUAUUAUUUAAUUCGUAAAGUGUUGCGAACUACAUUCCUGCAAAAGUAAAAUCAGUGGAAUUUGUUUGAUAGCAUGAUGAAUAUUUAAAGGGGUUAAUUAUCAAAUUGGUCACUGAAGUGACUUUAAUGUAUCAAGUUGGUCACUGAACUCAAAACGGUAUUAAGAUAGUCACUGAAGUGGACAUAAAUAUCAAACAGGUACCUUGAAAUAUAAGUUCAAGCAGUAAAGAUAUUAUUUAUAAAAUUUUACACAUUAUUUUUAAAUGUUACCACAACCAACUAAAAGGUUAUGACUUCUAGUAUUUAAAUUAAUAUAUUUAUUUUAUCAAGUUUAUUUAUUAUUUAUAUUUUAUUAUAUAGUUAUUUUCUUUGUUUUAAUUAAAAAUAAAUAAUAAAUAAACUUGAUAAUAUCUAAAUAUAUUAUCAUAAAUAUUAGAAUUCAUAACCUUUUACUUGGUCUAGGUAACAUUCAAAAAUAAUGUGUAAAACUUUAUAAAUAAUAUUAUCUUUAUAUUCUUUCCUUUUCUAUGUACCUAUGCUAAUUAUCUGAUUAUUAAAAUUAUAACAAAGCUUCAAGAUUUUUAACAGGUGAGCUUCCACUAAAAAUUUGCAAAGUCACUUCCCUUUCGCGUCUCAUUAUGUCAGAUAUUGGAAACAACAAAUAGGUGGUACAUUUCCGUCAUGGCUAUUUACUGUUGGAGAGCUAGAUGUCCUAGUUAGGGCGGUAAUUCGACUAAAGCAAACCGAGUUUUGAGCGGAGUCAAAUUCGAGCCAAGUUUAAUCGAGUCGAGCCGAGUCGGCUCAUUUAGCUAAUCGAGCCUAAAACUCUGGUCGAACUCGACUCGUUUAAUUUCGCGAGUCAAGUCGACCCAGCUCGUUUAGUUAAAUGAGCUGGUUUUAACGAGUCAAGCGAGUGAGCUCGUAUAAUUUUAACUUAAUCGAGUCUAAAUCUCUACCCGAACUAUUGGCUCGUGUAAUUUCACGAGUAGAAUCGAGCUGGCUCGUUUUAUUAAAGAAGCCGAAAUUUUUGCCCGAAUUUGGCUUGUUUAACAAGCCGAUCUUUCAUCAAAAUUUUCAAACAUUUCUGAAUAUGUAUUUUCAGAGAAUUUCUCCGGCACUCUUAAGGCCUAUAAUUAUUGCAACUCUCACGUUAUGGACCACUAUGUAUUUUACGAGCACGACGAAUCAUGUGGUCAUUAUGGACUCCCCAAGCCUUCGAGGACUCAUUCCAGGUCUUAGGAGGACCACUGCCUAGCUCACCCUCUCGGAGUGAUGUAAAUUAUUUUCCAGACACUAAAAAUAAGUAUUCAGAUUAAUCAUUACAAAAUUAAGGAUAUAAAAUCAGAAUAAAUCCUAAACUUUGAUGAUACAAAAAAAUUAUAAUUGUAAAUUAUACAAUCAAAUUAAAAUCGAAUUAACUUCUCUCACACUUAAAAUUUAUAGCGAUCAAAUCAAAAUCGAAUUAACUUUCCUAUUACUAAAAUUUAAUUACAAUAUUAUUAGAUAAAGAGAAUAUAUAAUAAUCAAGGGAAAAUAGAUUUUUUUUUGCCACUCAACUUAUUGUGUUUUAAGAAAUUUACCACCCAACUAAAUUUUUUUUCCUUUUGCUCACUAAUAUUAGGUUUGGAUUUGUUUUUAGCCACCAACUAAGGUUCGGAUUUGAUUACUAGCAUUAUGAUAAUUUUUUGUCACUAAACUUAUUGCGUCUUUAGAAACUAACCACUCAACUAAUUUUUUUUUUAUUUUACUCACUAAUGUUAGGUUCAGUUUUUUUUUUGUCACUGAAGUUAGGUUCGGAUUUGAUUAUUAGCAUUACAUUAAUUCUGUGUAGCAUUUUUAAAAUAUGGUAGUAGUCUGUGAUAUUUAGAUGAUUUGAUAUAUGUCUGUAUUUAUAUAUAUAGUAUUUUUUAUGUCCCCAAGGUCGUUUACCUUGGGUCAUAAGAAUUUUACACACAUUUUAUGACUUUUAAAAGAUGUAGUUUCAUAAAUAAUUUUAUUUUUUUCUUCCGAAUUAAAAUUCAGCGUUUGAAUUUUACACACAAAAAAAUCGCAAAAAUAAGUUAUGAAACUAUGUUUUAUAAGAGUCUUAAAAUACGUGUUAAACGGUAGAAAAAACUGUAAACUAAUGAAAGGUACAUAGGGAGUAAUAAUAACAUAAAAUGAUGCACAAUCAUCGAAUUAAGUUUUCCUCUCUCUCUAUAUAUUUAUUUUGAAAAUUAUAAUAAGAUAAAGUUAUUAAAAUUUAUGAUAUAAAUUUAAAAGAGAUCUUAGACUGAGUGGCAAAAAUUUAGUUGGAUGGUAAGUUUCUAAAAAUACAAUAAAUUGAGCGGGAACAAAAUCUAUUUUCCCAAUAAUCAAAGUGAUGAAAAAUUAAAGUCAUCUAAUAAGUCCAGAAAAAAUAUGACCAUUAGUAUUUUGGAAUAAUAUUCACGCAUUUAUAUACGAGAAUAUAUGGUCCACAAGUUAGUGCACAAUGUCCAAGAAUCUUUAUCAAAGUAACACGGCAAGCAUGCAGCAUAUAAAUAAGAGUGGGCAGUAUGGUAUUGCAUUCAUAACCCACUUGAGGAGAAAUAUGGCACACUUCCUAAAGCCUUCUCACCUUCUUCUCUUUGUUUUCUCUCUCUCGUUACUUCAAUCCAUUCUACCAACAAGACCAGAGGGAGAAGCUCUUGUGAAAUGGAAGAAUAGCCUAGCCCCUUCUUCUUUUCUCGAUUCUUGGUCACUCACCAAUCUCGAUGAUCUUUGUAACUGGACUGGCAUUACUUGUAACUCUGCAGGUUCAGUCUCUGAGAUUAACCUUUAUGAGAAACAACUUGAUGGAAUGCUGUCCGAGUUUGGCUUCACUUCAUUUCCGAAUCUCAACAAUCUCACCCUCGCAUACAACUUCUUCUCGGGUCCAAUUCCACCAGCCAUUGAGAAUUUAACACAGCUUCAAUAUCUUGAUUUAAGCAUCAAUAGUCUCGAUGGUCCCAUUCCGUUCCAGGUUAGCCAUCUUCAGAGGUUGCUCGUCUUAAACCUGUCACAGAAUGCAUUGCAAGCUCCAAAUUGGUCCAAAUUCUCCCCCAUGCCCUUUUUGUGCAUCCUCAACCUCAGUAGCAAUCCUCUUGCGUCGACAUUCCCAAAUUUCAUAUCCAAUUCUCAUGGCCUGACUCACCUCAGCCUUGAUCAAAACGAGUUUACAGGUGAUUUAGCGCGUGAAUCAAUAUUUGCCAAUCUGCAUAAUCUUGAAGUCCUCAGUCUUGUUGGCAAUUCUUUUGAGGGGGCCAUUUCCGCCAAAUAUAUUCAAGCUUUCCAAAUUAAAACGUCUUACCCUGUCAAGUAACAAAUUUUUAGGAUCAAUUCCCAAUGACAUAAGGUUGCUUUGUGAUCUUGAAUUCCUAUAUUUAGGAAACAAUUCUUUUGAAGGACCGCCUCCACCAAAUAUAUUCAAGCUUUCAAAAUUAAAACAUCUUGUUCUCUGGAGUAAUAAGUUUUCAGGUUCUGUUUCCAAUGAUAUAGGUUUGCUUUCUGCGCUUGAACUUCUGAAUCUUCACUCUAAUUUUUUUGAGGGGCCGCUUCCGCCAAAUGUAUUCAAGCUCUCUAAACUAAGGUUUCUUAACCUCUGGGGUAACAACUUUUCAGGUUCUGUUUCCAAUGAUAUAGGUUUGCUUCCUGAGCUAGAAAUCCUCAAUCUUCACUCUAAUUUUUUUGAGGGGCCGCUUCCGCCAAAUAUAUUCAAGCUCUCUAAACUAAGGUUUCUUAACCUCUGGGGUAACAACUUUUCAGGUUCUGUUUCCAAUGAUAUAGGUUUGCUUCCUGAGCUAGAAAUCCUCAAUCUUCACUCUAAUUUUUUUGAGGGGCCGCUUCCGCCAAAUGUAUUCAAGCUCUCUAAACUAAGGUUUCUUAACCUUUGGGGUAAUAACUUUUCAGGUUCUGUUUCCAAUGAUAUAGGUUUGCUUCCUGAGCUAGAAUUCCUCAAUCUUCACUCUAAUUUUUUUGAGGGGCCGCUUCCGCCAAAUGUAUUCAAGCUCUCUAAACUAAAGUUUCUUCAUCUUCGAGGUAAUAAGUUUUCAGGUUCUGUUUCCAAUGAUAUAGGUUUGCUUCCUGAGCUUGAAAUCCUCAAUCUUCGCUCUAAUUUUUUUGAGGGGCCGCUUCCGCCAAAUGUAUUCAAGCUCUCCAAACUAAGGUUUCUUUCCCUUAAGGAAAAUAAAUUUUCAGGUUCUGUUUCCAAUGAUAUAGGUUUCCUUUCUGAGCUUGAAUACCUAUAUCUUGACUAUAAUUUAUUUGAAGGAAGUAUUCCUAUUGGACUGGGACUCUUGACUAACCUCAGCUACUUAGAUCUAAGUUCCAAUAAUCUCAGUGGCUAUAUUCCAUCUGACAUUGGAAACCUGAAGCUACUAGUAUUUCUUGAUCUCAGUUCUAACCAAUUGACUGGACCGCUUUUAAAGAUCGUUUCUAAUCUCACAAAUCUUAUGAAUCUUGAUGUAAGUGAUAAUAGUCUUAGUGGAAAUAUUCAGAGUGACUUGUGGAAGAACUCUAUAUCCUUACGUUACAUUAAUUUUGCAAAUAAUUAUUUGUCUGGGAACAUUCCUAAGGAAUACAACGAUCAUCCAACUUUGGAAUACAUCAAUUUAAGUGGGAACCAUUUUACAGGUAUAUUUUUCUCUAUAUAUCUUUUCCUUUUCUCAUAUGUAACUAAGCUGGUAAUCUGAUUAUUGCAGUUUUACCAAAGUUUCAACAAUCUUGACAGGUGAGCUUCCAACAACAAUUUGCAAUGUCACUUCCCUUGCGGUUCUUGUUUUGUCAAAUAAUGGAUUAAGUGGAGCACUUCCAAAUUGUUUCGGGAAACUUGCUGAUAGAUUGCUUUCCAUUAAUCUUGCUAAUAAUCAGUUUCGAGGAACAAUACCAACUACUUUCUCCAGGAGUUGUCAGGUGAAAUAUCUAAACAUGGAUAAUAAUGAGUUUGAAAGAUUCUUGCCCCCGUCUUUGGCGAACUGUAAGCACUUGAAAAUUCUUGAUAUUGGCAAUAAUAAAAUAGGUGGUACAUUUCCGUCAUGGCUUUAUGUACUUGGAGAGAUAGAAGUCCUUGUCUUGCGAUCAAAUAAACUCUAUGGUACAAUAAGUGGAAGGAGCGUAAAAGAUCCCUUCCCCAAGUUGCGGAUUGUGGAUCUGUCCAACAAUCAAUUCACUGGUCAUUUGCCAAUUCAAUACUUUAAGAAUAUGAAAUCAACUGAUAAUUUGUAUCGUUAUCAGAAUUCCAAAGGAUAUCUAUCUUUCCAUCAUGAUGCAGCAGUCUCCUUAACUGUGAAGGGAACGGAGUAUGAGGUAGCAAAGAACCUUCAUAUUUACACAGCCAUUGAUCUGUCGUGCAACAAAUUUCAGGGACAAAUUCCAAACGUCACUGGAGAGCUUAGAUGGCUUGCAUUGCUCAAUUUAUCGCAUAAUAGUCUAACAGGACCUAUCCCAUCAUUGCUGAGAAAUAUGAAAGAACUCCAAUCUUUAGAUUUGUCUUCAAAUCAACUGACAGGGGCUAUUCCACCUCAGCUAACUGCAUUGACAUUUCUAGAGGUCUUGAACCUCUCGAAAAACCAUCUUAGUGGAGAGAUUCCUCAGAAAGGACAGUUCAGCACAUUUAACAAUGAUUCUUAUCUAGGAAACUCCGCGUUAUGUGGAUCACCUUUGACGAAGAAAUGUGCAAACACAGCAUCACCUCCACAAGAAGUUGUAAAUGGUGAUGAAGAUGAUGCUGGUGAUGAAAUGACAUGGGAAGCAAUCGUGAUGGGAUAUGGAUGUGGACUGAUAUGUGGAUUGUCAUCUGCGUACAUUGUUCUCAAACUAGGAAAGCCUUGGUGGUUUGUGAGAUAUAUCGAAGUACUGCAACUGAAGUUGAUGAAAAGAUAUGCAUGAAGAAUGGUACUGGCCGAUCAAGACGAACUUGAAAGUUGUUGUCCUUGUGGACAUUUCUGAACCAGUAGUGUACUAGCUACAUAAGUAUUUAGUAUUAUGUAAUAAUCCGUUUGGUCGGGACUCAUAAUGAUUUCUCUUGCUUCAGGGGUAUUAAUAUUAAACUUGCUAUCUUGAUGAAUGUUAAUGUAAAUUAAAAAGAAUAUAAAAUCAAAAAAUUUAAAUCAAACACCUGUUGUACCAAGAUCCAUUAAUUUGCUUUAGUCUCUUACAUAACAAUUUAAUAGCACACUUCCACACUGUUCACACGUGUAAUGUAUAAAAAUUCCAGUCUUCUUCGGAGGCCUACAGCUUCAACAACCUCUCAAAGAUGUAGCAGUUGCUUGACAGUGAUAGAUAUAUAUUAGAUAAACACUAUGCAAUAACCAAAGUGACAGAAAAAUCAAAGUCCGCUAAUAAAUUCAUAAAAAAUAUAAUAAUCAACAACAAGAAUCAUAGUCUUACAAGUUCAUAUAAAAUAUAGGAUCAUUAGUAUUCCACAUGUAUAUUUUCUUCUCUUUCUUUUCGAGUUUUCCUCUCCAGCACCAAAUCCAAAUUAAUAUACAAUGCCACACAUUCCAGUCUCAGCUUCAGCUCCCAGGCUAGCAUUGAUUUAGCCAAGCACGACAGUGGCCGCUCUUGGUCCUGCCUUCAAAUGUCUAACAAUAACAGUUGGAUACGUCGACAAAAAUAUUGUUCCUCAUCAUACUGAGGAGUUAUUGAAUUCGACAGUUUUACACAAAGAAGACAAUUCCAUGGACUAAUCUAUUAGUAACACGUAAGCUAUAAACACGUAGUCCACAUCUAUGCUACGAACAAUUCAUAUUGGUCUUCUAUCUGUGCAACAGUCUCCCGAAGAUAGGCCAAAAAUGUCAUCUGUGGUUCUUAUCUUUGUUAGCAAAGGAGAAUCUCCGAUGCCUAUACAACCUGAUUUUCUUACAGAAAGAAAUGCAAGUGAAACUAGGGUCGGAUACCAUGUUAAAUGAUCAAUUCUCCUAAAACUAGGUUCAGGAUGAUCAUGAUAUAUUCUAACAUCAAGAUUAGCAGGACUAAAAUGAAGAUUUAAAUGGAUUUUAAAAACAAGCUCCUACUGAAUAAAAAGAAUCAUUAAUUUUUCUGACUCAACAUAUGUUAGCCUCCCCUGGCCCUGGGUGAAACCAUAAGCUUCUCUGGUGCACAUCCAAAUCAUUCAGCUGGUUCUACUUUCAGCUCAGCACAGGAACAUCAUUCUGCAGGUACUCUUGUAUCUGUAGUUUCUUAUUAAUUUAUUAACAAAAUUUAGCUAUUAAAUAUUUUGAUAAAAUAUCUAUUUAUUAAAAUAUUUUUUUAUUUAAUUGGUCUGAUAAAAAUAUUAUUGAUAUAUAAAUUUUACCUUUUUUCUGAAACAAAUUAUAAUUUUUGCUUCAAGCUUUUGUAUGAUAAGUUGAGAAAUAUUAGUUUUCUUUAUCACCGUGAGAGUAGAUCCUCGUUCCACAAAAAUUUGUAACUGAAAAAUAAAAUAGAGCCCUAAAACUUUUCGAUAAAUAUGGACUAAACAAUUUUGAUGCUCAAGUCUCAAUAGGAUUUAUAAACGGUCAUGAUGAGUUUGAUUAUCAAUGACACCAAAAAAAUAUUAGAAUUAUAUUUAAGUUAUAAAUUUGUCAAUAAAUUGUGUGAUAAUCAUACUUUCCAAGUCUUCUUCAGAGGCCUCCUGCCUCAACAACCUUUCAAAGAUGUAGUAGUUGUUGCUCGAGAGGGACAAAUAUAUUAGGUAAAGACUAUGCAAUAAUCAACGUGACAGAAAAACCAAAGUCCUCUAAUAAAUUAAUAAAAAAUAUUAUAAUCAAUAUCAAGAAUCAUAUUAUCAUAGUCUUCUAAGUUCAUAUAAAAUAUAGAAUCAUUAGUAUAUAAAUAGAAGAGUGCAGAGUAAAGCCUUUCAUAAUCCAGUUGAGGAGAAAUAUGGCAUACUUUGUAAAGCCUUAUCACCUUCUUCUCUUUGUUUUCUUUCUCUCAUCACUUGAAUCCAUUCUUGCAACAACACGAGAAGGAGAAGCUCUUGUGAAAUGGAAGAAUAGCCUAGCCCCUUCUUCUUUUCUUGAUUCUUGGUCACUCACUCAUCUCGAUAAUCUUUGUAACUGGACUGGCAUUACUUGUAACUCUGCAGGUUCAGUCUCUGACAUUAACCUUUUCAACAAACAACUCACUGGAAAGCUUUUUGAGUUUGGUUUCACUUCAUUUCCAAAUCUCAACAAUCUCACCCUUGCAGAUAACUUCUUCUCUGGUCCAAUACCAUCAGCCAUUGGGAAUUUAACACAACUUCGGUAUCUUGAUUUGAGCAAUAAUUAUCUCAAUGGUUCCAUUCCGUACCAGGUUAGCCAUCUUUCAAGAUUACACAUCUUAAACCUGUCAGAGAAUGAACUGCAAGCUCCAAAUUGGUCCGAUUUCUCCCCCAUGCCUUGUUUGACCAUCCUCGACCUUUAUCAAAAUAAUCUUAUGUCGGAAUUUCCAGAAUUUAUAUCUAACUCGCGUAACCUGACAUACCUUGACCUUUCAUAUAACAAGUUCACAGGCGAUCUUGUGCGCGAAUCAGUAUUAACCAAUCUAGGUGAUCUUGAAACCCUCUAUCUUAAUGAAAAUUCUUUUAGGGGGCCAUUUCCACCAGACAUAUUCAAACUUUCCAAGUUGAGAGUUCUUGCCCUGUUCAAUAAUUUUUUUGAGGGGCCGCUUCCGUCAAAUAUAUUCAAGCUCUCUAAACUAAGAUUCCUUUUACUUUGGAGUAAUAAUUUUUCAGGUACUCUUUCGAAUGAAAUAGGUUUGCUUUCUGAGCUUGAAGACCUAGAUCUUCACUCCAAUUUUUUUGUGGGGCCGCUUCCGCCAAAUAUAUUCAAGCUGUCUAAACUAAGAACCCUUUUCCUCUGGGGUAAUAACUUCUCAGGUUCUAUUUCCAACGACAUAGGUUUGCUUUCUGAGCUUGAACACCUAUAUCUCGACUCCAAUUCUUUUGAGGGACCUUUUCCAACAAAUAUUUUCAAGCUUUCCAAAUUAAUACAACUUGGUCUCGCAAACAAUACAAAUUUAUUUGAAGGAAGUAUUCCUCCAGGACUGGGGCUCUUGACUAACCUAGAGGACUUGUCUCUUGCUUACAAUAAUCUUGGUGGCUAUAUUCCGUCUUCCUUUGGAAACCUAACACUACUAGUAUAUCUUAAUCUCGCUCGUAAUCAAUUGGUUGGAACACUAUCAAAGACCAUUUCUAAUCUCACAAAUCUGUGGUUUCUUGAUGUACAUCAUAAUAGUCUCUCUGGGAAUAUUCAGAGUGACUUCUGGAAAAACUCUACAUCACUGCUUUACAUUAAUUUGGCAGACAAUAAUUUUUCUGGGAACAUUCCUAAGGAAUAUAAUGUUCUUCCAAUCCUGGAUCACAUCAAUUUUAGGGGGAACAACUUUACAGGUAUUUUUAAUUCCAUAUUUUUUCCUUCUGUUGUAUUUAAUUAUGCUAACAACUACUGCCUCUGUUUUCAAAUACAUAUCGUUUGACUUUUUGGCACAAAACUCUAUAAUAAUUCUAACUAUAAGGUCAAUGAACUUAGAAAUAUAUGUCAAAAAGUCAAACGUCAUAUAUUUGAAAUUAGAGGGAGUAUGGCUUAAUGACCUUUUAGCCCUUAAAGUUUGGGUAGAAGUUCCGAUGCGGCGUCGAAGUUUAAAAACGUACCUUUCGACCCUCAAAGUAUCUUUGUCGUACCUUUUAACCCUUAUGGCGUAUACCGGUAUAUAACGGGUGGGCAAAGUUGACAUUUCACACGUGAGGGUUAAAUGGGGCAUUAAACAUUAAGGGUUAAAAGGAACAUUUAAUAUAUUUUAAUGUAUUAUUUAGGGAUUAAAAGGAACGAGAUGUAUACUUUAAGGGUUAAAAGGUACGCCCAAACUUCACCCCGAAUAUGAAUUGUCAAGUUUAUCCCCCGAUUUGUAUCGGUAUUUUUAAAAAGGGCUAAAAAGUACGACAAAGAUACUUUGAGGGUCGAAAUGUACGUUUUUAAACUUUGAGGCCGCAUCGGAACUUCCACCCAUUCUUCGAGGGCUAAAAGGUCAUUAAGCCGAGUAUAUAUUACAGUUUUACCAAAGUUUCAACAAUCAUGACAGGUGAGCUUCCACCAACAAUUUGCGAUGCAACUUCCCUUUCGAUUCUUGAUCUGUCAAAUAAUGGAUUAAGUGGUGCACUUCCACAUUGUUUGGGGAAUCUUGCUGAUAAAUUGAUUUCGAUUAAUCUUGCUAAUAAUCAGUUUCGAGGACCAAUACCAACAAAUUUCUCCAAGAGUUGUCGUCUGACGUAUCUUAACAUCUAUAACAAUCACUUUAAAGGAUUGGUUCCCCAGUCUUUGGCAAACUGUAAGCACUUGCAAAUUCUUGAUUUUGGAAAAAAUGAAAUAGGUGGAACAUUUCCGUCAUGGCUUUUUACUCUUGGAGAGCUAGAAGUCCUGGUCCUGCGAUCAAACAGAUUUUUCGGGAGAAUAACUAGAAGGAGCAUACCACACCCCUUUCCCAAGUUGCGGAUUUUGGAUCUAUCCAACAAUCAGUUCACCGGCUAUCUGCCAAUUUCAUACUUCAAGAAUAUGAAACCAAAUGAUAAUAAUUAUGAUUAUUUCAACAACACAAACGAAGCCUAUUACGUUUAUCAAGUUUCUAUCACAUUAAAUGUGAAAGGAAGCGAGCAUGAAGUGACAAAUAUUCUUUAUAUUUACACGGCCAUUGAUCUGUCGUGCAACAAAUUUGAAGGAAAAGUUCCAGACAUUACCGGAGAGCUUAGAUGGCUUGCAUUGCUAAAUUUAUCUCAUAAUAGUCUUUCGGGGCCUAUUCCAUCACAACUGGGAAAUAUGAAAGAGCUCCAGUCUCUAGAUUUGUCGUCAAAUCAAUUGACAGGUGUUAUUCCGGAUCAACUUACUAGUAUGACAUUUCUUGCUAGUUUGAACCUGUCAGAAAACCAUCUUUCUGGGAAAAUCCCUCGGAAAGGACAGUUCAGCACUUUUGGCGAAGAAUCUUACUUAGGUAACUCGGCCUUGUGUGGAGUUCCUUUGACAAAGAAAUGUAUAGACGAAGUGCCCCCUUCACAAGUUGGAAAUGGCGAUGAUGAAAAUGUUGAUGAAGAUGAUACCGUUGAUGAAUUCAAUUGGAAAGUGAUCCUGAUGGGAUAUGCAUGUGGAUCAAUAGGCGGAUUGUCUGCAGGAUACAUUGUCUUCACAGUUGGAAAGCCUUGGUGGUUUUUGAGGUACAUUGAGACACUGCAGCAGAAGUUGAUGUGAUGCGCAACUAGAAACAACCUUAUCUUAGAAUGAAUCUGAUCAAUGUUAGCAUAUACUGAACUUUUUUUUUUGUAAAUAUGAUUUCAAGUUCUCAUACUAAUACAAGAACCACUUGUUAAAUCUUGACCAUGCUAAGAGGAUGCUGAAUGCUGAUUUAACACUUUGCGAUGCAAAGCAGGGGCGCAUUAGUAUUUUAUAUGUGUUGAUAAUUUGCGCAAUGUUAACAGGGAUAGGUCUUCUUCUCUGCCAGAUCUUCGACAGACUCUUUCAAGGUCUUCUGAGGACCCAUCGGCUCGAAUUAGUCCAUCGUGAAUUAUGAUCUGAGAGCUAUCUGCACACUAUUUCCAGGUCUUCUGUCUCGUUAACUAUGAAAGGAAGAAAUCAUGAAGUGAAUAAAAUUCUUCAUAUUUACACAAUUGAUCUAUCAUGCAACAAAUUUUGAGGAGAAAUUUCAGAGGUUUCCGAAGAGCUUAAAUGGCUUGCAUUGCUCAAUCUAUCUCAUAAUGAUCUUACUAGACAUCUCCCCGUUGCUCGCCAUUAGAAAACAGGGAUUAUUCACUCGUCCGCCGCACCGCGAACUCAUUCUUAGGUGCUCGGAGGUUUUUGAGGAUUCUUGUUGAUUAUUAAUUUUGUGAUUUUGUUGAAUACUCUAUCACUUAAUAAUGUAAUAAUUGUGUUAUUAAAUAAUUAUAUUUUAAAUUGUUAAGGAUAUUGAACUAUUUGUUUGAUUAUUUGGUUUAAAUAUAAAUGUAACUCUUGAAAUACAUUUAUUAUAUAUAUAUUUAACAUGUUAAUAUUUACUGAAUCCCUCGCAUCCGAAUCCCGAUAUUUUUAAAUUUACGGAUUCUCGUAUUCAUGUACCGUGCACUACCAUACCUUCAACCACACUCAUACUUUCUAGCUGCUCGGAAAUAUGAAUCAAUCUUUAGAUUUGUCUUCAAAUCGAUUGACGGAGGCUAUUCCACACCAGUUAGGCAGUUAACUAGAUUGACAUUUCUAGAGGUCUUGAACUUCUCAGAGAAUAAUCUUACCGGGAAAAUACCGCAAAAAGGAAAAAUCAGCACUUUCGAGAAUAUAUGAGUCAGUGUGGUUCACCUGUCUAGACCAAAAAUGUCAUCUGAGAUUCUUAUGUUUUUUAGCUAUAUAUGAGUGGAAGAAAAUUGUCGAGUCGAGGUUAAUCGAAUAAGGCGAGCCGGCUCAUUUUAAUUUAAUUGAGACAAAACUUCUACGGAGUUCGACUCCUUUAAUUAAACGGCUAUGAAAUCUCAUUAAAGUCAGCCUUGUAUAUAAACUCAAGCCAGGUCGAGUUUUAUUGAACAAAUUUCAGCUCAAACCAGUCGCGAGCAGCCCAGCUCAAGUUCGAGGCCUGCUCAUCUGUCUUCGAGUCUUGGACGAGAUUUGAAUCAUCAACUCCUUCCAAAAAGAGUAUUACACUGACAAAAAUGCAGUAACAUGUUUAAUUUAAAAGUAUAUCAUCUGUUCCCGCAGUUUAAUUUUACCCAUAUUUUUGAGAUUCAUAUAAAUUAUAAUUCCAUAAUAUUUUUUCAAUCAUAUUGGUUUUGAAUAAAAAUAUAAAUAUCAAACUUUUAUUUUUAAAAAAAUUAUAAAAUUAUAUUUUAUAAGAGUCUCAAAUACGUGGGAAAGUGGGAGUAUUAAUUUCGCCCACUAAGUCACUGACAGGUUUGUUAAUUUGUUUCCAUUUGAAGGUGUACACUGCAUAUUUUCACCAGGGAUGGCAACAAGUCGAAUCAGUUCAGAUAUAUCAGAUAUCUCAAUCCAAAUCCAAAUUAUUUUUAAAAUCCAAAUCCAAUCGAGUUUCACAUAUCAAAUUCAAAUCCAAAUUCACGGGUUUCAGAUCGGGUUCAGGUUUGUUUGGGUUUAUCCAAAACCCGAAUCCAGAAAUGUAAGUAGUAUUGUAAAAAUAUUAUUUUUUAUUUUUUCACCCUUGAAUUUCAUUAUAUUUAAAACUAAACUACACACAUUCACACUUUAUCUAUCCAUAUUAUAAACACAAUUUAGUAUAUUUAAAAUUGAAAAAAAGUAUAUUAGUAUACUACAUACAUAUAUUUGGAUAUUUGGAAAUUUUUUCGGGUUUUGUGUUUGGAUCGAAUUUAGAUUUCGGGUCCGGUUUUGAUACGGAAUACUUAAUAUCUAAAUCCAAAUUCAAACUGGUUCGGGUCUAAAAAUUAAAUUCAAAUCCAAAUCCAAAAUAUCAUGUUCGUUAAAAUUCAUUCGGGUCGAGGUUGAGUAUCCAUUCGGAUCAGAUUUUUCUCUAACCAAUAAAUUUUGUAAAUGGUCUGCACAAACGCAGUUACCGGCCCAUUUCCGUAUGAAGCCCAUGAACAAUUAUUUGUUCUGUAUAUUUUUCAAUCAAACCAAACCCAAACGCUAACAGCAGAAUUAAUUAAAUUCCUUUCACAUGUGAUUUUGUAAUGGGCCUACAUUACAAAAAUACUGUAGGACUAUCCCACUAUCCCUGACCCUACAUGUUUUCUCAAUAAUUUUGAUAAAUAUAUUAAACAGAUAUUGAACUGUUACAAAAAUAUAACGUCUGUUUUUCAAAUAAGUAACGUACGGUUUCCGAGAGAUAAAGUUUGACUUAUAUUGACAAGAUAACGCUUGAAUUUAAUAUCUUUUUAAAAAAAACUAAUAUAAAAUCUAAAUUAAAUCUUCUUCUUAAAUGAGAAUCCAGAAAAAUCUCAAAAAUUCACAACUACAUCAAUAAAAUAUAAUAUCCAACAUUAAAUAAAAAUCUUUCAAUAUCCAUUUUUUGUGUAAUUUUCAACCAAUCUGCUCUAAUUAUUUCGUCACCUUUUAAAAUUUAAAAUUUUUAAAUACUCAAAACAAUUACCCUAACCGCCAACCACCUUAGAAUUAUAAAAUCUUAAAAUUAAAUGCUAAUAAGAUUAUCAGUGUUACUCACCUAAACCAAAACGGUUACAAAAUCUAACGGCAAUAUUAUAAACUUUUAAAAAUUAAAUUUUUAAUUAAUUUGGCAAGUGGUAUUCAUAUAGAACAAAACAGUUACAAAAUCAAACUGCAAAUUAUAAAAUCUUGAAAUUAUAUUUAAUACUGUAAGAUUUAGCAUGUGGGUCCCACACAAUCAGAAAAUAAUAUGAACACGAAAUCUUGCUCUAUUAAAUACACACACCUGUACAUACAUAUAUAAACACCCACCGCCUCUUCAACUUUCCAACAUCAAAACCCUCGUAAUUCAAUUGGGUUUCUGCUGUUAUUCUCCCCUCUCUCCUCUCUCUCGCCGAGAUUUUUAUAUGCAUACAUGCGUGGGUAUAUGUAUAUGUACACCCCCUUGGCAAAAACACAGACUAAACACUAAAAGAACCCACAGAAUCAUACCCAUGUUAUGGAUAUUAUCUGGGGUUUGUUGAAAUUGUUGUAGAAGGCCUAAAGAUUUGAUUUUGGAGUAGCCCAUUUGGUUCUUGAUUGAAUUUGGUUGUGUUUUGAGUGUGAAAAGGCAAGAUUUUAUGAUUCUUGAUGGAUGAAAGUGCUAUGUUUGGCUUGAAUGGAGAUAAUGANACAAAAUCUUGAAACGCUGUUUCUUGAUGGUAAUUCUUUUGAGGGGACGUUUCCACCGAAUAUAUUCAGGCUUUCUAAAUUAAAACACCUUUCCCUAUCUGCUAAUAAGUUUUCAGGUUCUGUGCCGGAUGACAAGUUGGUGUCGAAAGUGAGAAUGUUGCGGUAGGGGGUGAUUCGGAUGAGCUUGUUGUUGUUGGGGAGACAGGGCAGGUAUAAUGCUGCAUUUGUUGUUUUUGUCGAUAUUAUGUGUUGCUUUUGUGUUUUUUGUUAUGUUUUCAUAUGUUUAGUCCGUUAUUUUUUGGAGAAUUAAGUAGUCUGAUGAAUGUUGAUUAAUCCAAUAUAUAAGCUGGGCGUUUUUGUUUAAUGUGCUUAUUAUGAUUAUAUUAUUUUGUUUGAUAAUUGAAUUGUGUUUAGAUUGUUAAUCCAAAGCCAAGGUCAAAAGACGUAAGGUAACAUUGAUGUUAAUUGAUAAAACUAACCUCAGAAAGUAGAUUGUUUGAGGCAAUAGAGAGUGUGAGCCUCUAUCAUGACAAUUUAAGAAGUUUAUAGUUGAGUCGUUGACUGCAUUACUAUCAAAUGCAUAGGGGUAUGGAAAUGAAAACGGUUAAUAACAUAUGGGCAUUUAACCUAAUAAUUUGACAACUCGACACUCGGACUUGUAUAUGUAAGUUGUAGUAGAUGCAUACGGUGUUUUAGUAGUUUAUUUGUGUACAAAUUAUUUCAUUGGGUAUUAUUUGAAGUGAAUAGUAUAUUGGAUUCAUGCAUGUUCAGACUUUAAUAUCAACAUCUUUCAGAUUUUUCUGGAUAAUGGUUAAUAAAUUCUUUGUUUAAUAAUGACCGCUUCACUUAAUGUCAUUUCUCUUCUUUCUUUUUUUAAUUAUCGGAGUGGAUAUUUAUUUAAUUUUUUCUGAUUUAUGUUGCAACUUCCAAUAUAAUUUGUUUGGGUGCUAUACUUUGAUGGAUUAUAGGUCGCAUGUCGAGACUAUCCUCACCCACGAGAUCUUUGUGCUAAACUUCCCUUUACAUCUACUCCUCAUGAANUGCUAAACCAGGUAAUAAUAUUUUUUCUCAGAAUUAAUUAUUACACCUCUUUUCAGUGCCGAACGUUCUGCGUAUCUUAUUUGACCAUUGUCUGUUGCAGUGUCACUGUUAUGUUUGUGAUGCACCGGCUCCAUGUCUCAAAUGGGGAACUGGCAUAUCUGUCAGUGACCAUUGUCAUGCCACUGGGAAGGUGGAAUUCUGGAAUCAACAAAGCCUAAAUUUUUUGAAAAGGCUUUAAAAAAUUUGGAAUUUUUUAAAAAAAUGAAAAAUGUAAAAAUUAAAAAAAUCUAAAAAUAUCUGGAAAUUCAAAAAAUAUACCUAAAUUUUUGAAAUUAAAAAAUUUUAGAAUUUUUCCAAAUUUUCAGAUUUUUUCAAAGUUUUAAAUUUAUUUUCAAAAUUUUUAGAUUUUUUCGAUGUUUUUUCAUAUUUUUUAAAGUAUUUUAAAAAAAUUCAACUUUAUUAAAAAAUCGAUAUUUAUAUUUUUCUCAAAGUUUUUUUUAUUUUUUUUAAAGGAUUCUGUUAAAGGCAGCUGAUAUUUAACGUCGCAGUGACCUAUUUGCAAACUUUUAUUAGUUCAGUGAGUUGACUGCAACUUAAAUCGAGUUCUGUGAUCCGUUUGCAAACUUUUUAAGUUCAGUGACUUAACUGCAAGUUGGCCAUGAGUUCAAUGAUCUUUUCGCCUAUUAACCCGGACUAAAUCUACUAAAAUGAUAAUUAUGGACUCACAAUGUAUAUUUUUAAUUUAUAUGUUUAGUUAAAAAUUGGUUAAUUUGACUUUCGAAAAUCAAAAUGAACAUGUAAAAGGAGAUCGUGGUAAUAAGCCCCUCAACGUGUGUAAAUGUUAAGUAAAAGGGAUAUGUUUAUUUUUAUUUUAAAAAAGAAUUAAAAAUAUUAUUUUACAAAUUAAAUUAUAAAAUACUCUCUAUAUUCCAAAUUAGUGAGUUCGUUAAUUUUAGGCACACUAAUUUAGAUGAUUUAACUGCAUAGCUAUAUAAUUUAUUUUUAAUAUUUUUAAAAAACAAUUAAAAAUAAUUUCACGAAUAACAGAUGAUCAUUAUCUUUUAAAUCACAUGCUGAAAAUCGGAUGUUGCCCUUAUCAUUAUCACAUUUUUAAGUAGUAAUGUCUCGAAAAUUAAAUAUUAGAUCCAAUAUGAUUUCAAAUAUCACUUUAUAAUAUUCUUUUUUGUCAUAAUAUCACUUAAUAAUGUUAAAUGAGUGACGUUUAUAUUUUUUUUAAAGUGUUACACAAUGAGAAACUCUAAAAAAUAUAACGGUAGAUAAUGUAGUAUCAUAUCAAAACAUUACUUUAUCUAACCAGAACAUAAUAUUCCAAGGACAAUUUAACUUUUUUUAUAAUAUUCAGAACCUUCUUUUUUUUUUUUGAAUAAAAGACAAAUUUCAUUAAUACGAAAUGUCAUACAGAAAAAUCUCCAACAAUACAUCUCGAGGAGACAUAAACACUUUUUGACAAUUUAAAGAACAGGAUAAUUUAGCUACUAGAUGAGCUACUCCAUUCGCUUGUCGUUUAACAAAUGAAACUGAAUAACAUGGCUUCGAAUUUAAAAUAAGCUUGCAGGCAUUCAAGAUGUGACCAACUUCUAAAAGAUUUUCCUGAGAGUCAUGCAAGGCUUUAAUGGCCAGGAGAGAGUCUGAUUCAAUUUCCACCACCUCAUGAUUUAAUGAGCACAACCACGGGAGACCUUCAAAAGAGAAAAGGCCCCCAGUAACCUUUUUUUAGUGUCAAAUGCCCUAGUUGUCAUUAUAAUAAAAAAUGGCCCUCAUUAUCACUCUAUAACACUACUUAAACUCACGUUCUGUUUUUCCAUCAUAAACGGCACACGCAACAGUGUUUCCAGGUUUAAUACUUUUUAAAAAAAGUCUAACGUAACAUGAAGUUACGUUCACUGAUCUGAGUUUUUUUUUCAUAUUACUCACAUCUUGCUUAUUUCCAUAUAGAAAGAAAUUCACUCACUAGUCAACGUUAUAACAAAUUAUAAUAAUAUUUAACCAGUGCACCCCAAAGGGUAGCGGCUGCGGUUUCCUACGUUAAAAAGAAUAUUUAAGCGUUCAUACAUGGGGUUUAGAAAAAUUUGUUUAUAAUUGUAAAUUAAUUUUCUGAACGUUAGGGUUUAGGAUUGAGGGUGUAGGGCCGGUAGGCCCUACUCCCUCGAGCCUAAAACCUAAUUAAUGCGAGGCUGAAGGGCCGAAGGCCCUGAAGCCGAGAAAUCGGCAGAAUAAAUAAAUUUACAAUCGUUAACAUUUAGGGUUUAGAUUUGGGUUGCAGAAUGAUUAAUUCAUACUGUAAAUUAAUUGGCCGAACGUUAGGGUUUAGGAUUGAGGGUGUAGGGCCGGUAGGCCCUACUCCCUCGAGCCUAAACCCUAAUUAAUGCGAGGCUGAAGGGCCGAAGGCGAGAAACCGGCGGAAUAAAAAAAUUUACAAUCGUUAACAUUUAGGGUUUAGGUUUGGGUUGCCAUAAUGAUUAAUUCGUACUGUAAAUUAAUUGGCUAAACGCUAGGUUUUAGGAUUGAGGGUGUAGGGCCGGUAGACCCUCCUCCCUCGAGCCUAAACCCUAAUUAAUGCGAGGCUGAAGGGCCGAAGGCGAGAAACCGGCGGAAUAAAUAAAUUUACAAUCGUUAACAUUUAGGUUUAGGUUUGGGUUGCCAUAAUGAUUAAUUCGUACUGUAAAUUAAUUGGCCAAACGCUAGGUUUUAGGAUUGAGGGUGUAGGGCCGGUAGACCCUACUCCCUCGAGCCUAAACCAUAAUUAAUGCGAGGCUGAAGGACCUUCAAGCCCUAAACGCUCGAGCCUAAACCCUAAUUAACUCGAGGCUCUAGGGCCGUGAGACCCUAAAGCCGAGGAACCGGAAUUAAAAUAUAAAACAAAAUUUUAAAUGGCGUUUAAAGUGGCGACAGAAUUGUAAGUUGGGUGUUAAGCUAGCAAACGACAUUAAGUUACGUUUUAGAUUUUUAGGUUAUUAAAAAAUAAAAAAAAAAAUCAAGAACGUCACAUGAAGGCACGUUUUACUUCUGAUAUCAAGAACGUCACAUGAAGGCACGUUUUACUUCUGAUAAACACACCAGCACGUGACUAAAGUCUCGUUUUCAUAUAUAACAGCAAUUGAAGUGACGUUUUGCUUUUUUUAGUUUAAAAUAAUAACCCCAUAACGUGACCAGGAGUCACGUUUUAGUAUAAAUCCUAAACGCUGCUUCAGAACAUGUUUUGGAGUGACACCCGGGGCCAUUUUACGGGAUUGUGACUUUAAGGUCCAUAUUGUUACUGAUGGUGACUCACAGGGCCAACACCCCCUUCAAAAAUAGCGCUUGCUUCGGCUUCAAGGACAGUAGCCACCAUGGCUUUACAUAUUGUUUUACCCAUCACAAAAACUCCCUCGCUGUCACGCAGAACCAAACCCAACGAGACCGAGGCCUCACCGAAACGCACACCUGCAUCAACAUUUAGUUUGAGAACUCCAUCCGUCAGCUUUUUCCACUUCACUCGAGAAGAAGAUGCGGAACUAGAAGUACUACCAACCUGAACAACACGCUUAGCUUUAGCCUCCUUCCAGUCAGAAAUAAUCUUAGCGCUCCAAUCCAUAGCUAUAGCAGCUGUAACAACCUUGUGAUCCCAAACCUUCUUGUUUCGAAAAAACCAAAUUCCCCAAAGAACUCGAGCAAUAUUAAAAGUUUCAUGAUCAGGACCUGAUUCAAACCUAGCAAGUAACCAAGAGGGGGCAAACUCCACCAGAGACAAAUCAAAGACCAUACCUGAGUAUUGCCAACAUAACAUUGCAAACUGGCAGGUGAAAAAUAUGUGAAUAAGGUCUUCGUCACCAGAGUUACACAUGGGACAGUCAAGAGAAAGAUUUACUCCCUUAGAUUGUAAUCGACUUUUCACAGGCACAUUAUUCCUGCAAAAACGCCAUAAAAACACUUUGAUCUUAAGAGGAACCUCCAACUGCCAGAGUUUCUUCCACCCACUAGAUUGUGUAACAGUGCCAGUGCCAAUAUUUUGGGCAUGUCAAAACUGGUAACCUGUUUUCACAGAAUUUUGGCUGUUAGUAGUCUUUGACCAAGCUAGACGAUCCACGGUCGACCUACAGGGAACAUAAGUUUUUAAAAAUUAUGUAAUUCAUUCAAUUCCGUAUCAGACAAUACAUCUUAUCAUCGGUGAUAAUGAAAAUAGUGUAGAUGUUUGACCUAGUCCCUGUUUGACAACCAAUAUAAUAAGAAAUAAAUUCUUAUUUUUCUAAAAAAUAUAUUUUUGUAUAUAAAUGUUAAAGAGAUAUUUCUUAUUUGUUGUUUGAAAAAAGUAAAGACUUAUUUCAGAAUAAAAAAAAAUUAUUGUACAUUCUCUUUAUUUCUGAAAAUAAGUUUGGUCAAAUCAUCCAUAAUUCACGUAAUUCAAAAGCCCAUUAAUUUUUUUUUUCUUGCUAAUUGAUCAGCACACGCACACGUUUCCAACUUCCCGCAAAGGGUACAGGAGUACCACCGGAGUACCAUCACACCGACGCUUUGUUGGGCCCAAUAAUUGGCUGAAGUUGAACGGGGCUUUCUGCCUCCGCUGGACCCCAGUUGGGAGGACUCUUUCCAAGUCUUUCGGAGCCUCUUUCCCAUUGACUCCAACUUUCCAGGGUGUAUACAAAUUUUUUGAAAGAGGGUGUAUACAAAUUAUUCACGGCCAUCAAAUCAACCAGCGUAGCUGGUGAACAAAUAUUAUUGUUUAUUAUAAUUUUAUUUAAUUUAAAUGUGAUUAUAAGAACAUAAGAGGACGUUUGAAAGUGUGGGUCUUAUUUCAAACAGUAGAUUUAAAAAAAUAUGAUUUCAAUUGUUAUUUAAAAUUCUUAAAUUUAUAUUAUAUUAAAAUGUUCUUAUUCUAAUUAAUGAGUCACUAUUCGUAUUCUCAAGCAUGUUAGUUUGUUAAAAUUUAAAAUUUCAAAUGAAAUUAGGCUAAAAGACCAUAAUAUCAAAGCAAAAUCUCAUUAUCCAAUAUAUUGGUGGGCAAAAAUAUUAAACCUGGCUAUUCAUUAAUAUUGGUUCUUUAUUCAAAUUAUGUCAAAUUUAUAUAAAAUUUCGAAAAUUAUUUAUGAAUAAGAGUCGGCAUUCAUAUAUUUAUUAAGGAUACAAGUGAGAAAAUGUUAUUAAAUUAAUAUUUUUUUAAUAUACGUAAGUUUUUUAAAAUAAAUUUGUAGCGUGGGACGGGAGUAUUAGACUGAUUCUGGCUUGGAGUGAAUCAGCCCAUAAAGUUUACAGGGUAGAUGACCAUUCUUAAAUCUUAAAGAAUCUUACGGUGACAGCUAACUGAACGACUCGGUUUCAGAAGUGCUGAAAAGUUUCGACGUAAACUACAAUUUGCCUAGCAUGUAAUUUCCAUGCAUUUUCUCGUUACUAGUGACAGAUAACUUUUUUGAUAUUUAUAUAUUUUUAAUUAUAAUAAAGAUACUAGUGAUUAUGGUUAGCUUUUGGAGUACUUUCGGAGUACUUGGAAAUUUUCUUUUCGAGAAAGACGAGAGUACCUAUUUCAAUUUUUUACCAAAAAUUAUAAUUGAAAACAACGGACUUUUAUACUUAUCAUAACAAUUUUUAACAUCUUGUUUAGAAAUAACCUGUUGUUGUAUUAUGCAAAAGUAAUAUCACUAGUUUCUAUAUUCGUAUUCUAAUGAUAAUAAAAACAUCUCUAAUUCAUUAAAACUCUUACAUAGAAAAUGAUAAAAAAAAAAAAGAAGAUAUAAAAUAAUUUAUUAAAAAUAUAUCAAAGNGAAGAUAUAAAAUAAUUUAUUAAAAAUAUAUCAAAGUUUUUGCACUCGGUUAUAAUUAUUGUGUAAUUUCUUUUUUCAAUUCCAAGAUAUUGUUAUAAGAAAAUUUUACAUCAUAUAUAUAUUACAAAAAAAAUUAAUGUAUUCUAUAUAUAUAUAUAUAUAUAUAUAUAUAUAUAUAUAUAUAUAUAUAUAUAUAUAUAUAUACAAUAAANNNNNNNNNNNNNNNNNNNNNNNNNNNNNNNNNNNNNNNNNNNNNNNNNNNNNNNNNNNNNNNNNNNNNNNNNNNNNNNNNNNNNNNNNNNNNNNNNNNNNNNNNNNNNNNNNNNNNNNNNNNNNNNNNNNNNNNNNNNNNNNNNNNNNNNNNNNNNNNNNNNNNNNNNNNNNNNNNNNNNNNNNNNNNNNNNNNNNNNNNNNNNNNNNNNNNNNNNNNNNNNNNNNNNNNNNNNNNNNNNNNNNNNNNNNNNNNNNNNNNNNNNNNNNNNNNNNNNNNNNNNNNNNNNNNNNNNNNNNNNNNNNNNNNNNNNNNNNNNNNNNNNNNNNNNNNNNNNNNNNNNNNNNNNNNNNNNNNNNNNNNNNNNNNNNNNNNNNNNNNNNNNNNNNNNNNNNNNNNNNNNNNNNNNNNNNNNNNNNNNNNNNNNNNNNNNNNNNNNNNNNNNNNNNNNNNNNNNNNNNNNNNNNNNNNNNNNNNNNNNNNNNNNNNNNNNNNNNNNNNNNNNNNNNNNNNNNNNNNNNNNNNNNNNNNNNNNNNNNNNNNNNNNNNNNNNNNNNNNNNNNNNNNNNNNNNNNNNNNNNNNNNNNNNNNNNNNNNNNNNNNNNNNNNNNNNNNNNNNNNNNNNNNNNNNNNNNNNNNNNNNNNNNNNNNNNNNNNNNNNNNNNNNNNNNNNNNNNNNNNNNNNNNNNNNNNNNNNNNNNNNNNNNNNNNNNNNNNNNNNNNNNNNNNNNNNNNNNNNNNNNNNNNNNNNNNNNNNNNNNNNNNNNNNNNNNNNNNNNNNNNNNNNNNNNNNNNNNNNNNNNNNNNNNNNNNNNNNNNNNNNNNNNNNNNNNNNNNNNNNNNNNNNNNNNNNNNNNNNNNNNNNNNNNNNNNNNNNNNNNNNNNNNNNNNNNNNNNNNNNNNNNNNNNNNNNNNNNNNNNNNNNNNNNNNNNNNNNNNNNNNNNNNNNNNNNNNNNNNNNNNNNNNNNNNNNNNNNNNNNNNNNNNNNNNNNNNNNNNNNNNNNNNNNNNNNNNNNNNNNNNNNNNNNNNNNNNNNNNNNNNNNNNNNNNNNNNNNNNNNNNNNNNNNNNNNNNNNNNNNNNNNNNNNNNNNNNNNNNNNNNNNNNNNNNNNNNNNNNNNNNNNNNNNNNNNNNNNNNNNNNNNNNNNNNNNNNNNNNNNNNNNNNNNNNNNNNNNNNNNNNNNNNNNNNNNNNNNNNNNNNNNNNNNNNNNNNNNNNNNNNNNNNNNNNNNNNNNNNNNNNNNNNNNNNNNNNNNNNNNNNNNNNNNNNNNNNNNNNNNNNNNNNNNNNNNNNNNNNNNNNNNNNNNNNNNNNNNNNNNNNNNNNNNNNNNNNNNNNNNNNNNNNNNNNNNNNNNNNNNNNNNNNNNNNNNNNNNNNNNNNNNNNNNNNNNNNNNNNNNNNNNNNNNNNNNNNNNNNNNNNNNNNNNNNNNNNNNNNNNNNNNNNNNNNNNNNNNNNNNNNNNNNNNNNNNNNNNNNNNNNNNNNNNNNNNNNNNNNNNNNNNNNNNNNNNNNNNNNNNNNNNNNNNNNNNNNNNNNNNNNNNNNNNNNNNNNNNNNNNNNNNNNNNNNNNNNNNNNNNNNNNNNNNNNNNNNNNNNNNNNNNNNNNNNNNNNNNNNNNNNNNNNNNNNNNNNNNNNNNNNNNNNNNNNNNNNNNNNNNNNNNNNNNNNNNNNNNNNNNNNNNNNNNNNNNNNNNNNNNNNNNNNNNNNNNNNNNNNNNNNNNNNNNNNNNNNNNNNNNNNNNNNNNNNNNNNNNNNNNNNNNNNNNNNNNNNNNNNNNNNNNNNNNNNNNNNNNNNNNNNNNNNNNNNNNNNNNNNNNNNNNNNNNNNNNNNNNNNNNNNNNNNNNNNNNNNNNNNNNNNNNNNNNNNNNNNNNNNNNNNNNNNNNNNNNNNNNNNNNNNNNNNNNNNNNNNNNNNNNNNNNNNNNNNNNNNNNNNNNNNNNNNNNNNNNNNNNNNNNNNNNNNNNNNNNNNNNNNNNNNNNNNNNNNNNNNNNNNNNNNNNNNNNNNNNNNNNNNNNNNNNNNNNNNNNNNNNNNNNNNNNNNNNNNNNNNNNNNNNNNNNNNNNNNNNNNNNNNNNNNNNNNNNNNNNNNNNNNNNNNNNNNNNNNNNNNNNNNNNNNNNNNNNNNNNNNNNNNNNNNNNNNNNNNNNNNNNNNNNNNNNNNNNNNNNNNNNNNNNNNNNNNNNNNNNNNNNNNNNNNNNNNNNNNNNNNNNNNNNNNNNNNNNNNNNNNNNNNNNNNNNNNNNNNNNNNNNNNNNNNNNNNNNNNNNNNNNNNNNNNNNNNNNNNNNNNNNNNNNNNNNNNNNNNNNNNNNNNNNNNNNNNNNNNNNNNNNNNNNNNNNNNNNNNNNNNNNNNNNNNNNNNNNNNNNNNNNNNNNNNNNNNNNNNNNNNNNNNNNNNNNNNNNNNNNNNNNNNNNNNNNNNNNNNNNNNNNNNNNNNNNNNNNNNNNNNNNNNNNNNNNNNNNNNNNNNNNNNNNNNNNNNNNNNNNNNNNNNNNNNNNNNNNNNNNNNNNNNNNNNNNNNNNNNNNNNNNNNNNNNNNNNNNNNNNNNNNNNNNNNNNNNNNNNNNNNNNNNNNNNNNNNNNNNNNNNNNNNNNNNNNNNNNNNNNNNNNNNNNNNNNNNNNNNNNNNNNNNNNNNNNNNNNNNNNNNNNNNNNNNNNNNNNNNNNNNNNNNNNNNNNNNNNNNNNNNNNNNNNNNNNNNNNNNNNNNNNNNNNNNNNNNNNNNNNNNNNNNNNNNNNNNNNNNNNNNNNNNNNNNNNNNNNNAAUCAUCUGACAGGGCCUAUCCCCCAAAAAGGACAGUUCAGCACAUUCAACAAGGAUUCUUACCUAGGUAACUUUGCCUUGUGUGGAUUACCUUUAACUAAUAACUGUACACACACUGUGUCACCACCACAAGAAGGCGGAACUGGUGACAAUGAUGCCUAUGAUGAACCCGAUUGGGAAGUGAUCCUCAUGGGAUAUGGAUGUGGACUAAUAUGCGGAUUGUCCACUGGGUACGUUGUCUUCACAUUCAGAAAGCCUCAGUGGUUUAUGAGAUACACUGAAAGCGUGCAACAGAAGUUGAUGAGAUGAUGCAUGUUGAGUACCGUUCAAUCAUGAAGCACAACUGGAAACAAUGUUAUCUUAGGAAAACAUGUGUUCUGAACCAGUAGUGUUUGCACAAAAUUUGUGGUGCUAUGUAAUACUUAUAUAAUUGUACGUAUGAUUAUUGAUUAGUCGUUGAGAAAAUGCAUUUUAUUUCAGUGUCAAUGAUAAUCUACAUGUUUUGGAUACUUCCAGCUUCUCAUACUAAUAUAGGAACCACUUGAAAAAUUUUGCGAUGCAAAGCAGGGACUCAUGAGUAUUUUCAUAUGUGUAUUAGUUUUGAAGAUAAAAGUUGUAUGGACAAUUGUGUUGAUAAUUUGCGCAAUGAUAACUGGGAUAGGUCAUCUUCUCUCCCAAGUCUUGGAUGGACUCUUUCCAAGUCUUCUGAGAACCCAUCAGCUCAGAUUAGUCCAUACAAUGUCAAGGGUCCUAUGAUAUGGUCUACUAACAGCCCAGUGUCGGUAAUAAAUCCAAUUGCAUAUAACCUAUUCAAAAUCAAUCCCCUAUAAACAAUCAUCUCUAAAAACUAUUCACAUAAAAUAAAAUUUUAAAAAUAUAAAAUAUCUAGUUGUUUUCAAUAUAUAAUUUUCCACAGUAGAUAACAAAAUAUCUUUAUCAAAUUAUAUUAUUUAUGGGUUCAAUAUUUAAGCUAUAAUUCCAAUAACACGGCAAGCAUGCAUGCAGCAUAUAAAUAGAAGUGUGCAGUAUGUAUGGUAUUCAUAACCCAGUUGAGGAGAAACAUGGCACACUUUGUAAAGCCUUCUCACCUUCUUCUCUUUGUUUUCUUUCUCUCAUCACUUGAGUCCAUUCUUGCAACAAGACGAGAGGGAGAGGGAGAAGCUCUUGUGAAAUGGAAGAAUAGCCUAGCCCCUUCUUCUUUUCUCGACUCUUGGUCACUCACCAAUCUCGAUAAUCUUUGUAACUGGACUGGCAUUACUUGUAACUCUGCAGGUUCAGUCACUGAGAUUAACCUUUUCGGAAAAAAACUUGAUGGAAGGCUGUCCGAGUUUGGUUUCACUUCAUUUCCAAAUCUCAACAAUCUCACCCUUGCAGAUAACUUCUUCUUGGGUCCAAUACCACCAGCCAUUGAGAAUUUAACACAGCUUCAGUAUCUUGAUUUAAGCUUUAAUUAUCUCGAUGGUCCCAUUCCGUUCCAGGUUAGCCAUCUUCAAAGGUUGCUUGUCUUAAACGUGUCACAGAAUGCAUUGCAUUCUCCAAAUUGGUCCAAUUUCUCAAACAGAUGAAAUUAUGCAACUGAAAUUGAUGUAGUCUUAAAGAAUUCUCAGGCACUUAAACAUGUUUCAAAGAAUUCUCAGGCACUUAAACAUUUGGACGGGUUCUUUGGAAGCCAAGAUGCCCAGGUUAUCAUGGCCAUGCACAAAAUGCAGUAUAAAAAAAAAAUGAAUACCUUAAGAGAGAUUGCUCUGGGUCUCCCCAAGCCUUCUAGACUCAUUCCAAGUCUUCUGAGGACCACUGCCUCGCGCUUUCAAAGAUGUGAUGGUAGCUCGGGAGUGAUAUAAAUUAUUUUCGGGACACUAAUAAUAAAUAAUCAGAUCAAAUUAAUCAUCAAUAAUAAAUUGAGGAUACGAAAUCAAAAUUAAUCCUAAAUUUUGAUAAUAUAUAAAAAUUACUUUACGUACACUGUUUGCACGCAUUUUGAGCUCGUAUAAAGUAUAGUUUCAUAACUUUUUUUAAAAAAUUUCUUUUUUGAUAAAAGUUUAAACGUCAAACUUUUAUUCAGAGAAAAAAAAUUAAAAAAUAUAUCACGGAACUAUACUUUAAAUUAGUAUGGAAAAACGUGCCAAAAUUAACGUAAAGAAAUGAGGGGAACAAAGAUAGUAUAAUUAUAUUAUAAAUUAAAAUUGAAAUAACUUACGUGGCACUGAAAUUGAUAAAGGCAAUAUGGUUAAAUUGAUGAAAAGUCAAAGUCCUCUAAUAAAUCCAUAAAGAAUAUAAUAAUCAAAACGACGAAAAUUAUAAAUGAAAAAUCAAAAUCAUCCUAAUAAGUACACAAAAAGAAUAUGAUCGUUAGUGUAUUGGAAUAGUGUGCACACACUUAUAUAUCAAAAUUUGUGGUCCAAAAGCUAUGGCACAAUAUUCUAAAUACACCACAUUAAGUAAUAGUUCAAAAAUAUUCAAUAUAUAAUUGUUUUCAUUCAUAAUUUUGUUAUUAUUUUAAAAAAUAAUUUGGUUGCUGUUAACCUAUAUUUCAAUUAUAUAAUUAUAUUAUUUUUUAUUUUAUGUAUCUAGAAACAAUAUUUUUGUAAUAUUUAUUACAUUAAUUAUAUUAAAAGAUAUAAUUUGUUAAAAACUUGAAUAAAAUUAAGAGGAUAACUUUAUGUCUCUCCAAGUUCACAGCACGGGUGAGCAUUGGGUUCGGAUAUCCAUAUACCGAAUGGAUAUAUCAAAUCAAAACUAAUCAUGAAUUAUGAUAAUAAUUAAAUAAAUUAUAAUUAAGCUAUAUGAAUCAACUCCAAAUGACAACAACAGCACCAAACCUUAGUUACUUUAAUAUUGGUAAAUAAAUAUAAUAUAAUAAUCAAAUUGAUGAAAAAUCACAUCAUCUAAUAAAUUCACAAAAAAUAUAUGAUCAUUAGUAUAUUAUAUUAGUAUCCACACACUUAUAUUUCAAAAUCUAUCCUCCAAAAUUAUCAUCUCUGUAAGCUAGCCACAUAAAAUAAAAAAUUUAAAGAUAUUAGAUAUUUAGUUAUUUUCAUUAUAUAAUUUUUCCACACGAAAUAACAAAAUAUCUUUAUCAAAUUAUUAUUUAUGAGUUAAAUAUUCAAGUUAUAAAUCCAGUAUUCAGCGUAUAAAUAGAAGUGUGCAGUAUGAUAUCAGAUUCACAUAACCCAGUUGAUGAGGAGAAACAUGGCAUACUCUGCAAAGCCUUCUCACCUUCUUCUCUUUGUUUUCUUUCUCUCAUCACUUGAAUCCAUUCUUGCAACAACACGAGAGGGAGAAGCUCUUGUGAAAUGGAAGAAUAGCCUAGCCCCUUCUUCUUUUCUCGAUUCUUGGUCCCUCACCAAUCUCGAAAAUCUUUGUAACUGGACUGGCAUUACUUGUAACUCUGCAGGUUCAGUCUCUGAGAUUAACCUCUGUGAGAAACAACUUGAUGGAAUGCUGUCCGACUUCGGUUUCACUUCAUUUCCAAAUCUCAAGAAUCUCACCCUCGCAUACAACUUCUUCUCGGGUCCAAUACCACCAGCCAUUCAGAACUUAACAAGGCUUCAAUGCCUUGAUUUAAGCUUUAAUUAUCUCAAUGGUCCUAUUCCGUUCCAGGUGAGCCAUCUUCAGAGCUUGCUCAUCUUGAACCUGUCACAGAAUGCAUUGCAAACUCCAAAUUGGUCCCAUUUCUCUCCCAUGCCUUUCUUGCGCAUCCUCAACCUCAGUUACAAUCCUCUUGCGUCGAAAUUCCCAGAUUUUAUAUCCAGUUCUCAUAGCCUGACUCACCUUAGCCUUAAUUAUAACGAGUUUACUGGUGAUUUAGUACGUGAAUCAGUAUUUGCCGAUCUGCAUAAUCUUGAAAAGCUCAGUCUUGUUGGCAAUUCUUUCGAGGGGCCAUUUCCGCCGGAUAUAUUCAGGCUUUCCAAAUUAAAACAUCUUAGCAUGUCAGAUAACAAACUUUCAGGUUCAAUUCCCAAUGACAUAAGGUUGCUUUGUGAUCUUGAAUACCUAUAUUUAGCCAACAAUUCCUUUGAAGGACCGCUUCCACCAAAUAUAUUCAAGUUUUCAAAAUUAAAACAUCUUGUUCUUUGGGGUAAUAAGUUUUCUGGUUCUGUUUCCAAUGAUAUAGGUUUGCUUUCUGAGCUUGAAACUCUCGAUCUUAGCUCUAAUUUUUUUGAGGGGCCGCUUCCGCCAAAUGUAUUCAAGCUCUCCAAACUAAAAGUUCUCACCCUGUCAAUUAACAAAUUUUUAGGUUCAAUUCCCAAUGACAUAAGGUUACUUUGUGAUCUUGAAUACCUAUAUUUAGGCAACAAUUCCUUUGAAGGACCGCUUCCACCAGGUAUAUUCAAGCUUUCAAAAUUAAAACAUCUUUUUCUUUGGGGUAAUAAGUUUUCAGGUUCUGUUUUCAAUGAUAUAUGUUUGCUUUCUGAGCUUGAAACCCUCGAUCUUAACUCUAAUUUUUUUGAGGGGCCGCUUCCGCCAAAUGUAUUCAAGCUCUCCAAACUAAAGAUUCUUUCCCUUUAUGUGAACAACUUUUCAGGUUUUAUUUCUAAGGAUAUAGGUUGGCUUUUUGAACUUGAAACCCUCUAUCUUGGCUCUAAUUUUUUUGAGGGGCCGCUUCCCCCACAUGUAUUUAGGCUCUCCAAAUUAAGAGAUUUGGACCUCUCAGACAAUAGAAAUUUAUUUGAAGGAAGUAUUCCUAUUGGACUGGGACUCUUGACUAACCUCAGGUACUUAGAUCUACAUUUCAGUAAUCUCAGUGGCUAUAUUCCAUCUGACAUUGGAAACCUGAAGCUACUAGUACUUCUUGAUCUCAGUUCUAAUAAAUUGACUGGACCGCUUUCAAAGAUCAUUUCUAAUCUCACAAAUCUUAUAUUUCUUGAUGUAAGUGAUAAUAGUCUUAGUGGAAAUAUUCAGAGUGACUUGUGGAAAUAUAACGAUCAUCCAACUUUGGAAUACAUCGAUUUAAGUGGGAACCAUUUUACGGGUAUAGUUUUUCUCUAUAGAUCUUUUCUUUUUCUCAUAUGUAACUAAGCUAGUAAUCUGAUUAUUGCAGUUUCACCAAAGUUUCAACAAUCUUGACAGGUGAGCUUCCAACAACAAUUUGCAAUGUCACUUCCCUUUUGGUUCUUGAUUUGUCAAAUAAUGAAUUAAGUGGUGCACUUCCAAACUGUUUCGGGAAUCUUGCUGAUAGAUUGCUUUUCAUUAAUCUUGCUAAUAAUCAGUUUCGAGGAACAAUACCAACUACUUUCUCCAGGAGUUGUCAGCUGACAUAUCUAAACAUGGAUAAUAAUGAGUUUGAAGGAUUGUUGCGCCCAUCUUUGGCGAACUGUAAGCACUUGAAAAUUCUUGAUAUUGGCAAUAAUAAAAUAGGUGGUACAUUUCCGUCAUGGCUUUAUGCACUUGGAGAGCUAGAAGUCCUUGUCUUGCGAUCAAAUAAACUCUAUGGUACAAUAAGUGGGAGGAGCAUAGAAAAUCCCUUCCCCAAGUUGCGGAUUGUGGAUCUGUCCAACAAUCAAUUCACUGGCCAUUUGCCAAUUCAAUACUUUAAGAAUAUGAAAUCAACUGAUAAUUUGUAUAGUUAUCAGAAUGACACAGGAGUUUUUUCUUUCCAUUAUGAAGCAUCUGUAUCAUUAACUGUGAAGGGAACAGAGUAUGAAGUGAAAAAUAUCCUUCAUAUUUACACAACCAUUGAUCUGUCCUGCAACAAGUUUCAAGGAGAAAUUCCUGACGUUAUUGGAGAGCUUAGAUGGCUUGCAUUGCUGAACUUAUCUCAUAAUAGUCUAACAGGACAUAUCCCAUCAUUGCUGAGAAAUAUGAAAGGACUCCAAUCUUUAGAUUUGUCUUCAAAUCAACUGACAGGGGCUAUUCCACCUCAGUUAACUGCAUUGACAUUUCUAGAGGUCUUGAACCUCUCGGGAAACCAUCUUAGUGGAGAGAUUCCUCAGAAAGGACAGUUCAGCACAUUCAACAAUGAUUCUUAUCUAGGAAACUCCGCGUUAUGUGGAUCACCUUUGACAAAGAAAUGUGUAAACACAGCAUCACCUCCACAGGAAGUCGGAAAUGGUGAUGAAGAUGAUGCUGGCGAUGAAUGGACAUGGGAAGCAAUCGUGAUGGGAUAUGGAUGUGGACUGAUAUGUGGAUUGUCGUCUGCGUACAUUGUUCUCAGACUAGGAAGGCCUUGGUGGUUUGUGAGAUAUAUCGAAGUACUGCAACUGAAGUUGAUGAAAAGAUAUGCAUGAAGAAAGGUACUGGUAGAUCAAGAUGAACUUGAAAGUUAUUUUCGUGGAUGACAUUUGUGAACCAGUACUGUACUAGCUGCUUAAGUAUUUGGUAUUAUGUAAUAAUCCGUUUGGUCGGGACUCAUAAUGAUAUUUCUUGCUUCAGGGGUAUUAAUAUAAACCUUGGUAUUGUGUACUAGCUGUCUGUUUGGUCGUGACUCAUAAUCUUUCAUGUAUUAACAUAAGGUUUUAAUACAUCCCGUACCAGGUUAGCCAUCUUCAGAUAUUACACAUCUUACUGCUGUCGCAUAAUGAAUUGCAAUCUCCAAAUUGGUCCAACUUCUCUUCCAUGCCCUUUUUGCGCAUCCUCGGCCUUGGCAGCAAUAAUCUGGUGUCAAAAUUCCCAGAAUUUAUAUCUGACUCUCAUAGCCUCACUUUCCUUGACCUUUCUUUUAACAAGUUUACAGGUGAUCUUGUGCUUGAAUCAAUUUUUACCGAUCUACAUAAUCUUGAAAACCUCCAUCUUGCUGGAAAUUCCUUUGAGGGGCCGAUUCCACCUAGAGUAUUUAAGCUUUCCAAUUUAAAAGUUCUUGAACUCACGGGUAAUAACUUUUCUCGUUCUAUUUCCAACGAUAUAGGUUUGCUUUCUGAACUUGAGACCCUCUAUCUUGACUUCAAUUUUUUUGAUGGACCAAUUCCCCCAAAUAUAUUCAACCUUUCCCAAUUAAAAAUUCUUGAACUAACAGAAAAUAACUUUUCUGGUCCUGUUUCCAAUGAUAUAAGUUUGCUUUCUGAGCUUGAAAACCUCAAUCUUGCCUUAAAUUCUUCUGAUGGGCCUUUUCCAUCAAAGAUAUUCAACCUAACCAAAUUGAGACAUCUAAAUCUCUAUGGCAAUAAGAAUUUAUUUAAAGGAAGUAUCCCACUGGAUAUCAGAAACCUGAAGCUCCUGGAAUCUAUUAAUCUCGGUUCUAAUCAAUUGGUUGGACCACUUUCAAUGCUCAUUUCUAAUCUCACUAAUCUUAAGAUGGUUGGGCUAAGCGAUAAUAGGUUUUUUGGCAAAAUUCCUAGUGACUUCUUGAAAAACUUGCCAUCCUUACACGUCAUUGAUCUUUCAAAUAAUAAUUUGUCCGGAAAUAUUCCCAGGGAGUAUAACGUGCAUCCAAUUUUAGAAUACAUCAAUUUAAGUGGAAACCAUCUUACAGGUUUACUUCUCCCUCAAUAUAUUUUAUUUUCCUUUUGUAUGUUACAUUGAUUACACUUUUACCGAAGCUCAAACAAUUUUAACAGGUGAGAUCCCAGCAACAAUUUGCAAUGCUACAAACCUUUAUAUUCUGGUUCUGUCAGAUAAUGGAUUAAGUGGUGCCCUUCCGCAUUGUUUGGGAAAUCUUGCAGAUAAAAUGCAUUGCAUUGAUCUCGCUAAUAAUCAGUUCCGAGGACCAAUACCAACAACCUUCUCAGAGAGUUGCCAGUUAAGAUAUCUAAACAUGUAUGACAAUCAGUUAGAAGGACUUUUGCCCCGAUCUUUGUCAAACUGUAAGCACUUGAAAAUUCUUGACAUCGGGAACAACAAAAUGGGCGGUACAUUUCCUUCAUGGCUAUUCACUCUCAGAGAGCUAGAAGUCCUAGUCUUGCAAUCAAAUAAACUGUAUGGUCCAGUAAGUGGAAGGAGCACACAUCACAUCCAUUCCCCAAGUUGCGGAUUCUAGAUCUCUCCAACAACCAAUUCACGGGCUAUUUGCCAAUUCAAUACUCUUUAAGAAUAUGAAACCAGCUGCUGAUAACAUUUGUCUUAGGAUGACACAUGUUCUAAACUAUGACAAUAGUAUGCAAUCUCGUUUAAUACUUUCAUAUUAUGAACUAGUUCUGUUGAAUAAAUAAAUAUUAUUAAUUAAUCAAUCAUGUGCGCUCGAGUUUCCCUGGCCAGAUGCCCAGAUUAUUAGAGCAUCUCCAGCAGAGUCUUAACCGGUUCUCUAAAUAUAUAAUAAAAUAUGUAUCUUUUAAGGGAUUACUACAUUUUAGUGAAUGAGAACUCCAACAACAUUCCCUAUUUACAUUCUCUAUUAUUAUUAUAAUAUUAUAUUCAACUUGUAAUAAGAGAGAGAAAGUUUGGAAAGAGUAAAAGUGAGAAAAAAUAAGUGAAUAUUUUAUUCUUCAGAAUAAUAUAAGGAAAGAAAAUGCCAAAACAAUUAACUAUAAUCUACGCAAUAAUUUUUUAUAUUGAUUAGACGUUAUCUUUAUCAAUAUUUAGUCAGAUAUUCGGAUAUAUAUCAUUCCCUUUGUUUUUAUACCAUCUUUUUUUUGACUUUCGGGCCAAAUCACUACGUGGGUUGACUGGAUAGUAGAAAUUAAUAUUUUUGUCUGUUUUUUAAAAUAAAAAUCUGUAUUUUUAUUUUGAUUUCGAAGAAUAUAAUCCAUAAGGUAAAUAAUUUUUAANNNNNNNNNNNNNNNNNNNNNNNNNNNNNNNNNNNNNNNNNNNNNNNNNNNNNNNNNNNNNNNNNNNNNNNNNNNNNNNNNNNNNNNNNNNNNNNNNNNNNNNNNNNNNNNNNNNNNNNNNNNNNNNNNNNNNNNNNNNNNNNNNNNNNNNNNNNNNNNNNNNNNNNNNNNNNNNNNNNNNNNNNNNNNNNNNNNNNNNNNNNNNNNNNNNNNNNNNNNNNNNNNNNNNNNNNNNNNNNNNNNNNNNNNNNNNNNNNNNNNNNNNNNNNNNNNNNNNNNNNNNNNNNNNNNNNNNNNNNNNNNNNNNNNNNNNNNNNNNNNNNNNNNNNNNNNNNNNNNNNNNNNNNNNNNNNNNNNNNNNNNNNNNNNNNNNNNNNNNNNNNNNNNNNNNNNNNNNNNNNNNNNNNNNNNNNNNNNNNNNNNNNNNNNNNNNNNNNNNNNNNNNNNNNNNNNNNNNNNNNNNNNNNNNNNNNNNNNNNNNNNNNNNNNNNNNNNNNNNNNNNNNNNNNNNNNNNNNNNNNNNNNNNNNNNNNNNNNNNNNNNNNNNNNNNNNNNNNNNNNNNNNNNNNNNNNNNNNNNNNNNNNNNNNNNNNNNNNNNNNNNNNNNNNNNNNNNNNNNNNNNNNNNNNNNNNNNNNNNNNNNNNNNNNNNNNNNNNNNNNNNNNNNNNNNNNNNNNNNNNNNNNNNNNNNNNNNNNNNNNNNNNNNNNNNNNNNNNNNNNNNNNNNNNNNNNNNNNNNNNNNNNNNNNNNNNNNNNNNNNNNNNNNNNNNNNNNNNNNNNNNNNNNNNNNNNNNNNNNNNNNNNNNNNNNNNNNNNNNNNNNNNNNNNNNNNNNNNNNNNNNNNNNNNNNNNNNNNNNNNNNNNNNNNNNNNNNNNNNNNNNNNNNNNNNNNNNNNNNNNNNNNNNNNNNNNNNNNNNNNNNNNNNNNNNNNNNNNNNNNNNNNNNNNNNNNNNNNNNNNNNNNNNNNNNNNNNNNNNNNNNNNNNNNNNNNNNNNNNNNNNNNNNNNNNNNNNNNNNNNNNNNNNNNNNNNNNNNNNNNNNNNNNNNNNNNNNNNNNNNNNNNNNNNNNNNNNNNNNNNNNNNNNNNNNNNNNNNNNNNNNNNNNNNNNNNNNNNNNNNNNNNNNNNNNNNNNNNNNNNNNNNNNNNNNNNNNNNNNNNNNNNNNNNNNNNNNNNNNNNNNNNNNNNNNNNNNNNNNNNNNNNNNNNNNNNNNNNNNNNNNNNNNNNNNNNNNNNNNNNNNNNNNNNNNNNNNNNNNNNNNNNNNNNNNNNNNNNNNNNNNNNNNNNNNNNNNNNNNNNNNNNNNNNNNNNNNNNNNNNNNNNNNNNNNNNNNNNNNNNNNNNNNNNNNNNNNNNNNNNNNNNNNNNNNNNNNNNNNNNNNNNNNNNNNNNNNNNNNNNNNNNNNNNNNNNNNNNNNNNNNNNNNNNNNNNNNNNNNNNNNNNNNNNNNNNNNNNNNNNNNNNNNNNNNNNNNNNNNNNNNNNNNNNNNNNNNNNNNNNNNNNNNNNNNNNNNNNNNNNNNNNNNNNNNNNNNNNNNNNNNNNNNNNNNNNNNNNNNNNNNNNNNNNNNNNNNNNNNNNNNNNNNNNNNNNNNNNNNNNNNNNNNNNNNNNNNNNNNNNNNNNNNNNNNNNNNNNNNNNNNNNNNNNNNNNNNNNNNNNNNNNNNNNNNNNNNNNNNNNNNNNNNNNNNNNNNNNNNNNNNNNNNNNNNNNNNNNNNNNNNNNNNNNNNNNNNNNNNNNNNNNNNNNNNNNNNNNNNNNNNNNNNNNNNNNNNNNNNNNNNNNNNNNNNNNNNNNNNNNNNNNNNNNNNNNNNNNNNNNNNNNNNNNNNNNNNNNNNNNNNNNNNNNNNNNNNNNNNNNNNNNNNNNNNNNNNNNNNNNNNNNNNNNNNNNNNNNNNNNNNNNNNNNNNNNNNNNNNNNNNNNNNNNNNNNNNNNNNNNNNNNNNNNNNNNNNNNNNNNNNNNNNNNNNNNNNNNNNNNNNNNNNNNNNNNNNNNNNNNNNNNNNNNNNNNNNNNNNNNNNNNNNNNNNNNNNNNNNNNNNNNNNNNNNNNNNNNNNNNNNNNNNNNNNNNNNNNNNNNNNNNNNNNNNNNNNNNNNNNNNNNNNNNNNNNNNNNNNNNNNNNNNNNNNNNNNNNNNNNNNNNNNNNNNNNNNNNNNNNNNNNNNNNNNNNNNNNAUAUACACUUCCAUUUCCACUUUCCAGUAUUAAGUUUAGAAUUAAGAUCUUAACAACAUAGCAAUCAUUUAAACCUCGAAGAAAAUUGUGCACAUUAACAAGACCAAAGAGAAAACAGAUAGCAUAAAAUUGUGUAACACGUAUAAUUUAAAUCCACUUCUCAGUAUACUCCACAUUCAAGGUGAUCUAACUGCUACAAUAUUCUAAUUUUCACAGCUACGACACUGAACAAUAUAAGAACCAGUUUACUGUAAGUUUACUGAACAUAUAUAUACGACAUUGAACAAUAUAAAAUAGCUAUCCUUUGUAAGACCAAAAACAAAGGACACUAGCUAGCUAAUUCAAUAUACAAAACCACUCCAAUCAGUUUAUGAUAAGCAACUACAAACAUACAAAUACAUAUAAACAUACAAAUACAUAUAAACAUACUAUCUCAUUUUCCAAAAACCACAACUACAAACUAUCUCAUUUUCCAAAAACACACACUGAAAUACAUAUAUACAUACACAUACAACCACAAGGAUACCCAAACUCAAGUAAUAAAUAAGAAAUUACCUCCUCCAACUCGAAGAGAGCUUGAAUAGACUUGAACAGAGCUUGAACAGACUCCGAGCUCGAACUCCCUACAAACUCGAACUGAAGUACGAGCACCCACUAAACCCACAAACUCCACACUCGAACUGAACUCUGAGAUCUGUUGAAAAAACGAAUUAAAGAAGCAAAUGAGUAUUGUAAUCGAACAAACAUCAGUUUAUUAGGUACAAAUCAACCUUUAUCGCACAAAUUUAAGGAUGAAAUCGGCCGAAUUGGAACCUAGGGUUCGCUCGCUGAGAAAGGGGGAAGAACGGGGAGAGAGAAUGUAUUUUGUACAAAUGAUUUAAUUUAGGUAGUUUUAUUAGUUUUAUGUCUUUUUCCUUUUAAUUUUAUGUUUAAAGACAGGUGUUGAUGUCUUGUUCAGACAACACAUCAACUAAGCAGCGGGGUUUUAAAGGCGGGGUUUUUUUGUUUGUGAAAAAUUUGGCUAAGUGGGGAAUAGAAGCGGGGAAGCGCGGCCAAUUUUUUAAAAACAUGUUUUAGACAUCGGUUCUACACUAAGAUGAUGUCUAGUUUUUUAAUAGACAUCGGUUUUUAAAAUUUCGAUGUAAAAAAGGGUUUUAACAUCGGUGGUUUUUUUAACCGAUGUCUAAUCUGUGAUGUCUGAUCCUGUUUUUCUAGUAGUGAUCACUGCAACAAAAUAUUAGUUACGACGGAACAAUGUCGCUGGACUUUAUUUGUUUACAUUUUUUUAAUAGUAGUUAAUUUUUAAACUUGCGACGGAAAACAUACGACAGUCUACUUCGCGAGAGAAAAUCAUUUUAUUUUAUUUUUUAGCGCCAGAAUUUUAAUACUAAACUACUAUAGGGCCGUUUGGGCUAGCUUAAAAAAAGUGAUUUUUUACUUACAGUAAAGAAGUGGAUUAAAAGUGAGAAGCAAAUAAGUCAAUAAAAUGUUUGGAAAAGAAGUAGAAGCUGUGAGAGAGAAGUUAGCAUUCUCAGCUUCUUAAAAGUGCUUCUGCUUAUUUACAUAAACGGGUAAAAAAAAAAAAGCAAAAGCCAGAAGCAGCUUCUACUUCUCGAAACAAACAGGGCCAAUAUAUAUGAAGGAAACUGAUCUCUAUUGUUUUCAGCUUGCUCAUCCAUGGUAAGUAAUCCGUCGAAAAAGUUAGUUUGUUGUCGUGGUGUCUUAUCAUGAGAGAAAAUGGUAAUAUCGCAAAAUAUUUGCAACUGAAAGAUAAAUUAUAGUUCUAGAAACCAUUUAGGUAACGAUGCGCGGAGUUAUUUUCACUCACUUAGAAUUAAUGAUAAAUAUUUGCAACUGAAAGAUACAUUAUAGUUCUAGAAAAGGAUCCACGGAAUUAUUUUCACUCACUUAGAAUUAAUCCUAAGUUAUUGUGAGUUUUUGAAUAUGGAUUAUCUCAAAUUUUAUUAAAACACAUAUCGAUUCAUAUAGACAAAUUUGCCUACCUAAUAUUAUAAUAUUUAUGGCGAAGUUGUAUGAACAAUUGUGUAGAUAAUUAUACUUUACAAAGCAUACUUCUGCUAGCUGAAUUUUGAUUAAAAAAUCGAAAGGGAUAGGUCUGGGUCUCUCCAAGUCUUUGAGGACUCAUUCCAAGUCUUCUGAUGAGGACAAAAUAUAUCGCUGGUAGUCUUUCAGUCCUUCCUAGAGUAUUUUAUGCUCUGCACUGCAUUUGUGUUGAUAAUUUGCGCAAUGUUGAUGAGGAUUGCUCCAAGUCUUGGCGGACUCUUUCCAAAUCUUCCGAGGACCUAUCGGUUCAAUUUAGCCCAUUAAAAAUUUUAUUAUCUCAAAGCUAUCUGCAAAAUAAUAUAUAAGGUAAAAAUGAAUAUAUACCAUUGUUUUGUGAUUAAGUUGUAUAGGCAAUAUGCAUUGCAAAAUCAGCAACAGGAUAUAUGAAUACUAAUUAAUUACCUGAUAUCAGUAUGAACAAAUACUUUCUAUGUAGUUGUAAUAUUAGUCUUCUUUAAAAGUUAUCAUGAGGGAAGGUAUAUAUUGUGAUGCGGGAGAAAUAUUGUCACUGAAAAUAAUUAUAAUUCUAAAAUUUCCAUUAUACACUUUUUUUAGUGUUUGUACGUGGUAAGUACUUCAGACGACAUUUCUCGCGUAUGCCUCCGAUUAAGAAUUUGAUGUUCAGCCUAGUCCUAAACUAAAAUUAUUAUAAAUGUGUACUUCAAAAUUAUAUAUAUUGCUGGUAGUCUUUCAGUUCUUCCUGGUGUAUGCAAUUGUUUCAUUCAAUACCAAUUAUUUUAUACUAUGCACUCUGAUAUCAUGUUGAGAACAAUCCAUCAAAAACUUUAAACCUUAAUUAAGGUGUUAGAGGAAAAUACCAAUUAGAUCUUAUGCUAUAUUUCAAUACUUCCAACACUCUGCGAUGCAAAGCAGGGACUCUUGAGUAUUUUCAUAUGUGUAUUAGUUUUGAAGAUAAAAGUUGUAUAGAGAAUUGUGUUGAUAAUUUGCGCAAUUGCGCAAUGAUAACUGGGAUAGGUCAUCUUCUCUCCCAAGUCUUGGAUGGAAUCUUUCCAAGUCUUCUGAGAACCCAUCAGCUCAGAUUAGUCCAUACAAUGUCAAGGGUCCUAUGAUAUGGUCUACUAACAGCCCAGUGUCGGUAAUAAAUCCAAUUGCAUAUAACCUAUUCAAAAUCAAUCCCCUAUAAACAAUCAUCUCUAAAAACUAUUCACAUAAAAUAAAAUUUUAAAAAUAUAAAAUAUCUAGUUGUUUUCAAUAUAUAAUUUUCCACAGUAGAUAACANNNNNNNNNNNNNNNNNNNNNNNNNNNNNNNNNNNNNNNNNNNNNNNNNNNNNNNNNNNNNNNNNNNNNNNNNNNNNNNNNNNNNNNNNNNNNNNNNNNNNNNNNNNNNNNNNNNNNNNNNNNNNNNNNNNNNNNNNNNNNNNNNNNNNNNNNNNNNNNNNNNNNNNNNNNNNNNNNNNNNNNNNNNNNNNNNNNNNNNNNNNNNNNNNNNNNNNNNNNNNNNNNNNNNNNNNNNNNNNNNNNNNNNNNNNNNNNNNNNNNNNNNNNNNNNNNNNNNNNNNNNNNNNNNNNNNNNNNNNNNNNNNNNNNNNNNNNNNNNNNNNNNNNNNNNNNNNNNNNNNNNNNNNNNNNNNNNNNNNNNNNNNNNNNNNNNNNNNNNNNNNNNNNNNNNNNNNNNNNNNNNNNNNNNNNNNNNNNNNNNNNNNNNNNNNNNNNNNNNNNNNNNNNNNNNNNNNNNNNNNNNNNNNNNNNNNNNNNNNNNNNNNNNNNNNNNNNNNNNNNNNNNNNNNNNNNNNNNNNNNNNNNNNNNNNNNNNNNNNNNNNNNNNNNNNNNNNNNNNNNNNNNNNNNNNNNNNNNNNNNNNNNNNNNNNNNNNNNNNNNNNNNNNNNNNNNNNNNNNNNNNNNNNNNNNNNNNNNNNNNNNNNNNNNNNNNNNNNNNNNNNNNNNNNNNNNNNNNNNNNNNNNNNNNNNNNNNNNNNNNNNNNNNNNNNNNNNNNNNNNNNNNNNNNNNNNNNNNNNNNNNNNNNNNNNNNNNNNNNNNNNNNNNNNNNNNNNNNNNNNNNNNNNNNNNNNNNNNNNNNNNNNNNNNNNNNNNNNNNNNNNNNNNNNNNNNNNNNNNNNNNNNNNNNNNNNNNNNNNNNNNNNNNNNNNNNNNNNNNNNNNNNNNNNNNNNNNNNNNNNNNNNNNNNNNNNNNNNNNNNNNNNNNNNNNNNNNNNNNNNNNNNNNNNNNNNNNNNNNNNNNNNUGUAUUAGUUUUGUAAGAUAAAAGUUGUAUGGACAAUUGUGUUGUAUAAUUUGCGCAAUGAUAACUGGGAUAGGUCAUCUUCUCUCCCAAGUCUUGGAUGGAAUCUUUCCAAGUCUUCUGAGAACCCAUCAGCUCAGAUUAGUCCAUACAAUGUCAAGGGUCCUAUGAUAUGGUCUACUAACAGCCCAGUGUCGGUAAUAAAUCCAAUUGCAUAUAACCUAUUCAAAAUCAAUCCCCUAUAAACAAUCAUCUCUAAAAACUAUUCACAUAAAAUAAAAUUUUAAAAAUAUAAAAUAUCUAGUUGUUUUCAAUAUAUAAUUUUCCACAGUAGAUAACAAAAUAUCUUUAUCAAAUUGUUAUUUAUGGGUUCAAUAUUUAAGCUAUAAUUCCAAUAACACGGCAAGCAUGCAGCGUAUAAAUAGAAGUGUGCAGUAUGUUAUCAGAUUCAUAACCCAGUUGAUCAGGAGAAACAUGGCAUACUCUGCAAAGCCUUCUCACCUUCUUCUCUUUGUUUUCUUUCUCUCAUCACUUGAAUCCAUUCUUGCAACAACACGAGAAGGAGAAGCUCUUGUGAAAUGGAAGAAUAGCCUAGCCCCUUCUUCUUUUCUCGAUUCUUGGUCCCUCACCAAUCUCGAAAAUCUUUGUAACUGGACUGGCAUUACUUGUAACUCUGCAGGUUCAGUCUCUGAGAUUAAUCUCUGUGAGAAACAACUUAAUGGAAUGCUGUCCGAGUUUGGUUUCACUUCAUUUCCAAAUCUCAACUAUCUCACACUCGCAGACAACUUCUUCUCCGGUCCAAUACCACCAGCCAUUGAGAAUUUAACACAGCUUCAAUAUCUUGAUUUGAGAAAUAAUUAUCUAGAUGGUCCCAUUCCGUUCCAGGUUAGCCAUCUUCAGAGCUUGCUCAUAUUAAACCUGUCACAGAAUGCAUUGCAAGCUACAAAUUGGUCCAAUUUCUCUCCCAUGCCUUUUUUGCGCAUCCUCAACCUCAGUAGCAAUCAUCUUGUAUCGAAAUUCCCAGAAUUUAUAUCCAAUUCUCAUAGCUUGGCUAUCCUUGACCUUUCACAUAACAACUUUACAGGUGAUCUUGUGCGUGAAUUUACCAAUCUACAAAAUCUUGAAACCCUCUGGCUUUAUUGUAAUUCUUUUGAGGGGCCAUUUCCGCCGGAUAUAUUCAGGCUCUCCAAAUUAAAACGUCUCUCCCUGUCAAGUAACAAAUUUUCAGGUUCAGUUCCCAAUGACAUAAGGUUGCUUUGUGAUCUUGAAUCCUUAAACUUAAGCAACAAUUCUUUUGAAGGACCGCUUCCACCAAAUUUAUUCAAGCUUUCGAAAUUAAAGAGUCUUUUUCUUUGGAGUAAUAAGUUUUCAGGUUCUAUUUCCAAUGAUAUAGGUUUGCUUUCUGAGCUUGAAUUUCUCAAUCUUUACGAUAAUUUUUUUGAGGGGCCGCUUCCAUGCAUCAAAUAUAUUCAAGCUCUCCAAAUUAAGGGUUCUUUACCUUAACGGUAAUAAACUUCUAGGUUCUCUUUCCAAUGAUAUAGGUUUGCUUUCUGAGCUUGAAACCCUCAAUCUUCGCUCUAAUUUUUUUGAGGCUCCGUUUCCGUCAAAUAUAUUCAAGCUUUCCAAAUUAACAAUUCUUGACCUCGCAUACAAUAGAAAUUUAUUUGAAGGAAGUUUUCCUAUUGGACUGGGACUCUUGACUAACCUCAGCUACUUAGAUCUAACUUCCACUAAUCUCAGUGGCUCAUCUGCCAUUGGAAACCUCAAGCUACUACUAUAUCUUGGUCUCAGUUAUAAUCAAUUGACUGGACCGCUUUCAAACAUUGUUUCUAAUCUAACAAAUCUUAUAUUUCUUGGUGUGGAUCAUAAUAGUCUUAGUGGAAAUAUUCCGAGUGACUGGUGGAAAGCCUCUGUAUCCUUACUUUACAUUGAUCUUGGAUAUAAUUAUUUGUCUGGGAACAUUCCUAAGGAAUAUAAAGAUCAUCCAACUUUGGAAUACAUCGAUUUAAGUGGGAACCAUUUUACAGGUAUUUUUUUCUCUAUAUAUCUUUUCCUUUUGUCACAUGUAACUAAGCUAGUAAUCUGAUUAUUGCAGUUUUACCUAAGUUUUAACAAUCUUGACAGGUGAGCUUCCAACAACAAUUUGCAAUGCUACCUCCCUUUCGGUUCUUGCUUUGUCAAAUAAUGGAUUAAGUGGUGCACUUCCAAACUGUAUUGCGAAUCUUGCUGAUGGAUUGCUUUACAUUAAUCUUGCUAAUAAUCAGUUUCGAGGAGCAAUACCAACUACUUCAUCCAAAAGUUGUCAGCUGACCUAUCUCAACAUGGAUAAUAAUGAGUUUGAAGGAUUGCUGCCCCCAUCUUUGGCGAACUGUAAGCACUUGAAGAUUCUUGAUAUUGGCAAUAAUAAAAUAGGUGGUACAUUUCCUUCAUGGCUUUAUGCACUUGGAGAGCUAGAAGUCCUUGUCUUGCGAUCAAAUAAACUCUAUGGUCCAAUAAGUGGGAGGAGCAUAGAAAAUCCCUUCCCCAAGUUGCGGAUUUUGGAUCUGUCCAACAAUCAAUUCUCAGGCCAUUUGCCAAUUCAAUACUUCAAGAAUAUGAAAUCAACUGAUAAAUUGUAUCGCUAUCAGAAUGCCACAACAUUAACGGGUUUCCAAUAUGAUGCAUCAGUCCCAUUAACUGUGAAGGGAACAGAGUAUGAAGUGAAAAAUAUCCUUCAUAUUUACACAGCCAUUGAUCUGUCCUGCAACAAGUUUCAAGGAGAAAUUCCUGACGUUAUUGGAGAGCUUAGAUGGCUUGCAUUGCUGAACUUAUCUCAUAAUAGUCUAACAGGACCUAUCCCAUCAUUGCUGAGAAAUAUGAAAGAACUCCAAUCUUUAGAUUUGUCGUCAAAUCAACUGACAGGGGCUAUUCCACCUCAGUUAACUGCACUGACAUUUCUAGAGGUCUUCAACCUCUCGGGAAACCAUCUUAGUGGAGAGAUUCCUCAGAAAGGACAGUUCAGCACAUUUAACAAUGAUUCUUAUCUAGGAAACUCCGCGUUAUGUGGAUCACCAUUGACGAAGAAAUGUGCAAACACAGCAUCACCUCCACAAGAAGUCGGAAAUGUUGAUGAAGAUGAUGCGGGUGAUGAAUUGACAUGGGAAGCAAUCUUGAUGGGAUAUGGAUGUGGACUGAUAUGUGGAUUGUCAUCUGCUUACAUUGUUCUCAAACUAGGAAAGCCUUGGUGGUUUGUGAGAUAUAUCGAAGUGCUGCAACUGAAGUUGAUGAAAAGAUAUGCAUGAAGAAUGGUACUGGCCGAUCAAGACGAACUUGAAAGUUGUUGGACAUUUCUGAACCAGUAGUGUACUAUUCUCUUUGUGGCUGCAUAAGUUUUUGGUAUUGUGUAAUAUUCUGUUUGGUCUUGAAUUUCAGGGGUAUUAAUAUAAACCUUGGUAUUGUGUAAUAUUCUGUUUGAUCAAUGUUUAUAUCAAUAAUUUUAUGCUCCUCACUGCAUCAUGCAGCUCUCAUAUUAUCUUCAUAUGUGUAUUAUUUGGAUAUCAAAGUUGCAGGGACAUAUGGAUAUGUGUUAACAGGGACUGCUCGGUCUUGGACGGACUCUUUCCAAGUCCUCUGGGGUCCUAUCGGUUCAAAUUAGUCUAUUAUCUGCAUACUAAUUUGUCCAACUCGGGCUUGAAUAGUAAAGAUAAAGAGUGCGAGUUGAGUUUCUCAAAGUAUGAGUACAAUAUCGUUUUUGAAUGAUAGUUAGGGGUGCGAUAUGCAAUUACCUCAAAAAUAUAUGAUCAUUAGUAUAUUAUAUUAGUAUCCACACACUUAUAUCUCAAAAUCUAUCCUCCAAAAUUAUCAUCUCUAUAGGCUAGCCACAUAAAAUAAAAAUUUAAAGAUAUUAGAUUUUUAGUUAUUUUCAUUAUAUAAUUUUUCCACGCAAAAUAACAAAAUAUCUUUAUCAACUUAUUAUUUAUGAGUUAAAUAUUCAAGUUAUAUAAUUCGGACAUGCUGGGUAUAAAUUGAAGUGUAACGCCUAAUUUCCGGGGUCUGGGAGUAGUUGGCGGGGUAUGAGAGAGCAGGCUAUUUAGAAGUCUUGGUCAUGAAAACUUCCAAGCUAAACUUCGACAACGGAAUCUUCUGAGGCUACUAUUCUAAAGCACGCAUAAUCAUUGUAUCCAUUUUCCGACAAAAAGUCUAUUUAAGCAAAUGAAAUACAAACAACUGAGUGGAAUGCUGACCGAAAGUCUUUUUGACUAAGCUUAUGAUUUAUUAGUACAUGAUUAAUAUGAUAAGCUAAGCUGAGAGCAUAAGAUAUCGUGUGUAUAAUUUUGUGUUUAUUAAUGACUUAUAAAUUAUUAAAAAUAUAAUAAGAAAAAUAAAAAUGAUUUAUAACUAAUUUAUGUUUUAUGAGUAAUUUUUAUUAGAAAAAAGUUUUAAAAAAUUAUUUCACUGGAAAAAAAACCUCCAACUAACUUUUGGCUCUAAGUCAGUUUUUGAUUUAUUUAUGACUUUAUGUCGGAUUCUGAUUUUUACACAAAAAUCUGGUUUUAAACCUCUGAGUUUGGUUUCACUUCAUAUACAAACCUCAACAAUUUCACCAUCAAACACAAUGACUUCUCCAAUCUCCGGUCCAGUACCACCAGCCAUUGAGAAUUUGGCACAACUUCAAUUCCAUACCAGGUUAGUCGUCUUCGGAGAUUACACGUCUUAGACCUGUCAAAUACAAAUUUCAAUCUCCAAACUGGUCCGAUUUAUCUUCUAUGCUUUUUGUUGAGUCCGGCUCAUCUAAAGCCUUAAGAUGUUAGAGGAAGCACCCAAUGAAUCUUAUAUAUGCUAUAUUUUAACAAUUCUGAGCACACUCAACCUUGGUAUUAAUAAUAUUGUGUCGAAAAUUCCAGAAUUUAUAUCUAAUUCUCAUAGCCUAACUUUCCUUGACCUUUCCAUAUAACAAAUUUACAGUUAAUCCUGUGCUUGAAUCAGUAUUUGCAACCAAAAUUAUGCAAUUAUAGUGCAGGUAGUCUUCCAGUUUACGCUCUACACUCCAGGAUAAGCUCGCAUAUAAUUGACAGCUAUAAUCCUUCCAACACUUUGUGAUGCAAAGCAGAGGGAUAGGUUGGCUUAAAAAUAUAUAAGGUCACUUAUGCAUCGCUCUUCACACACUUAGACCCUGUUUGUGUGGGCUUUAAGUCCCGGCUCAAGCUAUUUCGACUUAAUCACUUCCGAGACCAAUACCAACAAGUUAAGAUAUCUAAAUAUGUAUGACAAUCAGUUAGAAGGACUAUUGCCGGGCAACAACCUUCUCAAAGAGUUGCCAGUUAAGAUAUCUAAACAUGUAUGACAAUCAGUUAGAACUUUAGAAGGACUAUUGCCCCCAUCUUUGUCAAACUGUAAGCACUUAAAAAUUCUUGACAUCGGGAACAAUAAAAUGGGUGGUACAUUCCCUUCAUGGCUAUUUAAUCUCGGAGAGCUAGAAGUCCUAGUCUUGCGAUCAAAUAGACUGUACGGUCCUGUAAGUGGAAGGAGCACAUCACAUCCAUUCCCCAAGUUGCGGAUUCUAGAUCUCUCCAACAAACAAUUCGCGGGCUAUUUGCCAAUUCUAAACUUUAAGAAUAUGAAACCAGCUGCUGAUGAUAACGCGUAUAGUUAUAAAAAUAAGUCACAAGGACUAAUUAAUUACAUCUAUGAAGCAUCUAUCUCCUUAAAUGUGAAAGGAACAGAGUAUGAAGUGAAGAACAUUCUUCAUAUUUACACAGCCAUUGAUCUAUCGUGCAACAAAUUUCACGGAGAAGUUCCAAAGAGAGCUUAAAUGGCUUGCAUUGCUCAAUCUAUCUCAUAAUAGUCUUGCCGGACAUAUGUUCUGAAUUAUUAUUAUGCUUUCAUCAAUAUUUUCAAACAUUUCUCAAUAUGUAUUUUCAAAGAAUUCUCAAGCCCUGGAACAUUUGGACCGGUUCUUUGGAAGCCAAGAUACCCAGGUUAUCAUGGCCAUGCACAAAAAUGAAUAAAUUAUUCCAAGUCUUCCAUGACUCAUUCCAAGUCUUCGGAGGAGACCCUGAGCACAAAGAUGCUCAGGGUCUCCCCAAGCCUUCCAGGACUCAUUCCAAGUCUUCGGAGCACGGUCUCGCCUCGCCCUUUCAAAGAUGUGAUAGUAGCUCGAGAGUGAUAUAAAUUAUUUUCCCGACACUAAAAAUAAAUAAUCAGAUCAAAUUAAUCAAUAAUGUAUUAAGGAUGAAAUCCAAAUUAAUCCUAAAUUUUGAUAAUAUAUAAAAAUUAUAAUUAUAAAUUAUAUACCAAAUCAGAAUUGAAUUAAUUCCUUGGCACUAAAAUUGAUAAAGAAAGUAUAAUAAUUUAAAUUUAAUUGAUGAAAAGUCAAAGUCUUCUAAUAAAUCCAUAAAGAAUAUGAUAAUCAAAAUAAUGAAAAUUAUAAUUGAAAAAUCAAAAUCAUUAGUGUAUUGGAAUAGUGUUCACACACUUGUAUAUCAAAAUUUGUGGUCCAAAAACUAUAGCACAAUAUCCUAAAUACACCACAUUAAAUAUUAGUUCAAAAAUAUUUAGUAAAUAAUUGUUUUCAUUCAUCAUUUUGUUAUUUAAAAAACUAAUAAUUUGGGUUGAUGUUAACCUAUAUUUUAAUAUAUAAUUAUAUUAUUUUCGUCUUAUUUAUUUAACUAGAAACAAUAUUUUUAUCAUACAUCAAUUAUAUUAAAAGAUAUAAUUUUAUUAAAAAAAUUGAAUUAUUAUUUAUGAAUUCCAGCAUGAAGCGUAUAAAUAGAAGUGUGCAGUUGAUCAGAUUUAUAACCCAGUUGAUCAGGAGAAACAUGGCAUACUCUGCAAAGACUUCUCACCUUCUUCUCUUUGUUUUCUUUCUCUCAUCACUUGAAUCCAUUCUUUCAACAAGACGAGAGGGAGAAGCUCUUGUGAAGUGGAAGAAUAGCCUAGCCCCUUCUUCUUUUCUCGACUCUUGGUCACUCACCAAUCUCGAAAAUCUUUGUAACUGGACUGGCAUUACUUGUAACUCUGCAGGUUCAGUCUCUGAGAUUAACCUUUGUGAGAAACAACUUGAUGGAAUGCUGUCCGAGUUUGGUUUCACUUCAUUUCCAAAUCUAAACAGUCUCACCCUCGCAGACAACUUCUUCUCGGGUCCAAUACCACCAGCCAUUCAGAACUUAACAAGGCUUCAAUACCUUGAUUUAAGCUUGAAUUAUCUCAAUGGUACCAUGCCUUUCUUGCGCAUCCUCAACCUCAGUAGCAAUCCUCUUGCGUCGAAAUUCCCAGAUUUUAUAUCCAGUUCUCAAAGCCUGACUCACCUUGACCUUUCAUAUAACAUGUUUACCGGUGAUCUAGCAUGUGAACCAUUAUUUGCCAACCUGCAUAAUCUUGAAGUCCUCAGUCUCGUUGAAAAUUCUUUUGAGGGGCCAUUUCCACCGGAUAUAUUCAGGCUUUCCAAAUUAAAACAUCUUAGCCUGUCAGUUAACAAACUUUCAGGUUCAAUUCCCAAUGACAUAAGGUUGCUUUGUGAUCUUGAAUACCUAUAUUUAGCCAACAAUUCCUUUGAAGGACCACUUCCACCAAAUAUAUUCAAGCUUUCAAAAUUAAAACAUCUUGUUCUUUGGGGUAAUAAGUUUUCAGGUUCUGUUUCCAAUGAUAUAGGUUUGCUUUCGGCGCUUGAAGCCCUCGAUCUUUAUUCUAAUUUUUUUGAGGGGCCGCUUCCACCAAAUAUAUUCAAGCUCUCAAAACUAAGGAUUCUUUCCCUUGGGAACAAUAACUUUUCAGGUUCUGUCUCUAAUAAUAUAGGUUUGCUUCCUGAGCUUGAAACCCUAUGUCUUGACUCUAAUUUGUUUGAGGGGCCGCUUCCCCCACAUAUAUUCACGCUCUCUAAAUUAAGAUAUCUAGACCUCUCAAACAAUAGAAAUUUAUUUGAAAGAAGUAUUCCUAUUGGAUUGGGACUCUUGACUAACCUCAGGUACUUAGAUCUAUAUUCCAGUAAUCUCAGCGGCUAUAUUCCAUCUGACAUUGGAAACCUGAAGCUACUAGUAGGUCUUAAUCUCGGUUCUAAUAAAUUGACUGGACCAGUUUCAAAGAUCGUUUCUAAUCUCACAAAUCUUAUAUUUCUUAGUGUAAGAAAUAAUAGUCUUAGUGGAAAUAUUCAGAGUGACUUGUGGAACUUCCCUAAGGAAUAUAACAAUCAUCCAACUUUGGAAUACAUCGAUUUAAGUGGGAACCAUUUUACAGGUAUCUUUUCUCUAUAUAUCUUUUCCUUUUCUCAUAUGUAACUAAGCUAGUAAUCUGAUUAUUGCAGUUUUACCAAAGUUUCAACAAUCUUGACAGGUGAGCUUCCAACAACAAUUUGCAAUGUCACUUCCCUUUCGGUUCUUGAUUUGUCAAAUAAUGGAUUAAGUGGUGCACUUCCAAACUGUUUCGGGAAUCUUGCUGAUGGAUUGCUUUACCUUAAUCUUGCUAAUAAUCAGUUUCGAGGAACAAUACCAACUACUUUCUCCAGGAGUUGUCGGCUGAAAUAUCUAAACAUGGAUAAUAAUGAGUUUGAAGGAUUGAUGCCCCCAUCUUUGGCGAACUGUAAGAACUUGAGAAUUCUUGAUAUUGGCAACAAUAAAAUAGGUGGUACAUUUCCGUCAUGGCUUUAUGCACUUGGAGAGCUAGAAGUCCUUGUCUUGCGAUCAAAUAAACUCUAUGGUACAAUAAGUGGAAGGAGCAUAGAAGAUCCCUUCCCCAAGUUGCGGAUUGUGGAUCUGUCCAACAAUCAAUUCACAGGCCAUUUGCCAAUUCAAUACUUUAAGAAUAUGAAAUCAACUGAUAAUUUGUAUCGUUAUCAGAAUGACACAGGAGAUUUUAUUUUCCAUUAUGAAGCAUCUGUCUCAUUAACUGUGAAGGGAACAGAGUAUGAAGUGAAAAAUAUCCUUCAUAUUUACACAGCCAUUGAUCUGUCGUGCAACAAAUUUCAGGGAGAAAUUCCAAAGGUUACUGGAGAGCUUAGAUGGCUUGCAUUGCUCAACUUAUCUCAUAAUAGUCUUACUGGACCUCUCCCAUCACUGCUUGGAAAUAUGGAAGCACUCCAAUCUUUAGAUUUGUCUUCAAAUCAACUGACAGGGGCUAUUCCACCUCAGUUAACCGCAUUGACAUUUCUAGAAGUCUUAAACCUCUCGAGAAACCAUCUUAGUGGAGAGAUUCCUGAGAAAGGACAGUUCAGCACAUUCAACAAUGACUCUUAUCUAGAAAACUCUGCGUUAUGUGGAUCACCCUUGACGAAGAAAUGUGUAAACACUGCAUCACCCCCACAGGAAGUCGGAAAUGGUGAUGAAGAUGAUGCUGGUGAUGAGUUGACAUGGGAAGCAAUCGUGAUGGGAUAUGGAUGUGGACUGAUAUGUGGAUUGUCAUCUGCAUACAUUGUUCUCAAACUAGGAAGGCCUUGGUGGUUUGUGAGAUAUGUCGAAGUACUGCAACUGAAGUUGAUGAAAAGAUAUGCAUGAAGAAAGGUACUGGUCGAUCAAGACAAACUUGAAAGUUGUUGUCCUGGUAGACAUUUCUGAACCAGUAGUGUACUAGCUGCAUAAGUAUUUGGUAUUAUGUAAUAAUCCAUUUGGUCGGGACUCAUAAUGAUUUCUCUUGCUUCAGGGGUAUUAAUAUUAACCUUGCUAUCUUGAUCUGUGUUAAUGCAAAUGAAAAAGAAUGGAAAAACAAAAAAAUUGCAUCAAACCUGUUGUACCAAGAUCCAUUAAUCUGCUUUCAUCUCUUACGCAACAAUUUAACAGCACUUUCACACUGUUUGAAUGAUUAUCAUAAAUUCGAGUUUUCCUCGCCAGCACCAAAUCCAAAUAUACAAUCCCACACAUUCCAGUCUCAGCUUCAGCUCCCAGGCUAGCAUUGAUUUAGCCAAGCACGACAGUGGCCGCUUGUGUGCCUAACAAUGACAGUUGGGGAUUUGAUGGAACGUGCCUUGGUCCUGCCUUCAAAUGUCUAACAAUAACAGUUGGAUAUGUCGACAAAAAAAUUGUUCCUCACACUGAGGAAUAACUCUGACAGUUCUUUUCAUUGUGCCUUGGUCCAGUAAGUGGAAGGAGCACAUCACAUCCAUUCCCCAAGUUGCGGAUUCUAGAUCUCUCCAACAACCAAUUCACGGGCUAUUUGCCAAUUCAAUACUUUAAGAAUAUAUGAAACCAGCUGCUGAUAAAGCGUAUAGUUAUCAAAAUAAGUCACAAGGACUAAUUAAUUACAUAUAUGAAGCCUCUAUCUCCUUAAAUGUGAAAGGAACAGAGUAUGAAGUGAAAAACAUCUCUUUAUAUUAUAGCUCCUGAUGCGUGAUUUGUACAGUUACCACACUGCUUAAUUCUUCACCUCAAAGUUCCACCUUAUUACAAAAAUGCCACCGCUCUAUUAAGCGGCACCCACGUAAGCUCAUUGCCACCACGUGCUAUCUUCCUGCUGUCUUUUGUUUAUUUUAUUCACUAAACCGUACUUACCCGAAGCUUAUGUAACAAGCUUACAUUCUUUACAUUUUACUCAUUUCAAAAUUUAAAACCCAGCCUCCACGGCUCCCUUACAAAAGUAACCGGUUUGAACGUAAAGUUUUCAAAACUAACCAGCCUACGUUCAACUUUUCAAAACUAACCAGCCUAAAUCAAAAAAAGUCGGGCGACCCUUACCUGUUUUUUUCCCGAGCACCGGUCGCCCUCCUCAGGGGCGUCCCCCAUUGGAGUUCAUCAAGCACAGGUCGCCCUCCUCAGGGGCGUCCCCCCUUGAAGUUCUGUGACGUGGUCCGCCCAAUCACGGGCGACCACGUGUGACACUACCCCCUUAAAACCCCCUCCCAGCCACACAAACACACAAUUACACACACAUUUGCACACACUCAGUUUGAAAACAACACUGCAGCAGCCACAGCAAGGAGCCGAAAGGGGAGAUUUUGGUAAAGGAAGGAAGAAAAGUGGGAGAGGAUCGCCCGAGCUAGCAUCAAGGUCGCCCACCCUAGCAAAAAAUUUGAAGGUACUACCUUAUUCCUCCCCUAAAUAUUAGUAUAUAAAGCCUUGAUUUGUAAUUUAUUACUUGAUUAGUUUGUCUUGCAUGUUACAAAUAUCGAUUAUGUUCAUGAUUAUGGCUAAUUUAUAGACUAGUGUUAUAAUUACCGGCUUGAGAUUAGUGUUAUAAUUACCGGAUUGAGAUUUGGUACAUUAUGAUUUUUAAAUUUGUUAAAAAAUUUAAAGAUUUAUAAUAGAAAUUAAGGAUAAUUUAUAGAUUUGAUAUGUUGGAAUUUAAGAUUUUAUGCUUUUUAGAUUUUGUAGGUAGUAAUUAAAUUUAGUUGGAGAGAAAAAAUAUAAUAUAAUAUUCGAAUUAAAAAGAUAUUGAGAAUAUAAUAUUCGAAUUAAAAAAUAUUCGAAUUAAAAUAUAUUAAAAUAUAAUAUUCGAAUUAAAAAUAUAAUAUAAUAUUCGAAUUAAAAUAUAAUAUAAUAUAUAUUCGAAUUAAAAAAUAUUCGAAUUAAAAUAUAUUAAAAUAUAAUAUUCAAAUUAAAAAUAUAAUAUAAUAUUCGAAUUAAAAUAUAAUAUAAUAUAUAUUCGAAUUAAAAAAUAUUCGAAUUAAAAUAUAUUAAAAUAUAAUAUUCGAAUUAAAAAAUAAUAUAAAAUAUAUUGAGAAUUAAAAAAAUUAGAAAGCAAAUAAAAUAUUCGGAUAAAAAAGAUAUUAAUAGCUAAUAUUAAAAAAAAUCGAUUUAUAAUAAUAAAAAUUCGAAAAAAAGCAAAAUAAUCGAAUUAAAAUAAAAUUUUCGAACAUAUAUUAAUAAAAAUCUUAAUUAUAUUAAUAUAUAAUUCGAAUAUAUGAAAUUUCGAGAAUUAGAAUAUUUAUGAAAUUAAGAGAAUUAAAAUAAAUAGGAAAUUCGAACAAAAAUUAAUUUAAGGUACGCUCUCGAUUCUCUCUAAAUUAAUGUGUAUAUAUAUAUAAUGACUUGAUUUGGAUUAUUGUUGUUUUAUUAGCUUGAGUUGCAUGUUAUAAGAUCGGUUAGUUUAUUGAUUGUGGCUUGAGAUUUGUUAUAAUUGAAAUUAAGGCUAAUUUAUAGAUUUGAUAUGUUGGAAUUAAGGCUAAUUGAAAUUAAGGCUAAUUUAUAGAUUUGAUAUGUUGGAAUUAAGGCUAAUUGAAAUUAAGGCUAAUUUAUAGAUUUGAUAUGUUGGAAUUUAAGAUUUUGUGCAUGUUAGAUUUUGUAGGUAGUAAUUUAAUUUAGUUAGAAACAAAAGCUUUGAAUUCGAAUUACAAAUAUUAUGUUGGAAUGAGAUUUUGUAUAUAUACAAAAGCUUUGAAUUCGAAUUAUAAAUAUAUUUGAAAAUUGUUGGCGCAGAUGGAUCCUGCAGCUUAUCAUCCCGGGCCGGUUAACGGCACUUUGUUGACAUUGCAGGACACGCAUAGGUCCACUUUUGUGUGGAACAGUAGUACGGUAAUGACUUGAUGGACUGUUGUUUAUUAAAGUUAAUGUUUGCUUCACUAUAAACUGCUGACAAGUUCCUGUAUUUUAAAUUGCAGGACAUUCCUGAUCUUAGAGUCAGGACGAACUUCGGUGAGUACUGGAAUGUAGUUGACCAAACCAGGCCGCCUCAGACGAUAAUAGAUGCUAUUAAUGAUGCGGGCUUUGAGUGGGUGUUCAGGUUGGGUCAGGUCAAGCAUGACAGGGGCUUGAUCACUGCUUUUAUCGAGAGGUGGCGUCCAGAGACGCACACUUUUCAUCUACCUUUCGGGGAGGCCACCAUUACACUGGAGGAUGUCCAUCACAUUCUCGGGUUACGAACCACUGGCCGGCCAUUUAUUCUACAUGGCUUCACCACCACAGCUCGCGAGAGAUUGGCCAUGAUACGCGAUGUUCUUGGAGUGACUCCUAAGCCGGCUGAUGUGAGGAAGAACGGCUUGAGGAUCGGUUGGUUGAUUGAAAAAUUUGGCGACUGUGCCCGGUUGGACGAGGCAGCGGAGGAUUUUGAUGCACAGACUAUCUUUCACAUCAGGGCACACCUACUGUGUGUUAUUGGAUCGUUGUUUCCUGAUAGCAGCGGGAACUAUGUGAAUCUCAACCUCCUUUGGAUGCUACGUGACUUGCAGAGCGUGGAUGGUUAUAGCUGGGGGAGUGCUGUUCUUGCAUACCUUUAUAGGAAGAUGUGCGAUUCCACCCAUAAAGUCACAACCGGCUUCAUUGGCUACGCCACCACUACGCCAUAUAUGAUCUAUCGCAAUGGUAUGAACGCGAGUGUUGCAAAAUUAUGUUGCAAUAGAGACACUGAUCCAUAUCUACCGCAACGAUAACCAUUCAUGUCAAUUAUAUGUUGCAAUAGCAAACAUUAUGUGUUGCAGCUUGUAAUAUACUUGUAAAAGUGUUAGCUUAAAGUAUUAUAAUAUUAUUUUAACAUUAAAUAAUAAUUUAAAUUAUUUUAACAAUAUUUUAAAGUGAUAUGCAAAUUAAAUAAAUAAGAUACGCGAUGAUAUGCAAAUUUUAUUCAUAAUAAUUAAAAAAAUUAAAAUAGGAAUUUUAAAAGUAAUUAAUUUUUUUAAAAGCAAUGAAAAGUAAAAAUAAUUAAAUUCCCCUUGUUUUGAUAUCAGAACUGAUAUAUAAGUUUCAAAAAUAAAAAUAUAGAUAUACGAAUUAUAAGUAGUAAUAAAUACAUAUAAUGAAUUUUGUUCCUAAAAUAAUUACAUGAAUUUUAUUUGUUAAAAUAAUAAAGUAUAGGUGCAGACGUGCAGUACAUUAUUUGACUUUAUUGAACUGGGCAAAUAUCGAGCUCAAAGCGGGUAAAAAUUAGGCUUACAGCCGCCCAAAUUUUCAGCCAAGUUUGAAAUUUUCACACAUACACUAUACACGCUCGAGUCUCCUUGAAUACCCUCAACACUCACUACACUCUCUCCCUCGCUCAACUCUCUCUCCCUUCUCUACUCUCUCUCUCUUGUUAAUCUCUCUGAAGCUAAUCUCUCUCUGGCCACCAUUUUCACUCAAUCUCGCCAUCACUUUUAAUUAACUUGGAUUUGCAUUUAUAGUUGGAGCACAGUUGAUUUGUGGGUCGAGGUUCCAAUUCUUCAAUUAGGGUUUUGGCUUUUCAAUCAGGGUUUUGGUUCUUCAUUAAACUUCAAUUAGGGUUCAAUUACUUACAUAUAAUCUCUUAAACUUCAUCUGAUAUCUCUUUCUCUUUGAUUUCAGGUGUUCUUAGUUUGGGUUUGCACUCCAAGACUUUAUUAUAAGGUAUUUUUGAAUUUAGGGCUUCAUGUUAUGAGUUUAUUUGCAUUUAGUGUUCUUUGUUUUUAUGUUUAUUUGGUUUAUUAUCUUUAUCUAGUUUAUUUCCUUUGAUUUUUUGUUUUUUUUUUCAUUUGUUUUGUGAAAUUGCAAUACUCUGUUUUUGUGUUAAUUUUUUUGUUGCUUAAAAGUGUUCAACAACAAUAUUCUUCUUAAUUAUAAAAGAUCUAUCACGAGGAAGAGGUCCCUGUUUUGUAUAAUAUCUUGUAUGUCUUUUCUUUUCUGUAUAUUAUUAAGCUACCUUGGGGCAUCCUUUUUCUAGACCAGAUUUCGUGCGCAAUCUUUAGUAAAGAGCAAAUAUUCCGAUUCUUUUGCAUUUGUCUCAAUGUCAGUGCUUUGCAUAUAUGGAUAUAUUUUACAUGAAAAUGGUGCUUUUGUUGUUGGCCUGCUUAAUGUUCAAGACAUGUAGUCAACUCAGUUUAGUGUGACAAUAAGACUUUCUCAUUUCAUUAUGAUUCUCACAUAUUUUAUGCUCGUCACAGUACAACACAGUUUUGUAUUUGGUGUGAGUGAGCAGUAAAGAAUUCUAUGGAAGAUGCUAGUGACUACCGGUGGUAUAUAACCAGGUAAAAAUAAUGCUCAGUUGAUAAUCCUUAUAAGGGAGGCUCUUACUAUUUCUUCCUCUUUAACAUUGAGUUGUUUUAAUGUACAUACUAGCUGGUUGCUCAAGUGUUCUAUCAUUAUAAUGUAUACAUUGGAUACAAUAUUUGUUCAAUGAGGUAUCUAACUAGCUUGCUGAUGGCCGGGGACUAUAGAUUUAUUCAUUGCUAAUUGGUUAUAUUCGUUGUACCUGUUAUGCCUCAAUCAUAAUGGCAUAGUGACAAUAAAAGGAAAACGAAUUAUAAAUAUUUCACAUAGCAUGCUCUAGUUAUCUACAACUAUUGUUUUGGACUUCUGGUUUGGCAUUUAUAAUAAGUUGGCAUAUGUCUUUGAAUUCAUAUAGUUUGUAGCAUGACCUAAUUGGCACAAGUCAUCCUCUGCCAUGUCUUAUAUCUUUAGUUAGUAAGAAUUAAUAUUUCCCAUGUUUCAGCCACUAUACAAAUAUUGAUCAUGGACGAAGUUCUUACCCUGUUUAGUAUUAAUUUCAUUAUCUGCUGCAACUUUAUUGUGUUAUCUGUGCACUGCCCAACUAAGUACACAUAAUUUGAGUUUAAAAUAAAGCAUGCUUCUUUACUGGAGCUCAGCUUAGUAGUUGCAUUGUAUUGUUGCAGGAGAAGCUUAAGCCGUUAAUGGAUCAACUUAACAAAGUCAAAGACUUGACUGUUCCAGAAUUUGGAAAUUUCCGAACUUGAGAAGUGCGAGCAAAUGCAAGAAUAUGUUUAUAUAUAAUAGUGUAGUGUAGUGGGAUGUUUGGUUGGAUUCGUUUAAUACUUUGAUUUGGUUGGAUUUGUUAGGUAGUUUUGUUUGGUUGGAUUUGUUAUAAACUUUGAUUUGUAUGAAAGAAUAGUUUAAUGUUUCAGUGGAUAUAGUGAAAUAUUGCAAAGUUGUUAAUUUAGUCUUGCAUUAGCACAUAUAUGUUGUAGUAGCUAAUAUAUAUAUGUUUCAAUUUAUAACAAAAAAUGUUGCAAACAUGCAACUGAAAAACAGGUGUCCAAACAUAGGACCCACAUGUGUGACCCACGUGUGGGUCCCACUUUUUUUGAAAUCAGGAGGUCUAACGUAACAUAAUAUAUUUGUUGCUAUAGGGUAGUCAGAUGUUGCAAUAUCACGUCUAUUGUAACAUAAAAAGCCGUGUUGCAGUAGGUUACCCAAAUGUUGCAAUAGAAGCCUAGGGCAACAUGAAAAAAUGCAACUUAAAUUUUAUGUUGCAAUAGCCCUUUUUCGGGCUAUGGCAACAUAUUUUGGGGUUAUGGCAUCAUUUUUUUGAUGUUGUCNNNNNNNNNNNNNNNNNNNNNNNNNNNNNNNNNNNNNNNNNNNNNNNNNNNNNNNNNNNNNNNNNNNNNNNNNNNNNNNNNNNNNNNNNNNNNNNNNNNNNNNNNNNNNNNNNNNNNNNNNNNNNNNNNNNNNNNNNNNNNNNNNNNNNNNNNNNNNNNNNNNNNNNNNNNNNNNNNNNNNNNNNNNNNNNNNNNNNNNNNNNNNNNNNNNNNNNNNNNNNNNNNNNNNNNNNNNNNNNNNNNNNNNNNNNNNNNNNNNNNNNNNNNNNNNNNNNNNNNNNNNNNNNNNNNNNNNNNNNNNNNNNNNNNNNNNNNNNNNNNNNNNNNNNNNNNNNNNNNNNNNNNNNNNNNNNNNNNNNNNNNNNNNNNNNNNNNNNNNNNNNNNNNNNNNNNNNNNNNNNNNNNNNNNNNNNNNNNNNNNNNNNNNNNNNNNNNNNNNNNNNNNNNNNNNNNNNNNNNNNNNNNNNNNNNNNNNNNNNNNNNNNNNNNNNNNNNNNNNNNNNNNNNNNNNNNNNNNNNNNNNNNNNNNNNNNNNNNNNNNNNNNNNNNNNNNNNNNNNNNNNNNNNNNNNNNNNNNNNNNNNNNNNNNNNNNNNNNNNNNNNNNNNNNNNNNNNNNNNNNNNNNNNNNNNNNNNNNNNNNNNNNNNNNNNNNNNNNNNNNNNNNNNNNNNNNNNNNNNNNNNNNNNNNNNNNNNNNNNNNNNNNNNNNNNNNNNNNNNNNNNNNNGCUUAUCCUCGUAUGUAGUUUGUUUAUGGUUAUGUACCUGACCAUGUACUCGUACAUUUUUAUUUCUUGAUCUGAUUAUGUACUCUUAGUCUAGUAGAUCGGUUGUUACGUUAUUAUGCAGUUCUUGUGCAUUCUUAUGUCAUAAUGUUUUAUAAUGAUUCAAGCAUUGAAAUUCAUAUGGACAAUAAAGGAAACCUAACAUAACAUAAUAAACGACAGAACACUAAAACACAUACACAUGUUGAUCUUUCUCGAAACCAGUAAAACUGACUUUAUUUUGACUAAACUUUACAUAUAUCAAAUAACUGAAAAAAAUAAUAUAAAAUUUGAAUUACUUGAACAACAAAAGUUGAGACAUUACAUAUAAGAUACAAUACAUAUAGUAAUGGGGGUGAUCUUUUGGAGAAAAUACCUAACUCAAAGGGAUUUCUUCAAAUAAUUUGAGAUGGGUCAGAGCUUCAAGAAUCUGUGUACUCUGCUUUUACAAGUACAAAGUGGGAAAAAGUGAGACAUAAAUAAAAUGUAGUGAAGUAUUUGAGAUGGGAGAAAGUAAAACUAACUUAAUUUCAUAUUAAUAUUGUGAAGAUAUUAGCAUAGAAUGAUAAAUAUACAUUUCUACUACCCAUUUAUAAAAGAAAUAUUAUAAAAUAUAAAACUCUACGCUUUAAAUUUAAAUUGUUUUAAGUUGUUUUCUAUUAAAUUAUUUUCCCCACAGGGGAAAAUAAUAUUAAAUUGUUUUAAUAUUAUUGUUUUAUUAUUAUUUGAUUAUUAAAUUAACGAGUACAUAAUUUGUAAAGUUUAGUGCUAAGAUAUAUAUAUUAUUUAAUUUUAUUAAUUAUAUUAAUUUCACAAAACAAUUAAAAUUUGAUUUUAAAUAAAAUAUUAAAUAUAUAAUACAAUAAUAUUAAAUGGCGUAUAAUCAGUGUUACAGAAAUCGGGAAUCGGACCUAAUCGGUUGAGCUACCGAUUCAGGGAUUAAUCGGAAAUCGGAGAUUAAUCGGACUGAAAAUCGGAUUUAUUUUAAUAUUAAAAUAUUAUUUAUUAUUUAGUUAUUAUUAUAUUAGGUAUCUAGUAACUAAUAUAUUUACUAUAUUCAUAAACUCUAUAAUUAUUCAUAUUUAAAGUAAUAUAGUAUUUUAAUUCUAAUAAUUUAUCACAUAUACUUCUAUUAGAAAAUAUGUUAUAAGGAUUAAUCGGAUUUUAAAAAUCGAAUCGGUGGCCGACCUUGCAGGAGAUUAAUCGAGGAUUAAUCAGUUAAAUCGGGGAUUUUUAGAACAUUCGGCGUAUUAUAAUACAAUUAUAUCAAAAUUUAAAAAAAAAUCAGUACCUCAGUUUGGGUAUCGGUCAGCCACCUAGGACAAGUGAAUGAGUGAAACCGCUACAAAAAAUGUAGUAGUAUGGGUCGCCCCUGUCAAGGGCGAUCCUAACUGUAUUUUGUAACAGUAUGGGUCGCCCCUGACGAGGGCGACCUGAACGGGGAAAAACUUCAGCUUGGGUCGCCCGACUUUUUUUGAUUUAGGCUGGUUAGUUUUGAAAAGUUGAACGUAGGCUGGUUAGUUUUGAAAACUUUACGUUCGAACUGGUUACUUUUGUAAGGGAGCCCAGCCUCCACCAUUGCAGCUCUGAGCAGCCAUGAACCAGGUUAUACUCCAGUCUCCUUUUCUCCCCCGCGUGUGUAAGUCUGUACUGCAGCCCACAUUUUCAACACGCUUCUGUCCUAAGCUUCGCAAGAAAUAUCUUUUUUUUGAAAUUCAAAAAAUUUGCGCACCAUAUCAUCGUCCAGCCAAACCACCAUCGGCGAAUCAGCAAAUAUACAUAUCAGAUCUAAUAUACACCAAUCUGAGCUUUGAUGACUGAGGUUUGAUUUGUGUUUUAUUUAAUAAAAUGAUAAAAUGAUGUCUUCUUUCAUGAUCAUGCGAUUAAUCGAUUGUAACUUUAAGGGAGAUGGAACAAGCAAUUCACGACGUCUAUUUACCUCCGAAGACAUGAUUAGUGGUAUGGUUACAUAAAUUUAACUUCUCUAUUUUUCUACCAUGUGUGGCCUAAUUGUUUCAUCUCUUGCUUUGUAGGUUAUCAGUCCAAAAAGCGGAGGAAAAGGGGCUACACAAUUAAGAGAUGAAACAGUAUUGAGCAUGUGAGCUUUAAAACUUGAUGAUUAAAUUUUUCAUAUUAUAUUUGUUCUGUAUUUAGAAAUUUGUGGAGGAUGUGUUUGAUAAUAUGUCUGAGAGAAGAAGUUAAUAAAUUUAUCGUGUUGAGGAUGUGUUUGAUGAUAUGUCCGAGUGAAAAAAUUAAUAAAUUUAUUUUCAAAAUGUUGCGAACAAAUUGUAAUUUAUAUCUAGCAGCUUCAAAUAAUUUUUUUUAGAGCAAAAAGAAUCGCAAUUGCAUGUGAAGAGAUGCACCUCCCUGAUAUUAGACUUUUAGUGUAAUUGCAUGUGUAACUAAACCGCUUGACUAUAAUGUUGGUGUAGAGUACGGAGCUUUAAUUUAUGAUGUUCUCCUCAAUCUGUCCAAAUUAUAGCUGAUCGUGGGAAUCAACUUUAGGGUAAGCUCUGCUCUGAAACUCAUUUUCUUAUAUUGGAACUUGGUUAUUUCUUAAAUGAAACGACUUUGACGUUUUCACCGAGUAGUCAUAGAUGCGUGAGUUGUACAAUAGUAAAAGAAAAAUAAAUUACAUAAAGACUGUCUGAGGUAAAAUAGUAUACAAGCUGCAAUUUUAUAUUUGGUACAUUGACGUAAAAAGUUAUUGUUAUGUUCAGGGGGAGGUGCUGAGAAAUGACAUGAUUAUAUCAUACGAGCGGCGACAAACUACUGAAGUUGCAAAAGAAAUGAUCUUAAAGAAAGCAGAGAAAGUGGGGGAGUUUUUUCAAGAAAAGAAUUUAAAGAGGAGAUGAGAUGCCAGAGUAUUACGCGCUAUUGCCGAAACAGGAUUAAAAACUAUAUUGGGUAUCUCUUCUUGAUCUCUUGAUUAAUUCCACUAGGAAGCUUCAAUAUUAUAUAGGAAGUUUUCUUUUUAAGCUUAAUUUUGAAUUUGAAUCCUCAAACUAUAACUACUGUAUAUCUCUUUAUAUUAUAGCUCCUGACGCCGGGAACUUCCCCUUCUACAACCAGCCCAACUGUACAUAACAGUUGCUUGCUUAUGAAUUUCAAAUUUAUAUUAUAAUGUUUAUAUGUAAUAUUGAAUCAAAGUUGCUUGCUUGCUUAUGUAAUAUUGAAUAUCUACUGUUGGAUGAUUGUUAACUGCUGUGUUACCAAGUGUUUGAUUAAAUUCCUACAAGUUUUGUUUGAAUUUUGUUCUUUAUUUAUCAUUAGUAUGUUUCAUUUUUAUGUUUGACUCUAUGCUAAUCGCUGAUAAGAUUUCUAUGAUUAUAGGAGAUGAGUGUUCUUAUGGCAUGAAUGAUAUUGGAAAAGUGAAAUGUGUUGAUGCUUUGUGUAAAUAAAUCAUGAUCUGCCGUUAUAGUUUUCUGUUUGUUUUCAAUUUGUGUGUACCUAGGUGGUUGUUACUGAGCAUUGAUCAACUGUGUUAAUUAAUUUAUUAAAAUGGAGUUGAGUCUGAGAACUAAAGGGCAAUUAUAUACUUCUUUAGGCUUUCCUUAACAUGUUUUUAUUCAUUAAAAAAAAUCGAUGAGUUUUUAUAAAUAUAUAUACUCUGUUAUUUUCUCUGUACCUAAUUAAAAGGAUUUUAAUUCGAAUUAUAGGUGUUUGUCAUGUGAAUAUUAUCUAAAAGAUAAUGGGGCCGUUUGGGUUAGCUUAAAAGAAGUGACUUUUUGCUUAUAGUAAAGAAGUGGAGUAGAAGUGAGAAGUAAAUAAGUUAAUAAAGUGUUUGGAAAAGAAGCAGAAGCUGUGAGAGAGAAGCUAGCAUUCUCAGCUUCUUAAAAGUGCUUCAACUUCUUUACACAAACAGGUCAAGAGAAGCAGAAGCCAGAAGCAGCUUCUGCUUCUCUUGGCCAAACAGGCCCAAUAUCUUUAAGGUCUCUUGCAUUGGUCAUUUAAUGUGUUAAUUAAAAGUUUACAUUUAAAUUUUUUGAUCUAAUAAUUUUGGAUAGAUGGUUUGUGAGGUUAAUGAAUGAACUAAUAUGGAAUGAUAAAAUGUAGGAGGUCUGGAAAGAUGGGUUUCAAUGCAGGUUUAUUGCUACUUUCCUUCAGGUCUGCAUUGCUUUGGUCUGUCUUCAGGACUGAGACUGUGAUUGGUUUCGGAACAGACACAAGUAUAUAUAUGGACCAAUGCAAAGCACCUGAUUAUCAUACUUUAGGCUUUUGCUCUGCUUUCUAUGGUAAAAAAAAGUGACAUUACUUCGAAUCUGAUACAGUUUAUCCAAGAGCUUGCUUCAAUAUUAAGAAUGCAAUACGUGUUGCAGAUAAAAUUUUGACCAGCAACAUUGGGGCACCCAACCCAAAUCUAGCAACAUUGGCCGUGGAGCUUUAAAUAUCUCCGUAAGAUUCUUUUCCCUCGCAGGCAGGCAUCUUUUUCUGCGAAAAAUAUACAAGAAAAAAGGACUAAUUUGUUUAAUUGAAAAUAAAUUUCGGAUGAGUUGGAUUAAGAAUCAAAUGGAGAGUCCUGUUUUGGUUUCAUUUUGAUGGAGAGGUUGCUUAGGUCCUGUUUUGAUCGAAAGGUUGAAAAAAUAUUUGGUAUUUUUUGGUCUCAUUUUGGUUUGUUUCGUUCCUUCACAGGUGUGCAACAAGUGAUGAUAGUAUUUAAACAUGAUUAGCAAACUGCCCAGCAAUCCAUGCAUGGCAAGGGGAAUGCACAGCUUAAUGAUUUCAGUCUCCGUACCAUCCAAGUGCAACAAAAAUCAAUUAUCUUGUGAUGUCUAGGAUUCUACAAAAGUAAGAAGCCUUCAUUCAUCUUCAUUCAUCCCCUGUUACUAGAAAAGCAUUGGUAGCCUAUAAGCAGGUACACUAAGUAGCUCACCUAAUUUUUGCAUUUCAGUAUCAACGGAAAGUGGUGCAGGACUCCACUUUAUAAUUAAAUUAUGUGUCUAAAUUAUGCGUGUUGUAAUGUUUAGUGACCAUGUUCCAGACCCGACAUGUCCUUACUUGGCAGAUCAAGUUAUCCAAGAUUUGGGAAGGAGUUUCGCCUUUGAGAUCUCCAACAAGUAAGAAGAAAUAAUGUCAAGGAAUGAACUAAUGUAAAAUGAUAAGAAGAUGAAGGUAUAAAACAAUGAUUAUAAUGUAGGCUUCUUCGUAAUGUAAUGAACAAAAUAAUGGAGUAACUAUAACUAUUCUUGCUGCAAGCCUGUGUUUGUUUAAUGCUAUCUGGCAGUAGUUUAGCAUUGGUAUAUUCCUUAAGGUGGAUUUGGAUAGAGUGAGAGGAGACAUUACUUAUCUUUACCUAGCUACUGCUUUUCAUGAGAUUUGGGCAGAGCGUAACAUUAGAAUUCAUCAUCCUAAGAGUUUUAAAGUUGCAAACCGGCUUAUCAAGGACAUAAUAGCCUCUGUUACUAUUUUUACAUGCUCCUCUAUUGUUGUGUGAACUUGCUGAACUCCUUUUUUCUGUUGUUCUACUUACUAAAAUCUUUUUAAUUUUCUUUUGUUAGGUACACUAAGUGGUUCACUCAAUUUUGGCAUUUUAGUAUCAUUGGCAAGUGGUGUAGGACUCCAUGAUUCUGUGUUGUCCACAAGCAACGAAAAAAANNNNNNNNNNNNNNNNNNNNNNNNNNNNNNNNNNNNNNNNNNNNNNNNNNNNNNNNNNNNNNNNNNNNNNNNNNNNNNNNNNNNNNNNNNNNNNNNNNNNNNNNNNNNNNNNNNNNNNNNNNNNNNNNNNNNNNNNNNNNNNNNNNNNNNNNNNNNNNNNNNNNNNNNNNNNNNNNNNNNNNNNNNNNNNNNNNNNNNNNNNNNNNNNNNNNNNNNNNNNNNNNNNNNNNNNNNNNNNNNNNNNNNNNNNNNNNNNNNNNNNNNNNNNNNNNNNNNNNNNNNNNNNNNNNNNNNNNNNNNNNNNNNNNNNNNNNNNNNNNNNNNNNNNNNNNNNNNNNNNNNNNNNNNNNNNNNNNNNNNNNNNNNNNNNNNNNNNNNNNNNNNNNNNNNNNNNNNNNNNNNNNNNNNNNNNNNNNNNNNNNNNNNNNNNNNNNNNNNNNNNNNNNNNNNNNNNNNNNNNNNNNNNNNNNNNNNNNNNNNNNNNNNNNNNNNNNNNNNNNNNNNNNNNNNNNNNNNNNNNNNNNNNNNNNNNNNNNNNNNNNNNNNNNNNNNNNNNNNNNNNNNNNNNNNNNNNNNNNNNNNNNNNNNNNNNNNNNNNNNNNNNNNNNNNNNNNNNNNNNNNNNNNNNNNNNNNNNNNNNNNNNNNNNNNNNNNNNNNNNNNNNNNNNNNNNNNNNNNNNNNNNNNNNNNNNNNNNNNNNNNNNNNNNNNNNNNNNNNNNNNNNNNNNNNNNNNNNNNNNNNNNNNNNNNNNNNNNNNNNNNNNNNNNNNNNNNNNNNNNNNNNNNNNNNNNNNNNNNNNNNNNNNNNNNNNNNNNNNNNNNNNNNNNNNNNNNNNNNNNNNNNNNNNNNNNNNNNNNNNNNNNNNNNNUUUUACAUGCUCCUCUAUUGUUGUGUGAACUUGCUGAACUCCUUUUUUCUGUUGUUCUACUUACUAAAAUCUUUUUAAUUUUCUUUUGUUAGGUACACUAAGUGGUUCACUCAAUUUUGGCAUUUUAGUAUCAUUGGCAAGUGGUGUAGGACUCCAUGAUUCUGUGUUGUCCACAAGCAACGGAAAAAAAGCCUGCAGAAAUGUUUCGAAUACUUUGAACGAAAUAAAGGUACAUUAUUAGGCAAGUGAUUGUGGCGGCAGAGAUAGCAGUUUGAUUGCUACACAAUUAUGUGUUUCACAAGAUUUUGCUAUUUUAAAUUAUAGUAAAUUUGAUUAAAUCCCACUCGGAAAGUUUGAAAUUUCUUGAUGUUGCUUAGUUAAAAUUUGGAUAUGGACAAUUAUGAUAUUUGUGAAUUUGGGUUCUUUUUAUAGGUGAUUUUUGAACAUUGCUAGAAUGAUAUAUGAUCUCAGGCCUCACACUCUUAACAUCUUUACGAGGCUUACGAGGUUCGAGAUGAGUUGGUUACUUAACAUGAUUCGUUUAAUUUAAUUAUGUGUUUGUGUAGUUGGGUUGAUUUGUUGUUUGUUUCGUUUAAUUGUACAAUUAAGGAGAUGGUGUUUACAAUAAUAAUAUUGAAGAUAGUUUGUAACUAGAGUAUGUUGUUAAUAAUUUGGUUAUGAGAAAUUGAGGCCGACACAAGUUUAAUCUGGCUUUCUCGAGAUGAUCUGACCUCGAGAAGAAAGAUUAUCUCAAAGUAGUUUUGUAAGUUGCUUCUCUCUGUUUUUGGACAAUGUAAAUUCUUACAUUACAUCUGCCUCUUGCAGGUAACAUCUUUGCUUUUAGGCUCUUUAUAUCGCCGAUGUAAGUUUUGCUCCAUAAAUUUCAGUGUUUGGCUAGAUCUCCUACAACUGUACUUUUAAAGAAAAAUAGAAGAAAUCAAGAACUGAGUUUACUGUACUUUUGCAGUGAUAAUCAGAUAUGUACCGGUUUUGCUUCGCAUAGUCACACCUUUUCUUUGUACAAUUGCAGACCCACUUUUAGGGGUAUUAUGAUGAGGAACGAGUGUACAGAAGACUUCUCAGGUCUUCCAUAUCUAUAUGCCCUCCUGCACUGCUUGAUUUGUGCCUGGUAUGGCAUGUCGUUUAUGUCAGAUGAUAAUGUGCUUGAUAACUGUAACCUUAUACAGCUACAUUUACUUUAAAUGUCUUGAACACAGUGGUUGCAAAUAAUGGUUAAAUGAUUAAUAUUUACACUGAUCUACUGCUUUUACACUGAUCACUGCUUAUGAUGUUGAAAAACCAAAAUUUGGUGGAGAAAUUGGGAUCAAUGGAGGGAGCUUGCACUGACACACGAAAUCUGUCAAAGCCUAGAUUACAAAGUAAUACUUUACUUGACUGAUCGACGGUUCAACUCAGCAGGAUAUGGAGUAUGCUCGCAGUGUACAUAACAUCCAAUCUCCCAAGGUCUCAUCAUCUACUUUGGAGACAACCUCAAAAUGGGUGUAGUUGCACUUGCACCCAAAAAUGAAGCCAGUGCAAAAAUCAAAGAGAUGACCCAUUUGUUAAAAAUGUUGAGGCUGAAGAGUACAAGGGAACCAAGGUCAGAGAUGUCUCCUCCGCUAAGAGAUGAGGAAAUAUGGCAGUCGUUGGUAUUUGGGAAAUGCAUGUUAGCAAAUACAUGGAUUAUAAAUUGUAUGAGUGACAGGAUGAUAAUAUAGCGUCUCAUAGUCUAAUAUUGCCAAUGACAGGGCUAAUAGCAAUAGCACUUUCAAAAGUAGGUUUGCAGCUGUGAAAUUCACUCAAAGUUGUGAAAUUUGUGAAAUUUGCUUUUGCUCUAACAUGUAAUACCCCGGGUUCCAUUCUUUUGUUUACUUGAAUUUGAAUUGUAUUGUUAUCUUUGUUUUUUUAUUAUAAUUAUCCAAAAAUAGAUGUCCAUCUUGACUUUUGGUUGGUUAUUAGACAGAGGAAUUGAGCCCGGAAAUAAAAGUGUUACUAAUUAUCAUCCAUUAUUAAAGCAAUUAUUAUAUUAGACCAAUUUUAUUUUUGCACUAUUUGAAAUAUUCACUUUAUCUGAAUGAUGAAUGGUUCUUCUUUCAGUUAAUACAGUGUCAUUCACUGGUUAACAAAUGACCUCUUAAAUUAUUCAUGAAAUCAUUUAAAAAUAUAUAAAGUUUAAUUGACAAAUUUAUCUUUUUUAAUAAAAUUAUACUCAAAUUUUUGGUUGAAAUGUAUGUAGCUUUAAGAUUAUAAUCACUUUUAGCCGAAAGUACUUUAAUAUUAGUGUUCAUAAAAAUAAUUUUUGAAUAACUUAUUAAUGAUUAAUUAUUUUAUGUAACGGUUUAAUAAAAUUAUACAAAUAUAAUGAUUUCUAAUUUGAGAAUAGUUUUUUAUAGUUCAAAACAAAAUUUAUAAUAAAAAAAUUUAACGAGUUAUCAGUAAUUAAUAAUAUACAUUUACAAUUAAAUUAUCCAAAUUAAUUAUAAAAUAUUAAAAUUUAAAAUAUUUGACUAAAGUGCGAGGCGUCACCGCUCGGCGACGUCGAGGGGCACUUGAUAGAAUAUGACUUUUCAUAUAUUACAAAGUUUAGCUAUAUAAUUAUUUUGAUUAUAAGAUAUUAAAAUAUAAAAUAUUCGACUAAAGUGUGAGGCGUCGCCGCUCGACGACACCGAGGAGGACUUGAUAAAAUAUGACUUUUCAUAUAUUACAAAUGUUUAGCUAUAUAAUUAUUUUGAUUAUAAAAUAUUAAAAUAUAAAAUAUUCUACUAAAGUGUGAGGCGUCACCGGUCGGCGACGACGAGGAGCACUUGAUAGAAUAUGAUCUUUCAUAUAUUACAAAGUUUAGCUAUAUAAUUAUUUUGAUUAUAAGAUAUUAAAAUAUAAAAUAUUCGACUAAAGUGCGAGGCGUUGCCGCUCGGCGAGCCGAGGAGUACUUGAUAAAAUAUGACUUUUCAUAUAUUACAAAUGUUUGGCUAUAUAAUUAUUUUGAUUAUAAAAUAUUAGAAUAUAAAAUAUUCGACUAAAGUGCGAGACAUCGCCGGGGAGCACUUGAUAAAAUAUGACUUUUCAUAUAUUACAAAUGUAUUAUAUAAUUAUUUUGAUUAUAAAAUAUUAAAAUAUAAAAUAUUCGACUAAAGUGCGAGGUGUCGCCGAGGAGUACUUGAUAAAAUAUGACUUUUCAUAUAUUGAAAAUGUUUAGCUAUAUAAUUAUUUAAAUUAUAAAAUAUAAAAUAUUCGACUAAAGUGCGAGGCGUCGCCGAGCGGCGACGCCGAGAAGUACUUGAUAAAAUAUGACUUUCAUAUCUUUAAAAAUAUUAUGUAAUUUUCGAACGUAAAUGAAUUUUAAUUACGAAUUAACUUUUAUAAAUACUCAAGUUAUACAACGGUUUUUGUUGAAUUUGAUUUUUAUUUUACACUGAACUUUUAUUUUUAUAACUACAAAAUCACAAGUUAUAUUUAAUAUUUUUUUUAUAACUCAAUUGUUGUUUUCUUGCAUAUAAAAGUUUGUAAGUAUAAGUAAUGGAUAUAAUAACGUCAUAUUAAUUUUCAAAAUAUAAUCAAUAUUUUAAAUCUUAUUGACAAAAAAAGGACUAAAUUCUAUCUAUUAUUUUAAAAUAUUAUUUUAAAAUAUUAUUGUAUAUACAAAUACUCACAAAUACUCCAUGACGCUGACGAACAUCCAAUAAUCAUUAUCAGGUAGUGAAAGAUCUGAGGAACACAUUAAAAUUUGUACUUCAAUAAAACACAAUUGAAAGAUGAAUUUUAGCCAAAAUAAAUAUGCAUGAAUACAGGUUGGCAAAUUGGCGUAACAACCACUGAGCUACUCAAGUACAAGGACUCGAUGAAAGGCCUCUACUACUCCCAGAACCUGAAAAUGCUAUUUCUAUAAUUCCAUCACGUUAUUUAUCUUAUUUAAUGUACUGUUCUGUGAUAACGUAUGGGAACUCGCUAAUAUGGAAUGCUAGCUUUGCAUUUGGUCUCCUCGCCAUAUUCACAAAUCAUUAGGAUUCAUAUAGAAUUGGUGCGUGUUCAAAACAGAAUUUUUUCAAGCACAAGAUCAGCAAAAAUAAAUUUAUUAAUCUUCUGCAAUUUAAAAUGCCCAGCAAGGCGGGCAUAAAUACUAGUUCUUCAUAUUUACACAACCAUUGAUCUGUCUUGCAACAAAUUUCAAGGAGAAGUUCCAAAGGUUACAUGAGAGCUUAAAUGGCUUGCAUUGCUCAAUCUAUCUCAUAAUAGUCUCACCGGACAUAUCCCAUCACUCCUCGGAAAUAUGGAAGCACUCCUAUCUCUAGAUUUGUCUUCAAAUCAAUUGACAGGGGCUAUUCCACACCAAUUAACUAAAUUGACAUUUCUAAAGGUGUUGAACCUCUCGGGAAAUAAUCUUACUGGGGAAAUCCCGCAAAAAGGGCAAUUCAGCACUUUUGGAAAUGAGUCAUACUUGGGGAACCCGGCCUUGUGUGGACUUCCUUUGACGGAAAAAUGCAUGCAUGCAGUGUCACCAACUCAAGAAGUCGGAAAUGGUGAUACUGAUGAAGAUGACGAUGCUGAUGAUGAACUUAAUUGGGAAGCCAUCCUGAUGGGAUAUGGAUGUGGAUUGAUAUGCGGAUUGUCUUUGGGGUACAUUGUUUUCAAGAUAGGAAAGCCUUGGUGGUUUGUGAAAUACAUUAAAAUACUACAACUGAAAUUGAUGAAAACAUGCACAAAGCAUAGCAGACGAAAGACUUGAGGAGAUGUUGUCUUAGGAUGCAAUCUCGUUUAAUACUUUCAUCAUUAUUCUCCAAGAUGUCUGAACAUGUAUUUUCAAAGAAUUCUCAGUUCACCUUUAGCCUUAUAAAGUAAAAGACAUUUUAAAGGCACUCUCAACUUACACCUAUAUAUACACGUACGGUUCACUUCAGUACAAAGAUUAUUAGCCAUGCAAAACAUGCAGAACCACUAGUAAUGCAGAAAAACAAAAUAUCAGUUUUCUCCAAAUAUCACUACAACAAAACUGCCAUUUUACGACGGAAAUCUAAUAUUCUAAAGGUUUACGACCAAACUAUGUUGGUGGACUUUAUUUUAAUUUACAGUUUUAACAGUAGUUAAUUUUGGAUAUCUAAACUUGCGACAGAAAACAUACGACAGUCUACCUCGCGAGAGAAAAUCAUUUUAUUUUAUUUUUUAGCGCCAGAAUUUUAAUACUAAAAUAUUAUAUAUAUGAAGGAAACUGAUCUCUAAUGUUUUCAGCUUGCUCAUCCAUAUGUAAGUAAUCCGUCGAAAAAGUUAGUUUGUUGUGGUGGUGUCUUAUCAUGAGAGAAAAUGAUAAUAUCGCAAAAUAUUUGCAACUGAAAGAUAAAUUAUAAUUCUAGAAACCAUUUAGGUAACGAUGCACGAAGUUAUUUUCACUCACUUAGAAUUAAUGAUCAUAAAUAUUUGCAACGGAAAGAUACAUUAUAGUUCUAGAAAAGGAUCCACGAAGUUAUUUUCACUCACUUAGAAUUAAUUGUAAGUUAUUGUGAGUUUUUGAAUAUGGAUUAUCUCAAAUUUUAUGAAAACACAUAUUGAUUCAUAUAUACAAAUUUGCCUACCUAAUAUUAUAAUAUUUAUGGAGAAGUUGUAUGAACAAUUGUGUAGAUAAUUAUACUUUACAAAGCAUACUUCUGCUAGAUGAAUUUUGAUUAAACAAAAUCGAAAGGGAUAGGUCUGGGUCUCUCCAAGUCUUUGAGGACUCAUUCCAAGUCUUCUGACGAGGACAAAAUAUAUUGCUGGUAGUCUUUCAGUCCUUCCUAGAGUAUUUUAUGCUCUGGACUGCAUUAUGCAGCUCUCAUAUAACUUUGCGAUGCAAAACAGUGGCAAGUAAGUAUUUCCGUAUGUGUAUUUAUUUGUAUAUUAAAGUUGCGUAACAUUUGUGUUGAUAAUUUGCGUAAUGUUGAUGAGGAUUGCUCCCAAGUCUUGGACGGACUCUUUCCAAAUCUUCUGAGGACAUAUCGGUUCAAAUUAGUCCAUUAAAAAUUUUAUGAUAUGAAGCUAUCUGCAAAAUAAUAUAUAAGGUAAAAUGAACCAUUGUUUUGUGGUUAAGUUGUACAGGCAAUAUGCAGUGCAAAAUCAGGAACAGAAUAUAUGAAUACUAGUAAUAUGAUAUCGGUAUGAACGAAUAUUUUCUAUGUAGUUGUUAUUGUGAUGCGGAAAAAAUAUUGUAACCAAAAAUAAUUAUAAUUCUAAAAAUUUCCAUUAUACACUUUUUUAGUGUUCGUGGUACUUCAAAUGACAUUUCUCGCGUAUGCCUCCAAUUAAGAACUUGAUGUUCAGCAUAGUCCGAAACUAAAAUUAUUAUAAGUGUGUAAUUCAAAAUUAUAUUGCUGGUAGUCUUUCAGUUCUUCCUAGUGUAUGCAGUAGUUUCAUUCGAUACCGAUUAUUUUAUGCAUUGCCCGAGAACCAGUCUAUCUAAAACCCUAAGAUGUUAUAUUUUUAUACGUGUAUUAGUUUUGAAGAUUAAAGUUGUAUGGACAAUUGUGUUAAUAAUUUGCGCAAUUGCGCAAUGAUAACUGGGAUAGGUCAUCUUCUCUCCCAAGUCUUGGAUGGAAUCUUUCCAAGUCUUCUGAGAACCCAUCAGCUCAGAUUAGUCCAUACAAUGUCAAGGGUCCUAUGAUAUGGUCUACUAACAGCCCAGUGUCGGUAAUAAAUCCAAUUGCAUAUAACCUAUUCAAAAUCAAUCCCCUAUAAACAAUCAUCUCUAAAAACUAUUCACAUAAAAUAAAAUUUUAAAAAUAUAAAAUAUCUAGUUGUUUUCAAUAUAUAAUUUUCCACAGUAGAUAACACAAUAUCUUUAUCAAAUUAUUAUUUAUGGGUUCAAUAUUUAAGCUAUAAUUCCAACAACACGGCAAGCAUGCAGCAUAUAAAUAGAAGUGUGCAGUAUGGUAUUGCAUUCAUAACCCAGUUGAGGAAAAAUAUGGCACCCUUCCUAAAGCCUUCUCACCUUCUUCUCUUUGUUUUCUUUCUCUCAUCACCUGAGUCCAUUCUUGCGACAACACGAGAAGGAGAAGCUCUUGUGAAGUGGAAGAAUAGCCUAGCCCCUUCUUCUUUUCUUGAUUCUUGGUCACUCACUCAUCUCGAUAAUCUUUGUAACUGGACUGGCAUUACUUGUAACUCUGCAGGUUCAGUCUCUAAGAUUAACCUUUUUGAGAAACAACUUAAUGGAAUGCUGUCCGAGUUUGGUUUCACUUCAUUUCCAAAUCUCAGCAAUCUCACCCUCACAUACAACUUCUUCUCGGGUCCCAUACCACCAGCCAUUGAGAAUUUAACCCAGCUUCGGUAUCUUGAUUUGAGCUAUAAUUAUCUGGAUGGUCCCAUUCCGUUCCAGGUUAGCCAUCUUCAGAGCUUGCUCAUCUUGAACCUGUCACAGAAUGCAUUGCAAGCUCCAAAUUGGUCCCAUUUCUCUCCCAUGCCUUUCUUGCGCAUCCUCAACCUCAGUUACAAUCCUCUUGCGUCGAAAUUCCCAAAUUUUAUAUCCAAUUCUCAUAGCCUGACUCACCUUAGCCUUAAUUUUAAUGAGUUUACUGGUGAUCUAGUACGUGAAUCAAUAUUUGCCAAUCUGCAUAAUCUUGAAGUCCUCAGUCUUCUUGGCAAUUUUUUUGAGGGGCCAUUUCCGCCAGAUAUAUUCAAGCUUUCCAAAUUAAAACAUCUUCACCUGUCAGGUAACAAAUUCUCAGGUUCAAUUCCAAAUGACAUAAGGUUGCUUUGUGGUCUUGAAAACCUAUUUUUAAGCAACAAUUCCUUUGAAGGACCGCUUCCACCAAAUAUAUUUAAGCUUUCAAAAUUAAAACAACUUGUUCUUUGGAGUAAUAAUUUUUCAGGUUCUAUUUCCAAUGAUAUAGGUUUGCUUUCUGAACUUGAAACCCUCAAUCUUCAAUUUAAUUUUUUUGAGGGGCCGCUUCCCCCACAUAUAUUUAGGCUCUCUAAGUUAACAGGUCUAGAACUCGGAGACAAUAGAAAUUUAUUUGAAGGAAGUAAUAUUCCUAUCGGACUGGGACUCUUGACUAACCUCAGGUACUUAGAUUUACAUUCCAGUAAUCUCAGUGGCUAUAUUCCAUCUGACAUUGGAAACCUGAAGCUACUAGUACUUCUUAGUCUCGGUUCUAAUCAAUUGACUGGACCGCUUUCAAAGAUCGUUUAUAAUCUCACAAAUCUUAUAUUUCUUGAUGUAAGUAAUAAUAGUCUUAGUGGAAAUAUUCAGAGUGACUUGUGGAAAUAUAACCAUCAUCCUACUUUGGAAUACAUCGAUUUUAGUGGGAACCAUUUUACAGGUAUAUUUUUUCUCUAUAGAUCUUUUCCUUUUGUCAUAUGUAACUAAGCUAGUAAUCUGAUUAUUGCAGUUUUACUGAAGUUUCAACAAUCUUGACAGGUGAGCUUCCAACAACAAUUUGCAAUGUCAUGUCCCUUUCGGUUCUUGAUUUGUCAAAUAAUGAAUUAAGUGGUGCACUUCCAAACUGUUUCGGGAAUCUUGCUGAUGGAUUGCUUUACAUUAAUCUUGCUAAUAAUCAGUUUCGAGGAACAAUACCAACUACUUUCUCCAGGAGUUGUCAGCUGACAUAUCUAAACAUGGAUAAUAAUGAGUUUGAAGGAUUGUUGCCCCCAUCUUUGGCGAACUGUAAGCACUUGAGAAUUCUUGAUAUUGGCAAUAAUAAAAUAGGUGGUACAUUUCCGUCAUGGCUUUAUGUACUUGGAGAGCUAGAAGUCCUUGUCUUGCGAUCAAAUAAACUCUAUGGUACAAUAAGUGGAAGGAGCAUAGAAGAUCCCUUCCCCAAGUUGCGGAUUGUGGAUCUGUCCAACAAUCAAUUCACAGGCCAUUUGCCAAUUCAAUACUUUAAGAAUAUGAAAUCAACUGAUAAUUUGUAUCGUUAUCAGAAUUCCACAGGAGUUUUUUCUUUCCAUUAUGAAGCAUCUGUCUCAUUAACUGUGAAGGGAACAGAGUAUGAAGUGAAAAAUAUCCUUCAUAUUUACACAGCCAUUGAUCUGUCCUGCAACAAGUUUCAAGGAGAAAUUCCUGACGUUAUUGGAGAGCUUAGAUGGCUUGCAUUGCUCAACUUAUCUCAUAAUAGUCUGACAGGACCUAUCCCAUCAUUACUGCGAAAUAUGAAAGGACUCCAAUCUUUAGAUUUGUCCUCAAAUCAACUGACAGGGGCUAUUCCACCUCAGAUAACUGCACUGACAUUUCUAGAAGUCUUAAACCUCUCGGGAAACCAUCUUAGUGGAGAGAUUCCUCAGAAAGGACAAUUCAGCACAUUCAACAAUGAUUCUUAUAUAGGAAACUCCGCAUUAUGUGGAUCACCAUUGACGAAGACAUGUGCAAACACAGCAUCACCUCCACAAGAAGUCGGAAAUGUUGAUGAAGAUGAUGCGGGUGAUGAAUUGACAUGGGAAGCAAUCUUGAUGGGAUAUGGAUGUGGACUGAUAUGUGGAUUGUCAUCUGCAUACAUUGUUCUCAAACUAGGAAAGCCUUGGUGGUUUGUGAGAUAUCUCGAAGUACUGCAACAGAAGUUGAUGAAAAGAUAUGCAUGAAGAAUGGUACUGGCCGAUCAAGACCAACUUGAAAGUUUGUUGUCCUUGUGCACAUUUCUGAACCAGUAGUGUACUUGCUGCAUAAGUAUUUGGUAUUAUGUAAUAAUCCGUUUGGUCGGGACUCAUAAUGAUUUCUCUUGCUUCAGGGGUAUUAAUAUUAACCUUGCUAUCUUGAUCAAUGUUAAAGCAAAUUAAAUGAAUGAAAAAACAAAAAGUAUGCAUCAAAUCCGCUCCUGCUGUACCAAAAUCCAUUAAAUUGCUUUGGUCUCUUACCUAACAAUUUAACAGCACACUUCCACACUGUUCAUACCUAAUUUGCGUGUAAUAUGAAAACUAAGAGGCAUGGCUUUUGUCUCUAUAAGUCUUUGAGAACUUAUUCUUCCAAGUCUUCUUCGGAGGCCUGCUGCCUCAACAACCUUUCAAAGAUGUAGCAGUUGCUCGAGAGUAACAUAUAUAUUAGAUAAAGACUAUGCAAUAAUCCACGUGACAGAAAAACCAAAGUCCAAUUAGUUUUCCAAGUUCAUAAAAAAUACUAUAGGAUCAUUAGCAUUACAUUAGUAUUCCACUAGCAUACAGCAUAUUAUAAGACAAAAGUAAGCGGAAAUAAACAUAAUUUCAAUAGAUUUAACUUACUCUUCAGAAUCGAUAAGUUUGGAACACGUUGAUUGAGCACAAGACGAAGGCCACACAUGCGCAUCAUCUGAUGCAGCUAUAUAUGGUGCCUUUACAGUUGCUCAUACAUAUAGUGAAACAAUAAGGAUCAACUCCUCCAUUGUACGUACACAUUUUCAUACAAGCUAUAAAGCAUGGUGAUAGAGUCUUUGCAAUCUCGUCAUGACCGGCACAUCCGAUUAUGAUAAACUCUAGCAGGAUCAUCCAAGUAAUAAUUUUCAUAAUGAUAUUAAUUAUCAUUGUGAAUAGUUGCAUUGAGUUAUAUAUGUGUGUGUAUAUAUAUGCAAUGGAUUUUGUGGUUGAGAAUAUCUAUUAGAUUUUGUAUAUCCAUAACAAUUAUUAAAAUUUAAACAAGAAUAUCUAUUAUUGGUUGUGGUUGACUAUUGUAGUAGUCCAAGAAAUCAAUGCAAGUGAAAUCUAUAUUAUAUUUUAAAAGAUUAUACAUGAAAUACAAAAGGUUUUUUUAGGACUGCUGUUAAAAAUUGUUAUGUUGUACGAAAAAAUGCUGAUAAAAAGAGUGUUAUACGAAAAAAUGCUGAUAAAAAAAAUGUCGUAUAAAUCAGAUAUGACAGCUUCCCACAAAAACUAAAAAAAACAGUUUUCCGUAAUAAUAUGGGAGAGGAAAAACUGUUUGUAGAUUUAUAGAACAAUUUUUCGGUAAAAAACUGUUGUUGUUUUCGAGAGUAAUGACAAACAGUGCCGAAAUCAUUUUGCAGGUAGUUAAUCUCACUUCCAUAUAAUAUACUCCUAUAUAUUACCGAAAAAACAUGAAAUGAUGCAAACCUCAUACUAUUGACAACAGCUAAACUCCUUGCAAUACUUUCAGCUGCAAAAUCCAUCAAAUUUUUUGAUUUAUCAUGUAACUGUUUGACAGAGUACUUCCAAGCCUAAGUAUCAAAAAUCACUACCUUACGAAAUAUAUCUCACCCUACCUUCUCUGCUUAACUGUUUCGAGUGCUUUUACCAAGCAUAUUUUCCAUUAAGCGUGAAAGGCACAGAAUAAUUAGGAUCACCGAAUAUCCCAUCAGUGCUGGGGAAUAUGGAACCAUCUUAUCAAUUAACUAGUUUAACAUUUCUUGCGGUCUUGAACCUCUCAGAAAACCAUCUUAUCCUAAUGUGCCGACUUCCUUUGACGGAGAAAUGGUGAUGCUGAUGCUAAUGAUAAUGAACUCAACUGGGGAGUGAUCCUUAUGGGAUACGGAUGUGGAUUGAUAUGCGGAUUUUCUUUGGGGUUUAUAUUUUGUGGUUUGUGAGAUACAUUGAAGUACUGCAGCUGGAGUUGAUCAUUAUAAAGAACAUAGGCAAGUUAAUCGCUUAUUGAAAUUAGUAAUUGUCAAAAGUAAAAUGUUGAAAUUACUUUUUUCGAUUGAAAUCAUUGAAAAAAAGUCUCUGUCGAAAUUGAUCUGCCAAAAUUAUGUUUAAUAUCUACGGCCAAGAUUAUCUGUCGAAUAUAUUUCCCGACAAUUUUAAAAGACAAAUUUUUCGCCUCUCAGCUGUGAGCGGGAACAGAUAUUUUCGACAGAAUUCCAUUGAAAUUAGCUAAUUUCAACAUAAAUUUUCUAUCGAAAUUACUUGAGUUCUUUGUAGCUUGUUUUCACAAAUACGCUGAUAGCCUUUGGGGACGGGUAUAUUGUUUUCACAAAGCCCUGGUGGUAUGUGAGAUGCUUCGAAGGACUGCAACUGAAGUCGAUAAGAACAUGCAGAAAGAAAACCGAUCCAUCUUGAUAAACUUGAAAAAUGUUGUCAUAUGGUGAUAUAUACUCCCUGGCCCCAGUCUCUUGGAAAGAACUUGGUUGAUUUUUUUUUUUCAGUAUUGUUGGAGCUGUCAUACUAGUGCUAGUGUGCCGACUAGCACUAGUAUGACAGCUCCAACAAGUAUCCAUCCCUAAUAAUUGCAGCAAAUUAAAAAAUAUAGCUAUAUCUUUUUAGCAAUGGUGCAAUUUGGAAAGCUUUCUCAUCAUCUUCUUCUUUUCUUUAUCUCAUUACUCUCAUCUAGUUCCACUGUCCUAUCUGCAACAAUUCGCGAAGGAGAAGCUCUUGUGGAAUGGAAGAACAGCCUAUCCCCGAAUUCAUUUCUUGGUUCUUGGUCACUAAUUAAUCUCACUUAUCUUUGUAAUUAAGUGGACUGGCAUUGUAUGCAACUCUGCAGGUUCAGUCAGUCAGAUUAAUCUUCAAGAACUCACACUUGCUAACCUCCGUUUCUUUUCGUUUCCAAAUCUCACCAAUCUCAACAUUACACAUAACAACUUCACUGGUCCAAUACCACCCGAGACUUUAGCUAUAGUAAUCUCAAUGGUACCCUUCCAUACCAGGUCAGCCAUCUUCAGAGGUCGGUCGUCUUAGGCCUCUAAUUUAAUCACUUGAAAGCUCUAAGCUUGUCCAAUUUUUCCCCCAUGCCUAUACUGGUUGGUCGCGGUCUUGGUGGUAAUAAGCUGGCGUCAAUUUUUCCAGAAUUCAUAUCUAAUUGCUAUAACAUGAUUAACCUUGAUCUUUCAUUUAACAUGUUAACUGGUGAUCCCUUCAACAACUUGCGAAUCUUGGAUCUCUUCGACAAUGAAUUCACUGGUUACUUGCCAAUCCAAUAUUUUAAUAAUAUGAAACCAGUUAAUACCGUGAUUGAUUAUUACAACAUAACAGUGAAUCAUGAUUAUCAAGCAUGUCUUGUUAACAUUUUGCACUCGUAUUAAUUGUCUUAUAUAUGACUAACUCAUCUUGCACUCGUAUUAAUUGUCUUAUAUAAUACUAAUAACAAAAAUAUGAGGCGGUGCUUAGUCAGAUGAUUUUAGUUGUUAAAAUAUUUUUGUGUUAUUUAUAGAUAGUGAAACAUGUCUAAUAUUUUAUCAAUUUUGUUUCGUUUCUUGAGAUUUCCAAAUAUUUAUUGGGACAUUGUACCAUGGUGUAUUUCACAUAUUCGCAAUUUUAAUUAUUUUGUAUUUUUAUUUUAAAGAUAUGAUAAAGUUUAUUUAUUUAUUUGUUUUUAUCUUAAAAGCGAUUUUCGAGUGUUGCUUAAACCUCGAAGAUUCCAAUCGAGUUUUAUUCUCGGAUCUGUUUCGGAAUUGAGCUUGGCCUUGAUUGUUUUCUGAAUAAAUCAGAUCUUUUGAAAUCAAAGGUUCGAUUGUGUUUUCCCGUCUCGCCUUUUGGCGUGUGUUGAUUUAGUACCCAAUUUUUGGGUGAUUCUGCGUUGUUAUAUUUGUGGUUGUUAUGUCUUUCUGUGUUAUCAAUGAGAAUGAUUGGGAUGGAGUUUUGGGAGAUUUGGCUUAUCGCAUCAUUACAUCUUUCGGCAUGUCUAUAGCUGGCUCCCGGCAUGUAGAUAGCUGGGGUAUGCUUGGAACGGUGGCGAUCGCAUGUGCUCACCUGUCACAAAUUAUAGUUGUUCAUUAUUCGAGGGCUCUUGUUCCUCGUUGCUUAGUUUUUACAACUGAGUCGUCUGAACACCGCAACAGCCAUGGAACUAUUGUGAAGGUCAAUUGUGAAGCUAUCAUUUUCGAGAUUGAUGUAGGCUGGAUUACUCGAGAAGCUUUUGUAUUCAUUUUCAGUUUCAAGAAUUCUUGAAUUCAGUGUGUUAAGCAGUCUGGAAACAAUGCGGCUAUUUGAUUAGCUCGUUUUAUUGUUUAUCAACCUGAUUGCAUUGUCAGUUGGGGAUUUGUCCCGAUUAAACUUGUUUUAAUAUAAUGGAAUGAAUUUGCAUUUUGUCAAAAAAAAAAAAAAAAAGCGAUUUUGAGUUGUUUGAGUUAGAUAUAUACUCCUACUGUGGUUCAACUAGUUUUGCCAUAAGUGAAUAACUUCCGGUCAAUAUUUUGAAAUUUGUCGUUAUCUUCUAAUUAAAAUAAAGGGUUAAAUAGCUACUUCAUCAUUAAUAUCGUUGAAAAUUUGCAGCUGAGUCAUGUUGUUGAAAAGACUUUCAAACUGCAUCAUUAAGUAAUUAAAAAAUUUCAAAAACACCACUCUCCGUCAGUUAUGUUAAACAAUUAACGGAAAGUUCGAAAAAAAAUAAAGAAAAGACAAAAAAACAUUAAAAAAAUUUGAAAAAAAAACCCGAAAAAAUGUGAAUAAACUAUGAUAUUUUUUUUCUUUUUUUGAAAAAUGUGAAUAAAAUCAAAAAAUCAAAAAAAAUGGGAAACCAAAAGUGGCAAGCUUUUUUUUUUUUUGUUCCUUUCAAAUUUUCUAAAAUCUGGGGAAAAAAGAACUUGCCAACUAAUUUUUUCCAAAUUUUUUCAAAUUCUUUUCAGAUUUUUGAAUUUUUUUCCAAUUUUUUCCUCACUUUUUUUCUGUUUUUUUUUGAAUUUAUUAAGAUUUUUUUUGUUUUUUCUGCUUAUUCUGAAUUUUUUAAGAUUUAUUCGCAUUUUUAAAAAAUAUUUUUGAAUUAUCCGUUAAGUAAUUAAUGGAACUGACGGAGAGUGAUGCUUUUGAAAGUUUUUAAUUACUUGAUAAUGCGUUUGAAAAUUUUUUCAACAACAUGACUCAGUUGCAAGUUUCCGGCGAGGUUAGUAAUGAAUUAGUUAUUUAACUCUUAAUAAAAAUCUAUCUAAACAAUAUUAUAAAUAUAAUGUUAUGGGUUCGAUGAGUCGUGUAAAACAUGGAAGAAGUUUAGGUGGGGUAAAAAGAGCCUAGCUGUGUGAUUUCCAUUCUGUUAUACGUGAUAUACUGUAGUUGAUCAUCUCCUUUGUCCGCUUCAUCCUGUGCAACCUUAACCUUUAAGGAAAAACUUAUGAGAUUCUCUAGUGCAUCUAAAUUCUUGUGUGAAGAAUGUGAAGAAAAAUGUUAGUCUCAGAUUAUUUUUCCUAAAAUGCUUGCAUGUUACAUUUUAUAUGUAUGUCCUGACUUUAAGUAUAAUUUAGCAUUUUUAUUUAGUAUUGUGUAAAAAUAAUAUAUUUUAUUCAGUCUUAUUAAAAAUAUAAUCAUGUUAUACUGUAAAAGUAUUUGUGAAUUUCUUUGUUACAUAUGUGUUUAAAUUAUUUUAUUUAUAUAUGUUUUACAAUUUUUUACAAAUAUAUAGGUUGAGUAUUGCAUAGGAAUAUAAUUACACGUUAGCAAAUAUGAUUAUGUGUAAACUGUUCUGCGUGCAUGUAUAUUGCUGCUAAGUUUUAAACUUCUUACUAACCGGAAUAAUUUUGACAGAUGUGUGGAACUUGAUUAAUUUAGUUGCACUAUAAGAGAAAGCGUUUUUGUCAAUAAAAAUUGUUAAGGAAAUUAGUCCGUUGGUAGUUCUCAACGGAUUUGUAACAAUUUGACUGGUCAAUGUUCUGUCAACCAAUUCGUAAUGAAAUACCCACACUUAUUUACAACGAGAUGUUCUAUUAGGAAAUAUAGCCACACAAUGGAAUAAUAACAAAAGACCAAGGAAUGAGCAACAGACUAGCAACGAAAGUAUCUGUUAUUACAUUCGUUGAUAUUCCCUUGAUAAAUACUAGACUUUUUAGCACUUUGGUGGCUUGUACUAUUUCAAAUUUGCACGUUAGUGGCCGACCUUUAAAAGUCAUCAAUUGUGUUGCUGAACUUAUUUUUUUUUAACACAUUAGGGGCUCCGCAUCAUAUCCGUUAAAUCGAAGUAACGGCGUCAAAUGAUCAAUACAUAUCUCCUCCUCCUCUUAUUUCCCUCCAAAUUAAAAAACGAAACGGCUACCCUCUUUUCCGAAGCAAGAACGACGACGAAUUCCUGCUUACAGAGAUGAGUUGGUUCCGGCGUCUUAAAGAGGAUGCUGAUGUGUAUUAGCCUCGACAGUGCCCCGAUUACUGUAGUAAGCUCUUCAACUUUUCUUCUUUGUAGCAUAUGAAAUGAGUUUAAUUGACCAUUAUUUCAGUGUUUGUUGUUGUUAGUGGCUAGUUGUUUAGUAUUAUGGACCUGCAAUUGCUUUAUACUAUUAAAAUGAAAGAUUCUGCUUGUGGGUUUUUAAAAAUUAAGGCUUUUACAUAGUCCAAGAUUCGGUCAUUAUAAAAUCAAUUUAUGCCUGUUUUAGUAUAGUGCUUGUUGUUAGUGGCUAUUUGUUAAGUAUAGUGUUGUUUAUUGUAAAUAAAACUGUUGCUUUGCACUCUACAUUUGCAGAACCUGGUGAUUUUACCCUAAAAAUAUAUCAUGGGGCCGAUUGGGUAGAUAACCCUAGGGCAUAUGUGGGAGGUACAGUAGAUUUCUUUGACUUCUGUAAUGCUGAUCAGAUCAGCAUAAUUGAGAUAUAUAGUAUGUUGAAAGAGGUUGAUGAGUUUGGGUUUCACCAACUGUGGUAUAAGCUACCUGGCACUACAUUCGAUAGAGCUUUUGUACUAAAUAAUGAUGAGGAGCUAAUGACCAUGUGUGAGCUUAUAUCUGAUGUGGAUAAGUAUAUGGAGAUUUAUGUCACCACUAUGGCACAUCUAAGUAUAGUGCCCUAUAGAGAUUUAGAGGUUGAAUUUGUUGAACCAACUCCUAAAGAAGCACCUGAAAAGAACAAUCCAUCACCUGAAAAGAUCAAUCCAGCACCUGAAAAGAUCAAUCCAGCACCUGCAAAGAUGUAUCCAGCACCUGCAAAGAGCAUUCCAACUGUGGGAAAUGAUGAUGAUCAGGAAGAGUUUGAGUUUGAUUUUGACAAUACACGGUUUUGGGAUACCACCCAAAAUGAAAUUGAAAUUGUGCAACAAGUUAGGGAAAUGGAGGGGUUGGAAGAGGAAUUUUCAGACACAGAUUCUGAUGAUGAGGAUUUUGUGCCAGAAGAAAAGGAAAGUAGUGAUGAGACCUUCCACUGUGAUAGUUCCAAUCAAGAUAAUUCUGAUGAUGAUUUGUUGUUUGAUGAUGAUUACUACCAUCCUUACCAGCAGAUGGAAACCAACAAAGAAAAAUAUACAACAACAACAACACAGCAAGAAUUUUCCAGUUCCUUGCUUGCUUCUGCGCCUCGGAUAGUUCUUCACUGUAGAAAUCCUUGUACUCAUCUUUGGCCUUAAUCAUUUCAGCAAAACAUUCAUCGUCCUUGUUCUUCAAACGCCUUAUCAGUCCAUUGAUUACACUCUUGCUGCGCGCAUCAAACUCGGGUUCAACCCACUUGAAGAAAUUGCACCUUCCAUUCACGCAAGUCAAGAAUCUUCUACCCGGAUUGUACUCCGUCCACGAUGUCUUCUCCACUGCCCAGCUUCCACACAUACAUUGUUGAUUCAUCUUUGCAGAGCUUUUUGGUUUGGAUGAGAGAUUUAGGUUUGAAUAUGCUCAAUUACACACAGCAGAAACGUAUAUAUAUACACAGCAUAUAGCCGUUGCAAAAAUAUUUUCCUGAAAUACCCCUGACGACCGUUACUUCGAUUUAAUGGAUAUGAUGCGGAGCCCCUAAUGUGUUAAAAAAAAAAUAAGUUCAGCAACACAAUUGAUGACUUUUAAAGGUCGGUCACUAACGUGCAAAUUUGAAAUAAUACAAGCCAUCAAAGUGCCAAAAAGUCUAAAUACUAACAGUUUCGUUAGUAAUUGAUUAUUAGUUUUACAUGGACAAUUGAUAUACACCACAUGAGCACAUACACGGAUACAAUGCCAGGCUCUUAGUUGAAAUGUGUGUACUGCUAAAGCUCAAGGAGAUUUAGUUGACUAAAUUGAUUUGAGUUGUAGAAAAAGGUUUAAUAAUAUAAUGGACUUUGAUAUAUGUAUUGUAGAUAUUAAGUAAUUCUCUUGAAUUUAUAUAUGUAACAUAAUUGUUAAUUGGCUCAUCCUUAACUAGAUAUUUUAUAUUACAUUCUUAACUACAGAUUUUGUAUUUAAAAUUUUUUUAAAAAAUUAACCUUUAUUUGGUAUGUGGAUUUUGUAGUCAAAUGUGGUCAAUUUACUUAGCCUUCGAUCGAAUACCUACCCAAAACAUAAAAAUAUUUUUUAAUCAUUUAUUUUCGACGAUCCAACUAUACGGAUAUUAUUGUAAUGUGAUAAUAUUGUUUACAAAUUUUUUUUAAAAAAAUUAGCCUUUUAUUUGGUAUGCGCAUUUUGUAGUCAAAUGCAAUUAAAUUACUUAGUCUUUAGUGGAAUCUUUACCCGAAACAUAAAACUUUUUUUUAAAAAAAAAUUUGGACAAUCCAACCGUACAGAUGUUAUUGUAACGUGUUAAUAUUGGUUAAAAUAAAUUUUGAGAAAAUAUGUCUUUUAUUUGGUGUGUGGAUUUUGUGGUCAAAUGCGGUCAAAUUACUUAGCAUUUAAUCGAAUACUUACCCAAAACAUGAAACUAUUUUUUUUAAAAAAUAAUUUCGGACGAUCCAACCGUACGGGGGUAUUGUAACACAAUAAUAUUGAUUAAUUUUUUUAUAGGAAAAUUAUAGCCUUUUAUUUGUUGUGUGGAUUUUGUUGUCAAAUGCAGUCAAAUUACUUAGCCUUUAAUGAAAUACUUACAUUAAACAUGAAUUUAUUUUUUUUUAAAAAUCAUUUGGAUGAUCCAAUCGUACGGAUGUUAUUAUGACAUGUUAAUUGAUUAAAAAAAUAUUUAAAAAAAAUGCCUUUUAUUUAGUAUGUGGAUUUUGUAGUAAAUGCUACUUAGCCUUUAAUCGAAUACUUACCCGAAACAUGAAACUAUUUUUCUAAAAAUCAUUUUGGACAAUCCAACCGUACGGAUGUUAUUGUAACAUGAUAAUAUUGAUUGUUUUUUUAUAUAAUAACCUUUUAUUUGGUGUGUGGAUUUUGUAGUAAAAUGCGGUCAAAUUACUUAGCUUUUAAUCGAAUACUUACCUGAAACAUGAAACUAUUUUUAAUAAAAUUAUUUUAGAUGAUCCAACCAUACAGAUGCUAUUGUAACGUGAUAAUUGAUUAUUUUUUAAAAAAAUUAGCCUUUAAUAUGGUGUAUGGAUUUUAUAGUAAAAUGAGGUCAAAUUACUUAGUCUUUAAUGGAAUAUUUAUUAGAAAUAUAUUUUAAAAAAUUAUUUUGGACGAUCCAAACUGUAUGAAUGUUAUUUUAACAUGUUAAUAUUGAUUAAAAUUGUUUUUAAAAAAAAAUUAGUUGUAUUUUAUGUGUGAAUUUUUAGUCAAAUACGAUAAAAUAUUUAUUUAGCUUGUAAUGAAAUAUUAAAACCCUACUUCAAAAGAAACUUGUCUAAAACUACCUAUAAGUGUUAGAGAAUCAUCGAUUUAGUUAUCAAAUUAGUUAUCAUAAGGGUUUUACUCCGCUUUUCUCUGGUAUGAUGUUGAUUUUUGGGGUUUGAUUGGUCGAUUUUCAUGUUUUAUAAGUUAUGUGAGUUCGAUUUUGAUGUUUUUACAAUUAGGUUUAUGUAUGUUCUUAUACAGGUUUCAUGUUCAUGUUUUGAUUUGUUGAUUUCCUAUUUUUCAUAUUUUGUUGAUUAGUUAUUUGUGUGGGUUUUGAACUUUGAUGAGUGUGUAUGUAAUCUCCUGUUUUUUUUUUUCAUUUUUCUGGUUCGAACACUUCGAUUAGUAGCUGGAAAAACAGCUGAUGCGGCAGUAGCGGCUAGUGAGAUGGAUAACAAGAAAAGGAUGAUUUCGAGGUCAUCUCGUGCAAGUCUUCAGAUAUAGUUUUGUUCCUUUAUGUUUUUAAUUGACAUAAAUUUUCACAUUUGAUGAUUAUAUUAUGGGGGAUUCUGGGUAUACUUGUAUAUAAUCUAGCAAGUUAUUAUAAUUCUGGACGGGGGGCUUAUUGUGAAAUUAAAUUGAGGGAUAAGUUGUGUUAUUGGUUCUAGUGGAUUAAAUUUAUGUUGACACUUGAUAUAUGCAUUGAUGUCGUAAAAUAAGUUGCACAUCAAACUAUUUGGCUUGUUUAAGUUGUAUGGAGUAAGGCUGUACGCGGAUCGGAUCGGUUCGGUUGGAGGGUAAUAACCAAACCAAACCGCAACUUACGGUUUUCUAAAAUCUCAAACCGCGACCAUACUGUUGGUUAAAAAAACCCAACCAAAUCCAUCCACGUAAUUGCGGUUGGUUGCGGUUCAACUGCUAAAAUAGUUAUAACAAAGAAAAUAUAUAAGUUAUUGCUUAAAAUCUUGCAUAAAGUACAGACUUUAACUCAAAAAUAUAUAAUUUAUCACUUAAAAUCUUGAAUAAAGUUAAUACAAUAAAUCUGAUUACAUAUUACAAAAGCAAACUACUCCGGAAAUAUAUAACUUGAAGCAGAGCUUCAAGUUAAUGGUUAUUAAAAAUUUCAUCCGCGACUGCCCACAUUUUACGGUUAUCCAUAAUACACGGAUCGGUUGCAGGUGGUUGUUGCGGUUAAUGCGGUGGAGCGGAUUGAACGUACAGCCCUAUGAAGUAUGGUUGCCAAGCAUUGGUUGGUUGUACACGUGUAAACAAAAUGAUAUUUUAAUAUUUAAACAAAACAAUACAGUCAUAAACAGAUCGUGUCGGGCUGGACUGAUUGUGAUUUUCCUUUUUGGAACUCGUACUCGGCAUCUUCCAAGCGAAUGAUAUUUAGAAGUUUGUUGCUAGUAUACUCCAUGUCAUAAUAAGAGUUCUUUAGAUUUUUUAUAUGUAAUUCGAAGUAUAAAAAACAUAUUUUAACAUAUUAUUUUUAAAUUUUUUAUACAUAAAAAUAUAACAUCUAUAUUUUUAUUUAGAAAAAAAUUUGAAAUAUAAUAUAUAGAUGCAUGUCUUUUUUAUACGUGAAAUUACAUGUAAAAAAUUAAAAGACUCUUAUUUUGAGUAAGAGAGAAUAUGAUGUACCAUAAAGUCAUCGAUCUUUUGUUAUCAAAUAAAUGUGAUAUUUAAUUAUUUAAGAGCAAGUCCAAAAGUAUCUUAGUUAAAGUCCUAAAUAUAAUAUAAAAUAUUACGUUCUGGUGAUUUAGGAUAUAUUUUACUAACUUGGACUCCAACAAUGUGUCUUAUUCUCAUAAGAAGUUUAAUAUUUUAUUAUUAAAGACUCUCUUUCAUCAUUAAAGCAUAAUAUAAAAGUAGAGAGAGAAAAAGAGUGUUGAUAAGAAUUAAUAAUAAAAUAUGGGAUAGGGUUAGGAGAGAUGUGCCUCAAAAAUAGGGUUUGAGGAGUUUCAUUAGGUGUGGACACGGAGACCAAGAAGUAAAAGAUGAGUACAGUUAAAUGAAGAUGUGGUAAAAUAAUGUGACCCAUUUAUAUUUAAUAAUACAUUUGAAAUAGUGGAGGAAAGUAACGAGUGUAAUAACGUUUAUAUUAUUAUAGCAUAUAGAUAGCAGAAGAAAGCAAUGGGUAUAAAAGUGUAUUAUAUUAUUAAAGUUUUGAAAUGUUUAGAAAUAAUGGGGCAAUCAAAAAGAAAACUGUAUAAAAAUGGACGAGAGAAUACAAUUCAAGAAGUAAUAUAUCUCAAUUCAAACUAGGUAAUAUAUUUAUGAAUUAUAUUAAAAAAAAUUUGACAUUCAAAUAUAAAAAUUUAUUUUAUCAUCUUAACAAUGGAAUAUUCGAUUAUUAACUUUCGUAAAUAACAUUAAUUUUUCAUUAUAAUAUACUCUAAACUUUUAUUUUAUGUGCCUGUUUGUUUACAAGAAGCUGGAGUCCUACUUCUCUUGACUCGUUUGUGUAAAAACGUAAAAAGUGCUUUUAAAAAGUACUGAGAAGGAAAUGGAAGUAGAAAAUGCUAGUUUUUCUUUAUAAUAUCUAUUUCUUUUCUAGACACUUUAAUAAUUUAUAUAUAUUAAUUUAUUUCUCACUUAUACUCCAUUUUUUUAUAGAGAACUUCUUUUAAACUAAUCGGCUCCUAUAAUCAGUAGUUUCUCAAUUUUAAUAGGAAUAAGAGCAUGUUUAUCUGAGCUUAAAGCCCGGGGUUUAUAUCAUCUCUGGCUUUAAGCUGAAAAAUGUAUGUUUGUGUAUUAAGUCGGAAGUCGGCUUAAAGUCGGAAAUAAGUCAAAAAUUGACCUAAAACCAGAAGUUAGUUUGAGAUACUUUUCUCGGUGACUAAUUUUUUUUUUAGCCAUUUUUUGAUAAAAAUUAUUCCUAAAUCACAAAUUACUCAUAAAUUACUUUUAUUAUUAUUAUUAUUAUAUUUUUAAUAACUUAUAAAUUAUUAAUAAAUCAAAAUUAAUCAAACAAAUAUUUUAAGUUCUCAUAUUAUGAGAUAACUAACGUUAAGUCAUGAAUCAACUGAACGGGAUGUAAGUCUUCUUCUCCCCGAGUCAUCAGCAGACUUUUUCCAUGUCUUCUGAGCCCCCAUUGGCUCACAAUUGGCCCAAAAAAUAUUUGGUUAUGCAUUGCUAUUCACACACUUAGACAUCAAAAUUUAUCAUCCGACAGGCGACAGCUAACUGCACACUAUUUUUCCCACAAGCUGAAAAAUCAACGAUCAAUUAAUUUUUCUUAUCAAUUAAUAAAGUUAUGAUUUCACGUACACGGCAGGCAAAAUGCUAAUAAAUAGACGAGUGCAGUAUAGUAUGGGUUCAUGAUCACCUUGAGAUUUAAUUGAAAAAUAUUAUGGUGAUAUAGAUUAAAUUAAAUUAUAAUAUCUUGAAAAGUUAUAAAUAAUUUUAAUUACUAAUAAUAUUUAUUUGUACAUUUAAAUAUUUUUAUAAAAACACAAAAAUAGCAUUAUACUCAUUUAAGUUUCUCGUAUCCGCCUCUCUUCUUGGAGAUUGUGGAUUUGCGAUAUUUAUAUUGAUUAUUAUAGGAAAAUGUUAUUUCCAGAGCAAACAUUUUUAUUUCCGGAGCAAAUUCAAACAAAUUUUUCCAAAUUGUUCUGGAAAUUAAAAUAUUGAUAUGGAUAUAACAAUUCCCUUAUUAUAUCCUAUGUAUAUUACAUUAAUGCAAUUAACAUGGUUGAUUGUUUUAGUAUAUAAUCAUAUUACUGUGACCUUUUAGUAUAUAAUUAUAUUAUUUUUGUUAUAUUUUAUGCAUCUAGAAACAAUUUUUUUAUGAUAUUUAUUAUAUUAAUUAUAGUAAAAGAUAUAAUUUUGUUUAAAAAAUUGAAUAAAACUAAGAGGGAUAGCCUACGUCUCUCCGAGUCUUCGAGGACUCAUUCCAAGUCCGAGAGGACCACAGCCUCAACCUUUAAGAGAUGUGAAAGUAGCUUGAGAGUGAUAUAAAUUUAUUUUUGACAAUAAAAUUUAAUAAUCAAAUAAAUUAAAUUAAAUUAAACUAGUUUAUAAUCGAUUAAAAAUAUAUAAAUCAAAAUUAUUCCCGAAUUAUGAUAACAAUUAAAAUCAUUUUAAAAGUUGCAUAAAUCAAAUCCAAAUCGAACAAAUUCCCCUAACACUAAAAUGUAGUUGCUUUAUUGUAGAUAAAAACAGUAUAAUAAUAGUAUUGAUGAAAAAUCAAAUUCAUCAAAUAAGUUUAUAAAAAAUACAUGAUUUUAAUUUUAAAAAAAAAACAUGAUUUUAGUGUGUUGUAUUAGUAGUGUGUCCACGCAUUUAUAUAUUAAAAUCUAUCCUCUAAAAACUAUCGAUCUAUUUACACAACUAUUGAUCUGUCGUGCAACAAAUUCCAGGGCGAAGUUCCAAAGAGAGCUUAAAUGGCUUGCAUUGCUCAAUCUAUCUCAUAAUAGUCUUAACGACAUAUGUUCUGAAUUAUUAUUAUGAUUUCAACAAUAUUUUCAAACAUUUCUUAAUAUGUAUUUUCAAAGAAUUCUCAAGCACUUGAACAUUUGGACCGGUUCUUUCGAAGCCAGGCAAUGCACAAAAAUGUCCAAAAAUGAAUAAAUUAAGAGAGAGUAGCUCACCCUUUCAAAGCCUUCCAGGACUCAUUCCAAGUCUUCGGAGGACCACUGCCUCCCCCUUUCAAAGAUGUGAUAGUAGCUCGAGAGUGAUAUAAAUUAUUUUCCCGACAUUAAAAAUAAAAAAUCAGAUUAAAUUAAUCAAUAAUAACUUAAGGAUGAAAUCCAAAUUAAUCCUAAAUUUUGAUAAUAUAUAAAAAUUAUAAUUAUAAAUUAUAUAACCAAAUCAGAAUUGAAUUAACUUACUUGGCACUAGAAUUGCUAAAGACAGUAUAAUAAUUUAAUUGAUGAAAAGUCAAAGUCUUCUAAUAAAUCCAUAAAGAAUAUGAUAAUAUGAAAAUUAUAAUUGAAAAAUCAAAAUCAAUAGUGUAUUGGAAUAGUGUUCACACACUUAUAUAUCAAAAUUUGUGGUCCAAAAACUAUAGCACAAUAUCCUAAAUACAUCACAUUAAAUAAUAGCACAAAAAUAUUCAAUAAAUAAUUGAUUUCAUUCAUAAAUUUGUUAUUUUAAAAACUAAUAAUUUGGUUGAUGUUAACCUAUAUUUUAUAUAUAAUUUCGUCUUAUUUUAUUUUACUAGAAACAAUAUUUUUAUAAUAUUUAUUACAUUAAAUAUAUUAAAAGAUAUAAUUUUAUUAAAAAAAUUGAAUAAAAUUAAAAGGAUAAGUCUCGGCCUCUCCAAGUCUACAAGACUCAUUUCAAGUCCACCGAGGGCCUCAACCAUUGAGAGAUGUGAAAGUAGCUUGAGAGUGAUAUAAAUUAAUUAAAUUAGUUAAUAAUGAAUCAAGACUAAUCAUGAAUUAUGAUAAUAAUUAAAUAAAUUAUAAAAUUAAAUUAUACAAAUAACACUAAACCUUAGUUACUUUAUUGGUAAAUAAAUAUAAUAUAAUAAUCAAAUUGAUGAAAAAUCAAAAUCAUUUAAUAAAUUCACAAAAAAUAUAUGAUCAUUAGUAUGUUAUAUUAGUAUCCACACACUUAUAUUUCAAAAUCUAUCCUCCAAACUUAUCAUCUCUGUAAACUAGCCACAUAAAAUAAAAAUUUAAAGAUAUUAGAUAUUUAGUUAUUUUCAUUAUAUAAUUUUUCCACACGAAAUAACAAAAUAUCUUUAUCAAAUUAUUAUUUAUGAGUUAAAUAUUCAAUUUAUAAAUCCAGUAUGCAGCGUAUAAAUAGAAGUGUGCAGUAUGAUAUCAGAUUCACAUAACCCAGUUGAUGAGGAGAAACAUGGCAUACUCUGCAAAGCCUUCUCACCUUCUUCUCUUUGUUUUCUUUCUCUCAUCACUUGAAUCCAUUCUUGCAACAACACGAGAGGGAGAAGCUCUUGUGAAGUGGAAGAAUAGCCUAGCCCCUUCUUCUUUUCUCGACUCUUGGUCACUCACCAAUCUCGAUAAUCUUUGUAACUGGACUGGCAUUACUUGUAACUCUGCAGGUUCAGUCUCUGAGAUUAACCUUAGUGAGAAACAACUUGAUGGAAUGCUGUCCGAGUUUGGUUUCACUUCAUUUCCAAAUCUCAACAAUCUCACCCUCGCAUACAACUUCUUCUCGGGUCCAAUACCGCCAGCCAUUGAGAAUUUAACACAGCUUCAAUACCUUGAUUUAAGCUUUAAUUAUCUCGAUGGUCCCAUUCCGUUCCAGGUUAGCCAUCUUCAGAGGUUGCUCAUCUUAAACCUGUCACAGAAUGCAUUGCAAGCUCCAAAUUGGUCCCAUUUCUCUCCCAUGCCUUUCUUGCGCAUCCUCGACCUUAAUAGCAAUCAUCUUGCGUCGAACUUCCCAGAAUUUAUAUCCAAUUCUCAUAGCUUGGCUAUCCUUGACCUUGGAUAUAACAACUUUACAGGUGACCUUGUGCGUGAAUUUACUAAUCUACAAAAUCUUGAAACCCUCUACCUAGAUGAAAAUUCUUUUGAGGGGCCAUUUCCGCCGGAUGUAUUCAGGCUUUCCAAAUUAAAACAUCUUCGCCUGUCAGGUAACAAAUUCUCAGGUUCAAUUCCCAAUGACAUAAGGUUGCUUUGUGAUCUUGAAUCCCUAUAUUUAAGCAACAAUUCCUUUAAAGGACCCCUUCCAUCAAAUAUAUUCAAGCUUUCAAAAAUAAAACAUCUUGUUCUUUGGAGUAAUAAGUUUUCUGGUUCUGUUUCCAAUGAUAUAGGUUUACUUUCUGAGCUUGAAACCCUCGAUCUUAACUCUAAUUUUUUUGAGGGGCCGCUUCCGUCAAAUAUAUUCAAGCUCUCCAAACUAAGGUAUCUUUCCCUUUGGGGUAAUAACGUUUCAGGUUCUAUUUCCAAUGAUAUAGGUUUGCUUUCUGAGCUUGAAACCCUCGAUCUUAACUCUAAUAUUUUUGUGGGGCCGCUUCCGCCAAAUUUAUUCAAGCUCUCCAAACUAAAGAUUCUUUCCCUUUAUAAAAAUAACUUUUCAGGUUUUAUUUCUAAGGAUAUAGGUUUGCUUUUUGAACUUGAAACCCUCUAUCUUGGCUCUAAUUUUUUUGAGGGGCCGCUUCCCCCACAUGUAUUUAGGCUCUCCAAAUUAAGAGAUUUGGGUCUCAGAGACAAUAGAAAUUUAUUUCAAGGAAGUAUUCCUAUUGGACUGGGACUCUUGACUAAUCUCAGGUACUUGAGUCUAUUUUCCAAUGAUCUCAGUGGCUAUAUUCCAUCUGAGAUUGGAAACCUGAAGCUACUAAAAGUUCUUGAACUCGGUUCUAAUCAAUUGACAGGACCGCUUUUAAAGAUAGUUUCUAAUCUCAAAAAUCUUAUAUAUCUUGGUGUAAGUGGUAAUAGUCUUAGUGGAAAUAUUCAGAGUGACUUGUGGAAAUAUAACGAUCAUCCAACUUUGGAAUACAUCAAUUUAAGUGGGAACCAUUUUACGGGUAUAGUUUCUCUCUAUAGAUCUUUGUCAUAUGUAACUAAGCUAGUAAUCUGAUUAUUGCCUUUUCACCAAAGUUUCAACAAUCUUGACAGGUGAGCUUCCAACAACAAUUUGCAAUGUCACAUCCCUUUUGCUUCUUGAUUUGUCAAAUAAUGAAUUAAGUGGUGCACUUCCAAACUGUUUCGGAAAUCUUGCUGAUAGAUUGCUUUACGUUAAUCUUGCUAAUAAUCAGUUUCGAGGAACAAUACCAACUACUUUCUCCAGGAGUUGUCAGCUGAAAUAUCUAAACAUGGAUAAUAAUGAGUUUGAAGGAUUGUUGCCCCCGUCUUUGGAAAACUGUAAGCACUUGAGAAUUCUUGAUAUUGGCAAUAAUAAAAUAGGUGGUACAUUUCCGUCAUGGCUUUAUGUACUUGGAGAGCUAGAAGUCCUUGUCUUGCAAUCAAAUAAACUCUAUGGUACAAUAAGUGGAAGGAGCAUAGAAGAUCCCUUCCGCAAGUUGCGGAUUGUGGAUCUGUCCAACAACCACUUCACAGGCCAUUUGCCAAUUCAAUACUUUAAGAAUAUGAAAUCAACUGAUAAUUUGUAUAGUUAUCAGCUUUCCACAGCAGUUUUUUCUUUCCAUUAUGAAGCAGCAGUCUCAUUAAUUGUGAAGGGAACAGAGUAUGAAGUAGCAAAUAACCUUCAUAUUUACACAGCCAUUGAUCUGUCGUGCAACAAAUUUCAGGGAGAAAUUCCAAAGGUUACUGGAGAGCUUAAAUGGCUGGCAUUGCUCAACUUAUCUCAUAAUAGUCUAACAGGACCUAUCCCGUCAUUGCUGAGAAAUAUGAAAGAACUCCAAUCUUUAGAUUUGUCCUCAAAUCAACUGACGGGGGCUAUUCCACCUCAGUUAACUGCGCUGACAUUUCUAGAGGUCUUAAACCUCUCGGGAAACCAUCUUAGUGGAGAGAUUCCUCAGAAAGGACAAUUCAGCACAUUCAACAAUGAUUCGUAUCUAGGAAACUCCGCUUUAUGUGGAUCACCAUUGACGAAGAAAUGUGCAAACACAGCAUCACCUCCACAAGAAGUCGGAAAUGUUGAUGAAGAUUAUGCGGGUGAUGAAUUGACAUGGGAAGCAAUCAUGAUCGGAUAUGGAUGUCGACUGAUAUGUGGAUUGUCAUCUGCAUACAUUGUUCUCAAACUAGGAAAGCCUUGGUAGUUUGUGAGAUAUGUCGAAGUACUGCAACAGAAGUUGAUGAAAAGAUGCUUGAAGAAAGGUACUGGUCGACCAAUAAGAACUUGAAAGUUGUUGUCCUGGUAGACAUUUCUGAACCAGUAGUAUUUGGUAUUAUGUGAUAUUCUGUUUGGUCCGGACUCAUAACGAUUUCGCUUGCUUCAGGAGUAUUAAUAUUAACCUUCCUAUCUUGAUCAAUGUUAAUGCAAAUUAAAAUGAAAAGGCAAAAAAUAUGCAUCAAAUCCCCUCCUGUUGUACCAAGAUUCAUUAAUUAAGAGGCAUGGCUUUUGUCUCUCCAAGUCUUCGAGAAAUUAUUCCAAGUCUUCUUUGGAGGCCUACUGCCUCAACAACCUUUCAAAGAUGUAGCAGUUGCUCGACAGUGAUAUAUAUAUUAGAUAAAGACUAUGCAACAACCAACGUGACAGAAAAAUCAAAAUAGGACAAAAUCCGUACGAAUCAAAAUAGUUUAUUUCUAAGGGGAAUAGCUGAAUUAAAUUGUAAGAGAAGUAAAACAGAUUCUUUUAUAUUUUGGAAUAUAACUGAAAAAGAUUUUGAGAUAAUUUUCAGAAAUCAAACCAGUCAAAUAAAUAUUCGCUGAAGGAACAGAGUAAAGAUACAACGAAUAUAACAAGUUGUAAGAUGAAUAUCGCUGAAUCAAACAGGGUAGAACCCGUACAAAAACGCCAAACAGAAAGGAUCAAAACAGAGUAAUCAAAUUUACCUAACACUAAUAGAAGUAGUGCUGAAUAAAAGAGAACGAAAUCUGUACCUUAAAAAUAGCAAACGCAAACACUAACCAACCUCACAAGGGACCAUCUAAACUCCCUAACCCCGACUUUAUCUUAAACUCCAAAUAUCUCCCUGACUCCAAUAUGCCCAGAACAAUAAACGAAUGUUUUGACCUUCUAAACGAUGUUUUCUGGAAUAACGCAAAACACGAAAAUCGUAGAGAACGAAAAGACCUUUCCGAAAAGGUAAGGCUCGUCAAGAACGGAGUCAUAACGAAUCGGGAAUUAAAUAAAACGUCCGCUGAUUCAGAACUCAAAGCGAGAACAGGAUCUGAUUAAGUUUUGUAAUUUUGAGAACAGUUUGAAACAUAAUCUGAGAAAACAUUAUAAACGAAAGUAUAUGAGAUUGAAAGAGCUUUCCGAAACAUCAAGAAUCAUCAAAUUCCGAUAAGAAUUGAAUUUUCUACGAAUUUUACAAGACAGCUGAUUUGUGAGAAUAAAGCCCUACGAAUUUUUGUCAUAAAAAUGAAGAGAAGGUUGAGUAGCUCUCAAAAGUAUAUAAAAAGAAUGAGAGAACAAAUCAAUAUACUCCCUUUGUCCCUCUCGUUUAUUUACAGUGUUUGACACGCAUUUUAAAGCGCAUAUAAAACAUAGUUCUAUGAUUUAUUUUCAAAAUUUUUCUUUUUUGUAUAAAAAUUUAAACAUCAAAUUUUUAUCUAGAAAAAAAGGAAGUUCAAAAUAAUUUAUUGAACUACGUUUUACGAGAGCAUUAGAAUGCGUGCCGAGCCCCCGUCCCCCAAUGUAAACAAAUGAGAGGGACGGAAGGAGUAUAUAUACAGAGUCUUGAGACCCUAAUUCUAAACCUAUCCAUUAUCUGAAUGCAAGGCUGAUCUAUAUUUUAAGUACACUAUCCUAAUUCAAUUUUAAAUCCUAUUCAUAAUCUAAUUUUAAUCCUUUAUUAUUAUUACUAACCAAUUAAUAUUAUUUUAAAAAAAUACUGGAUAUUACAUUCCUGAUCAGACUAGUGAUCGGAUUGCAACCGCAAAGCAGCCUAUAUAUAGUGACAAUUAAAUACACAACAAAACAACUUCUUUCUUCUCUCUUGGGUUAUAAUACUCAGACGGACAAGCUAUAUCUGAGGCGAUUUUCUGGGCGAUUAAACACACAAUAAAAGCAGCUUCUUCUUCUUCAAUUAAGGUUUAUUCUACACCCAAUCACAUACACACACACACUUUAAUAUGACUAGUGAGUUCAAUUUUUGGUGGUAUUAUAUGAUUAUCAUGUUCUCUUUUUAAAUAUUAGUAACGUUAUUUUCGGAGUGGACUCUGUUGAUGUUUAAAUUUGAUAUAGAUAUUGUAAUUGAAAAUUUAUGUUGAUUUGUUGUUCAGAUUUCAAGUAUUAAUUUGUGUGUGAUCAAAAUUUUGCUUCUACAUCGAUUAUCAGGAGGAAAUAUGAGGCCGAUCUUGAUCAAAGGACACGAAAGGCCAUUAACAUAUCUAAAGUAUAACAAGGAGGGUGACCUCCUCUUCUCCUGCGCAUUAGACAGAAACCCCGCUGUUUGGUACGCUGAUAAGGGAGAGCUUUUAGGCACUUACCGUGGGCACAUUGGUUCUGUUUGGGGUUGUGAUGUUUCUAGGGAUUCAAAACUUUUAAUAACUGCAAGUGCGGAUCAAACAGCAAAGGUAUGGGAUGUUCAAACUGGGUCUGAGCUGUUCACGUUUGAAUUUAAGUCCACUGUGAAAUCAGUAGAAUUUGGUGUCGGAGACAAGCUUGCUGUCAUUGCAACAGACUCCUUUCGUGACAUGUCUUCUGCAAUUCAUGUCAAACACAUAGCCAGAGAUCCUAGUGAACAGUGCGGUGAUUCUGUGAUUGAAUUCUCACCUGGAGGAAGAAUCAAUAGAGCUGUUUGGGGACCUUUAAAUAGGACCAUAAUAAGUGGUGGUGAACAAGGCGUUGUUCGUGUGUGGGACGUUGAGACAAAGAAAGUGAUUUAUGAGUCAGACAAGGAUACUGGUCAUCAGAAGGCCAUUACAUCACUUGCAAAAUCAAGAGACGGUUCACAUUUACUUACUGCUUCCAUUGACAAAUCAGCUAAGCUUUGGGACAUCAGAUCAAUGAAACUUCUCAGGACAUACAAGGCUGAAGCCCCAGUUAAUGCAGUUGCACUCUCUCCACUACUUGAUCAUGUCGUGCUCGGAGGUGGUCAAGAUGCAUCGACUGUUACAAACGAUCCUCGUGCUGGCAAGUUUGAGGCCAAAUUUUAUUCCAAGGUCCUUGAAGAAGAAAUUGGAUCUGUGAAAGGACACUUUGGUCCGAUAAAUGCAUUGGCAUUCAACCCUGAUGGAAAAAGUUUCGCAAGUGGAGGUGAAGAUGGUUAUUUGCGAUUACAUCACUUUGAUCAUGACUACUUCAACAUGGCGAUUUAAUUCGAAUUACUUACAUUGCUACGUCUUUUUUUUUUUUUUUCCGGUUUUAUUCAAGUUAUUUUCUGGUUUUUAUGUUGAUCUUAUGUUCUUUGUUAUAAAUAGAAGUGUGGUUCCUUUUAAAACUAUUUACAUAAGUUUUUGGCUUUUCAUGUAAUUUAAUCAAAGUAAAUGCCAUGAGAUCCUGAAUAUAUCUACUUAUCUAUCUAUCUACUUAUUAAAGCAGAAUCAGGGGAAAAAUAUACCAGAAAUUGGAUGAAAAAUUUACAUACACACCCUCAAUUAUUCAUCAAUUCCGAAAUUGGCCUGUAGUUUAGCUGUUAACUUGCAGGAUUUUUGUAAAAGUAGGAAUCAGCGAUUCUUAGGUACCCCAGUGACCCCGAAUCGGUUUCUCAGAUUCUUGGAAAUCCUCGGUCAGUUGAUUUAGAUUGUGGGCAUAUAUACACCUAUAGUCAGCCUCCGGCGGUGCAAUCUUUUGGUGGUGUUUUUCAGCCUUUUCUGCUAUAGCGAUUCUUGUUAAAACAUUCAGGUGCUAGGGUUGUUUUGUUGGUAAAGGGAAUUGGAUUGUUGUAUCUGCGGUUGUGGCAAAGGUAAUUUUCUUGCCCUUGCUAUUCUUUUGGGAUGUCUGAUUAUAAAUAGCCCUUCUAACUUUGUUCACCUGUUCUGUAUGAUGUGUGUCAUUUGUGAUUGAGUCGAGCAGUAUAUCAUUUUGAUGCAUAUUGUUAAUUUCACUCUGGGAAAUUUUUAUGCUGAUGUUUGGGCAAUUAAUUCUGGUUAUUUCGUUGAUUUUGUUUGUGGUUUGUUUCCACCUGCCAUUAGAACUGUAAAGUAAAGUGUAUUUAUUGAUCAUGAUUCAAGUGUUUGUAGAUAAUCGAUGUGGGUGACAAAGAAGCUGCAAAUGAUGAUGGUUCUUCACAAAUUUUAUCUGCUUUGCUUCCUUUUGUUGUGGCUCUCACCAUGGUUGUCAAGUCGACGACUGCUGUUGCUGCUCUUGCUCAGCCCUCAACUUUCACCUGGUAACAACUUUUGUAUGUUUGGUAAAAUAUUUUGAUUUUUUUUUUUUUGUAAGGGUAAAAUAUUUUGAUUGUGAUAAGCUAAUUUAUUGUUUUUUAAUGAUUCCAACACUACAACAGAUUUAGCAUCACACAACGGUUUUUGCCCGUUGUCUGAGACCACGGAAAACCGUGGUCUAUCGAGACGCCGUCUGAUAUGCGUAUCAGACAACGGUGCGCACCGUUGUGUGAUAGUGCUAAACACGAUGGUUUACGUUAAAAAAAUUGUUGUGCAACACCCAGAACCAACAACGUUUACUCUUAAACGUGGUGUUGUUAGAAACACUCCUUAACAAUAGUCGAUUUCAAAAAUGGUGUUGUUAGAGAGACUAUCCACAACAGUUUUAUUAGCUCGCAAGACUUGUUGGAAAGAUGAUCAUACAACAGUAGUUGAAAUAGAGAAGCUCGUUCUUUCCUCUCUUGUACAACGGGUUUCGAACACCAAGCCACUUGUGUAAGGCCCCUUCUAACAAUGUUUUAAUUAGUGAGGUUGUUGUGUUUAGUUACGUCAGACAAUGGUUUUCUUUCAUAGUUGGUUGUCGUUUACAUGUUUUAACAAUUGUUUCUGUUUCAUCAUUAUUGCAAGUCAUUUGUUUGGACAAUGGUUUUGUGACAAUAAAUCAUUGUUUCCAGUUUUAUGAGACAAUGUUUUUAAUGAAUAAUGAUUAUUGUAUCAUGUUCAGUAUGACAAUGGCCCUGUAUUAUCCCAUUACCUAAAUACAUAAUAGACAAUGAUUAACAUAACUCGAUUAAACUAAGCUAGAGAAUGUAAUUAAAAAGCCAAAAAUUUGUAAACAAAAAAUUUCAUUAUGCACUAAUAACCAUUGUUACAACCAAAUCAUAUAUACCAUCCAAUAUCCAGAAAUAUUUCCCCCGAGGAUGGCAAAUCUCAAAAAUAUAAAUACCUACAAUAAAUGGUAGCAUCUAGAGAGGCAUAUGUGACUACAAGAGUCUUUUGUGAGCUUUUCAACUACCCAGCCCAGGAACAAUCCUCUGAUUGCAUUCUUUUGAUUCGGAUGGAGCCCUCCUGCUAUCUCUUUUGGAAGUGACUCUACUGCAACCACCUGUAAUACAUAAAAAAGUUCUUGAUAUGCUUUUCGUACAAAGAAAUUAAUGUGGUUGAGGAGUAUGUUUCGAGUUCAAAAUAUACCAGUGUGCCAUCUUCCAUGGUUUCACGUCAUUCAUACACAAUAAAUUGUAGCAAUUGUGAGCCCUAUCAACAUACCAGUCUUUCUGUAUUUAGAGUUGGAGCAGCUAAGCCAAAAUCAGACAAAUGGGGAUUGAGUUCAUCAAGUAAAAUAUUUGCUGACUUUAAGGUACUAUUAACAACAUAAGGAACAACAUCAGCAUCUUGCUUCUAUCAUCAGUGAAGUAUAAAAACUCUUGCAAGCUACUAUUUGCAAUAUAAUCAUGGACCAGAAGACGUACCAUGUUCAGCGGAAUAUCAUUCAAAUCUCUGGCAUGGUUGUUGUGAUGGAUAAAAAUAAGUUCCUUUAUGACCUGAAUUAAACAUUAAAAGAUACCAAAUUAACCGAAAUGCGUAGAGAUGCACAAAAAGUCCAGGCCCGAAAAUAUGGUCAUAGAGAUUUAAAAAAAGUCGAAAAUAAAGACAAACCAUGUGAGUAAAAAGCAGAGUAAGGAGGAUUGAUGGUAGUGUUUGAUAUAGAUGCCAUGUGGGUAGAUCCAUAUGAGCUGCUGGAAGCAGAGAGAUUUCUUCCAAACUCUCUUACAUUAUUGACAACAUUUGUGUUAACAUAUAUGUGUUGUAUAUGAAAUUUUAAAGAUUAGAUACAUAAAUAUAAUAUUAUUCGGAAAAUAUAACAUACCAUCUCGAGUCAUUUUCUUGCUUGGUCAUUAAAAUAACCUACAGCAAGUAAUGUACCCUCACUCUAUAAGAAGAAGAUGGACAAAAAGAAGUCAGUUGUAUGGAUGCCUCGGAAUAUAUACAAGAAUGUCCCAGGGAUAUUUAUUCAGUUGAUGAAGCAUGUAUAUCUAGAAAUUAACAAACCUCAUCAGCCAAAACAAAUAUAAAAUUAAUAAAAUCAUCUGUCUCCAAACACACAGAUUAAAAUCAAAGCACAAAUGUUAUCACACAAAACCAAGACAACACAAGAUCCAUCACUAAAACACACAACUACUACUAAAAUCAAACACACAAACAAAAAUCUCAUAUAGAUUCAAACUUUAUCCCCAAAAUCAAGUAUAAUUACACAGUAAAAAGCAUUCGUUUACCUCUUCAUAAGGUGAAUUGUUGUUAAACUAAUCAGCACGGUCAACACCGGCAUCAAAAACUUGAAUGGCCUUUGGGGUUAUCGCCGACAGAACAGAUCUGAGUAAGCUUUGUAGAAAAUGAGAUAGAGACGGGGGAGGGAGGGGAGAGUUCAGAGGAGGGUGAGGGAGAGACAGAGGGCGAGAGGGAGGGGAGGGGCGAGAUGCUUUAACAAAUCAAUUGCGGCAAGAGUGGGGAAGACACAGCCGCACCAGAAGAGGAAGAGAUAGAUUCAGAAGAAGAGAGAUUUACUCUCACUUACAAAUUUUAGGUCAAAAUAGAGGGGGGGAAAUGAAAAUUUGGAUAAACAAGUAGAGAGGGAAUUGAAAAUUUUUGUAAGGUGGAAAUCAUUCGUUCAUCCCGUGUAAAUAACAAAAUCAAUGUAUUAUAAUAUCCAUAUAGUUGAAUUAUAAAUAAAUGAAUUUUUUAAAUUAUAUUUUUGUAUUUGAUUACAAAUAUUUCAUAUUAAAUAAAUUUUAAAAACAAUUUUAAUGUAGAUGUCAAUAUCUAAUUAUUUUAGUUAUUUGUGAAAAUCUUCAAAAAAUUAAAAAUUAAUCUGGUAAAUCUUUUUGACAAAAUAUAGUUGAAAUACAACUAUUUAAUAAAAAAUUAAUAAUUCUUUAAAAGUUAAAAUUCUCAUUUUCUCGAUGUAUUCCGUUUUUGUACUCUUUGUCUAAAUAAAAUAUACACAAAUUUUUAUUAUUCAUUUGUAAUAAGAAGAUAUUUGUGUGGUUCAAAUGUCAAUAUUAGUAUAAAUUUCAUAUUUACAAUAUAGGAUGUACUUAAUAGAAGUUUUGUGAUCUAUAUGAUUAACCCCGUAUUAAUUUUGAAAUAUUUUCGAUCAUCCAAACAUAUAAAGAUCUUAAUAUCUAUCAAUAUUAGUCAUGUAUAAUAUUUUUAAAUUUUUCUAUAUUUAUUUAUAUCUUGUUGUAACAAAACUAGUGAUGAUCGUUGUUUUUAUGUCAUUUCUUAUUUUUGUACUUUUUAUCAAAAAAUUAUAUUUAUAUUAUGCAUAUGUCCAAAUUUGUAUUAUUCAUUUGUAAUUGGAAGAUAAUUUUGUUGUUCGGACCUGAGUAUUACUAUGUGUUUUAUGUUCACAAUUUAGGAAGCACUAGAUAGAAUUUUUGUUAUCUACAAAAUUUGCUCUGAAUUAAUUUAUAAAUAUUUUUUUCGAUGAUAUAACCGUACGGAUGUUAAUAACUAACAAUAUUAGUCAUGCAUAAAAAAAUUAGAUUUUUUUAUGCUUAUUUUAUAUGCUUUUUUUACAAAACUAGUCAAUUGUAAAUUUUGUCUUAUUGUAAAAAGGUAAUUUUUGUCUUGUAGUGUCCAACAGACAACGGUACUUAUAGGCACGUGUGUUGUAUGAGUUAAAAUGACACAACUGUUAUGGACAUUAUACAGUCAUAACAAAAUCUAUUGUCUAAAAUAGGCUCAAACAAUGUUUCGGGAAAAACUCGUUGUGUGUAAGUAGUGUAGACAAUGGUUUCUGGGAGGCAAACCGUUGUAUAAUAAAUUUUCAUUUUUAAGAGUUAGAAAUUCACAUUUUCUUGAUUAGUUCUUGUUUUUGUACUCUUUGUCUUAACAAAUAUACUUAUAUUAUGUAUAUAUGCAAAUAUCAAUUGUCAUUUGUACUAUGAAGAUAAUUUUGUAGUUCGAACAUGAGUAUUGGUAUGUGUUUUAUAUUUACAAUUUAGAAAGUACUGAAUAGGAUCUUUGCUAUAUAUAAGAUUAGCUCCGUAUUAUUUUAUAAAUAUUGAUUUUGAUGAUCUAACCGUACGGAUGUCGAAAACUAACAAUAUUAGUCAUGUAUAAAAAAAAUCAAUUUUUUAUGUUUAUUUUGUAUGUUUUUUUUAACAAUACUAGUCAAUUGUAAAUUUUGUCUUACUGUAAAAAGGUAUUUUUUGUCAUGUAGUGUCUAACAUACAAUGGUUUUUAUAUGCACCUAUGUUGUAUAAUUGAAAAUGAUACAACUGUUACAGAAGUAUACCGUUCUAAGAAAAUCUAUUGUCUAAAUUAGGCUCAAACAACGGUUCACGGAAAAUCCGUUGUAAAAAAGUAGUGUAGACAACAGUUUAUGGGAAGGAAACCGUUGUAUAAUAAAUUUUCAUUUUUAUGAGUUAAAAAUUCGCAUUUCCUUGAUCAAUUCUUGAUCUAAUGCAAGAAAAACAUAUGACUAUCAAGAAAUUGAUUGUUUUGUUAUAACUUUGGUUAGGACUUUGAAUCUUUGCACUCUCUUAUGUACAUCCAUUUUCUUAAAAUUCAUUCAAUCAUACAACAUUUUAUUAGUUAGUAGAGGCUUGUCUAUAAUGCCAUGCUACAAUGCUAACAAAAACACUUGUAUGUUAGCUUCCCAGUCACACAACACUAUAUAAAACCCUUGUUUGAACUCCUCGUAAACAACACAACAAAUAAAACACUUGUCUAAUUACAACGACGGUUUCUUGAACUAUUGUCUGAAGUUUCUUCACACAUCGGCUCUCAAAACAGUUGUCUAACAUGCAUCAUUACACAAUACCACAGUUAAGAAACCAUUGUCUAAUUGAAUUUACUAGACAACAAUUUUUUAACCGUUGUAGGUCGUAGAUGUUAGACAAUAGUUUUUCGAGGCCGAAAAGAAAGUGUUGUGUCUUUUUUCCAAACAACGCUUUUUUCACCGUGCGUUGUCUGAUCAGUGUUGUCUAAUGGUGUUAUUGUUGUAGUGCAAGUUGGAUUUAUUUAAUGCUAAUAGGUACUUGUUCAAGUGAGGAGAUUUAACUGAGAUUCAGGUUCUGGCAUUUGUCUUGUGUUGUUAUUUGUUUAUGUACCGGUUUUGAGAGUCAUUAGAGAUAUGUAAGGUAUUUAUUCCUAUUUUUUAUUAUUAGUAUUACAUCGUUUUCGGGUAAAAUAAUCGAUGAUUGUUUGUUUUAACUGUGUAAUAGCCUUAUGAUCUGCCAACUUAUGUAGACAUGUGAUAAACAUGUUGACUGUGGUCAAUAUUUUAGAUGAGGUAGUGUGUUUGUUGUUAUUGCAAGACUUUUUGGAAUAAUCAUUGUCAAAAAGAACUAACGAUGAAUGGAAAUGAAGUUCUGAAGAAGUGAUGAUACAAUGUUAAAGAGAUUGCUUUUUGUUGAAUUUUUCUGACUCUGGAAUUAAACUGCGUUAGUAUCUUCUUCUCUGAUUUUCCUUAUUUGGUAGACCUACUACUUUCAGAAGAUACAUGUGGUAUUUGUUUGGUUGAUUAAUUUUGGUAAGAUACAGUUUCCGUUUGGAAUCAGACUAUCCAUUGAACAAUCAGACUAUCCAUUGAAGAUUUUAUGCUCGCUCUUAAAUGGUUGAUCCACUGAUCUUAUUCUUACUUCAUAUGAGCUAAAGCCAGCUCUAGGGGUGUUUCUCGCAUACAAAAAAAUUAAAAAAAAUAUUAUGAAACUAUACUUUGCAGGAGUCUCAAAAUAAAUAAGUGUAAACGAUAAACUUAAACACCUAACUUCUUAAACACCUAGCAUAACACGGGUGAGCAUAUGGUCAAUCAUACCAAAUUGAAUAAAUCGAAAUUAAAAUUUAAAUAUUUUUAGACUGGACCAAACUGAAAUAUUUUGUCCGAUCCAGUUCAGUAUGAUCGAAAAGAAUUGAUUCUUUUGGAAAAAGUAACUUAAUAUUAUAAAUAAAAUUAAGAUUUAUAAUUUAUUUAAAAACUAUCAAUGAAUCAUCAACACUUCUUCAAAAAUAGAUACAUUUGAAUUUAUACAUUAGAUAUUAUAACUUCUAAAAAGUAUAUAAAAAUAUAUAAUAUAAAUAUAAAUUUAUAGUAUAAUUUUUUUGACUAUUUAGAAUAUAUUUUUAACCCAAAUAUUUUUUUUUAAAAUCAAAUUUUAUUUCGAUGAACUUUUCUAGAAAAUUAAGAUAGAAACGAAACUCAUUCCUACAGUAAGGUUUCAGUUUUUCGGCUGCAAUACGGUUUUGCUCAUCAUUAGCAUAAAUGGAGUAUGUAGUAAAUAUGAAUGAAUGGCAUGGGAAUUCUUGGAAUGGUAUCAAGAAUUAAGAUUAAAGCACAUUAGAAGUUUAGAACCAUGAAUGUUAUUUUUGAAAAUAGUAAUCCCUCCGUUUCUUAUCACGUUUCUCGUUUGAUAUGUCGGAACGGUUCAUAAUAUGAGACAAAUUAGUAAUUUAUGUCCAAUUUAUAAAAUUAAAUAUAGUCAUGAGUGAUCUUGUUGGAUUCGUAUCUAUGAGUACUUUAAUAAGAUGAAAUUUUUAUAUUUAAUGUUAAUACAAAAUUAAAAUAUAUUAAUUAAAAAUAUAUAUUGACAAACGUGAUAAAAACAAACAGCAAAAAUAUUAAGAAACGAAGCGAGGGAGUAAUAAAUAUGCUUUAUGCUGAACUGAAUUGAGUGCGUGGAAGCUUGGGGAGGCAGCUUACUACAGUAUCUACGUGUAUCUGUAUAUGCAAUAAAGACACAAAUACUCACAGGAGAUUAUUUUUCAAACACUUAAUUUCCCCCUUUCCUUCUCGUAAUAUUCAACUCAAUUCAUCACAUCAUCUUCUUCAGACAAACAACUAUACUCACUUCAGAUCAUCACAUCAUCUUCUUCUUGACUUCAGAUCCACAUUUCAAACCCUAAUCAUUCGCUUGGUCCCCUCCCUCUCUGUAAUAAUACAAUUCUUUCUACACACAAACAAUAACAUCAUCAUCAUCGAGUGAAGCUUCAUAUCCACAUUCCAAGACCUAAUUACUCGCCAAACCACUCUCGCUCUCAUGGAGGAGGCCUUAGAAAUGGCGAGAUCGAAUGAUACCAAGAAGCGAAGGGCGGGAGUGGAUCGGCUGCAACAGCUUCUUGAAGAUUCAAGAAAGUGCUUGUCAUCGUCGGAAGUGACGGCGCUAGUCGACACGUGUCUUGAGCUUUUGAAGGACACGUGUGUUGCUGUCGUCGGCCGCGGAGUUGUUUAAGUUGCAUUCUGAUAGAAUUAUGACGGCGGUUGUUGAUAGGUUGUGGGAUGGGGAGCAGCGGGUUCGAGACUCGGCGAGGAGGCUGUUGAUUACCCUUAUGGAGGUAAUUUAUUAAUUUUCUUGGGGAAUGCCAGUUGAUUUUAUGGAAUGUGAUAUAGUAUAGUUUCUAUCAAUCGAGUAUCUUAAAUUGAUGACUACAACAAGUAUUAUCGUUUUGCACGCAAGUGGCUAAACUUUUAUGCAUGCCAAAUUGCCAAUCGGGUUUCAAUUUCAGAUCUCUGCCUUCACUUGCAUACGAACACAUUUGAGUUUAAAAAGAUGAAUCACCUCAUAAAUAUCAUUAAUAAUUAGUUGGUGUUAAUAGUGCACUGAAAAAUGGGAGAGAAUGACAAGACUAUAGACAGUAGUAGGGCUGAGCGAGAUGUUAAUUGAGUACUUAUAUGAUGCUUCACUAUGUUCAGGGAGUUAGUUUAUUGCUUCUUUCCUACACUUUCACUUGAAUUAGUACUAAUUAAUAAUUCCUUCUCUAUCUUGUAAAAUUUCUCCUUCAUUGCUAAGCAUAUCUACUCUGAUUAAUUUUCAAACAAACUUUACUACUGAGAUAGGAUUGUUUGCUGGGUAGGAGCACCAUAGAAUGAGUAGCUCUAUUGCUAUAUACUGAAGGGUGCGGUGGCAUCCUCGGUUAUAUUUUAAGUGCUACUUCGAAUUUAGUUGUUGGCUUUUGCAAUUUAUUUUCAUUCACAAUGUUUUAAUAAUGAUACCCCAUAUUAGGUGAGAGAUAUUAGUGCCAGGCUGGAGCAGAUUCAGAUUCAACCAGCAACUUCCGUCUCUUCCAUCUCUGAAGGACUUAAUAGUAAUCUUCUCCACCAUGCACCUGAUUUAGAAGUAUAAUGUAUUAAUGUGAACUUUUUAUUUAUAUUUAUUUCCAUGUGUAGUAAAACGAUCACAUCUUUUAAGAGCUUAGUACAAUGUUAUGUACAAUGUGUAAUUAAUUAAGAGGUUUGUACAUAGUUUAGUAUGAAAUGGAAAAAGUUUGUACAGAAGUUUAUUUGUUCACAUUACAGCUGAGACGAGCAAGCAAAAACCAUCAGAGAAUUCAAAGGAUAAUGAUAAAGGAAUUGAGCCCCUACUGGAACUGCCGGAAGAUAUUAUCUUUCUACAAAUUCUGCCUAAGUUGAACAGCCUAGAUGUUCUUCCCCUGGUUUUGGUGGCUAGGAGUUGGGCCUCCUUUCUUUUGCAUGAGGGACCCAGACUGAUGUUAUUCAACCCACCUAAAAAUCCUACACCUAAACACACUUCAAUUUUAUUUGAUGUAAGCCCGAUUCCGUACUCUGUUUCAGUUUUGUUAUCCCCAGAGAGCCGCCAACUGUGUCAGUCUAGGUGUAUAAUUGUUCCAAUCUUGAAUUCUGGUAUAAAACAUGCUGUUCCAAUUUUCACUGACUACCCAGAUUUUUUAAAGCAGGGGGAAGUCCCAACUGUAGUGGGAUCUUCCAGUGGUAUUAUAUGCCUCUAUAUCACCAGUUCUCCCUCUAGAUACAUCCUGCUAAACCCCUUAACAAAACAUUAUAAAGAGGUUGGGGCCCCUUAUAUUUUUGUACCAGAUUGUGAGCAAGCUUCUGUAACUUCUGGAUUCUUUUAUGAUGAAUGGACUGAUGACUUAAAGAUCGUACAAUUGUUGAGAUGGGAUCAAAGGCUUACGAGCUUGGAUGCUCCGGGACCCAAAAAGAUACAUGCGCUUCGCGUUUGUUCUGUAAAUUCUGCAAAUUGGGAAGUUGUUGACUUGGGGCCAAUGAAAGUCUCCGAUCGUCUUGGUGGUGUGUUAUUUUUGCCGAAAGCUCUCGUCACAUUUGUAGAUGCGUUUGCUACAGAGCCGGAGAUUAACUUUUGGUUGGAUUUUCGUGAUUGCCGUCUAAAGGCAGUUCCGGAAUUAGAAGGGGCUGAACUCAGUAUGAAAUCGGUUUGGUGGAAUAACCAGGUUGGUGUUAUUGUUGGAACUGACAGCAUUUAUGUCCUUGAUGAGGAGUUUGCAGCCUGGUAUUACUGCACAGUGCUUCCGGACGUGGGAAAUUGUGUAUUCUGUUUAGAUGAGAACAAAAUUGUGGGGAUGGGGGCUGGGGAAAGCGGAAGCGUAAAUGAUUACAAUAUUCUUAAUUCCACAAGCGGCGAAAUCCAACAUAUAAUCUCGUUGCCUUCUUGCAGGGUUUUUCCGUAUGUUCCUACAUUCUACUAUAUCGAGGGAAUGGCUAAUUUUUAGACUUUUGCAAGUCACAAUGUAAUAAAAGAAUGUAAACAGUACAUAGCAGCAAUACCUCUCUAUAGCAUAUAGUUUCAGAUACAACAUGUAUUGUGAUGCCAGCUUGUAGAGUACAAGUAUUAUUCUAGGUGAUUGAUUGUUGAGAAUAAUAGAGGCAACCGGUUGCAUGAUGGUAUCCUUGAAACUUUCAUAAUUACUAAUAUCGAACUCAGAUAGCAUGCAAUUUUUCCGGAGAUCAUAUUCUUUAGCUAUCAACUAACUCUACAUUAUAUAUUAUGUCCCAGAUCAAUGAGUUUGUUUGCUAUAAUGUCCUAUUUUAUAUGUGAUUUAGGAAUAUGUUCCAUUAACUUGUUAUCACCCUCAAAUCUAAAAUCUAAGACUACCAUGUCCUUAGUUUAUUUUGUUUAAUAUUUGUGAAUAGACUCUAAUCUGAUCAUAUCAAUUAUAUUUUAGUAACAGAUGUUUAAAUGCAUAUGUUUUUGUUAUCUAGUUAUUUCAAUGAUGAUGGGAUUAAAUUUUUUUAUUCUUGUAAUAUGUACAAUGAUUGGUUUAGCUUUAAUAUUUAUUUUUAUUUUUAUUUACCAAUUUUAAUGUAGGUAAAGUUUUAUCAGCAAAUUUUAUUUUUUGUAUGCAGUAAUCUGUUCUAAUAUCAAAUUUUGAUUUAGAUCGAGUAUUAGUAUGUUGAAUUUGCAUUCAUCUAGUUAGAUGAGUGAAACUGGCUAAUUAAUGGAAAAUCAUAAGUACCUGAGUUGUUUUCAAAUUUUUUUCCCAAAUUUUAAUUGUUUGAUUGGUUUCUUCAAAUUAAUAUUAAUGGAAUCAUGAACGCACAUAAAUAAUUUAAUUAAAAAUUAUUUAUUUAUGUGUCAUUUAGAAAAAAUUGGGGACAAAAUUUGGGAUAGUAAUGGGGACGAAAUAUGUGUUAGCGUUAAUGGUUUAGCGGCAGUGGAGAACGCAAUUUAAGAGCAAAUCCAAUAGUGUCCUAAACUAGUAUCCUAAAUUAAAAAUUAAGGUAUUUAUAUAAAUGAGUGCUCCACCUAAUGAGUGCUCCACCAAUGUCCAGUGAUACCUUAAAAUACUAGGAAAUCCAUCAAGCGUCUCGUUUUUAAGACAUCACUAGGCAUGCCCUAUUUCACUUCUAUCAAUAAAAUAUAUCUUUCCCUCGUUUUUUACAGAUCUCUUCUCUCUCAUUUUUUCCAUUUAUGCCCAAUUAUAAUUCAAAUAUAAUACACCUUCAGUCCCUUUUUAGUUGUGAAAUUUACAAAAAUAAUUUGUCCUUAAAUAAUAUUCUCAUCCUUGUUCCAAUACAUAUUUAUACAUAUUUUUUCAUGUUUACCCCUUGAUUGUUGGUUCAAAUGUUUGACUGUACUACUAAUAUAUACAGUUUUGACUUAGUAUUUAAUAUAAUAAAUAAGGGCAUGCGUGGAAACAACUUACAACAUUUAAUUUUCUUUAAUAUAUGUAUUUUUGCAAAUGUGACAACUAAAAAGGAACAGAGAGAGUAUUAUUUUAAUCAUAAAACAUAUUGUUGGAGUUAAUAUAAAAAAAUCAUGUCUUAAAUCAUAAGAUUACUAUAUUUAAUUAUAUUUAUAAGGCAUCUAAUAGUACAAUAUUGGAUUUGCUCUGAUCACAGAUCAAUCAAAUGAUCGGCAACUUAAGCGAUCAAAUGAGAUGACUCGCAUAGUCCACGCUAAUCGAUAUCCUUAAGAGGAUGUUUGCCUGGGCUUAAAGCCCUUGCUUUAAGCCAUCUUUGGCUUUAAGCUGAAAAAUGUCUGUUUGUGUAAUAAGUCAGAAGCCAGCCUAAAGUCAGAAAUAAGCCAGAAGCUGACUUAAAGCCAGAAGUUAAUUUGAGGUACUUUUUUCAGUGGCUAAAUUUUUUUGAACUUUUUUUUUGAUAAAAAUUACUCCUAAAUCAUAAGUUUCUUAUAAAUCACUUUUAUUUUUAUUAUUAUAUUUUUAAUAACUCAUAAGUCAUUCAUAAGCCAAAAUUACCCAAACAGACAUUUUAAGCUAUCAGCUUAUCAGAUAAGACACGUUAAGUCACAAGUCACAUUAAGUCAUAAGCCAUAAGCUCAGCCAAACGGGCAAGUUUUCUAAGAGACAUUCCUGCUUAGUGCAUUUUUAAUAGGGUUGCCUAAAUCGUUGACGAAAUUGGACAUGUGAGACAUUAUAUAAAAUUUGUUAAACAUGUAAGUGAUUGUGUUUCAAUAAUGUUAACUACAUUGAUAGAUUAUAACUUAAAAAUAGUAUGUUAUUAAUAUUUAGAUUGUUAUAAAAAAAUAUAUGAGUUUAAUAUGAUAGGAAAUGAUGUGUAAAUUACCCCGAUUAUAUAUAUAUAUAAAUAAUAAUAUAUUUAUAUAUAUUAUACUAAAUAUAUUAUUAAAAAUAGAUAAAUUUUAUAAUAUAAUCAAAAGUAAAAAAUAAUCUUUAUUUUUAUUGAUUGAUUAUAAAUAUAUUGUAAUAUAAUAUAUUUUAUAAUUUUAAAUUGUUGUUUAUUUAUAUUAUAAAUCAAUUUUAAUAUGAUUUGAGGUUGAAAAUAUAAGAUAAUAUUAUUUUAUUAUUAUAUUAGGAGUUUGUAGUUUGUUUUUUAAUUAAAAAAAUAUAUUAUAUAUUAUAAAAUUAUUAUGUUUUUAUUAAAAAAUAAAAUUCCCCGAAACCCCGCGGGGAUCCCCGUUCCCCGUUCGGGGCGGGGAUCGGGGCGGAAAAUAAUCCCCGUUCGAGGUUCGGGGCGGGGUCGGGUAGGGCCGUAGGGGUAUUGAAUUCGGGGAUCGGGGUCGGGGAUAGCACUCCCCGCCCUCGAAGUCUCCCCGUGCCCAUCCCUAGUCGAACCUCUAGAGGUCCGUAAAAAAUCUCCAAGAAGAUUACACUAUGUAAUCUUCUUGGAGAUUUUUUACGGACCUCUAGAGGUUCGACAAAUAUAGUGGCCGGUAGGAUGUUGGUUAAAAUUAUAGAUAAGUGGUGUCUAUGGUUGAGUGUGAUUUUUUUGAAUAGAAUGGCUAUAUAUUUUAUUUUUGGGAUGCCAACUCAAUUUUUAAACUAAGGACUUCUCAUAUUUGGAGAUGCUAUAUGAUGGCAAAUCCCGCAAAUCUUCAAUUUUGACAUAUAUUAUCCUAAAUUCUCUUUCAACAAUGAUUGAUUCAAAUUUGGAUCAAGAUUGUUGGAUCCCGCUGACGUGGCAGUGACGUCAUGUUGACGUGGCGCCCUGGGGUGGACCCCGGUGCUGACGUGGCAGAUGACGCGGCGGUGACAUGGCGCCUGGUUGGGGUCCCAUUACUAACGUGGCAUUUGGGUAGAAAGUAUAAAUUACGGAAAAUUGAUGACAAACUGAGAGGUGCAUAUUAUAAGUUUUAAAAAGUAUGAGGAGAUAUUUGAUCAGUUUAAAACUAGUUUUUAGGUUUUUAGGCUAACCGUGGUUUGUAUAUUCGAGCAUCCCCGUGUAUAUUGACAUAUAGGUAAACUCCUUGCAAUACUUUGAGCUGCAAAAUCCAUCAAAAUUUUGAUUUAUCAUGUAACUGUUUGACAGAGUACUUCCAACUUUCAAGCGUAAGUAUCAAAAUCACUACCUUCAUAUGUUCCAUUAAGCGUGAAAGGUACAGAAUAAGAAGUGAAAGAAAUCCUUUAUAUUUACACGGCCAUUGAUCUUAUAGGAUCACCUAGCCCAUCAGUGCUAGGGAAUACGGAACCAUCUUAUCAAUUAACGAAGAAAUGUAUGCAUGCAGUGUCACCACCACAAGUCAGAAAUGGUGAUGAUGCUAAUGAUAAUGAACUCAAUUGGGAGUGAUCCUAAUGGGAUAUGGAUGUGGAUUGGUAUGCGGAUUCUUUGGGGUUUAUUGUUCUUACAAUGGGAAAGCCUUGGUGGUUUAUGAGAUACAUUGAAGUAAGUUGAUAAUGACAUGCACGGCUUAAUUAAGAUUAAUUAAGACAAACACCUUGACAAAAUGUUGUCUUAGAAUGAUAUGUAUUCUGAUUUUUCCUAAUUUAAAAUCAAAUUUAUUACAAUUAAAGUUAAAAUCUGCGUAGCACAUACUAUACUUUGAUUAAAUUUUUAUUGAAGUUGUCCAUAUUAACCUAGUGGCCGAAAGUGAAUAAAUUAAAUUAGUGGGGUCUAAUAUAAAAAUUGCAUUAAUUAAAAUUUGUAAUGUAUAGAUUAUGCUAAAGCUAUUCAUUAUAAAGAACAUAGGAAUGUUAAUCUCUUUAUAUGUUUGCAUGCGGAUAGUCUCUCGGGAGUGUGGUAUAUUGUCAUGGCUGGAAAAACGGCUAAUUUCUACGGUUUUUUUUUGACAGAAAUUAAUUUUGACGGAAUACUGUCGAAAUAUCGAAAGUCGAAAAUAAGCCGCAAAAUUACUUUUUUCAAUUUUCAAUUGAAAACUGUCAAAAAAGUCUCUGGCAAAAUUAUAUUUAUUUCUACAGAUAAUGUCGAAAAUAUUUUCCUGCAAAUUUCCCGCACCUUAGUUGUGAGCGGAAAUAGAUAGUUUGGACAGAAUUCCGUCGAAAUUACGCGAGUUCUUUGUAGUGUGUUUUCACACAUACGCUGAUAAUCUUUGGGGACUGGGGUAUAUUGUUUUCGCAAAGCACUGGUAGUUUGUGAGCUUGUCCAAUUUUUCCCCCCAUGCCUAUACUGGUUGGUCUCAGUCUUAGUGGUAAUAAGCUGGCGUCAAAUUUUCCAGAAUUCAUAUAUAAUUGCUAUAACAUGAUCCGAUGCCUGAAUCAGCAGCUAACAAUUUACGUAAUCUUGAAGAACUAUAUCUUGGUGCCAAUUCUUUCGAGGGCUCAUUUCCAACGAAUAUAUUCAAGCUUUCCAAAUUAAGGGUUCUUGACCUAUCUGUGAAUAAUUUUUCAGGUUCCAUUCCCAAUGGUAUAGAGAUGCUUCCCGAUCUUGGAAUAAAUCGUAUUUAUAAUAAUUCAUUUGAAGGAAUUAUUCCUUCUUCAAUUAGUCUACUUAAAGAUCUUCAACACCUAGACUUCGGUGACGACAACCUUGUGGUUUCAAGUAUAAUGUCUUACGGGUCCAAUCUAACCGAUCAUUACAGGCAACCCCAUUGGAGAUGCUCUUAAUAACAUUUUAACUAGAGAGUAUUUUCUAUCAAUUGCAUUUGUAUUAAAUUUGAUUUAGAUGAAGAGAAACAGAAUACAUAUGAUCCCGAGACAACAUUUUGUCAAUGUUUUCGUCUUGAUUGAACAGUCUUCUUCAUGCGUGUCCUUGUCAACUUCAGUUGCAGUAAUUCAAUGUAUCUCAGGAACCACCUUGGCUUUCCCAUUUUGAUAACAAGUAUCCUGAAGAUAAUCCGCAUAUCAAUCCACAUCCGCGCGUAUCCCAGUUGAUUUAUUAAUUUAUUCAUGAAGUGUUGCGAACGACAUUCCUGCAAAAGUAAAAGUCAGUGGAAUUUGUAUGAUAGCAUGAUGAAUAUUUAAAGUUUCAGUUAAAAUUUCACCAAGUAUUUUAUUUCUGGCUUAAGUCCCGGAUUGACGAAUUCUGCUGAUCACAUUUCUAAUCGACCAAUUCUGGUCGAAUAAAUUAAAUGGCACACUUCCUGAGUUGGUGGUAGGGGCGUUCUUCUUGUGUUUCUUUCUUUUCAUUAUUGACAUUGUUAUCCAGGCCCUUGCUUCUGGGCUUUUGUAAAGCACCCAUUUACGCCAUUGUCAUGAUCAUAGCUAGUCUUCCAUAUCCAAGAUACGCGCAUUAUAGUGGAUUUAUCUUUAUUAGUGAUUUCUGUGGAAAUGCAUAAUCUUAAUUAUAAGCUCCAAUAUUAUAAAAUAAACCUAACUUAUUAGAGUUAACAGGGCAUUUGUGUUGAUAAUUUGCGCAAUGUUAAUGGGGAUCGCUCCCAAGUCUUGGACGGACUCUUUCCAAGUCUUCUGAGGACCCAUCUGCACACUAAUUUGUCCGCCAACUAAAAAUUUAUAUAUAUUUUUCCAUAGAAUAUAAAUAGUUGGGGGUACUAACAGAACCUCUAGUAAAAUUAAUUAAUACCGUUAUGAUUUCGCAAACACAGCAGACAGCAGGCAUAAGGCUUAUAAAUAGAAGUGUCGUAUUUGGUUGAUGGUCAAGUUGAGUGGAAAUAUGGCACACUUUGUAAAGCCUUGUUAUCCUCUUCUCUUUGUUUUCUUUCUCUCAUUACUUCAAUCCAUUCUAACAACACAAGAGGGAGAAGCUCUUGUGAAAUGGAAGAAUAGCCUAGCCCCUUCUUCUUUUCUCGACUCUUGGUCACUCACCAAUCUCGAUAAUCUUUGCAACUGGACUGGCAUUACUUGUAACUCUGCAGGUUCAGUCUCUGAGAUUAACCUUAGUGAGAAACAACUUGAUGGAAUGCUGUCCGAGUUUGGUUUCACUUCAUUUCCAAAUCUCAACAAUCUCACCCUCGCAAUUAACUACUUCUCGGGUCCAAUACCACCAGCCAUUGAGAAUUUAACACAGCUUCAAUAUCUUGAGUUGAGCAAUAAUUAUCUAGAUGGUCCCAUUCCUUUCCAGGUUAGCAAUCUUCAGAGGUUGCUCAUCUUAAACCUGUCAGAGAAUGAACUGCAAGCUCCAAAUUGGUCCAAUUUUUCCCCCAUGCCUUUUUUGACCAUCCUCGACCUUUAUAAAAAUAAUCUUUUGUCAGAAUUUCCCGAAUUUAUAUCUAACUCGUGUAACCUUACGUACCUUGACCUCUCAUCCAACAAGUUUAGAGGGGAUCUUGCGCGAGAAUCAGUAUUAACCAAUCUAGGUGAUCUUGAAACCCUCUAUCUUAUUAGAAAUUCUUUCAAGGGGUCAUUUCCGUCAGAUUUAUUCAAGCUUUCUAAAUUAAAACGUCUUCACCUGUCGAGCAACAAAUUUUCAGGUUCAAUUCCUAAUGCCAUAAGGUUGCUUUGUGAUCUUGAAUUCCUAUAUUUAGGCAACAAUUCCUUUGAAGGACUGCUUCCACCAAAUAUAUUUAAGCUUUCAAAAUUAAAACAUCUUGUUCUUCGGAGUAAUAAGUUUUCAGGAUCUGUUUCCAAUGAUAUAAAUUUGCUUCCUGAACUUGAAUAUCUCGAUCUUAAUUCUAAUUUUUUUGACGGGCCGCUUCCUCCAGAUGUAUUCAAGCUCUCCAAACUAAGGUUUCUUUACCUCUCGGGUAAUACCUUUUCACGUUCUGUUUCCAAUGAUAUAGGUUUGCUUUCUGAGCUUGAAACCCUCGAUCUUAACUCUAAUUUUUUGAGGGUCCGCUUCCGUCAAAUAUAUUCAAGCUCAAAUUAAAAAUUCUAGACCUCUCAAACAAUAGAAAUUUAUUUCAAAGAAGUUUUCCUAUUGGACUGGAACUCUUGAGUAACCUCAGCUACUUAGGUCUAAGUUCCAGUAAUCUCAGUGGCAAUAUUCCAUCUUACAUUGGAAACCUGAAGCUACUAAUAUCUCUUGAUCUCAGUUCUAAUCAAUUGACUGGACCGCUUUCAAAGCUCGUUUCUAAUGUCACAAAUCUUAUAUUUCUUGAUUUAAGAGAUAAUAGUCUUAGUGGAAAUAUUCAGACUGACUUGUGGAAAUAUAACGAUCAUCCAACUCUGGAAUACAUCAAUUUGAGUGGGAACUAUUUUACGGGUAUAGUUUUUCUCUAUAGAUCUUUUCUUUUGUCAUAUGUAACUAAGCUAGUAAUCUGAUUAAUUGCAGUUUUACCAAAGUUUCAACAAUCUUGACAGGUGAGCUUCCAACAACAAUUUGCAAUGUCACUUCCCUUUCGGUUCUUGAUUUGUCAAAUAAUAACUUAAGUGGUGCACUUCCAAAAUGUUACGGGAAUCUUGCUGAUGGAUUGCUUUACAUUAAUCUUGCGAAUAAUCACUUUCGAGGAACAAUACCCACUACUUUCUCCAGGAGUUGUCAGCUGAUAUAUCUGAACAUGGAUGAUAAUGAGUUUGAAGGAUUGAUGCCCCCAUCUUUGGCGAACUGUAAGCACUUGAAAAUUUUUGAUAUUGGCAAUAAUAAAAUAGGUGGUACAUUUCCGUCAUGGCUUUAUGCACUUGGAGAGCUAGAAGUCCUUGUCUUGCGAUCAAAUAAACUCUAUGGUACAAUAAGUGGAAGGAGCAUAGAAGAUCCCUUCCCCAAGUUGCGGAUUGUGGAUCUGUCCAACAAUCAAUUCACAGGCCAUUUGCCAAUUCAAUACUUUAAGAAUAUGAAAUCAACUGAUAAUUUGUAUCGUUAUCAGAAUGACACAGGAGUUUUUUCUUUCCAUUAUGAAGCAUCUGUCUCAUUAACUGUGAAGGGAACAGAGUAUGAAGUGAAAAAUAUCCUUCAUAUUUACACAACCAUUGAUCUGUCCUGCAACAAGUUUCAAGGAGAAAUUCCUGACGUUAUUGGAGAGCUUAGAUGGCUUGCAUUGCUGAACUUAUCUCAUAAUAGUCUAACAGGACAUAUCCCAUCAUUGCUGAGAAAUAUGAAAGGACUCCAAUCUUUAGAUUUGUCUUCAAAUCAACUGAAAGGGGCUAUUCCACUUCAGUUAACUGCAUUGACAUUUCUAGAGGUCUUGAACCUCUCGGGAAACCAUCUUAGUGGAGAGAUUCCUCAGAAAGGGCAGUUCAGCACAUUUAACAUUGAUUCUUAUCUAGGAAACUCCGCGUUAUGUGGUUCACCUUUGAUGAAGAAAUGUGCAAACACAGCAUCACCUCCACAAGAAGCCGGAAAUGGUGAUGAAGAUGAAGCUGGUGAUGAAUUGACAUGGGAAGCAAUCGUGAUGGGAUAUGGAUGUGGACUGAUAUGUGGAUUGUCAUCUGCAUACAUUGUUCUCAAACUAGGAAAGCCUUGGUGGUUUGUGAGAUAUAUCGAAGUACUGCAACAGAAGUUGAUGAAAAGAUAUGCAUGAAGAAAGGUACUGGUAGAUCAAGAUGAACUUGAAAGUUGUUGUCGUGGUAGACAUUUGUGAACCAGUAGUGUACUAGCUGCAUAAGUAUUUGGUAUUAUGUAAUAAUCCGUUUGGUCGGGACUCAAAAUGAUUUCUCUUGCUUCAGGGGUAUUAAUAUUAACCUUGCUAUCUUGAUCAAUGUUAGGGCAAAUUAAAAAGAAUAUAAAAGCAAAAAAUUUGCAUCAAACACCUGUUGUACCAACAUGCAUCCAUUAAUUUGCUUUCAUCUAUUAAGUAACAAUUUAAGAGCGCUUCCACUCUGUUUAAGCAUGGAGAUAACACAAAGAAGGCAAGUCCAUGGACUAAUAUAUUAACACGUAGUCCACAUCUAUGGUAUGAACAAUUCAUAUUGCUCUUCUAUCUGUUCAACAGUCUCCCGAAGAUAGGCCAAAAAUGUCAUCUGUGGUUCUUAUGUUUGUCAGUGAAGGAGAAUCUCUGAUGCCUACACAACCUGGUGUUUUUACAGAAAGGAAUGUAGGUGAAACCAGGGGCGUAAAAUGAAUCAGGACUAAAAUCUGCUAAAAUGAUAAUUAUUUACUCAUCAUUCAAGAUUAGUCGGGCUCAAAGAUUUAUAUGGAUUUUAAGAACAAACUAUGACUAAAUAUGAAAAAAUCAUUAAUUUUUCCGACUCAAUAUUUUUUAGCCUCCCCCGGCCCUGGGUGAAACCAUAAGCUUCUCUGGUGCACAUCCAAAUCAUUCAGUUGGUUCUACUUUCAGCUCACCCACAGGAACAUCAUUCUGCAGGUACUCUUUUAUCUGUACUUUCUUAUAUUGUAUGCCAGUAAAUUUUAUAUCGACAAACUGCACAAUACACCUCGAUCUCAUAUUAUUGACAGGUGAGCUCCUCUCAUAAUGCUCACAGGCGAACCCCUGCAUAUAUACUUUGUGAUGUCAUUGAUGAUCGAUAGACUUGAAAAAAAAUUAUGACAAAGAUUCAUAAAAUAUCUACUUCCAUCCUAAUUCAGUAUUCAAUAUUAUUCAUUCGUAUCAUCAUCCAAUCAAUUCUAAUAGUUCUUCUUUAAAUCAGUACAAAUAUUGUUAAAUACCUGGAUGAUGGUUGUCUUUCCGCGAACCAAUCAUGAAAUUACCUCUGUAUAAAUCCAUCGGAAAUAAGACAGUUAAUAUCCCAAUCGAAUACACCCCGUCAGUUGUCAAACUCCUCGAAACGUAUUAAUCACUUUAGAAAAUUUGUUCCACUGGCGCUAGUCAGUCCCAGAGUUGGUGGUGGGUGCUUCUGGGCUUUCGAAAAGCACCCAUUUACUCCAUUGUUUAGAGAAGUAAAACCCCACCUUCCGCUCAUUUGAUUGAUCAGCUGAAUUAGGCAGAGUUUACAUGGUCAUGAUCAUAGUCUCCCAUNUUAAUAGUCUGACAGGACCUAUCCCAACAUUGCUGAGAAAUAUGAAAUAACUCCAUUACUCCAAUCUUAGAUUUGUCCUCAAAUCAACUGACAGGGGCUAUUCCACCUCUGUUAACUGCAUUGACAUUACUUUUCUCUUUAUAUUCUUUCCUUUUGUAUGUACCUAUGCUAAUUAUCUGAUUAUUAAAAUUAUAACAAAGCUUCAAGAUUUUUAACAGGUGAGCUUCCACUAAAAAUUUGCAAAGUCACUUCCCUUUCGCGUCUCAUUAUGUUAGAUAAUGGGUCAAGUGGUGCACUUCCACAGUGUUUGGGGAACCUUUCUUUGCUUGGUUUCAAUAAUCUUGCUAAUUAUCAAUUUCAAGGACCAAUACCAACGACUGUCCAAGACUUGUCUGUGCAUAUCUAAACAUCCAUAACAAUCACUUUGAAGGUUUGUUGCUCCAAUCUUUGGCAAACUGUAAACACUUACAAAUUCUUGAUAUUGGAAACAACGUUGGAGAGCUAGAUGUCCCAGUUAGGGCGGUAAUUCGACUAGAGCAAACCGAGUUUUGAGCGGAGCCAAAUUCGAGCCAAGUUUAAUCGAGUCGAGCCGAGUCGGCUCGUUUAGCUAAUCGAGCCUAAAACUUAGCCCGAACUCGACUCAUUUAAUUUCACGAGUCGAGUCGAGCCAACUCGUUUAGCUAAAUGAGCUGAUUUUAACAAGUCGAGCGAGCGAGCUCGUAUAAUUUUAACUUAGUCGAGCCUGAAUCUCUACCCAAACUAUUGGCUCGUGUAAUUUCGCGAGUCGAAUCGAGCCGGCUCGUUUUAUUAAACAAGCCGAAAUUUUUGCCCGAAUUUGCUCGUUUAACAAGCCGAUCUGAGCCUAGUUAAAUGAGUUCGAGUUAGUCGAGCUCGCGAGCUGCGAGCUCACCUGCCAGCUCUAGUCCUAGUCUUGCAAUCAAAUAGGUUUAACGGUAUAGAAAGUGGAAGGAGCACAAGGCAUCCAUUCCCCAAGGCUAUUUACCAAUUCAGUACUUUGAGGAUACAAAAUCAUUCUGCAGGUACUCUUGUAUCUGUACUUUCUUGUACUGUAUGCCACUUUGACAGUAGAGUAAAAUUUAUAUCGACAAACUGCAUAUGUUCUGAACUACUCCUCUAUCCCAAAUUAGAUGAGCUAGUUGACUUUGAGCACGUAACUUAAGGUACAUUGACCAACUAGUUCCGAUAUUUAUUUUUUUAAUUUUUCUUUUGUAAAUGAAAAUUUCAUAUUUAAAUUUUUAUUUGCAAAACUAAAAUUUAAAAAUAUGUAAUGUGGCUAUGCGGUCAAUGUCAACGAGCUCAUCUAAUUUGGGAUUGGGAUGCAGGGAGUAUUACGUACUAUGUUAUGCAAGCUGUUUACAACUUUCAUCAAAAUUUUCAAACAUUUCUGAAUAUGUAUUUUCAAAGAAUUCUCGGGCACUCUUAAGGCCUAUAAUUAUUGGAACUCUCACGUUAUGGACCAGAGGACCACUAUGUAUUUUACAAGCACGACGAAUCAUGUGGUCAUUAUGGACUCCCCAAGCCUUAGAGGACUCAUUCCAGGUUUUAGGAGGACCACUGCCUAGCUCACCCUUUCGGAGUGAUGUAAAUUAGUUUCCAGACACUAAAAAUAAGUAAUCAGAUUAAUCAUUACAAAAUUUUGAUAUAAAAUCAGAAUAAAUCCUAAACUUUGAUGAUACAAAAAAAAUUAUAAUUGUAAAUUAUACAAUCAAAUUAAGAUCGAAUUAACUUCCCUCACACUUAAAAUUUAUAGCGAUCAAAUCAAAAUCGAAUUAACUUUCCUAUUACUAAAAUUUAAUUACAAUAUUAUUAGAUAAAGAGAAUAUAUAAUAAUCAAGAGAAAAUAGAUUUUUUUUUGCCACUCAACUUAUUGUGUUUUAAGAAACUUACCACCCAACUAAAUUUUUUUCCUUUUGCUCACUAAUGUUAGGUUUGGAUUUGUUUUUAGCCACCAAAUAAGGUUCGGAUUUGAUUACCAGCAUUAUGAUAAUUUUUUUUGUCACUAAACUUAUUGCGUCUUUAGAAACUAACCACUGAACUAAAUUUUUUUUAUUUUACUCACUAAUGUUAGAUUUAGUUUUUUUUGUCACUAUAGUUAGGUUCAGAUUUGAUUAUUAGCAUUACAUUAAUUCUGUGUAGCAUUUUUAAAAUAUGGUAGUAGUCUGUGAUAUUUAGAUGAUUUGAUAUAUGUCUGUAUUUUUAUAUAUAGUAUAUUUUAUGUCCCCAAGGUCGUUUACCUUGGGUCAUAAAAAUUUUACACUCAUUUUAUGACUUUUAAAAGAUGUAGUUUCAUAAAUAAUUUUAUUUUUUUCUUUCGAAUUAAAAUUCAGCAUUUGAAUUUUACACACAAAAAAAUCGCAAGAAUAAGAUAUGAAACUAUGCUUUACAAGAGUCUUAAAAUACGUGCUAAACGGUAGAAAAAACUGUAAACUAAUGAGAGGUACAUAGGGAGUAAUAAUAACAUAAAAUGAUGCACAAUCAUCGAAUUAAGUUUUCCUCUCUCUAUAUAUUUAUUUUGUAAAUUUUAAUAAGAUAAAGUUAUUAAAAUUUAUGAUAUAAAUUUAAGAGAUAUCUUAGAUUGAGUGGCAAAAAUUUAGUUGGGUGGUAAGUUUCUAAAAACACAAUAAAUUGAGUGGGAACAAAAUCUAUUUUCCCAAUAAUGAGUGGGAAUAAAAUCUAUUUUCCCAAUAAUCAAAGUGACGAAAAAUCAAAGUCAUCUAAUAAGUCCAGAAAAAAUAUGACCAUUAGUAUAUUGAAAUAAUAUUCACGCAUUUAUAUACGAGAAUAUAUGGUCCACAAGUUAGUGCACAAUGUCCAAGAAUCUUUAUCAAAUAACACGGCAAGCAUGCAGCAUAUAAAUAAGAGUGGGCAGUAUGGUAUUGCAUUCAUAACCCACUUGAGCAGAAAUAUGGCACACUUCCUAAAGCCUUCUCACCUUCUUCUCUUUGUUUUCUUUCUCUCGUUACUUCAAUCCAUUCUACCAACAAGACCAGAGGGAGAAGCUCUUGUGAAAUGGAAGAAUAGCCUAGCCCCGUCUUCUUUUCUCGAUUCUUGGUCACUAACCAAUCUCGAUAAUCUUUGUAACUGGACUGGCAUUACUUGUAACUCUGCAGGUUCAGUCUCUGGGAUUAACCUUUAUGAGAAACAACUUGAUGGAAUGCUGUCCGAGUUUGGCUUCACUUCAUUUCCGAAUCUCAACAAUCUCACCCUCGCAUACAACUUCUUCUCGGGUCCAAUACCACCAGCCAUUGAGAAUUUAACACAGCUUCAAUAUCUUGAUUUAAGCAUCAAUAGUCUCGAUGGUCCCAUUCCUUUCCAGGUUAGCCAUCUUCAGAGGUUGCUCGUCCUAAACCUGUCACAGAAUGCAUUGCAAGCUCCAAAUUGGUCCCAUUUCUCUUCCAUGCCUUUUUUGCGCAUCCUCAAGCUCAGUAGGAAUCAUCUUGUAUCGAAAUUUCCAGAAUUUAUAUCCAAUUCUCAUAGCUUGGCUAUCCUUGACCUUGGCCAGAACAACUUUACAGGUGAUCUUGUGCGUGAAUUUACCAAUCUACAAAAUCUUGAAACCCUCUGGCUUUAUCGUAAUUCUUUUGAGGGGCCAUUUCCGCCGGAUAUAGUCCAGCUUUCCAAACUAAAAGAUCUUGCCCUGUCAAGUAACAAAUUUUCAGGUUCAGUUCCCAAUAACAUAAGGUUGCUUUGUGAUCUUGAAUACCUAUAUUUAGGCAACAAUUCCUUUAAGGGGCCACUUCCACCAAAUAUAUUUAAGCUUUCAAAAUUAAAACAUCUUGUUCUUUGGAGUAAUAAGUUUUCAGGUUCUGUUUCCAAUGAUAUAGGUUUGCUUCAUGAGCUUGUAACCCUCAAUCUUAACUCUAAUUUUUUUGAGGGGCCGCUUCCGCCAAAUGUAUUCAAGCUCUCCAAACUAAAGUUUUUUGCCCUUCAUGAGAAUAACUUUUCAGGUUUUAUUUCUAAGGAUAUAGGUUUGCUUUCCGAACUUGAAAUCCUCUAUUUUGGCUCUAAUUUUUUUGAGGGGCCGCUUCCUCCACAUGUAUUUAGGCUCUCCAAAUUAAGAGGUCUGGACCUCUCACACAAUAGAAAUUUAUUUGAAGGAAGUAUUCCUAUUGGACUGGGACUCUUGACUAACCUCAGGUACUUAGAUCUACAUUCCAAUAAUCUCGGUGGCUAUAUUCCAUCUGACAUUGGAAACCUGAAGCUACUAGUACUUCUUGAUCUCGGUUCUAAUCAAUUGACUGGACCGCUUUCAAAGAUCGUUUCUAAUCUCACAAAUCUUAUAUGUCUUGAUGUAAGUCAUAAUAGUCUUAGUGGAAAUAUUCAGAGUGACUUGUGGAAAUAUAACGAUCAUCCAACUUUGGAAUACAUCAAUUUAAGUGGGAACCAUUUUACGGGUAUAGUUUUUCUCUAUAGAUCUUUUCCUUUUCUCAUAUGUAACUAAGCUAGUAAUCUGAUUAUUGCAGUUUCACCAAAGUUUCAACAAUCUUGACAGGUGAGCUUCCAACAACAAUUUGCAAUGUCACUUCCCUUUCGGUUCUUGAUUUGUCAAAUAAUGAAUUAAGUGGUGCACUUCCAAACUCUUUGGGGAAUCUUGCUGAUGGAAUGCUUUACCUUAAUCUUGCUAAUAAUCAGUUUCGAGGAACAAUACCAACUACUUUCUCCAGGAGUUGUCGGUUGACAUAUCUAAACAUGGAUAAUAAUGAGUUUGAAGGAUUGUUGCCCCCAUCUUUGGCGAACUGUAAGCACUUGAAAAUUCUUGAUAUAGGCAAUAAUAAAAUAGGUGGUACAUUUCCGUCAUGGCUUUAUGCACUUGGAGAGCUAGAAGUUCUUGUCUUGCGAUCAAAUAAACUCUAUGGUACAAUAAGUGGAAGGAGCAUAGAAGAUCCCUUCCCCAAGUUGCGGAUUGUGGAUCUGUCCCACAAUCAAUUGACAGGCUAUUUGCCAAUUCAAUACUUUAAGAAUAUGAAAUCAACUGAUAAUUUGUAUCGUUAUCAGAAUGACACAGGAGUUUUUUCUUUCCAUUAUGAAGCAUCUGUCUCAUUAACUGUGAAGGGAACAGAGUAUGAAGUGAAAAAUAUCCUUCAUAUUUACACAACCAUUGAUCUGUCCUGCAACAAGUUUCAAGGAGAAAUUCCUGACGUUAUUGGAGAGCUUAGAUGGCUUGCAUUGCUGAACUUAUCUCAUAAUAGUCUAACAGGACAUAUCCCAUCAUUGCUGAGAAAUAUGAAAGGACUCCAAUCUUUAGAUUUGUCUUCAAAUCAACUGAAAGGGGCUAUUCCACUUCAGUUAACUGCAUUGACAUUUCUAGAGGUCUUGAACCUCUCGGGAAACCAUCUUAGUGGAGAGAUUCCUCAGAAAGGGCAGUUCAGCACAUUUAACAUUGAUUCUUAUCUAGGAAACUCCGCGUUAUGUGGUUCACCUUUGAUGAAGAAAUGUGCAAACACAGCAUCACCUCCACAAGAAGCCGGAAAUGGUGAUGAAGAUGAAGCUGGUGAUGAAUUGACAUGGGAAGCAAUCGUGAUGGGAUAUGGAUGUGGACUGAUAUGUGGAUUGUCAUCUGCAUACAUUGUUCUCAAACUAGGAAAGCCUUGGUGGUUUGUGAGAUAUAUCGAAGUACUGCAACAGAAGUUGAUGAAAAGAUAUGCAUGAAGAAAGGUACUGGUAGAUCAAGAUGAACUUGAAAGUUGUUGUCGUGGUAGACAUUUGUGAACCAGUAGUGUACUAGCUGCAUAAGUAUUUGGUAUUAUGUAAUAAUCCGUUUGGUCGGGACUCAAAAUGAUUUCUCUUGCUUCAGGGGUAUUAAUAUUAACCUUGCUAUCUUGAUCAAUGUUAGGGCAAAUUAAAAAGAAUAUAAAAGCAAAAAAUUUGCAUCAAACACCUGUUGUACCAACAUGCAUCCAUUAAUUUGCUUUCAUCUAUUAAGUAACAAUUUAAGAGCGCUUCCACUCUGUUUAAGCAUGGAGAUAACACAAAGAAGGCAAGUCCAUGGACUAAUAUAUUAACACGUAGUCCACAUCUAUGGUAUGAACAAUUCAUAUUGCUCUUCUAUCUGUUCAACAGUCUCCCGAAGAUAGGCCAAAAAUGUCAUCUGUGGUUCUUAUGUUUGUCAGUGAAGGAGAAUCUCUGAUGCCUACACAACCUGGUGUUUUUACAGAAAGGAAUGUAGGUGAAACCAGGGGCGUAAAAUGAAUCAGGACUAAAAUCUGCUAAAAUGAUAAUUAUUUACUCAUCAUUCAAGAUUAGUCGGGCUCAAAGAUUUAUAUGGAUUUUAAGAACAAACUAUGACUAAAUAUGAAAAAAUCAUUAAUUUUUCCGACUCAAUAUUUUUUAGCCUCCCCCGGCCCUGGGUGAAACCAUAAGCUUCUCUGGUGCACAUCCAAAUCAUUCAGUUGGUUCUACUUUCAGCUCACCCACAGGAACAUCAUUCUGCAGGUACUCUUUUAUCUGUACUUUCUUAUAUUGUAUGCCAGUAAAUUUUAUAUCGACAAACUGCACAAUACACCUCGAUCUCAUAUUAUUGACAGGUGAGCUCCUCUCAUAAUGCUCACAGGCGAACCCCUGCAUAUAUACUUUGUGAUGUCAUUGAUGAUCGAUAGACUUGAAAAAAAAUUAUGACAAAGAUUCAUAAAAUAUCUACUUCCAUCCUAAUUCAGUAUUCAAUAUUAUUCAUUCGUAUCAUCAUCCAAUCAAUUCUAAUAGUUCUUCUUUAAAUCAGUACAAAUAUUGUUAAAUACCUGGAUGAUGGUUGUCUUUCCGCGAACCAAUCAUGAAAUUACCUCUGUAUAAAUCCAUCGGAAAUAAGACAGUUAAUAUCCCAAUCGAAUACACCCCGUCAGUUGUCAAACUCCUCGAAACGUAUUAAUCACUUUAGAAAAUUUGUUCCACUGGCGCUAGUCAGUCCCAGAGUUGGUGGUGGGUGCUUCUGGGCUUUCGAAAAGCACCCAUUUACUCCAUUGUUUAGAGAAGUAAAACCCCACCUUCCGCUCAUUUGAUUGAUCAGCUGAAUUAGGCAGAGUUUACAUGGUCAUGAUCAUAGUCUCCCAUAUAUCCCUGAUACGCACAUUAUAGUGGAUUUAUCUUUAUCAGUGAUUUCUGUGGAGAUGCAUAAUCAUUAUAAGCUCCAAUAUAAAAUUUUAAAGUUAGUAUGGGAAUUUGUGUUGAUAAUUUGCGCAAUGUUAACAGGAUUGCUCCCAAGUCUUGGACGGACUCUUUCAAAGUCUUCUCAGGACCCAUCUGCACACUAAUUUGUCUGCCAACUAAAAAAUCAACAAUAUGUUACUCCCUCCGUUUUUCUUAAACUGAGGUUAAAAUUUUUGACACAAGAUGGGUUGACAGUAUAAAAUUAAAAUAUUUGUGAAUAAAAAUUUUGGUUAUAUUUUUUAUUUAAAAAGAAAAUCUUGAAAAUAAUAUUAUUAACUACCAGUCAGAUCACUUAAGUGUAUGUCCAAAAUUAAAGCGGCAUAUAAAAAAAAGGGAGGAAGCAUGUACUAACUGUUUCCAUAACAGUUUACAAGUAUAAGCUAUACCCCCUCUCUAUUUUUUUCUAUGACAGCUUUGAUUUUGGGCACACAUUCUUAAGUGUUUUGACCGGAUAGUUAAAAAUUUAUCUUCUAAAAUUUUUAAAAAAAGUAAAAUCGCAAAAAAAAUUAGAAAGCUGGUAUUUUUGAUAAAUUUCCAAAUAUGUAAUCAAGAAAAAUAACUUUUACUAUCCAAUCAACUCAUUUAAAGAUGUGUGUCAAAAAUCAAAAUAUCAUACAAAAAAUAGGUAUACAUUUUUUUAAUAGAUUAUACUCCCUCUGUUCCAAAAUAAGUGUCAGCUGGGGGUAAUAACAAGACCUUAGUCAACCCAAGCACAGCAGACAGCAGGCAUAAGGCAUCAGGAAUUUCACAGGACCAUUAUCUUUCUCUUAUUAACUGUGAAGGGAACAGCGUAUGAAGUAGCAAGAACCUUCAUAUUUACACAGCCAUUGAUCUGUCGUGCAACAAAUUUCAGGGAGAAAUUCCAAAGGUUACCGGAGAGCUUAGAUGGCUUGCAUUGCUCAAUUUAUCGCAUAAUUAAUAGUCUGACAGGACCUAUCCCAACAUUGCUGAGAAAUAUGAAAUAACUCCAUUACUCCAAUCUUAGAUUUGUCCUCAAAUCAACUGACAGGGGCUAUUCCACCUCUGUUAACUGCAUUGACAUUACUUUUCUCUUUAUAUUCUUUCCUUUUGUAUGUACCUAUGCUAAUUAUCUGAUUAUUAAAAUUAUAACAAAGCUUCAAGAUUUUUAACAGGUGAGCUUCCACUAAAAAUUUGCAAAGUCACUUCCCUUUCGCGUCUCAUUAUGUUAGAUAAUGGGUCAAGUGGUGCACUUCCACAGUGUUUGGGGAACCUUUCUUUGCUUGGUUUCAAUAAUCUUGCUAAUUAUCAAUUUCAAGGACCAAUACCAACGACUGUCCAAGACUUGUCUGUGCAUAUCUAAACAUCCAUAACAAUCACUUUGAAGGUUUGUUGCUCCAAUCUUUGGCAAACUGUAAACACUUACAAAUUCUUGAUAUUGGAAACAACGUUGGAGAGCUAGAUGUCCCAGUUAGGGCGGUAAUUCGACUAGAGCAAACCGAGUUUUGAGCGGAGCCAAAUUCGAGCCAAGUUUAAUCGAGUCGAGCCGAGUCGGCUCGUUUAGCUAAUCGAGCCUAAAACUUAGCCCGAACUCGACUCAUUUAAUUUCACGAGUCGAGUCGAGCCAACUCGUUUAGCUAAAUGAGCUGAUUUUAACAAGUCGAGCGAGCGAGCUCGUAUAAUUUUAACUUAGUCGAGCCUGAAUCUCUACCCAAACUAUUGGCUCGUGUAAUUUCGCGAGUCGAAUCGAGCCGGCUCGUUUUAUUAAACAAGCCGAAAUUUUUGCCCGAAUUUGCUCGUUUAACAAGCCGAUCUGAGCCUAGUUAAAUGAGUUCGAGUUAGUCGAGCUCGCGAGCUGCGAGCUCACCUGCCAGCUCUAGUCCUAGUCUUGCAAUCAAAUAGGUUUAACGGUAUAGAAAGUGGAAGGAGCACAAGGCAUCCAUUCCCCAAGGCUAUUUACCAAUUCAGUACUUUGAGGAUACAAAAUCAUUCUGCAGGUACUCUUGUAUCUGUACUUUCUUGUACUGUAUGCCACUUUGACAGUAGAGUAAAAUUUAUAUCGACAAACUGCAUAUGUUCUGAACUACUCCUCUAUCCCAAAUUAGAUGAGCUAGUUGACUUUGAGCACGUAACUUAAGGUACAUUGACCAACUAGUUCCGAUAUUUAUUUUUUUAAUUUUUCUUUUGUAAAUGAAAAUUUCAUAUUUAAAUUUUUAUUUGCAAAACUAAAAUUUAAAAAUAUGUAAUGUGGCUAUGCGGUCAAUGUCAACGAGCUCAUCUAAUUUGGGAUUGGGAUGCAGGGAGUAUUACGUACUAUGUUAUGCAAGCUGUUUACAACUUUCAUCAAAAUUUUCAAACAUUUCUGAAUAUGUAUUUUCAAAGAAUUCUCGGGCACUCUUAAGGCCUAUAAUUAUUGGAACUCUCACGUUAUGGACCAGAGGACCACUAUGUAUUUUACAAGCACGACGAAUCAUGUGGUCAUUAUGGACUCCCCAAGCCUUAGAGGACUCAUUCCAGGUUUUAGGAGGACCACUGCCUAGCUCACCCUUUCGGAGUGAUGUAAAUUAGUUUCCAGACACUAAAAAUAAGUAAUCAGAUUAAUCAUUACAAAAUUUUGAUAUAAAAUCAGAAUAAAUCCUAAACUUUGAUGAUACAAAAAAAAUUAUAAUUGUAAAUUAUACAAUCAAAUUAAGAUCGAAUUAACUUCCCUCACACUUAAAAUUUAUAGCGAUCAAAUCAAAAUCGAAUUAACUUUCCUAUUACUAAAAUUUAAUUACAAUAUUAUUAGAUAAAGAGAAUAUAUAAUAAUCAAGAGAAAAUAGAUUUUUUUUUGCCACUCAACUUAUUGUGUUUUAAGAAACUUACCACCCAACUAAAUUUUUUUCCUUUUGCUCACUAAUGUUAGGUUUGGAUUUGUUUUUAGCCACCAAAUAAGGUUCGGAUUUGAUUACCAGCAUUAUGAUAAUUUUUUUUGUCACUAAACUUAUUGCGUCUUUAGAAACUAACCACUGAACUAAAUUUUUUUUAUUUUACUCACUAAUGUUAGAUUUAGUUUUUUUUGUCACUAUAGUUAGGUUCAGAUUUGAUUAUUAGCAUUACAUUAAUUCUGUGUAGCAUUUUUAAAAUAUGGUAGUAGUCUGUGAUAUUUAGAUGAUUUGAUAUAUGUCUGUAUUUUUAUAUAUAGUAUAUUUUAUGUCCCCAAGGUCGUUUACCUUGGGUCAUAAAAAUUUUACACUCAUUUUAUGACUUUUAAAAGAUGUAGUUUCAUAAAUAAUUUUAUUUUUUUCUUUCGAAUUAAAAUUCAGCAUUUGAAUUUUACACACAAAAAAAUCGCAAGAAUAAGAUAUGAAACUAUGCUUUACAAGAGUCUUAAAAUACGUGCUAAACGGUAGAAAAAACUGUAAACUAAUGAGAGGUACAUAGGGAGUAAUAAUAACAUAAAAUGAUGCACAAUCAUCGAAUUAAGUUUUCCUCUCUCUAUAUAUUUAUUUUGUAAAUUUUAAUAAGAUAAAGUUAUUAAAAUUUAUGAUAUAAAUUUAAGAGAUAUCUUAGAUUGAGUGGCAAAAAUUUAGUUGGGUGGUAAGUUUCUAAAAACACAAUAAAUUGAGUGGGAACAAAAUCUAUUUUCCCAAUAAUGAGUGGGAAUAAAAUCUAUUUUCCCAAUAAUCAAAGUGACGAAAAAUCAAAGUCAUCUAAUAAGUCCAGAAAAAAUAUGACCAUUAGUAUAUUGAAAUAAUAUUCACGCAUUUAUAUACGAGAAUAUAUGGUCCACAAGUUAGUGCACAAUGUCCAAGAAUCUUUAUCAAAUAACACGGCAAGCAUGCAGCAUAUAAAUAAGAGUGGGCAGUAUGGUAUUGCAUUCAUAACCCACUUGAGCAGAAAUAUGGCACACUUCCUAAAGCCUUCUCACCUUCUUCUCUUUGUUUUCUUUCUCUCGUUACUUCAAUCCAUUCUACCAACAAGACCAGAGGGAGAAGCUCUUGUGAAAUGGAAGAAUAGCCUAGCCCCGUCUUCUUUUCUCGAUUCUUGGUCACUAACCAAUCUCGAUAAUCUUUGUAACUGGACUGGCAUUACUUGUAACUCUGCAGGUUCAGUCUCUGGGAUUAACCUUUAUGAGAAACAACUUGAUGGAAUGCUGUCCGAGUUUGGCUUCACUUCAUUUCCGAAUCUCAACAAUCUCACCCUCGCAUACAACUUCUUCUCGGGUCCAAUACCACCAGCCAUUGAGAAUUUAACACAGCUUCAAUAUCUUGAUUUAAGCAUCAAUAGUCUCGAUGGUCCCAUUCCUUUCCAGGUUAGCCAUCUUCAGAGGUUGCUCGUCCUAAACCUGUCACAGAAUGCAUUGCAAGCUCCAAAUUGGUCCCAUUUCUCUUCCAUGCCUUUUUUGCGCAUCCUCAAGCUCAGUAGGAAUCAUCUUGUAUCNUUUUUAUUUAAAAAGAAAAUCUUGAAAAUAAUAUUAUUAACUACCAGUCAGAUCACUUAAGUGUAUGUCCAAAAUUAAAGCGGCAUAUAAAAAAAAGGGAGGAAGCAUGUACUAACUGUUUCCAUAACAGUUUACAAGUAUAAGCUAUACCCCCUCUCUAUUUUUUUCUAUGACAGCUUUGAUUUUGGGCACACAUUCUUAAGUGUUUUGACCGGAUAGUUAAAAAUUUAUCUUCUAAAAUUUUUAAAAAAAGUAAAAUCGCAAAAAAAAUUAGAAAGCUGGUAUUUUUGAUAAAUUUCCAAAUAUGUAAUCAAGAAAAAUAACUUUUACUAUCCAAUCAACUCAUUUAAAGAUGUGUGUCAAAAAUCAAAAUAUCAUACAAAAAAUAGGUAUACAUUUUUUUAAUAGAUUAUACUCCCUCUGUUCCAAAAUAAGUGUCAGCUGGGGGUAAUAACAAGACCUUAGUCAACCCAAGCACAGCAGACAGCAGGCAUAAGGCAUCAGGAAUUUCACAGGACCAUUAUCUUUCUCUUAUUAACUGUGAAGGGAACAGCGUAUGAAGUAGCAAGAACCUUCAUAUUUACACAGCCAUUGAUCUGUCGUGCAACAAAUUUCAGGGAGAAAUUCCAAAGGUUACCGGAGAGCUUAGAUGGCUUGCAUUGCUCAAUUUAUCGCAUAAUUAAUAGUCUGACAGGACCUAUCCCAACAUUGCUGAGAAAUAUGAAAUAACUCCAUUACUCCAAUCUUAGAUUUGUCCUCAAAUCAACUGACAGGGGCUAUUCCACCUCUGUUAACUGCAUUGACAUUACUUUUCUCUUUAUAUUCUUUCCUUUUGUAUGUACCUAUGCUAAUUAUCUGAUUAUUAAAAUUAUAACAAAGCUUCAAGAUUUUUAACAGGUGAGCUUCCACUAAAAAUUUGCAAAGUCACUUCCCUUUCGCGUCUCAUUAUGUUAGAUAAUGGGUCAAGUGGUGCACUUCCACAGUGUUUGGGGAACCUUUCUUUGCUUGGUUUCAAUAAUCUUGCUAAUUAUCAAUUUCAAGGACCAAUACCAACGACUGUCCAAGACUUGUCUGUGCAUAUCUAAACAUCCAUAACAAUCACUUUGAAGGUUUGUUGCUCCAAUCUUUGGCAAACUGUAAACACUUACAAAUUCUUGAUAUUGGAAACAACGUUGGAGAGCUAGAUGUCCCAGUUAGGGCGGUAAUUCGACUAGAGCAAACCGAGUUUUGAGCGGAGCCAAAUUCGAGCCAAGUUUAAUCGAGUCGAGCCGAGUCGGCUCGUUUAGCUAAUCGAGCCUAAAACUUAGCCCGAACUCGACUCAUUUAAUUUCACGAGUCGAGUCGAGCCAACUCGUUUAGCUAAAUGAGCUGAUUUUAACAAGUCGAGCGAGCGAGCUCGUAUAAUUUUAACUUAGUCGAGCCUGAAUCUCUACCCAAACUAUUGGCUCGUGUAAUUUCGCGAGUCGAAUCGAGCCGGCUCGUUUUAUUAAACAAGCCGAAAUUUUUGCCCGAAUUUGCUCGUUUAACAAGCCGAUCUGAGCCUAGUUAAAUGAGUUCGAGUUAGUCGAGCUCGCGAGCUGCGAGCUCACCUGCCAGCUCUAGUCCUAGUCUUGCAAUCAAAUAGGUUUAACGGUAUAGAAAGUGGAAGGAGCACAAGGCAUCCAUUCCCCAAGGCUAUUUACCAAUUCAGUACUUUGAGGAUACAAAAUCAUUCUGCAGGUACUCUUGUAUCUGUACUUUCUUGUACUGUAUGCCACUUUGACAGUAGAGUAAAAUUUAUAUCGACAAACUGCAUAUGUUCUGAACUACUCCUCUAUCCCAAAUUAGAUGAGCUAGUUGACUUUGAGCACGUAACUUAAGGUACAUUGACCAACUAGUUCCGAUAUUUAUUUUUUUAAUUUUUCUUUUGUAAAUGAAAAUUUCAUAUUUAAAUUUUUAUUUGCAAAACUAAAAUUUAAAAAUAUGUAAUGUGGCUAUGCGGUCAAUGUCAACGAGCUCAUCUAAUUUGGGAUUGGGAUGCAGGGAGUAUUACGUACUAUGUUAUGCAAGCUGUUUACAACUUUCAUCAAAAUUUUCAAACAUUUCUGAAUAUGUAUUUUCAAAGAAUUCUCGGGCACUCUUAAGGCCUAUAAUUAUUGGAACUCUCACGUUAUGGACCAGAGGACCACUAUGUAUUUUACAAGCACGACGAAUCAUGUGGUCAUUAUGGACUCCCCAAGCCUUAGAGGACUCAUUCCAGGUUUUAGGAGGACCACUGCCUAGCUCACCCUUUCGGAGUGAUGUAAAUUAGUUUCCAGACACUAAAAAUAAGUAAUCAGAUUAAUCAUUACAAAAUUUUGAUAUAAAAUCAGAAUAAAUCCUAAACUUUGAUGAUACAAAAAAAAUUAUAAUUGUAAAUUAUACAAUCAAAUUAAGAUCGAAUUAACUUCCCUCACACUUAAAAUUUAUAGCGAUCAAAUCAAAAUCGAAUUAACUUUCCUAUUACUAAAAUUUAAUUACAAUAUUAUUAGAUAAAGAGAAUAUAUAAUAAUCAAGAGAAAAUAGAUUUUUUUUUGCCACUCAACUUAUUGUGUUUUAAGAAACUUACCACCCAACUAAAUUUUUUUCCUUUUGCUCACUAAUGUUAGGUUUGGAUUUGUUUUUAGCCACCAAAUAAGGUUCGGAUUUGAUUACCAGCAUUAUGAUAAUUUUUUUUGUCACUAAACUUAUUGCGUCUUUAGAAACUAACCACUGAACUAAAUUUUUUUUAUUUUACUCACUAAUGUUAGAUUUAGUUUUUUUUGUCACUAUAGUUAGGUUCAGAUUUGAUUAUUAGCAUUACAUUAAUUCUGUGUAGCAUUUUUAAAAUAUGGUAGUAGUCUGUGAUAUUUAGAUGAUUUGAUAUAUGUCUGUAUUUUUAUAUAUAGUAUAUUUUAUGUCCCCAAGGUCGUUUACCUUGGGUCAUAAAAAUUUUACACUCAUUUUAUGACUUUUAAAAGAUGUAGUUUCAUAAAUAAUUUUAUUUUUUUCUUUCGAAUUAAAAUUCAGCAUUUGAAUUUUACACACAAAAAAAUCGCAAGAAUAAGAUAUGAAACUAUGCUUUACAAGAGUCUUAAAAUACGUGCUAAACGGUAGAAAAAACUGUAAACUAAUGAGAGGUACAUAGGGAGUAAUAAUAACAUAAAAUGAUGCACAAUCAUCGAAUUAAGUUUUCCUCUCUCUAUAUAUUUAUUUUGUAAAUUUUAAUAAGAUAAAGUUAUUAAAAUUUAUGAUAUAAAUUUAAGAGAUAUCUUAGAUUGAGUGGCAAAAAUUUAGUUGGGUGGUAAGUUUCUAAAAACACAAUAAAUUGAGUGGGAACAAAAUCUAUUUUCCCAAUAAUGAGUGGGAAUAAAAUCUAUUUUCCCAAUAAUCAAAGUGACGAAAAAUCAAAGUCAUCUAAUAAGUCCAGAAAAAAUAUGACCAUUAGUAUAUUGAAAUAAUAUUCACGCAUUUAUAUACGAGAAUAUAUGGUCCACAAGUUAGUGCACAAUGUCCAAGAAUCUUUAUCAAAUAACACGGCAAGCAUGCAGCAUAUAAAUAAGAGUGGGCAGUAUGGUAUUGCAUUCAUAACCCACUUGAGCAGAAAUAUGGCACACUUCCUAAAGCCUUCUCACCUUCUUCUCUUUGUUUUCUUUCUCUCGUUACUUCAAUCCAUUCUACCAACAAGACCAGAGGGAGAAGCUCUUGUGAAAUGGAAGAAUAGCCUAGCCCCGUCUUCUUUUCUCGAUUCUUGGUCACUAACCAAUCUCGAUAAUCUUUGUAACUGGACUGGCAUUACUUGUAACUCUGCAGGUUCAGUCUCUGGGAUUAACCUUUAUGAGAAACAACUUGAUGGAAUGCUGUCCGAGUUUGGCUUCACUUCAUUUCCGAAUCUCAACAAUCUCACCCUCGCAUACAACUUCUUCUCGGGUCCAAUACCACCAGCCAUUGAGAAUUUAACACAGCUUCAAUAUCUUGAUUUAAGCAUCAAUAGUCUCGAUGGUCCCAUUCCUUUCCAGGUUAGCCAUCUUCAGAGGUUGCUCGUCCUAAACCUGUCACAGAAUGCAUUGCAAGCUCCAAAUUGGUCCCAUUUCUCUUCCAUGCCUUUUUUGCGCAUCCUCAAGCUCAGUAGGAAUCAUCUUGUAUCGAAAUUUCCAGAAUUUAUAUCCAAUUCUCAUAGCUUGGCUAUCCUUGACCUUGGCCAGAACAACUUUACAGGUGAUCUUGUGCGUGAAUUUACCAAUCUACAAAAUCUUGAAACCCUCUGGCUUUAUCGUAAUUCUUUUGAGGGGCCAUUUCCGCCGGAUAUAGUCCAGCUUUCCAAACUAAAAGAUCUUGCCCUGUCAAGUAACAAAUUUUCAGGUUCAGUUCCCAAUAACAUAAGGUUGCUUUGUGAUCUUGAAUACCUAUAUUUAGGCAACAAUUCCUUUAAGGGGCCACUUCCACCAAAUAUAUUUAAGCUUUCAAAAUUAAAACAUCUUGUUCUUUGGAGUAAUAAGUUUUCAGGUUCUGUUUCCAAUGAUAUAGGUUUGCUUCAUGAGCUUGUAACCCUCAAUCUUAACUCUAAUUUUUUUGAGGGGCCGCUUCCGCCAAAUGUAUUCAAGCUCUCCAAACUAAAGUUUUUUGCCCUUCAUGAGAAUAACUUUUCAGGUUUUAUUUCUAAGGAUAUAGGUUUGCUUUCCGAACUUGAAAUCCUCUAUUUUGGCUCUAAUUUUUUUGAGGGGCCGCUUCCUCCACAUGUAUUUAGGCUCUCCAAAUUAAGAGGUCUGGACCUCUCACACAAUAGAAAUUUAUUUGAAGGAAGUAUUCCUAUUGGACUGGGACUCUUGACUAACCUCAGGUACUUAGAUCUACAUUCCAAUAAUCUCGGUGGCUAUAUUCCAUCUGACAUUGGAAACCUGAAGCUACUAGUACUUCUUGAUCUCGGUUCUAAUCAAUUGACUGGACCGCUUUCAAAGAUCGUUUCUAAUCUCACAAAUCUUAUAUGUCUUGAUGUAAGUCAUAAUAGUCUUAGUGGAAAUAUUCAGAGUGACUUGUGGAAAUAUAACGAUCAUCCAACUUUGGAAUACAUCAAUUUAAGUGGGAACCAUUUUACGGGUAUAGUUUUUCUCUAUAGAUCUUUUCCUUUUCUCAUAUGUAACUAAGCUAGUAAUCUGAUUAUUGCAGUUUCACCAAAGUUUCAACAAUCUUGACAGGUGAGCUUCCAACAACAAUUUGCAAUGUCACUUCCCUUUCGGUUCUUGAUUUGUCAAAUAAUGAAUUAAGUGGUGCACUUCCAAACUCUUUGGGGAAUCUUGCUGAUGGAAUGCUUUACCUUAAUCUUGCUAAUAAUCAGUUUCGAGGAACAAUACCAACUACUUUCUCCAGGAGUUGUCGGUUGACAUAUCUAAACAUGGAUAAUAAUGAGUUUGAAGGAUUGUUGCCCCCAUCUUUGGCGAACUGUAAGCACUUGAAAAUUCUUGAUAUAGGCAAUAAUAAAAUAGGUGGUACAUUUCCGUCAUGGCUUUAUGCACUUGGAGAGCUAGAAGUUCUUGUCUUGCGAUCAAAUAAACUCUAUGGUACGAUAAGUGGAAGGAGCAUAGAAGAUCCCUUCCCCAAGUUGCGGAUUGUGGAUCUGUCCCACAAUCAAUUGACAGGCUAUUUGCCAAUUCAAUACUUUAAGAAUAUGAAAUCAACUGAUAAUUUGUAUCGUUAUCGGAAUUCCACAGGACCAUUAUCUUUCUCUUAUGAAGCAGCAGUCUCAUUAACUGUGAAGGGAACAGAGUACGAGGUAGCAAAGAACCUUCAUAUUUACACAGCCAUUGACCUGUCGUGCAACAAAUUUCAGGGAGAAAUUCCAAAGGUUACUGGAGAGCUUAGAUGGCUUGCAUUGCUGAAUUUAUCUCAUAAUAGUCUGACAGGACCUAUCCCAUCCUUGCUGAAAAAUAUGAAAGAACUCCAAUCUUUAGAUUUGUCCUCAAAUCAACUGACAGGGGCUAUUCCACCUCAGUUAACUGCAUUGACAUUUCUGGAGGUCUUCAACCUCUCGGGAAACCAUCUUAGUGGAGAGAUUCCUCAGAAAGGGCAGUUCAGCACAUUUAACAAUGAUUCUUAUCUAGGAAACUCCGCGUUAUGUGGAUCACCUUUGACAAAGAAAUGUGCAAACACAGCAUCACCUCCACAAGAAGUCGGAAAUGGUGAUGAAGAUGAUGCUGGUGAUGAAUGGACAUGGGAAGCAAUCGUGAUGGGAUAUGGAUGUGGACUGAUAUGUGGAUUGUCAUCUGCGUACAUUGUUCUCAAACUAGGAAAGCCUUGGUGGUUUGUGAGAUAUAUCGAAGUGCUGCAACUGAAGUUGAUGAAAAGAUAUGCUUGAAAAAUUGUACUGGCCGAUCAAGACGAACUUGAAAGUUGUUGUCCUUGUGGACAUUUCUGAACCAGUAGUGUACUAGCUGCAUAAGUAUUUGGUAUUAUGUAAUAAUCCGUUUGGUCAGGACUCAUAAUGAUUUCUCUUGCUUCAGGGGUAUUAAUAUUAACCUUGCUAGUUAAUUCAAAUUAAAACAAAUAUAAAAUCAAAAAAUUUGCAUCAAACACCUGUUAUACCAACAUCCAUUAAUUUGCUUUCAUCUCUUACGUAACAAUUUAACAGCGAUUCCACACUGUUUUAGGCAUGGAGAUUACACAAAGAAGGCAAGUCCAUGAACUAAUAUAUUAACCCGUAGUCCACAUCUAUGCUACGAACAAUUCAUAUUGGUCUUCCAUCUAUUCAACCGUCUCCCGAAGAUAGGCCAAAAAUGUCAUCUGUGGUUCUUAUCUUUGUCAGUAAAGGAGAAUCUCUGAUGCCUAUACAACCUGGUUUUCUUACAGAAAGGAAUGUAGGUGAAACCAGGGGCAUAAAAUGAAUCGGGACUAAAAUCUGCUAAAAUGAUAAUUAUUUACUCAUCAUUCGAGAUUAGUCGGGCUCAAAUGAAGAUUUAUAUGGAUUUUAAGAACAAACUAUGACUAAAUAUGAAAACUAGACAACCUGGUUUUCUUACAGAAAGGAAUGUAGGUGAAACCAGGGGCGUAAAAUGAAUCGGGACUAAAAUCUGCUAAAAUGAUAGUAAUUAUUUACUCAUCAUUCAAGAUUAGUCGGGCUCAAAUGAAGAUUUAUAUGGAUUUUUAAGAACAAACUAUGACUAAAUAUGAAAAAAAUCAUUAAUUUUUCCGACUCAAUAUUUUUUAGCCUCCCCCGGCCCUGGGUGAAACCAUAAGCUUCUCUGGUGCACAUCCAAAUCAUUCAGCUGGUUCUGCAGGUACUCUUCUAUCUGUACUUUCUUAUAUUGUUUGCCAGUACAUUUUAUAUCGACAAACUGCACAAUACACCUCGAUCUCAUACACAGGUGAACUCCUGCAUAUGCUUUGUGAUGUCAUUGAUGAUCGAUAGACUUGAAAAAAAAUUAUGACAAAGAUUCAUAAAAUAUCUACUUCCAUCCUAAUUCAGUAUUCAAUAUUAUUCAUCCCGUAUCAUCAUCCAAUCAAUUCUAAUAGUUCUUCUUUAAAUCAGUACAAAUAUUGUUAAAUACCUCGAUGAUGGUUGUCUUCCCGUGAACCAAUCAUAAAAUUACCUCUGUAUAAAUCCAUCGGAAAUAAGACAGUUAAUAUCCCAAUCGAAUACACCCCGUCAGUUGUCAAACUCCUCGAAACGUAUUAAUCACUUUAGAAAAUUUGUUCCACUGGCGCUAGUCAGUCCCAGAGUUGGUGGUGGGUGCUUCUGGGCUUUCGAAAAACACCCAUUUACUCCAUUGUUUAGAGAAGUAAAACCCCACCUUCCGCUCAUUUGAUUGAUCAGCUGAAUUAGGCAGAGUUUACAUGGUCAUGAUCAUAGUCUCCCAUUUCCCAGAUACGCGAAUUAUAGUGGAUUUAUCUUUAUCAGUAAUUUCUGUGGAGAUGCAUAAUCAUUAUAAGCUCCAAUAUAAAAAUUUAAAGUUAGUAUGGGCAUUUGUGUUGAUAAUUUGCGCAAUGUUAACAGGAUUGCUCCCAAGUCUUGGACGGACUCUUUCAAAGUCUUCUCAGGACCCAUCUGCACACUGAUUUGUCUGCCAACUAAAAAAUCAACAAUAUGUUACUCACUCCGUUUUUCUUAAACGAGGUUAAAAUUUUUGACACAAGAUGGGUUGACAGUAUAAUAAAAUUAACAUUUUUGUGAAUAAAAAUUUUGGUUGUAUUAUUUUAUUUAGAAAAAGAAAAUCUUGAAAAUAAUAUUAUUAACUACCCAGUCAAAUCACUUAAAAGUAUAUGUCCAAAAUUAAAGCGGCAUAUAAAAAAACCGAGAGAGAGUAUGUACUAACCUGUUUCCAUAACAGUUUACAAGUAUAAGUUAUACUCCCUCUCUAUUUUUUUAUAUGACGCUUUGAUUUUGGGCACAUAUUUUUAAGUGUUUUGACCGGAUAAUUAAAAAUAUUAUUUUCUAAAAUUUUUAAAAGAAAGUAAAAUUGAAAAAAAAAUAGAAAGCUGGUAUUUUUGAUAAAUUUCCAAACAUAAUCAAGAACAAUAAUUUUUACUAUCCAAUCAACUCAUUUACAGAUGUGUGUCAAAAAUCAAAAUAUCAUAUAAAAAACAACAAUAUGUUACUCCCUCCGUUUUUCUUAAACUGAGGUUAAAAUUUUUGACACAAGAUGGGUUGACAGUAUAAAAUUAAAAUUUUUGUGAAUAAAAAUUUUGGUUAUAUUUUUUAUUUAAAAAGAAAAUCUUGAAAAUAAUAUUAUUAACUACCAGUCAGAUCACUUAAGUGUAUGUCCAAAAUUAAAGCGGCAUAUAAAAAAAAGGGAGGAAGCAUGUACUAACUGUUUCCAUAACAGUUUACAAGUACAAGUUAUACUCCCUCUCUAUUUUUUCUAUGACGCUUUGAUUUUGGGCACACAUUCUUAAGUGUUUUGACCGGAUAGUUAAAAAUUUAUCUUCUAAAAUUUUUAAAAAGAAGUAAAAUCGCAAAAAAAAUUAGAAAGCUGGUAUUUUUGAUAAAUUUCCAAAUAUGUAAUCAAGAACAAUAACUUUUACUAUCCAAUCAACUCAUUUAAAGAUGUGUGUCAAAAAUCAAAAUAUCAUACAAAAAAUAGGUAUACAUUUUUUUUAAUAGAUUAUACUCCCUCUGUUCCAAAAUAAUUGUCAGCUGUGACAUUUUGCAAAAGUAGCUGGGGGGUAAUAACAAGACCUUAGUCAACCCAAGCACAGCAGACAGCAGGCAUAAGGCAUCAGGAAUUUCACAGCACCAUUAUCUUUCUCUUAUUAACUGUGAAGGGAACAGAGUAUGAAGUAGCAAGAACCUUCAUAUUUACACAGCCAUUGAUCUGUCGUGCAACGAAUUUCAGGGAGAAAUUUCAAAGGUUACUGGAGAGCUUAGAUGGCUUGCAUUGCUCAAUUUAUCUCAUAAUAGUCUCACAGGACCUAUCCCAUCAUUGCUGAGAAAAAUGAAAGAACUCCAAUCUUUAGAUUUGUCCUCAAAUCAACUGACAGGGGCUAUUCCACCUCAGUUAACUGCAUUGACAUUACUUUUCUCUUUAUAUCCUUUCCUUUUGUAUGUACCUAUGCUAAUUAUCUGAUUAUCAAAAUUAUAACAAAGCUUCAAGAUUUUUAACAGGUGAGCUUCCACUAAAAAUUUGCAAAGUCACUUCCCUUUCGCGUCUCAUUAUGUCAGAUAAUGGGUCAAGUGGUGCACAUCCACAGUGUUUGGGGAACCUUUCUUUGCUUGGUUUCAAUAAUCUUGCUAAUUAUCAAUUUCAAGGACCAAUACCAACGACUGUCCAAGACUUGUCUGUGCAUAUCUAAACAUCCAUAACAAUCACUUUGAAGGUUUGUUGCUGCAAUCUUUGACAAACUGUAAACACUUACAAAUUCUUGAUAUUGGAAACAACAAAAUAGGUGGUACAUUUCGGUCAUGGCUAUUUAUUUUGGAGAGCUAGAUGUCCUAGUUAGGGCGGUAAUUCAACUAGAGCAAACCGAGUUUUGAGCGGAGCCAAAUUCGAGCCAAGUUUAAUCGAGUCAAGCCGAGUCGGCUCGUUUAGCUAAUCGAGCCUAAAACUCUGCCCGAACUCGACUCGUUUAAUUUCACGAACGAGUCAAGCGAGUGAGCUCGUAUAAUUUUAACUUAAUCGAGCCUAAAUCUCUACCCGAACUAUUGGCUCGUGUAAUUUCGCGAGUAGAAUCGAGCCGGCUCGUUUUAUUAUAGAAGCCGAAAUUUUUGCCCGAAUUUGGCUUGUUUAACAAGCCGAUCUUUCAUCAAAAAUUUCAAACAUUUCUGAAUAUGUAUUUUCAGAGAAUUUCUCCAGCACUCUUAAGGCCUAUAAUUAUUGCAACUCUCACGUUAUGGACCACUGUGUAUUUUACAAGCACGACGAAUCAUGUUGUCAUUAUGGACUCCCCAAGCCUUAGAGGACUCAUUCCAGGUCUUAGGAGGACCACUGCCUAGCUCACCCUUUCGGAGUGAUGUAAAUUAUUUUCCAAACAUUAAAAAUAAAUAAUCAGAUUAAUCAAUACAAAAUUAAAGAUAUAAAAUCAGAAUAAAUCCUAAACUUUGAAUAUACAAAAAAAAUUAUAAUUGUAAAUUAUACAAUCAAAUUAAAAUUGAAUUAACUUCCCUCACACUUAAAAUUUAUAGCGAUCAAAUCAAAAUCGAAUUAACUUUCCUAUUACUAAAAUUUAGUUACAAUAUUAUUAGAUAAAGAGAAUAUAUAAUAAUCAAGGGAAAAUAGAUUUUUUUUUUUUGCCACUCAACUUAUUGUUUUUUAAGAAACUUACCACCCAACUAAUUAUUUUUUCCUUUUGCUCACUAAUGUUAGGUUUGGAUUUGUUUUUAGCCACCAACUAAGGUUCGGAUUUGAUUACUAGCAUUAUGAUAAUUUUUUUUGUCACUAAACUUAUUGUGUCUUUAGAAACUAACCACUCAACUAAUUUUUUUUUAAUUUACUCACUAAUGUUAGGUUCAGUUUUUUUUUGUCACUGAAGUUAGGUUCGGAUUUGAUUAUUAGCAUUACAUUAAUUCUGUGUAGCAUUUUUAAAAUAUGGCUCAUAAGAAUUUUACACGCAUUUUAUGACUUUUAAAAGAUGUAGUUUCAUUAAUAAUUUUAUUUUUUUCUUCCGAAUUAAAAUUUAGCGUUUGAAUUUUACACACAAAAAAUCGAAAGAAUAAGUUAUGAAAGUAUGCUUUAUAAGAGUCUUAAAAUACGUGCUAAACGGUAGAAAAAACUGUACACUAAUGACAGGUAAAUAGGGAGUAAUAAUAACAUAAAAUGAUGCACAAUCAUCGAAUUAAGUUUUCCUCUCUCUAUAUAUUUAUUUUGAAAAUUUUAAUAAGAUAAAGUUAUUAAAAUUUAUGAUAUAAAUUUAAGAGAUAUCUUAGAUUGAGUGGCAAAAAUUUAGUUGGGUGAUAAAUUUCUAAAAACACAAUAAAUUGAAUGGGAACAAAAUCUAUUUUCCCGAUAAUCAAAGUGACGAAAAAUCAAAGUCAUCUAAUAAGUCCAGAAAAAAUAUGACCAUUAGUAUAUCGGAAUAAUAUUCACACAUUUAUAUACGAGAAUAUAUGGUCCACAAGUUAGUGCACAAUGUCCAAGAAUCUUUAUUAAAGUAACACGGCAAGCAUGCAGCAUAUAAAUAAGAGUGGGCACUGGGCAGUAUGGUAUUGCAUUCAUAACCCACUUGAGGAGAAAUAUGGCACACUUCCUAAAGCCUUCUCACCUUCUUCUCUUUGUUUUCUUUCUCUCGUUACUUCAAUCCAUUCUACUAACAAGACCAGAGGGAGAAGCUCUUGUGAAAUGGAAGAAUAGCCUUGCCCCUUCUUCUUUUCUCGAUUCUUGGUCACUCACCAAUCUCGAUGAUCUUUGUAACUGGACUGGCAUUACUUGUAACUCUGCAGGUUCAGUCUCUGAGAUUAACCUUUAUGAGAAACAACUUGAUGGAAUGCUGUCCGAGUUUAGUUUCACUUCAUUUCCAAAUCUUAACAGUCUCACUCUCGCAUACAACUUCUUCUCGGGUCCAAUACCACCAGCCAUUGAGAAUUUAACACAGCUUCAAUAUCUUGAUUUAAGCAUCAAUAGUCUCGAUGGUCUCAUUCCGUUCCAGGUUAGCCAUCUUCAGAGGUUGCUCGUCUUAAACCUGUCACAGAAUGCAUUGCAAGCUCCAAAUUGGUCCCAAUUCUCUCCCAUGCCCUUUUUGUGCAGCCUCAACCUCAGUAGCAAUCCUCUUGCGUCGAAAUUCCCAAAUUUCAUAUCCAAUUCUCAUGGCCUGACUCACCUUAGCCUUGAUCAAAACGAGUUUACAGGUGAUUUAGCGCGUGAAUCAAUAUUUGCCAAUCUGCAUAAUCUUGAAGUCCUCAGUCUUGUUGGCAAUUCUUUUGAGGGGCCAUUUCUGCCAAAUAUAUUCAAGCUUUCCAAAUUAAAACGUCUCACCCUGUCAAGUAACAAAUUUUUAGGAUCAAUUCCCAAUGACAUAAGGUUGCUUUGUGAUCUUGAAUUCCUGUAUUUAGGAAACAAUUCUUUUGAAGGACCGCUUCCACCAAAUAUAUUCAAGCUUUCAAAAUUAAAACAUCUUGUUCUUUGGAGUAAUAAGUUUUCAGGUUCUGUUUCCAAUGAUAUAGGUUUGCUUUCUGCGCUUGAACUUUUGAAUCUUCACUCUAAUUUUUUUGAGGGGCCGCUUCCGCCAAAUGUAUUCAAGCUCUCUAAACUAAGGUUUCUUAACCUCUGGGGUAACAACUUUUCAGGUUCUGUUUCCAAUGAUAUAGGUUUGCUUCCGGAGCUAGAAAUCCUCAAUCUUCACUCUAAUUUUUUUGAGGGCCGCUUCCGCCAAAUAUAUUCAAGCUCUCUAAACUAAGGUUUCUUAACCUUUGGGGUAAUAACUUUUCAGGUUCUGUUUCCAAUGAUAUAGGUUUGCUUCCUGAGCUAGAAUUCCUCAAUCUUCACUCUAAUUUUUUUGAGGGUCCGCUUCCGCCAAAUGUAUUCAAGCUCUCUAAACUAAAGUUUCUUCAUCUUCGAGGUAAUAAGUUUUCAGGUUCUGUUUCCAAUGAUAUAGGUUUGCUUCCUGAGCUUGAAAUCCUCAAUCUUCGCUCUAAUUUUUUUGAGGGGCCGCUUCCGCCAAAUGUAUUCAAGCUCUCCAAACUAAGGUUUCUUUCCCUUAAGGAAAAUAAAUUUUCAGGUUCUGUUUCCAAUGAUAUAGGUUUCCUUUCUGAGCUUGAAUACCUAUAUCUUGACUAUAAUUUAUUUGAAGGAAGUAUUCCUAUUGGACUGGGACUCUUGACUAACCUCAGCUACUUAGAUCUAAGUUCCAAUAAUCUCAGUGGCUAUAUUCCAUCUGACAUUGGAAACCUGAAGCUACUAGUAUUUCUUGAUCUCAGUUCUAACCAAUUGACUGGACCGCUUUUAAAGAUCGUUUCUAAUCUCACAAAUCUUAUGAAUCUUGAUGUAAGUGAUAAUAGUCUUAGUGGAAAUAUUCAGAGUGACUUGUGGAAGAACUCUAUAUCCUUACGUUACAUUAAUUUUGCAAAUAAUUAUUUGUCUGGGAACAUUCCUAAGGAAUACAACGAUCAUCCAACUUUGGAAUACAUCAAUUUAAGUGGGAACCAUUUUACAGGUAUAUUUUUCUCUAUAUAUCUUUUCCUUUUCUCAUAUGUAACUAAGCUGGUAAUCUGAUUAUUGCAGUUUUACCAAAGUUUCAACAAUCUUGACAGGUGAGCUUCCAACAACAAUUUGCAAUGUCACUUCCCUUGCGGUUCUUGUUUUGUCAAAUAAUGGAUUAAGUGGAGCACUUCCAAAUUGUUUCGGGAAACUUGCUGAUAGAUUGCUUUCCAUUAAUCUUGCUAAUAAUCAGUUUCGAGGAACAAUACCAACUACUUUCUCCAGGAGUUGUCAGGUGAAAUAUCUAAACAUGGAUAAUAAUGAGUUUGAAGGAUUCUUGCCCCCAUCUUUGGCGAACUGUAAGCACUUGAAAAUUCUUGAUAUUGGCAAUAACAAAAUAGGUGGUCCAUUUCCGUCAUGGCUUUAUGUACUUGGAGAGAUAGAAGUCCUUGUCUUGCGAUUAAAUAAACUCUAUGGUACAAUAAGUGGAAGGAGCGUAAAAGAUCCCUUCCCCAAGUUGCGGAUUGUGGAUCAAUAGACAUCGGCUAAAAAGCGAUGUCUAUGUAAAAUCAGACCGAUGUCUUCGUGGGUGAUGAGAAAAGUAAGUGCAUUACACAUCGCUUUCUAGCCGAUGUCUAUAACCUAUUUACACAUCGUUUAAUAUGACAAUCUGAUGUAUUUUUUAACAGUAGAUACCUUCACUAUAAUUUCAGUUCCUCAUUCCUAUGCCCUCUAUAUCAUUUUAAACUUGUCACAUGCUUAAUAAAAUGAUACUUUAACAUCUUAAAACUUGUAAAAUAGAUGUAUAUGAUAACCUUUUACAUCAUGCUUUUAUAGGAAGUGAUGUGGUACCCUUCUUUUCUUUAAGAAAGCGAUGUCUUUGUUCUUGUUUUACAUCAGUGAUUUUUAUACUCUGAUAUCUAUUAUAUAGUUUAACAUCAGGCUUUUUCUUGUUAACUGAUAUGUAUUCAUUCUUAUGACAUCGCUUACUAAGUGAUGUAAAUGUUAGUUUUAAAUUGCCAUGAAUCCUCCUGUUUCUUAUGAAUCCCCCUGUUUCAUUUAAAUUUCCAACAAAUUCCAAAACAACACCAAAGCUAUACUAAUUAAACAACCAAUUACCAAUGUCUAGCCUACCAUAACAGAACUAAAACAAAACUAGCUAGCAAAACAAUACUUCCGCAAAAGCCAAAUAUAUUACCAUCAAUCAUUACCAAUCAAAUUACAUCCCACAAUCAAAGAAACUGCACAAAUCCUAAAUAUUAACCAAGCAACCAUAAUUUACAAGCAGUUCACCACGUACUCCAGCAACCAUAAUUUACCAACUACAUUUCCCUCCAUUUAUCAACAAAAUCUACUUAGCUAGCUAGUGUCACUGUCUUACAUAAACUGAACUAAUUAAAGGAAACCAAAGUUCUCCAAUAAACCAAAGGCCUGUUUAUAAGAAGGACUCGAUAUGGCUAAGUGUCUCAAACCGAACCUCGUCAAGCUCAGCCUUGGAACAAAUCACUUUUCGAUUCUUGGAUGCCCACUGAAAAAUGUAAAACAAUAACAUUGAAUUAUACCUAAAUUUAUAUGUACACCAUUUAAUUAUAUCAACAAUGGAUUAGGCAAAGAAAAAUACCCUUUUAAAAAAUGUCAUUUCAUUGUCCAUGACAAUCUCUUUCAUAUACCGCAUAAUAACAUAGCCGCAUUCAGUUCCACCGGGCUGUUUAGGACAUCCCUAUUUAACCAAAAAAAACUCAAAAUAGUAAGUAAAGUAAUGCCCCUGGUUCUAAGCAUCAGUAGCACAAAUUGUUAAAAAUAAAUACGAAAGCUUACUGUAAUAUAUUUGAAGCUUGGGGCUUUAUUUCCCCUUCCGGCCUGAACAUUGAAAGUAAUCACAGCCCUGUCAUCUUGGCAGUGUUAAUAAUGCACAUGCAUUUAUAUCUCCAUAAGAAAGAUAAUCAAUAAAAAAAUAAAUGAAAAUACCUUGAUAUUGCUUUUUCCAAGUUGGGGAAACUAGUUGAACGAGGCAGAGGAUUAAGUAUGAAAACCUCGCCACCCCAAAACAGAACCAAUACCCAAUGGAAACUAUUUUUAACAAAUAUUUAUGAAAAACACAAUUACUAUCAAAAUCAUAUAAAUUUUAUUUUCAGUCAUGUAAAAAACUAAAUAAAAGAGAUUUAUAAUAAAUAAGAAAACACUUAAGCUACUUACUUGCUAUUAUGCGGCAUCAAAAAGAGACGAUCAGGAUUACCCUCUUUAAAUCGAUUAACCAAGUUAUCUUCAAAAGAAUUGUUCAUCAAGUUCAGCGAGGCUCCAGGAUCACAAAAAGCAAAUUGAUCCUUAGUGCCAUUUUCACGAACCACGCAAUGCAAGUAUCUACAUUGUAAAUGAAAUGAAAUUAUAUAAAAUUACACGAAUAUGAAUUAUAACUAAACAACAGUCAUGAUCUAGAAGACAGUAAUUAAAAAAAGUUUACUCACGCCAUGUAUGCAGCAAUUGCUGCUUGGCCAAUCAUAUUAAACUCCAGCAAGGCGACUAUGUUUUCAUACAAGAUGAAGAUUCUUUUCUCGAUACCAAACACCUCAGCAUCACACGGGAUUUGAAUUGAGUCUCCGGAGGAUUGCAUAAAUGUUGUUGCAUGUUUAUACAACAACCGAAAGCGUUUUGGAACAUUUUUAUUGAUCUCCAUGUUAUGAAACAAGGACUGGACUUUAUCUAAAUCGGUUUUAGGUUCCUUUACUUUCCGUUUACCUUUCUGAAAAAUGAACAAAAUUAAUUUAAAACAAAAUAUAACAAAAUAUAGGGGUAACAUAUAAUAGUACAAUCCAGUACAACAAUUAUGUUAAAGUACACACCAUAGUAGGAAUAGUAGGAGGGGCAUUUGGGAAUAUGAUCAAGUCGCGGGGCCAUGAGACGUACGAGCCAACAGCUUGCUCUACUGUUUCAAUCUCACCUGGUACCGGUUUAGGAAUCUUGGCUUGUCCUUGAAUUGGGCCAUCCACUGAGACGCGAACACAUCCAGGCUCUAUCGGCACUCCAUGUAUAGAUUUGUUCAUGUUAUCAUCAUCAAACAACAAACCAAAUGCCACUUUAUUUUCUAUUGUGCCUACAGCCAACUCACAUUUUCGUGGACCGGCCUACACACAUAUAUUUAAACAAUUAUGACGAAUGCUUGAAAUAUGUUGAGCUAAAUUGAAUAAAUGUGCUAGUUAUUUUACCUUAUUCUCUGGUGGAUUAGGUUCCAAGUCAACUUCAAUCAUCUCUGGUUCCAGUUUUUUCACCACCUCUGUCUUAGCUUCUUUGACAGUGUUUGCCUCACAACUUGCUUUAUCAGAAGCAAUAGGAGAUGAAAUAUUUGCUUUGCUGAGCAAGGCCUUCAUUUCAGCCAUCUCCUGCCUUGUCUUCUCCAUUUCCAUGGCCAUCUCUUUCUUGGCUUUCUCCAGCUCCGCGUCCCUCUCUCGAUCCCUCUCCAACAACUCAGCUUUGGUGAUUCUAUUUCUUCUUCCUGGUGGUAUAUUAAAAAAAAUUGACGGGCUCACAAAGCCUCCAACUCCUCGAACCCUCCCCGAAUGUUCAGGAGUUUGUAGGGCCGUAGUCAACACAUCUCGACUCCCAGAAGGAGUGAAUUCCCCCUUACUUUGCUGCUCUAGUAAAAUAUUCUGACAUGAAAAAUAUGAACAUACAAAUCAUCAUCUAGUGAACCUCAUCAUCAAUAUUAACUUUAAUUUUACGAGCCUUUUAAUUAUAAAUACUCACAAUUCUUUUUCCUAUUUCAGCUAGGUCUGAAUCCUCAUCAUCAGCAUCAUCAGCCUCAUCAUCAUCAUCAACAUUAUCAUUAUCAUCAUCAAUUUUAAUUUUACGAGCCUUUUGCCACAUGAGAGCCCGAUCAGGUUCUUCAUCGGCAGCCAAAGUUCCUUUCUUGAUCUGAUUAAAAUCAAAAAAAAAUUAAAAAGGCCAAGAUAUGUAAAAUACAAUUAUUUAGGUUCAAUGCUUAAAAUACAACUAUUUUUAUACCUCUUCUUCCAAUAAUCCAAUGUAACCCUUUCUUGAUGUCCGGUGAGGAUAUUUUCGAUUACUCACCCUCAGCUUUUGUUUUUCACUAAAAGACUUCAAAUAUUUUAAAUAAUAUUAGAAUACUAUUUUUCAGAAUAUAAAAAGACAUUUAUAUCACAAUAAAGCAGAACAUAAAAUAUAUUUCAUACCAGAAAUUUCGAGGUAGUCCUCUCAGCAACAAAAUUUUUCCAAGCCUCCUUUCCAACAAAAGCAUACUUCUUUGGAGGCUUUCGUAAUUUCUUCUUCUGCCCAAGAUACGGCCUCACAUAAUCUCUUGUUAAAUUUGCUUUAAAAUUCCUCCACUUUGCUCCUGCAGACCUGAUCAACCCCUUCUCAAGUUGCUUAGGAACUUUAAAUGUCUCCUGCAACCAAUGUUAAUUGACAAAAUUUACAAAAUUAUACUCUAAAUGAGUAGAAGAAAAUGCAAAAUUUACAAAAUGCAUAGGAGAUUACUUAUUUUUAUACCUUCACAUCAAUCCAUAUUUUCUCCUUUAGUUCAUCAGGUACCUUUGACCAGUUAGGAUAAUCAAUCGGAAUCAUUGUCCUAGCCAACAUUCCAGUGUAGGAUUGUAGACUGUGCCUUGCAUCCCCUGUAGGAACUCCAUGUGCAUUACAUGAAACCUUUGUUUUCUUGCCCUGCGCCUUCCUCACCACCACUUUAUACAUAGCAGAAACCCCUCGGGCACCCCCACGCUUUUUCUUUGCUGUUUCAGAUGUUGUAACUGUUGCAUCCGUUUCCUCCACAGAAUUCACAUUUUCUCCCUGAGGUUCUGUUGUCAGCUCCAACCUUUUAUCUGAUGCCUCAUCCGACUUUUUGGAGUCUUCAUGGAAUUGUACUUUGGUUUUUUGCUUUUUAUUUGCCAUUUAUCUUCUUCAAUCUGAAAAUGAAACAUAUAUAAUCCAUUAGUCACAGGCAUAUAUACGAGCAAUUACAGGAUAAGCAGUUAUAAAGUUACAUAAGCCUACAUAAGCCGUUACAAAAUUGUAAAAAUGCAUAACUAAACAUUUACACAGAGUGAAAAUUACAGGAGUCUAAUUACACAGAGUAAAUUACAAAGUUGCAUCACAUAUAUUACAUGACUUGAAAUAAUGUUAUCACAGAGUAAAUUACAAAGUCUCAUCACAAAAUUAACUAUUACAUGACUUGAAAUAAUGUUAUCACUUCUUAACCCAAGUGCCCUUAAUAUUUUCUCUAAUACUUUUCUCAACAUCAUCACCGACAUCACAUGUAGGAAUUUGGCAGCAGAAUGGAGGAUUUUCCAUGGUUGUGUCUCCUAAAUCAUCAUCGUUAUACACCUCUUGGUAGUCUCGAGUUGUAGAGGUUAAUACGACGGACCACUUGGCAUCCACCGGAUCUUCAAUAUAAUAAACUUGCUUUACUUGAUCUAUAGACACGUAUUUAUCUCUCUUGUGGCCUUGUCGACUUAGAUCGACAAGUGUGAACCCAAGAUCAUCCACCUUAAUUCCCUUGUCAUUGUCCGCCCAAUUACAUAAAAACAGUGGGGCUUUGAAUGCAUGAUAAUCCAGCUCCCAUAUAUCUAGGAUAACACCAUAAAAUGUCAAGUCACUUUCUACGGGGUUUAAAUCUUUAGCGCUAGACACUUGGACAGUUUUAGCAACUAAAGACACUCCGCUGUUUUGAACUACCCUCACAUUGUCUCGCUGUUUUGUAAAGUAUCGGACCCCGUCUACUAGAUAAGCUUCGUAAGUCAUAACUGAAAAUGAUGGUUUUCCAGCUAUCCAUCUUACUGUCUCUGAAACUCCUCCAGGAUUCUCCACCAUUUCACUACUGACCUACACAUUUCAUAAACAGAAAUUAUCCUAAAUUACUAUAGAGAAAAUAAAUUAGGCACAAAUGAAACUAUAAAAAUACUAACUUUUUCUAGAAACCAAUCAGCAAAACUGUUAUUGUGCUCUCUCAAGAGCCAAUGAACGCUUUUCUUUUUCCCACGAUGGAUUUCCUCUAGAUACUCCUUAUGCAUUCUGCCAAAAAUUAUAUAUUCAUUAAAGAAGUAGUUUAUACAGAAUGUAUAUAUUAAUUGAACAGCCACAAAAUUAAAAAAAUCUUACAAGAUAUAUGGCUGUACUUCAAGGUUGUUUAGAAGAACGUGUAAAUGAGCUUCAUCCCUCUCUUUUUCUUCGAUUGAUUUCAUUACCGCAACAGAUAAUGGACCACUUAACUUGCCUUCAUCUUUGCGAAGACCAGCAGUGGUGCAAGUUUGCUUGACAAACUCUUGGCAGAAUUCAAUCGAUUCUUCUCCAAGAUAACAUUCUGCUAUACAACCUUCGGGGUAGUAACGAUUGCGUACGUAACUCUUCAACACCUUAUUAAACCUCUCAAAUGCAUACAUCCAUCUAUAGAAGACUGGCCCACAUAACCGUAAUUCCCGAACCAAGUGCACUAUGAGAUGUAUCAUUACAUCAAAAAAUGAUGCAGGAAAAAUUUUUUCUAGCUCGCACAAAGUUACUAUUACAUCUGAUUGCAAUUUAUCUAGUUUAGAUACGUCGACAACUUUGCUGCAUAAAGCAUUAAAGAAGAAACACAAUCUAAUUAUUGUGACCCUGACUUUUUUUGGAAGUACCGCGCGAAUUGCAAUAGGAAGUAAUUGUUGAAGUAGGAUGUGGCAAUCGUGGGACUUCAACCCAAACAUUUUUAAUUCUUCCAUGGAAACACAGUUUUUAAUGUUUGACGCGUGUCCAUAAGGAAGUUUCAUGUGCAUUAACGAUGACAACAUCUUCUUCUUUUCUGCCUUGGACAAAUUAAAAAUCGAAGGAGGUAAAUAGGUCUUUCUUUCUCCUUUUUGUGGAGCUAGAUCAGCCCUAACCCCCAUGUCAAUCAUGUCAAGACGAGAAGCUUCACUAUCUUUAGACUUAUGUUUCAUAUUCAGUAGUGUGCCAAUCAAGCUAUCACACACGUUUUUCUCCACGUGCAUAACAUCUAGACAAUGACGGACAUGGUGAAAUUUCCAAUACUCUAACUCGAAGAAAAUUGACUUUUUCUUCCAUGGACAGUCAACCUUCUUUGACUUCCUUACUUCUUUCCCAAACUGAAAUUCAAUUUUUUCUUGCUGCAAUAAAACCUCUUCUCCCGAAAGAGGUUGACGUGCCUGCCCUAAUUCUUGUUGUCCAUUAAAAGCAGCUUUUUGCUUCCUAUAUGGAUGAUUUCUAGCCAAGUAACGUCGAUGACCUUGGUAACACAUCUUCCUACUAUGGCUUAAAUACUUUGCAACAGUAUCAUCACCACAUAUUGGACAAGACAUAUAACCUUUAUUAACACAUCCGGACAGAUUUCCAUAUGCGGGAAAGUCGUUUAUUGUCCACAAUAAAAUUGCUUUUAAAGUGAAAUACGACUUAGUGUGUGCAUCAUAGACAUUUGGUUCACCUUCCUCCCACAACUUCUUUAAAUCAUCGAUUAGAGGCUGUAAAUAUACAUCAAGGUCAUUACCAGGCUCAUGAGGACCGGGAACUAAAACUGUUAGCAUCAUAAACUUCCUCUUCAUGCAUAACCACGGAGGAAGAUUAUAAGUCACUAGUACUACUGGCCAACAAGUGUAUCUAUUGGUUAGACCGUUAUUAUGCGGGUUUAUACCAUCUGCAGACAACGCCAAGCGAAUAUUUCUUGCCUCACUACCGAAGGCAGGCCACCUAUAGUCGAUAUUUCUCCAAGAAGGAGAGUCGGCUGGAUGCCGCAUCUUUCCAUCUUCUAUUCGCUGCUUUGCGUGCCAGGUAAUCAGUUCAGAUGUAGAAGGAGAUUUAAACAUUCGCUUCAAUCUCGGAAUAAUUGGAAAAUACCACAUUAUUUUAGCAGGAACAUUAAUCCUUACUUUACCAUCCUUUCCUAACUUCCAGCGAGAUAGACUACACUUAGGACACUUAGAAGCAUCAACAUAUACCCCCCGAUAUAGUAUGCAAUCGUUUGGACAUGAGUGGUACUUUAUGUAUUCUAGGCCUAAGUUGGAUAAUGUUUUCUUGGCUUCAUAUGCAUUAGGUGGCAUCACAUUUUCCUUAGGAAGGAGAGAGCCAACAGUAGACAAUAAAUCUGUAAAGGCGCUAUCACUAAUUCCAAACCUUGCUUUCCAAUUAUGCAGUUUUAGCAUCGACUCCAAUUUGGUACAUUCACUACCCUCAUACAAAGGCUGUUGAGCAUCAGCCACAAAUCUCCUAAACUGAUACGACUCAUUAUUGUACUCACUCGAAUUAUACGCAGCAUCACAAACAUUGACUGUUUGUGAUGCAUGACCAGGGGAAUGCAUCGAUGCAGGGUCAAGCGUAGGUGCAGGGCUAGGGGCAUUGUCAUGAACUGUUGAUCCAGUGAUUCCACACCCUUGUGUGUGCCAAAUCCAAUCAAGGUAUCCCAAACUAAAACCGUAUUCAUAUAAAUGUCCCCUAAUAAUCUUAACUGCAAAUUUUUUAAAGUUAACACAUCUUUUGCAGGGGCAUGGGAUUUUUUUAGUAUCACUAGCAUUUUCCUCGGCAAAUAUUAAAAACUCUUCAACCCCGAUUUCAUAGUCAAGUGUAUCCCUAUCUUUGAAAAUCCAAGACUUGUCCAUGUUAUUCUCAAACUACCUGAUUGUCAAAUAUGAUAUCAAAUUACAUGGUAACAAAGAUCCAAACACAAUAUACAAUUACAUUUACAAACUAAACAAACACAAAUAUAUUUACACAGCUGUGCAUAAAACAUAAAAAACAAAUCCCAAGCUCUAAACAUAUAUAACACAGUACAUAAAAAAGAAACCCCAAGCUCCAAACAUAUAUAAAACAUAUAUACAACUACACGUUUAAUUUUCACAUGCAUACAUAUAACUACAAAAAGUUAUACUUGCAACCGAAACAUUUAUAUAAAUAUAAAGAAGAAUAUAGAAGAAUAUAUAUACCUAAAACCCAGCAGCUUCGAAACCCAGCACCUCCAAAAUCCAGCAGCUAUCCAGCAGCUUCGAAAACCCAGCAACUACCCUAAUCUCCAAGCUUCAAAUCUCCAAGCUUCAAAGAACCCUAAUCUCCAAGCUCCACUCGACCCUAAGCUUGAAGAUCGAACCUUAAGCUUGAACACAGCAGCUUCGAAUCGCGCACAAAUCGCACCUAGGGUUUAGAAGAGAGGGAAUCAGUUAAUAGAACAUUUGAAAGGGGGUUUAGAAGAGAGGGAAUCAGUUAUUAAACCAAGAACGAGGAUUGAAGGACUGAAGGAUUGAAGAAAAUCGCAUACCUAGGUUUAGCUGUCGAGAGAAAGGGGGAAGAGCUGCUGUCUGAAAGAAAUAUGUAUAUAUGUCCCGAUUGUUUUCUUUUGAAUGCUUUUGUUUUAAUUUUGAUUUAUUUUUAAUGUUUUUUUAUUGUUUUAUACUGAGGCGGGAGUGAAUGAUAUGUUAAAGGGGGGGAAAACAGUAGGGGGAACUAAUUAAAAAAUUGACUAAGGGCGGGGGAGCGGAGGGCGCGGGCUUUAAUAUUUUUAAAAUUGAGAUUAGACAUCGCUUAAUAAACAAUGUGAUGUGAAAAAAUUUUAAAGUGAGAGCUUAGACAUCACUUAUGUUAAGGACUGAUGUAAAGAUACCAGAAAGACAUCACAUAUAAAACGAGCGAUGUAAAAAAGGCAUUUUACAUCGGUGACACUUCCGACUGAUGUCUAAUGUGCGAUGUCUAUUGACGAAUUUCUAGUAGUCUCCAAAGGAUAUUUAUCUUUCCAUCAUGAUGCAGCAGUCUCCUUAACUGUGAAGGGAACGGAGUAUGAGGUAGCAAAGAACCUUCAUAUUUACACAGCCAUUGAUCUGUCGGGCACCUAAUUUCAGGGUCGAAUUCCAAACGUCACUGGAGAGCUUAGAUGGCUUGCAUUGCUCAAUUUAUCGCAUAAUAGUUUAACAGGACCUAUCCCAUCAUUGCUGAGAAAUAUGAAAGAACUCCAAUCUUUAGAUUUGUCCUCAAAUCGACUGACAGGGGCUAUUCCACCUCAGCUAACUGCAUUGACAUUUCUAGAGGUCUUGAACCUCUCGAAAAACCAUCUUAGUGGAGAGAUUCCUCAGAAAGGACAGUUCAGCACAUUCAACAAUGAUUCUUAUCUAGGAAACUCCGCGUUAUGUGGAUCACCUUUGACGAAGAAAUGUGCAAACACAGCAUCACCUCCACAAGAAGUCGGAAAUGGUGAUGAAGAUGAUGCUGGAGAUGAAUUGACAUGGGAAGCAAUCGUGAUGGGAUAUGGAUGUGGACUGAUAUGUGGAUUGUCAUCUGCGUACAUUGUUCUCAAACUAGGAAAGCCUUGGUGGUUUGUGAGAUAUAUCGAAGUACUGCAACUGAAGUUGAUGAAAAGAUAUGCAUGAAGAAUGGUACUGCACUACAACAAAAACAGCAUCACACAACGGUUUUUGCCCGUUGUCUGAUACCCAAGAAAACCGUGGUCUAUUGCGAUGCCGUCUGAUACGCGCCUCAGACAACGUUUUAUUAGUUAAAGGCUUGUCUAUAAGGCCAUGCUACGAUGGUAACAAAAACACUUGUAUGUUAGCUUCCUGGUCACACAACACUGUAUGGAACCCUUGUUUAAACGGCUCGUAAACAACACAACAAAUAAAACACUUGUCUAAUUACAACAACGGUUUCUUGAAAUAUUGUCUGAAGUUUCUUCACACAUCGGCUCUAAAAACAGUUGUCUAACGUGCAUCAUUACACAAUAUCACAGUUAAGAUACCGUUGUCUGAUUGAAUUUACUAGACAACACUUUUUAAACCGUUGUAGGUUGUAGGUGUUGGACAAUAGUUUUUCGAGGACGAAAAUAAAGUGUUGUGUCUUUGUUUCGGCCAACACUUUUUCCAGCGUCCGUUGUCUGACUAGUGUCGUGUGAUGCCAGUUUUGUUGUAGUGCUGGUUGAUCCAGACGAACUAGAAAGUUGUUGUCCUGGUAGACAUUUCUGAACCAUUUGUGUCCUGGCUGAAUAAGUAUUUGGUAUUAUGUAAUAAUCCGUUUGGUUGGGACUCAAAAUGAUUUCUCUUGCUUCAGGGGUAUUAAUAUUAACCUUCCUAUCUUGAUCAAUGUUAAAUCAAAUUAAAUGAAUGAAAAAACAAAAAGUAUGCAUCAAAUCCGCUCCUGCUGUACCUAACAAUUUAACAGCACCCUUCCACACUGUUCAUACCUAAUUUGCGUGUAAUAUGAAAACUAAGAGGCAUGGCUUUUGUCUUUGAGAGAACUUAUUCCAAGUCUUCUUCGGAGGCCUACUGCCUCAACAACCUUUCAAAGACUAUGCAAUAAUCCACGUGACAGAAAAACCAAAGUCCAAUUAGUAUUAUAAGUUCAUAAAAAAUACUAUAGGAUCAUUAGCAUUAGCAUUACAUUAGCAUACAGCAUAUAUAUAAAUAGAAGAAUGCAGUGUGGUAUUGGAUUCAUAAUCCAAUUGAGCAGAAACAUGGCACACUUUGUAAAGCCUUAUGACCUUCUUCUCUGUGUUUUCUUUCUCUCAUCACUUGAAUCCAUUCUUGCAACAAGACGAGAAGGAGAAGCUCUUGUGAAAUGGAAGAACAGCCUAGCCCCGUCUUCUUCUCUUGAUUCUUGGUCACUCACUCAUCUCGAUAAUCUUUGUAACUGGACUGGCAUUACUUGUAACUCUGCAGGUUCAGUCUCUGACAUUAACCUUUUCAACAAACAACUCACUGGAAAGCUUUUCGAGUUUGGUUUCACUUCAUUUCCGAAUCUCAACAAUCUCACCCUCGCAGAUAACUUCUUCUCUGGUCCAAUACCAUCAGCCAUUGGGAAUUUAACACAGCUUCAAUAUCUUGAUUUGAGCAAUAAUUAUCUCAAUGGUUCCAUUCCGUACCAGGUUAGCCAUCUUUCAAAAUUACACGUCUUAAACCUGUCAGAGAAUGAACUGCAAGCUCCAAAUUGGUCCAAUUUCUCCCCCAUGCCUUAUUUGACCAUCCUCGACCUUUAUCAGAAUAAUCUUAUGUUGGAAUUUCCAGAAUUUAUAUCUAACUCGCGUAACCUGACAUACCUUGACCUUUCAUAUAACAAGUUCACAGGCGAUCUUGUGCGCGAAUCAGUAUUAGCCAAUCCAGGUGAUCUCGAAACCCUCUAUCUUAAUGAAAAUUCUUUUGGGGGGCCAUUUCCACCAGACAUAUUCAAACUUUCCAAGUUGAGAGUUCUUGCCCUGUUCAAUAAUCUUUUUGAGGGGCCGCUUCCGUCAAAUAUAUUCAAGCUCUCUAAACUAAGAUUCCUUUUACUUUGGAGUAAUAAUUUUUCAGGUACUCUUUCGAAUGAAAUAGGUUUGCUUUCUGAGCUUGAAGACCUAGAUCUUCACUCCAAUUUUUUUGUGGGGCCGCUUCCGCCAAAUAUAUUCAAGCUCUCUAAACUAAGAACCCUUUUCCUCUUGGGUAAUAACUUCUCAGGUUCUAUUUCCAACGACAUAGGUUUGCUUUCUGAGCUUGAACACCUAUAUCUCGACUCCAAUUCUUUUGAGGGACCUUUUCCAACAAAUAUUUUCAAGCUUUCCAAAUUAAUACAACUUGGUCUCGCAAACAAUACAAAUUUAUUUGAAGGAAGUAUUCCUCCAGGACUGGGGCUCUUGACUAACCUAGAGGACUUGUCUCUUGCUUACAAUAAUCUUGGUGGCUAUAUUCCGUCUUCCUUUGGAAACCUAACACUACUAGUAUAUCUUAAUCUCGCUCGUAAUCAAUUGGUUGGAACACUAUCAAAGACCAUUUCUAAUCUCACAAAUCUAUGGUUUCUUGAUGUACAUCAUAAUAGUCUCUCUGGGAAUAUUCAGAGUGACUUCUGGAAAAACUCUACAUCACUGCGUUACAUUAAUUUGGCAGACAAUAAUUUUUCUGGGAACAUUCCUAAGGAAUAUAAUGUUCUUCCAAUCCUGGAUCACAUCAAUUUUAGGGGGAACAAUUUUACAGGUAUUUUUCUUUCCAUAUUUUUUCCUUCUGUUGUAUUCAAUUAUGCUAGAAACUACAGCCUCUGUUUUUUCAAAUACAUAUCGUUUAACUUUUUGGCACAAAACUUUAUAAUAAUUCUAACUAAAAGGUCAAUGAACUCAAAAAUGUGUGUCAAAAAGUCAAACGUCAUUUAUCUGAAAUCAGAGGGAGUAUAUAUUACUGUUUUACCAAAGUUUCAACAAUCAUGACAGGUGAGCUUCCACCAACAAUUUGCGAUGCCACUUCCCUUUCGAUUCUUGAUCUGUCAAAUAAUGGAUUUAGUGGUGCAGUUCCACAUUGUUUGGGGAAUCUUGCGGAUAAAUUGAUUUCGAUUAAUCUUGCUAAUAAUCAGUUUCAAGGACCAAUACCAACAAAUUUCUCCGAGAGUUGUCGUCUGACGUAUCUUAACAUCUAUAACAAUCACUUCAAAGGUUUGGUUCCCCAAUCUUUGGCAAACUGUAAGCACUUGCAAAUUCUUGAUUUUGGAAAAAAUGAAAUAGGUGGAACACUUCCGUCAUGGUUUUUUACUCUUGGAGAGCUAGAAGUCCUGAUCCUGCGAUCAAACAGAUUUUUCGGGAGAAUAACUAGAAGGAGCAUACCACGCCCCUUUCCCAAGUUGCGGAUUUUGGAUCUAUCCAACAAUCAGUUCACCGGCUAUCUGCCAAUUUUAUACUUCAAGAAUAUGAAACCAAAUGAUAAUAAUUAUGAUUAUUUCAACAACACAAACGAAGCCUAUUACGUUUAUCAAGUUUCUAUCACAUUAAAUGUGAAAGGAAGCGAGCAUGAAGUGACAAAUAUUCUUCAUAUUUACACGGCCAUUGAUCUGUCGUGCAACAAAUUUGAAGGAAAAGUUCCAGACAUUACCGGAGAGCUUAGAUGGCUUGCAUUGCUAAAUUUAUCUCAUAAUAGUCUUUCGGGGCCUAUUCCAUCACAACUGGGAAAAAUGAAAGAGCUCCAGUCUCUAGAUUUGUCGUCAAAUCAAUUGACAGGUGUUAUUCCGGAUCAACUUACUAGUAUGACAUUUCUUGCUAGUUUGAACCUCUCAGAAAACCAUCUUUCUGGGAAAAUCCCUCGGAAAGGACAGUUCAGCACUUUUGGCGAAGAAUCUUACUUAGGUAAAUCGGCCUUGUGUGGAGUUCCUUUGACAAAGAACUGUAUAGACGAUGUGCCACCUUCACAAGUUGGAAAUGGCAAUGAUGAAAAUGUUGAUGAAGAUGAUACCGUUGAUGAAUUCAAUUGGAAAGUGAUCCUGAUGGGAUAUGCAUGUGGAUUAAUAGGCGGAUUGUCUGCAGGAUACAUUGUCUUCACAGUCGGAAAGCCUUGGUGGUUUUUGAGAUACAUUGAGACACUGCAGCAGAAGUUGAUCUGAUGCGCAACUAGAAACAACGUUAUAAUCUUAGAAUGACUUGUGUCUUUAAACAGAGUUAGGAACUUAGGAUGACUUGUGGUGCUAUAUUUUUUUUUUGAAAAAAAAAAACAUAUUUUUGUAAUUUUUUAGAUACAGAUGUUAAGAAGGUGUUGUAUAUUCAUUUUUUACCCAAAAAAAAAAAGAGGGCUUAUUUCAUGAAAAUUAGAGUUUUAUGUAUUUUCUCCAGAAAUUAGUCCUUAUUUCUGAAAAUAAGGUUAGUCAAAACGGUCACUACACGAUUGGUAGCCUUUCAGUUCUUCCUAGUGUCCACUACAGUUUCAUUCCUUACCAGUUAUUUUAUGCUCUGCACUGCAUUAUGCAGCUUUCAUAUUACUGACAGCUAAUCUCCUUCCAACACUUUGCGAUGCGAAGCAGGGACGCAUAAGUAUUUUUAUAUGUGUAUUAGUUUUGAAGAUUAAAGUUGCAUGGACAAUUGUGUUGAUAAUUUGAGCAAUGUUAACCGGGAUAGGUCUUCUUCUCUCUCCCAAGUCUUCUGAGGACUCAUCGGCUCAGAUUAGUCUAUCCAAAAAUUAUGAUCUGACGGCUAUUGGCACACUAACGAUUUACAUAUCACUUGAAUAUUACUGGAUACCCGCAUCUUGUUUUAAAUGGCGUAUAUCGGCUAAUAGUUCAACGAUGGUGACAAAUCCCGGUGAUCCAAAUAAUUGAUUGUCGCAAAAUUUUCCGCUUACAUCCAACUAACACGUAUUAGGAAAAAAAAUUAUAUAAUUAAACACGCUCAUGUAUCUAUAUCUUUUACAAGAUUGUAAGUCCCCAAUUCUAUGUGAUAUUAGCUAUAUGUGACUAGAAGGUUUAGAAAUACUAGAUUAUCAAGAUUUCUUUUUAUUCUAGCUAGUGUUGAGUUAUAUUUAUUUUCUUCAAACAAUCAAUACUUAUUUUUUAUUAAUAUGUGAAACUCCAAUAUAUAUUAUUAUACGAUAUAUUAUGAAAACACUAUAUUUUGUAAUGUUCAUCUUAUCCUACCAGCAAAAUUACAUCGCUAACAAAAUUAUAUCAAUUUUAUUUUAUAAACUCAAAUAAUUUAAUUUAUGAAACAACUCUAUGAGAUUCUUAUCAUGAGUUAGAAUUCAAAUAAAUAAAGAGUUCAUAUUGAUAAGUGGAAUUGAUGUGCAAGUAAGGGGUAUAAAAAAAUCUCAAAAUAACUCCAAAAAGCACAUGACAUGUUUGAUUUAAUAGAACUGGUACAUAAACAGGGGGACCAUUAUAUUUAUAAGCAAGUGACCAACAAUAGUUUACUACUGAUAUUUUGUGAUAUUUUUUGUGAUAUUUUUUGAGACCUUUAACAUUAUUCUGUGAAGUGGUAUACUACUGUUACUAGUUCUGAAACUUCAAACAAAGUAGGCGCAACAUUGUAAGAGUGAUUAAUAAAGUUGAGAAACAGUGUGUACAUUGAGCAGUAUGACAAUCAGGUUCAGCAUAUAAUACAAUCAGAUUCACAAUCAGGUUCACGAGAAACAUGCUGCAUUCCAAAAAGCCUUAUUAUCUUCUUCACUAAAUAACAAGGCAAAUACAGCAUAUAAAUACAAGUUAUAAGUACAAGUGUGGUAUUAGAUUCAUAACCCAGUUGAGGAGAAACAUGGCACACUUUGUAAGGCCUUCUCACCUUCUUCUCUUUGUUUUCUUUCUCUCAUCACUAGAAUCCAUUCUUGCAACAAGACGAGAGGGGGAAGCUCUUGUGAAGUGGAAGAAUAGCCUAGCCCCUUCUUCUUUUCUCCACUCUUGGUCACUCUCCAAUCUCGAAAAUCUUUGCAACUGGACUGGCAUUACUUGUAACUCUGCAGGUUCAGUCUCUGAGAUUGACCUUUGUGAGAAACAACUUGAUGGAAUGCUGUCCGAGUUUGGUCUCACUUCAUUUCCAAAUCUCAACAAUCUCACCCUCGCAGACAACUUCUUCUCAGGUCCAAUACCACCAGCCAUUGAGAAUUUAACACAGCUUCAAUAUCUUGAUUUAAGCAUGAAAAGUCUUAAUGGUCCCAUUCCGUUCCAGGUUAGCCAUCGUCAGAGCUUGCUCAUCUUAGACCUGUCACAGAAUGCAUUGCAAGCUUCAAAUUGGUCCAAUUUCUCUCCCAUGCCUCAGUUGCGCUUCCUCAAGCUCAGUAGCAAUCAUCUUGUGUCGAAAUUCCCAAAUUUUAUAUCCAGUUCUCAUAGCCUGACUUACCUCAACCUCUCAUAUAACAUUGGAAACCUCAAAAAAUAUAUAUUUAUAUAUUUAUAAUUAAAAAAUUGAAUUACUUAAUAUAUUAAAAAAUUGAAUAAAAUUUUAUAUAUUUUAUUAAAAAAUUGAAUAAAAAUUGAAUAAAAUUGAAUAAAAUUGAAGUACACGAAAAGGUACACGACACGAAAUACACGACUGAGAAGUCGUGUCGGUUUUGUGUUUACCCUUCGGGUACACGACACGAGGUACACGAAAUAAAUAAAUAAAUAUAUAUAUAUAUAUUUACCCUUCGGAUUAAGAGUUGGUCGCGGACAAAUUCAAAGUUUCCCAAUUAUCCUUUAUUUUAUGUAACUUUGCUUAUGUUUAAGCCUAAAUUUGGACAAUAUUUGUAAAAUAUUAAUAUUUCGUGUACUAAUUCGUUACCAGUUUCGUGUAUUUUUUCGUGUAUAUUUCGUGUUUUCGUGUUUUCAUGUACUAUUUCGUAUCGUGUCGUUUUCGUGUACAUGAAAAAAUUCGUGUACUACAGUUCGUGUCGUUUUUACCUGUUUCUAAAUCGUGUCGUGUUCGUGUUUACAAUCGUGUACACGAAUUGAAUUCGUGUCGUGUUCGUGUAUACCCACCAGAUACACGAAACACGAAAGUACACGACACGUUUAUACACGACACGAACGAUUUGCCAGGUCUANGAAACACGAAAGUACACGACACGUUUAUACAUGACACGAACGAUUUGCCAGGUCUAUUCAAACCUAGCAAGUAACCAAGAGGGGGCAAACUCCACCAGAGACAAAUCAAAGACCAUACCUGAGUAUUGCCAACAUAACAUUACAAACUGGCAGGUGAAAAAUAUGUGAAUAAGGUCUUCGUCACCAGAGUUACACAUGGGACAGUCAAGAGAAAGAUUUACUCCCUUAGAUUGUAAUCGACUUUUCACAGGCACAUUAUUCCUGCAAAAACGCCAUAAAAACACUUUGAUCUUAAGAGGAACCUCCAACUGCCAGAGUUUCUUCCACCCACUAGAUUGUGUAACAGUGCCAGUGCCAAUAUUUUGGGCAUGCCAAAACUGGUAACCUGUUUUCACAGAAUUUUGGCCGUUAGUAGUCUUUGACCAAGCUAGAUGAUCCACGGUCGACCUAUAGGGAACAGAAGUUUUUAAAAAUUAUGUAAUUCAUUCAAUUCCGUAUCAGACAAUACAUCUUAUCAUCGGUGAUAAUGGAAAUAGUGUAGAUGUUUGACCUAGUCCAUGUUUGACAACCAAUAUAAUAAGAAAUAAAUUCUUAUUUUUCUAAAAAAUAUAUUUUUGUAUAUAAAUGUUAAAGAGAUAUUUCUUAUUUGUUGUUUGAAAAAAGUAAAGACUUAUUUCAGAAUAAAUAAAAAUUAUUGUACAUUCUCUUUAUUUUUAAAAAUAAGUUUGGUCAAAUCGCCCAUAAUUCUCGUAAUUCAAAAGCCCAUUAUUUUUUUUUUUCUUGCUAAUUGAUCAGCACACGCACACGUUUCCAACUUCCCGCAAAGGGUACCGGAGUACCACCACACCGACGCUUUGUUGGGCCCAAUAAUUGGCUGAAGUUGAACGGGGCUUUCUGCCUCCGCUGGACCCCAGUUGGGAGGACUCUUUCCAAGUCUUUCGGAGACUCUUUCCCAUUGACUCCAACUUUCCAGGGUGUAUACAAAUUUUUUGAAAGAGGGUGUAUACAAAUUAUUCACGGCCAUCAAAUUAACCAGCGUAGCUGGUGAACAAAUAUUAUUGUUUAUUAUAAUUUUAUUUAAUUUAAAUGUGAUUAUAAAGAACAUAAGAGGACGUUUGAAAGUGUGGGUCUUAUUUCAAACAGUAGAUUUCAAAAAAUAUGAUUUCAAUUGUUAUUUAAAAUUCUUAAAUUUAUAUUAUAUUAAAAUGUUCUUAUCUAUACUAUACUAUUAAAACCGAAACAUUAAAAGUUUGGUCGGUCGGUACUUGGGCCGAUAUAUGGGCCUAUCUAUAUAACUAAUUAUUUUUUUUUAAUUUUGGGCCGAAAUACAGGCCUGUCUAUAUAAUCAAUUAUUCUUUUUAACUAAAAUAUGUUAUCUUUUUUACUAUUAAAGCCAAAACAUUAAAAAUUUGAUCGGUCGGUACUUGGGCCGAAAUAUGAGCGUAUCUAUAUAACUAAUUAUUUUUAUUUUUUUUUAUUUUUGGCCGAAAUACAGGCCUAUCUAUAAAAUCAAUUAUUCUUUUUAACUAAAAUAUGUUAAUUUUUUUUACUAUUAAAGCCGAAAUAUUGAAAGUUUGGUCGGUCGGUACUUGGGCUUCUAGGCCGAAAUAUAGGCCUAUCUAUAUCAUCAAUUAUUCUUUUAAACUAAAAUAUGUUAUCUUUUUUACUAUUAAAAUCGAAACAUUGAAAGUUUGAUCGGUCGGUACUUGAGUCGAAAUACGGGCCUAUCUAUAUAACUACUUAUUAUUUUUAACUUGGGCCGAAAUACAGGCCAAUCUAUGUAAUCAAUUACGCGGUAUUCUUUUUAACUAAAAUAUGUUAUUUUUUUAACUAUUAAAGUUGAAAUAUUGAAAGUUUAGUCGCUCGAUACUUGAGCCGAAAUACGGAUCUAUCUAAAUAACUAAUUAAUUUUUUUUAACUUUGGAUGGAAAUACAGCCCUAUCUAUAUAAACAAAUAUCUUUUUAACUAAAAUAUGUUAUCUUCUUUAUACUUUCUAACUAAAAACUCAAUCUUCUAAAUGAACAUGGAAGAAUAUAGUAAUUAUCUUUUUAACUAAAACAAAUUAUCGUCUAUUAAAUCAAAUUAUAACAAACUAUCCAUAAACAUCCUUAAUUUAUAACAAAUUAUUAAAUAUUUUUUAUCAUCUACUAAAUCAAAACAUUAAAAAUUAGAUUACCAUUAUGGAUCAGUAUUUGAAUUACGCUUCUCUUUAACUUAUAAUAUGUUUUAUACUAUAUUAUUAACUAUUAAUAACUAAAUAUUAAAACGCUGAUUGGGUUGUUUCUAUCUGGGUUUACGGGUCUCCUCAAAUUAUAAUCCCUCCGUUCUUAAAUAUCUGCCUUUUGACUUUUUGGCACGCAUGUUAAAGUGUUUUGAAUUUAUAGUAAAAAUAUUAUUUUUAAAUUUCUUUUUCUGAAUAAAAAUUUUAUAUCAAUACUUUUAUUCAUAAAAAGAAAUAUUUGAAAAUAACAUUUCUAGCUAUGUGGUCAAAAUAUCUUAAAAUGUGUGCGAAAAAGUCAAAAGGCAUAUAUUCAAGAACGGAGGGAGUAACAUGUAAAAAAAAUUAUUUUAACAUUAUCAUUAAAAAAUUAUAUAUUUGACCUAAUUAUAAAUUAACUAUUUGAAGGAAUAAACUAUUAAGAAUUUAUUUAGCUGCUAAAUAAAAGUUUUUUUAAUAACAUUAUUCUAUCACAAUUUUACUUUCAAUAAAAUUCGUUAAAUCUAAAAUAUAUGCGAUGAAAUAACAAAUAUUAAAACCGCCCGUGCAUUGCACGGGUUUUAAGCUAGUUCUAAUUAAUGAGUCACUAUUCGUAUUCUCAAGCAUGUUAGUUUGUUAAAAUUUAAAAUUUCAAAUGAAAUUAGGCUAAAAGACCAUAAUAUCAAAUCAAAAUCUCAUUAUCCAAUAUAUUGGUGGGCAAAAAUAUUAAACCUGGCUAUUCAUUAAUAUUGGUUCUUUAUUCAAAUUAUGUCAAAUUUAUAUAAAAUUUCGAAAAUUAUUUAUGAAUAAGAGUCGGCAUUCAUAUAUUUAUUAAGGAUACAAGUGAGAAAAUGUUAUUAAAUUAAUAUUUUUUAAUAUACGUAAGUUUUUUAAAAUAAAUUUGUAGCGUGGGACGGGAGUAUUAGACUGAUUCUGGCUUGGAGUGAAUCAGCCCAUAAAGUUUACAGGGUAGAUGACCAUUCUUAAAUCUUAAAGAAUCUUACGGUGACAGCUAACUGAACGACUCGGUUUCAGAAGUGCUGAAAAGUUUCGACGUAAACUACAAUUUGCCUAGCAUGUAAUUUCCAUGCAUUUUCUCGUUACGAGUAGGUUUGUCCGGAAGUACAAUUCAAAAUAGAGUGCUGUUAAAAAAAAUUGAGUUACUUAUUCAAUAACUUUUUUGAUAUUUAUAUAUUUUUAAUUAUAAUAAAGAUACUAGUGAUUAUGGUUAGCUUUUGGAGUACUUUUGGAGUACUUGGAAAUUUUCUUUUCGAGAAAAACGAGAGUACCUAUUUCAAUUUUUUACCAAAAAUUAUAAUUGAAAACAACGGACUUUUAUACUUAUCAUAACAAUUUUUAACAUCUUGUUUAGAAAUAACCUGUUGUUGUAUUAUGCAAAAGUAAUAUCACUAGUUUCUAUAUCCGUAUUCUAAUGAUAAUAAAAACAUCUCUAAUUCAUUAAAACUCUUACAUAGAAAUUGAUAAAAAAAGAAGAUAUAAAAUAAUUUAUUAAAAAUAUAUCAAAGUUUUUGCACUCGGUUAUAAUUAUUGUGUAAUUUUUUUUUUCAAUUCCAAGAUAUUGUUAUAAGAAAAUUUUACAUCAUAUAUAUAUUACAAAAAAAAUUAAUGUAUUAUAUAUAUAUAGGGUCCUACUCUGGUACAAACCUUUUUAGCGUACAAACUACAAACCAAAAUUAAAAAGUCUCUAAAUCAAAUCAGAAUAUAGCACAUAUGGUAUGGAAAUUGAUCGUUGCGAGAUGAACAAAAAUAAUGAUUAUAAAGUUUGUAUUUGAGCCAUUAUAUAUAUACUUACAAUAAAAGUAAUAAUAUAUUAUAUUCUAAAUAUAGUUAACCACUGCAGUUGGUCGCUUAUAAAUAGAAGUGUGCAUUAUAGGAUGAAACGUACAUCAAGCUGAGGAGAAACAUGGUACACUCUGCAAAGCUAUAUCAUCUUCUUUUACUUGUUUUCUUUUCCUCCUUACUUCCAUCCAUUCUAUUGGCAACAAGACGAGAAGGAGAAGCUCUUGUGAAAUGGAAGAAUAGCCUAGCCCCGUCUUCUUUUCUUGAUUCUUGGUCACUCUCCGAUCUCGAUAAUCUUUGCAACUGGACUGGCAUUACUUGUAACUCUGCAAGUUCAGUGUCUCAGAUAAAUCUUUCCCAAAAACAGCUCGAUGGAACGCUGUCCGAAUUUGGUUUCACUUCAUUUCCGAAUCUCGAAAAUUUGACUAUAAGAGACAACAGCUUCUCCGGGCUAAUACCACCAGGCAUUGCGAAUUUAACACAGCUUCAAUACCUUGAUUUAAGCUACAAUUAUUUCAGUGGUUCCAUUCCGUACGAGGUUAGCCAUCUUCAGAGAUUACGUGUUUUAGACUUGUCGUAUAAUGAAAUGCAGGCUCCAAAGUGGUCUGACUUCUCUCCCAUGCCUUUUAUGAGCAUCCUCAACCUACGGGCCAAUCAUCUUGUGUCGAAAUUCCCAGAAUUUAUAUCCAAUUCUUUUAGCCUGACUUUCCUUGACCUUGGAGACAACAAGUUCACCGCUGAUCAUCUUGUGCUCGAAUCAGAAUUUACCAAUUUGCAAAAUCUUGAAACGCUGUUUCUUGAUGGUAAUUCUUUUGAGGGGACGUUUCCACCGAAUAUAUUCAGGCUUUCUAAAUUAAAAUACCUUUCCCUAUCUGCUAAUAAGUUUUCAGGUUCUGUGCCGGAUGACAUAGGGAUGCUUCGUGAUCUUGAAUCCCUUUAUCUUGGUAACAAUUCUUUCAAAGGGAUGCUUCCACAAAAUAUUUUCAGACUUCCCAAAUUACGGGAUCUUUCCCUCUGGGGUAACAAUUUUUCAGGUCUUAUUUCAGAUGAUAUAAGGAUGCUUUCUAACCUGGAAUCUCUUGAUCUUAAUGGUAAUUCUUUUCAGGGUCCGCUUCCACCAAAUUUCUUCAAGCUUUCCAAAUUAAGACAUCUCGCCCUCUCAAAUAAUAAAAGAGUAUUUAAAGGAAGUAUUCCUCUUGGGUUGGGGCUUUUGACUAACCUUGACUACUUAUGUCUUAAUUCCAAUUAUCUCACUGGCUACAUUCCAUCUGACAUUGGAAAUCUAAAGCUACUAGAACAUCUUGAUCUCAGUUUUAAUCAAUUGACCGGACCGCUCCCAAAGAUCAUUUCUAACCUCACUAAUCUAACGCGUCUUGGUCUGAAUGAUAAUUGGUUUUCCGGCAGUAUUCCAAGUGACUUCUUGGAAAACUCUACAUUAUUAUUUUACAUUGAUCUUUCAAACAAUGAUCUGUCUGGAAGCAUUCCUAAGGAAUUCAACGUUCAUCCGACAUUGGAUUAUAUCAAUUUAAGUGGAAACCGUUUUAGAGGUCUACUUCUCUCUUUAAAUUUUUAUGUUCGUUUUGUAUAUGCUAGUAACCUGAUUAUUACACUUUUACUGAAGCUUCAACAAUUCUAACUGCAGGCAAGCUUCCAGCAACGAUUUGCAAUGCUACAUCCCUUUCGACUCUUGUUCUGUCAAAUAAUGAAUUCAGCAAUGCACUUCCACAUUGUUUGGGGAAUCUUGCUGAUCAACUUCUUUCCAUUAAUCUUGCUAAUAAUUUGUUUCGAGGACCAAUACCAACAACUUUCUCUAAGAGUUGUCGGCUGACAUAUCUAAACAUGUACAACAAUCACUUUGAAGGGUUGUUGCCGCAAUCUCUGGCAAACUGUAAGCACCUACAAAUUCUUGAUAUUGGAAACAAUGAAAUAGGUGGUAAAUUCCCGUCAUGGCUGUUUACUCUUGGAGAGCUGGAAGUCCUAGUCUUGCGAUCAAAUAGAUUCCACGGUCCAGUCAAUGGAACAAGCUCAGCAAAUUUAUUCCCCAAGUUGCGGAUUGUUGAUCUCUCCAACAAUCAAUUUACAGGCGAUUUACCAAUUCAGUAUUUUAAGAAUAUGAAACCAACAGAUAACCACUAUAGUUAUUUUUAUACAGAAAGUGGUUUUUACUAUCAUCAAGCAUCGAUCUCAUUAACUGUGAAAGGAAGAGAGUAUGAAGUGAAAAAGAUCCUUCAUAUUUAUACAGCCAUAGAUGUGUCAUGCAACAAAUUUCAGGGAGAAAUUCCCGAGGUUAUUGGAGAACUUAAAUGGCUUGCAUUGCUCAAUCUAUCACAUAAUAGUCUUAUUGGACCUAUCCCAUCACAGCUCGGAAAUAUGGAAUCACUUUUAUCUCUAGAUUUGUCUUCAAAUCAUUUGACAGGGGGUAUUCCCGAUCAGUUGAUUAGGUUGACAUUUCUAGAGGUCUUGAACCUCUCGGAAAAUCAUCUGACAGGGCCUAUCCCCCAAAAAGGACAGUUCAGCACAUUCAACAAGGAUUCUUACCUAGGUAACUUUGCCUUGUGUGGAUUACCUUUAACUAAUAACUGUACACACACUGUGUCACCACCACAAGAAGGCGGAACUGGUGACAAUGAUGCCUAUGAUGAACCCGAUUGGGAAGUGAUCCUCAUGGGAUAUGGAUGUGGACUAAUAUGCGGAUUGUCCACAGGGUACGUUGUCUUCACAUUCAGAAAGCCUCAGUGGUUUAUGAGAUACACUGAAAGCGUGCAACAGAAGUUGAUGAGAUGAUGCAUGUUGAGUACCGUUCAAUCAUGAAGCACAACUGGAAACAAUGUUAUCUUAGGAAAACAUGUGUUCUGAACCAGUAGUGUUUGCACAAAAUUUGUGGUGCUAUGUAAUACUUAUAUAAUUGUACGUAUGAUUAUUGAUUAGUCGUUGAGAAAAUGCAUUUUAUUUCAGUGUCAAUGAUAAUCUACAUGUUUUGGAUACUUCCAGCUUCUCAUACUAAUAUAGGAACCACUUGAAAAAUUUUGGACAGGCUCUGAGGAUGCUAAUGCUGCUGUUUAGUUUCUACCGCGGAAUUGACUUUAGCAUAUACUCGUAUGACAUAUUACUAGAUAUAUGGUUGUUAAAUAAAAUUAUCUUUUUGUGGAAUAAAUAGGAAAGCAAAAUCAUAGAAUAAUGUAUGUUAUAUAGGAAGGUAUUGUCCUCUUAGAUAGGUAUCAUUUAUGCCUCAUUGGCAUGUCUCAGAAAACUUUUGGGUUAACACAAUGUUUACUUAGAGCAUUGCCAUUCCUUAAAUAUAAUAUAAAAUAUUGGAUCUUAGUGACUUAAGAUGAUAAUAGCUAUUCGCACCUCCAACAAUAUUCCUUAUAUUCAUUCCUUAUAUACUAUUUUAUUAUUAAAAGUUACCAUUAUUGCAAUAGGUGAAAAGAGAGAACAUGUUUGUAUUCAAAAUUUAUUGUAAAAUAAUAUUUAGGAGAGGAGAGAGGUUACCUAAAGAUAAGGCAUGGCUAGUUAUUUAGAGAAUCACUAGGAUACUGUUGGAGUGGAUUAUUUUCCCAUAUUACUCAUAUUUUGGUUUAAGAUUCCUAAUAGGGAAGCUGCUGGAGUUGCUCUUAGAGCAUCUCCAAGAGAUUCUUCAUUUAAGCUCCUAACUUGAGAUUUGAGUAGGGAGAGGAAAAAUGUUGCUCCAAGAGACUCUUAAGUGGCUCUUAAAUCACUAAGAGCCUCUUGUUUCUCUCUCCUCUCUCCUCAAAGUUAAGAGCCACCACAUUGCUCCUAACUUAUUUUUUCACAAUAAAAAAAUCUUUUCCUCCAAUUCAGCUCCAUCUUUCCAUCUCUUUUGUUAUAGUGGAGCCCAAUAUAUGAAUAAAAUAUGAAAUAGAGAAGAGAUGUAGAGAGUAUUGUUGGAGUUUACACUCUUAACUUUGUCUUAAAUUGCUAAGAGCUAUUUUUUUAUAUUAUAUUUAGGAGCCAAUAAGGAGGCUCUUGGAGAUGCUUUUAGUACUAAUUGUUAGAAUAUGAAAAUGCAGUUAUGAACUAUUAUGCUAGAGAGAGAAAAAUUCAACAAACUUCAUUUCUGUAAACUACAACUAUUAGUCUGUUACAUUGCUGAAAGCUACAUUUAUACAUUUACAGUUUACAACAAACUAUGAAACUGAUUUUCCCGCGUCCUCCUCACUUGUCCACGUGGCCUGACUGGCUUGGUGUCCUUGACACUCUUUAUUAUUGCUAAUAUAUACUUAACACUAAUACCUCAAAGCAGGGUAUAAAUUCAAUAGCACAGCUUCUGGAUAAUGGAAAUUUAGUUAUCCAGAGGUCUUGGUUUUACAUAUCACUUGUAUAUUAUGUCUCGGUCUCAUUGAAGCAUACCAAACGAGAUUUUGGGUUUGUUAAUAUUUUUUUAGUCCAAAUUUGAAUAAUACUGUUAUGCUUAUUCACACGGUAGACGUGUUUUUAUUAAAAUACUGCAACUGAAAUUGAUGAAAACAUGCACAAAGCAUAGCAGACGAAAGACUUGAGGAGAUAUUGUCUUAGGCGAUGCAAUACGUUCUAAUAUAAUGCUAUAUUAUGCAAUCUCGUUUAAUACUUUCAUCAUUAUUCUCCAAGAUGUCUGAACAUGUAUUUUCAAAGAAUUCUCAGUUCACCUUUAGUCUUAUAGCGACAUUUUGAAGGCACUCUCAACUUACACCCUAUAUAUACACGUACGGUUCACUUCAGUACAAAGAUUUUAUGAUACAACUCUCAUAUUAUGAACUAGUUCUGUCGAAUACAUGAAUAUUGAUCAAUCAUUUGAACUCGAGUUUCCCAGCUGGCCAGAUACCCAGAUUAUUAGCCAUGCAAAACAUGCAGAACCACUAGUAAUGCAGAAAAACAAUAUAUUAGUUUUCUCCGGUGUUACAGAAAUCAGGAAUCGGACCUAAUCGGUUUAGCUACCGAUUUAGGGAUUAAUAGGAAAUAGGGGAUUAAUCGGAGUGAAAAUCGGAUUUAUUUUAAUAUUAAAAUAUUAUUUAAUAUUUAGUUAUUAUUAUAUUAGCUAUUUAGUAACUAAUAUAUUUACUAUAUUCAUAAACUCUAUAAUUAUUCGUAUUGAAAGUAAUAUAGUAUUUUAAUUUUAAUAAUUUACUAUAUAUACUUCGAUUAAGAAAUAUAUAUAUAAGGAUUAAUCGGAUUUCAAAAAUCGAAUCGGUGGCCAACCUUGCAGAGGAUUAAUCGGGGAUUAAUUGGUUGAAUCGGGGAUGUUUAGAACACUGGUUUUCUCCAAAUAUCACUACAACAAAACUGCCAUUUUACGACGGAAAUCUAAUAUUCUAAAGGGUUACGACCAAACUAUGUCGGUGGACUUUAUUUUAAUUUACCGUUUAACAGUAGUUAAUUUUGGAUAUCUACACUUGCGAUGGAAAACAUACGACAGUCUACUUCGUGAGAGAAAAUCAUUUUAUUUUAUUUUUUAGCGCCAGAAUUUUAAUACUGAAAUAUUAUAUAUAUGAAGGAAACUGAUCUCUAAUGUUUUCAGCUUGCUCAUCCAUCGUAAGUAAUCCGUCGAAAAAGUUAGUUUGUUGUGGUGGUGUCUUAUCAUGAGAGAAAAUGAUAAUAUCGCAAAAUAUUUGCAACUGAAAGAUAAAUUAUAAUUCUAGAAACCAUUUAGGUAACGAUGCACGAAGUUAUUUUCACUCACUUAGAAUUAAUGNUGAAAACAUGCACAAAGCAUAGCAGACGAAAGACUUGAGGAGAUAUUGUCUUAGGCGAUGCAAUACGUUCUAAUAUAAUGCUAUAUUAUGCAAUCUCGUUUAAUACUUUCAUCAUUAUUCUCCAAGAUGUCUGAACAUGUAUUUUCAAAGAAUUCUCAGUUCACCUUUAGUCUUAUAGCGACAUUUUGAAGGCACUCUCAACUUACACCCUAUAUAUACACGUACGGUUCACUUCAGUACAAAGAUUUUAUGAUACAACUCUCAUAUUAUGAACUAGUUCUGUCGAAUACAUGAAUAUUGAUCAAUCAUUUGAACUCGAGUUUCCCAGCUGGCCAGAUACCCAGAUUAUUAGCCAUGCAAAACAUGCAGAACCACUAGUAAUGCAGAAAAACAAUAUAUUAGUUUUCUCCGGUGUUACAGAAAUCAGGAAUCGGACCUAAUCGGUUUAGCUACCGAUUUAGGGAUUAAUAGGAAAUAGGGGAUUAAUCGGAGUGAAAAUCGGAUUUAUUUUAAUAUUAAAAUAUUAUUUAAUAUUUAGUUAUUAUUAUAUUAGCUAUUUAGUAACUAAUAUAUUUACUAUAUUCAUAAACUCUAUAAUUAUUCGUAUUGAAAGUAAUAUAGUAUUUUAAUUUUAAUAAUUUACUAUAUAUACUUCGAUUAAGAAAUAUAUAUAUAAGGAUUAAUCGGAUUUCAAAAAUCGAAUCGGUGGCCAACCUUGCAGAGGAUUAAUCGGGGAUUAAUUGGUUGAAUCGGGGAUGUUUAGAACACUGGUUUUCUCCAAAUAUCACUACAACAAAACUGCCAUUUUACGACGGAAAUCUAAUAUUCUAAAGGGUUACGACCAAACUAUGUCGGUGGACUUUAUUUUAAUUUACCGUUUAACAGUAGUUAAUUUUGGAUAUCUACACUUGCGAUGGAAAACAUACGACAGUCUACUUCGUGAGAGAAAAUCAUUUUAUUUUAUUUUUUAGCGCCAGAAUUUUAAUACUGAAAUAUUAUAUAUAUGAAGGAAACUGAUCUCUAAUGUUUUCAGUUUGCUCAUCCAUCGUAAGUAAUCCGUCGAAAAAGUUAGUUUGUUGUGGUGGUGUCUUAUCAUGAGAGAAAAUGAUAAUAUCGCAAAAUAUUUGCAACUGAAAGAUAAAUUAUAAUUCUAGAAACCAUUUUGGUAACGAUGCACGAAGUUAUUUUCACUCACUUAGAAUUAAUGCUAAAUAUUUGCAACUGAAAGAUAAAUUAUAAUUCUAGAAACCAUUUAGGUAACGAUGAGCGGAGUUAUUUUCACUCACUUAGAAUUAAUGAUAAAUAUUUGCAACUGAAAGAUACAUCAUAGUUCUAGAAAAGGAUCCACGAAGUUAUUUUCACUCACUUAGAAUUAAUUGUAAGUUAUUGUGAGUUUUUGAAUAUGAAUUAUCUCAAAUUUUAUUAAAACACAUGUUGAUUCUUAUAUACAAAUUUGCCUAUCUAAUAUUAUAAUAUUUAUGGAGAAGGUGUAUGAACAAUUGUGUAGAUAAUUAUACUUUACAAAGCAUACUUCUGCUAGCUGAAUUUUGAUUAAAAAAAUCGAAAGGGAUAGGUCUGGGUCUCUCCAAGUCUUUGAGGACUCAUUCCAAGUCUUCUGAUGAGGACAAAAUAUAUUGCUGGAAGUCUUUCAGUCCUUCCUAGAGUAUUUUGUGCUCUGCACUGCAUUAUGCAGCUCUCAUAUAACUGACCGCUAACCUCCUUCCAACACUUUGCGAUGCAAAACAGUGGCAUGUUAUAAGUAUUUCCGUAUGUGUAUUUAUUUGGAUAUUAAAGUUGCGUAACAUUUGUGUUGAUAAUUUGCGCAAUGUUGAUGAGGAUUGCUCCCAAGUCUUGGCGGACUCUUUCCAAAUCUUCUGAGGACCUAUGGGUUCAAAUUAGUCCAUUAAAAUGAAUACCAUUGUUUUGUGAUUAAGUUGUAUGGUUAAGAGCUUAUCCUCUGUCGUCCCAGGUCCUGGGUUCGACCCUGGCUCACCCCGAGAGUUUCGUAGAACAGAUACUCAUUAUAAGGCUAUAAGCCAUAUUUGUCAAAAAAAAAGUUGUAUAGGCAAUAUGCAUUGCAAAAUCAGCAACAGAAUAUAUACUAAUUAAUUACCUGAUAUCGGUUUGAACAAAUACUUUCUAUGUAGUUGUAAUAUUAGUCUUCUUUAAAAGUUAUCAUGAGGGAAGAUAUAUAUUGUGAUGCGGGGGAAAUAUUGUAACCGAAAAUAAUUAUAAUUCUAAAAAUUUCCAUUAUACACUUUUUUUAGUGUUCGUACGUGGUAAGUACUUCAGACGACAUUUCUCGCGUAUGCCUCCAAUUAAGAAUUUGAUGUUCAGCCUAGUCCUAAACUAAAAUUAUUAUAAAUGUGUAAUUCAAAAUUAUAUUGCUGGUAGGCUCUGAGAUUAACCUUAAACAAAAACAACUCAGUGGAACGCUUUCCGAGUUUGGUUUCACUUCAUUUCCAAAUCUCAACAAUCUCAACAUAGCACGAAACAACUUUUACGGUCCAAUACCACCAGCCAUUAAGAAUUCUAUUUUAAUAUGUAACAUUCUAUUUUCUAAAAUAAUAAAUAUUUUUUUUAAUAGUUGGUCAAAAAUUAGUCAAUUUGACUUCUCAAAAAGCAGAAAGGACAUGUAAAUUGAGACGGGGGAGUAUUUAACGGAAUUCAACGAAAGGUGUGCGUAUCGUUCUUGAAAUGUAAAAAUAGGUGGUGCAAUUCGAGUUUCCAAACCUAUGGGUACAAUAUCGUUUUUAAACGUAAGCUAGGGGGUCCAAAUUACAAUUACAUGUAUAUAUAGUGACUUAACGGAGUGCAUAUAGUUAACGGAAGUUAACGGCAGGGAGUGCAUCUCGGGCUUGAAUAGUAAAGAUAAAAGGUGCGAGUUGAGUUUCUCAAAGUAUGAGUACAAUAUCGUUUUUGAAUGAUAGUUAAGGGGUGCGAUAUGCAAUUACCUCAAAAAAAUAUGAUCAUUAGUAUAUUAUAUUAGUAUCCACACACUUAUAUCUCAAAAUCUAUCCUCCAAAAUUAUCAUCUAUAUAGGCUAGCCACAUAAAAUAAAAAUUUAAAGAUAUUAGAUAUUUAGUUAUUUCAAUUAUAUAAUUUUUCCACGCAAAAUAACAAAAUAUCUUUAUCAACUUAUUAUUUAUGAGUUAAAUAUUCAACUUAUAUAAUUCGGGCAUGCUGGGUAUAAAUAGAAGUGUAACGCCUAAUUUCCGGGGUCUGGGAGUAGUUAGCGGGGUAUGAGAGAGCAGGCUAUUUAGAAGUCUUGGUCAUGAAAACUUCCAAGCUAACUUCGACAACGGAAUCUUCUGAGGCUACUAUUCUAAAGCACGCAUAAUCAUUGUAUUCAUUUUCCUCUAACACUGGCAAAAAGUCUAUUUAAGCAAAUGAAAUACAAACAACUGAGUGGAAUGCUGACCGAAAGUCUUUUUGGCUGAGCUUAUGAUUUAUUAGUACAUGAUUAAUAUGAUAAGCUAAGCUGAGAGCAUAAGAUAUCGUGUGUAUAAUUUUGUGUUUAUUAAUGACUUAUAAAUUAUUAAAAAUAUAAUAAGAAAAAUAAAAAUGAUUUAUAACUAAUUUAUGUUUUAUGAGUAAUUUUUAUUAGAAAAAAGUUUUAAAAAAUUAUUUCACUGAAAAAAAAUCCUCCAACUAACUUUUGGCUCUAAGUCAGUUUUUGAUUUAUUUAUGAUUUUAAGUCGGAUUCUGAUUUUUACACAAACAGAAAAUUUCCAGCUUAAAGUUAAAAACAACUUUAAGCUCCGGUUUUAAACCUCUGAGUUUGGUUUCACUUCAUUUACAAAUCUCAACAAUUUCACCAUCAAACACAAUGACUUCUCCAAUCUCCGGUCCAGUUCACCAGCCAUUGAGAAUUUGGCACAACUUCAAUUCCAUACCAGGUUAGUCGGCUUCGGAGGUUACACGCCUUAGACCUGUCAAAUACAAAUUUCAAUCUCCAAACUGGUCCGAUUUAUCUUCUAUGCAUUUUGUUGAGUCCGGCUCAUCUAAAACCUGAAGGUGUUAGAAGAAACCCGAAUGAAUCUUAUAUAUGAAUCUUAUAUAUGCUAUAUUUAAACAAUUCUGAGCACACUCAACCUUGGUAUUAAUAAUAUCGUGUCGAUAAUUCCAGAAUUUAUAUCUAAUUCUCAUAGCCUAACUUUCCUUGACCUUUCCAUAUAACAAAUUUACAGUUAAUCCUGUGCUUGAAUCAGUAUUUGCAACCAAAAUUAUGCAAUUAUAGUGCAGGUAGUCUUCCAGUUCUUCCUACUCUAUGCUAUAAUUUCAUUUGAUACCAAUAAUUUUACGCUCUACACUCCAGGAUGAGCUCGCAUAUUAUUGACAGCAAUAAUCCUUCCAACACUUUGUGAUGCAAAGCAGGGGGGCGCCUGUAUUUUCAUAUGUCUAUAUUAUUGGAGAUUAAAGUUGUGUGGACAAUUGUGUUGAUAAUUUGCCCAAUGUUAACAGGGAUAGGUUGGCUUAAAAAUAUAUAAGGUCACUUGUGCAUCGCUGUUCACACACUUAGACCCUGUUUGUGUAAGCUUUAAGUCCGGGCUCAAGCAAUUUCGACUUAAUCACUUCCGAGGACCAAUACCAACAGCCUUCUCAAAGAGUUGCCAGCUAAGAUAUCUAAACAUGUAUGACAAUCAGUUAGAAGGACUAUUGCCCCGAUCUUUGUCAAACUGUAAGCACUUAAAAAUUCUUGACAUCGGGAACAAUAAAAUGGGUGGUACAUUCCCUUCAUGGCUAUUUAAUCUCGGAGAGCUAGAAAUCCUAGUCUUGCGAUCAAAUAGACUGUACGGUCCUGUAAGUGGAAGGAGCACAUCACAUCCAUUCCCCAAGUUGCGGAUUCUAGAUCUCUCCAACAAACAAUUCGCGGGCUAUUUGCCAAUUCUAAACUUUAAGAAUAUGAAACCAGCUGCUGAUGAUAACGCGUAUAGUUAUAAAAAUAAGUCACAAGGACUAAUUAAUUACAUCUAUGAAGCAUCUAUCUCCUUAAAUGUGAAAGGAACAGAGUAUGAAGUGAAGAACAUUCUUCAUAUUUACACAGCCAUUGAUCUAUCGUGCAACAAAUUUCACGGAGAAGUUCCAAAGAGAGCUUAAAUGGCUUGCAUUGCUCAAUCUAUCUCAUAAUAGUCUUGCCGGACAUAUGUUCUGAAUUAUUAUUAUGCUUUCAUCAAUAUUUUCAAACAUUUCUCAAUAUGUAUUUCAAAGAAUUCUCAAGCCCUGGAACAUUUGGACCGGUCCUUUCGAAGCCAAGAUGCCCAGGUUAUCAUGGCCAUGCACAAAAAUGAAUAAAUUAUUCCAAGUCUUCCAUGACUCAUUCCAAGUCUUCGGAGGAGACCCUGAGCACAAAGAUGCUCAGGGUCUCCCCAAGCCUUCCAGGACUCAUUCCAAGUCUUCGGAGCACGGCCUCGACUCGCCCUUUCAAAGAUGUGAUAGUAGCUCGAGAGUGAUAUAAAUUAUUUUCCGGACACUAAAAAUAAAUAAUCAGAUCAAAUUAAUCAAUAAUAAAUUAAGGAUGAAAUCCAAAUUAAUCCUAAAUUUUGAUAAUAUAUAAAAAUUAUAAUUAUAAAUUAUAUAACCAAAUCAGAAUUGAAUUAACUUCCUUGGCACUAAAUUGAUAAGGAAAGUAUAAUAAUUUAAAUUUAAUUGAUGAAAAGUCAAAGUCUUCUAAUAAAUCCAUAAAGAAUAUGAUAAUCAAAAUAACGAAAAUUAUAAUUGAAAAAUCAAAAUCAUUAGUGUAUUGGAAUAGUGUUCACACACUUAUAUAUCAAAAUUUGUGGUCCAAAAACUAUAGCACAAUAUCCUAAAUACACCACAUUAAAUAUUAGUUCAAAAAUAUUCUGUAAAUAAUUGUUUUCAUUCAUCAUUUUGUUAUUUAAAAAACUAAUAAUUUGGGUUGAUGUUAACCUAUAUUUUAAUAUAUAAUUAUAUUAUUUUCGUAUUAUUUUAUUUAACUAGAAACAAUAUUUUUAUCAGACAUCAAUUAUAUUAAAAGAUAUAAUUUUAUUAAAAAAAAUUGAAUUAAAUUAAUAGGAUAACUCUACGCCUCACCAAGUCUACAAGACUCAUUUCAAGUCUACCAAGGACCACUACCUCGGUCCUCAACCAUUGGGAGAUGUGAAAGUAGCUUGAGAGUGACAAAAAUUAUUUUCCUCACAAUAAAAUUUAAUAUCUGAUAUAAAUUAAUUAAAUUAGUUAAUAAUAAAUUAAAACUAAUCAUGAAUUAUGAUAAUAAUUAAAUAAAUUAUAAUUAAAUUAUAUAAAUCAACUCCAAAUGAUACAAAUGACACUAAACCUUAGUUACUUUAUUGGUAAAUAAAUAUAAUAUAAUAAUCAAAUUGAUGAAAAAUCAAAAUCAUCUAAUAAAUUCAUAAAAAAUAUAUGAUCAUUAAUAUAUAUUAUAUUAGUAUCCACACACUUAUAUUUCAAAAUCUAUCCUCCAAACUUAUCAUCUCUGUAAACUAGCCACAUAAAAUAAAAAUUUAAAGAUAUUAGAUAUUUAGUUAUUUUCAUUAUAUAAUUUUUCCACACUAAACAACAAAAUAUCUUUAUCAAAUUAGUAUUUAUGAGUUAAAUAUUCAAGUUAUAAAUCCAGCAUGCAGCGUAUAAAUAGGAGAAACAUGGCACACUCUGCAAAGCCUUCUCACCUUCUUCUCUUUGUUUUCUUUCUCUCAUCACUUGAAUCCAUUCUUGCAACAACACGAGAAGGAGAAGCUCUUGUGAAAUGGAAGAAUAGCCUAGCCCCGUCUUCUUUUCUUGAUUCUUGGUCACUCACUCAUCUCGAUAAUCUUUGUAACUGGACUGGCAUUACUUGUAACUCUGCAGGUUCAGUCUCUGAGAUUUACCUUUAUGAGAAACAACUUGAUGGAAUGUUGUCGGAGUUUGGUUUCACUUCAUUUCCAAAUCUCAACAAUCUCACCCUCGCAUACAACUUCUUCUCCGGUCCAAUACCACCAGCCAUUGAGAAUUUAACACAGCUUCAAUAUCUUGAUUUGAGAAAUAAUUAUCUAGAUGGUCCCAUUCCUUUCCAGGUUAGCCAUCUUCAGAGCUUGCUCAUCUUAAACCUGUCAGAGAAUGCAUUGCAAGCUCCAAAUUGGUCCCAUUUCUCUCCCAUGCCUUUUUUGCGCAUCCUCAACCUCAGUCACAAUCCUCUUGCGUCGAAAUUCCCAGAUUUUAUAUCCAAUUCUCAUAGCCUGACUCACCUUAGCCUUAAUUAUAACGAGUUUACUGGUGAUUUAGCACGUGAAUCAAUAUUUGCCAAUCUGCAUAAUCUUGAAGUCCUCAGUCUUAAUGGCAAUUCUUUUGAGGGGCCAUUUCCACCAGAUAUAUUCAAGCUUUCAAGAUUAAAACGUCUCUUCCUGGCAGUUAACAAAUUUUCAGGUUCAAUUCCCAAUGACAUAAGGUUACUUUGUGAUCUUGAAUACCUAUAUUUAGGCAACAAUUCUUUUGAAGGACCGCUUCCACCAAAUUUAUUCAAGCUUUCGAAAUUAAAGCGUCUUUUUCUUUGGAGUAAUAAGUUUACAGGUUCUAUUUCCAAUGAUAUAGGUUUGCUUUCUGAACUUGAAACCCUCAAUCUUCAAUUUAAUUUUUUUGAGGGGCCGCUUCCCCCACAUAUAUUUAGGCUCUCUAAGUUAACAGGUCUAGAACUCGGAGACAAUAGAAAUUUAUUUGAAGGAAGUAAUAUUCCUAUCGGACUGGGACUCUUGACUAACCUCAGGUACUUAGAUUUACAUUUCAGUAAUCUCAGUGGCUAUAUUCCAUCUGACAUUGGAAACCUGAAGCUACUAGUACUUCUUAGUCUCGGUUCUAAUCAAUUGACUGGACCGCUUUCAAAGAUCGUUUCUAAUCUCACAAAUCUUAUAUUCCUUGAUGUAAGUGAUAAUAGUCUUAGUGGAAAUAUUCAGAGUGACUUGUGGAAAUAUAACCAUCAUCCUACUUUGGAAUACAUCGAUUUUAGUGGGAACCAUUUUACAGGUAUAUUUUUUCUCUAUAGAUCUUUUCCUUUUGUCAUAUGUAACUAAGCUAGUAAUCUGAUUAUUGCAGUUUUACCGAAGUUUCAACAAUCUUGACAGGUGAGCUUCCAACAACAAUUUGCAAUGUCACUUCCCUUUCGGUUCUUGAUUUGUCAAAUAAUGAAUUAAGUGGUGCACUUCCAAACUGUUUCGGGAAUCUUGCUGAUGGAUUGCUUUACAUUAAUCUUGCUAAUAAUCAGUUUCGAGGAACAAUACCAACUACUUUCUCCAGGAGUUGUCAGCUGACAUAUCUAAACAUGGAUAAUAAUGAGUUUGAAGGAUUGUUGCCCCCAUCUUUGGCGAACUGUAAGCACUUGAAAAUUCUUGAUAUAGGCAAUAAUAAAAUAGGUGGUACAUUUCCGUCAUGGCUUUAUGCACUUGGAGAGCUAGAAGUUCUUGUCUUGCGAUCAAAUAAACUCUAUGGUACAAUAAGUGGAAGGAGCAUAGAAGAUCCCUUCCCCAAGUUGCGGAUUGUGGAUCUGUCCAACAAUCAAUUCACAGGCCAUUUGCCAAUUCAAUACUUUAAGAAUAUGAAAUCAACUGAUAAUUUGUAUCGUUAUCAGAAUUCCACAAAAGUUUUUUCUUUCCAUUAUGAAGCAUCUGUCUCAUUAACUGUGAAGGGAACAGAGUAUGAAGUGAAAAAUAUCCUUCAUAUUUACACAGCCAUUGAUCUGUCCUGCAACAAGUUUCAAGGAGAAAUUCCUGACGUUAUUGGAGAGCUUAGAUGGCUUGCAUUGCUCAACUUAUCUCAUAAUAGUCUAACAGGACCUAUCCCAUCAUUGCUGAGAAAUAUGAAAGGACUCCAAUCUUUAGAUUUGUCUUCAAAUCAACUGACAGGGGCUAUUCCACCUCAGUUAACUGCACUGACAUUUCUAGAGGUCUUAAACCUCUCGGGAAACCAUCUUAGUGGAGGGAUUCCUCAGAAAGGACAGUUCAGCACAUUCAACAAUGAUUCUUAUCUAGGAAACUCAGCGUUAUGUGGAUCACCAUUGACGAAGAAAUGUGCAAACACAGCAUCACCUCCACAAGAAGUCGGAAAUGUUGAUGAAGAUGAUGCGGGUGAUGAAUUGACAUGGGAAGCAAUCUUGAUGGGAUAUGGAUGUGGACUGAUAUGUGGAUUGUCAUCUGCGUACAUUGUUCUCAAACUAGGAAAGCCUUGGUGGUUUGUGAGAUAUAUCGAAGUACUGCAAUUGAAGUUGAUGAAAAGAUAUGCAUGAAGAAUGGUACUAGCCGAUCAAGAUGAACUCGAAAGUUGUGGUCCUUGUGGACAUUUCUGAACCAGUAGUGUUCUAUUCUCUUUGUGGCUGCAUAAGUAUUUGGUAUUGUGUAAUGUUCUGUUUGGUCUUGAAUCAUAAUAAUUUUUCUUUCUUCAGGGGUAUUUAUAAUAUAAACCUUGGUAUUGUGUACUAGCUGUAAUAUUCUGUUUGAUCAAUGUUUAUACCAGUAAUUUUAUGCUCCGCACUGCAUCAUGCAGCUCUCAUAUUAUCUUCAUAUGUGUAUUUAUUUGGAUAUUAAAAACAUAUGGGAUAUGUGUUAACAGGGACAGCUCCCAAGUCUUGGAUAGACUCUUUCCAAGUCUUCCGAGGUCCUAUAGGUUUAAAUUAGUCCAUUAUCUGCAUACUAAUUUGUCCAACUGAAAAAUCAAGGAUAUUAUGUAUUAACUGUUUUAAUAACAAUUUACAAGUAUAAAUUUCAUAUAUUUUUUCAUAGAAUAUAAAUUAGUUGACGUACUAAAAUCACUAGUCAAAUUAAUUUAAAUAAAUAUAUUGAAAAGAUGAUAAUAAAAUUAUGGUAAUUUAUCACUACAACAAUUCUGGACAUUAAUUAUAUGUAUACUUAAAUAUAUUGAAAAGAUGAUAAUAUAGUAGAAUACAAAUGGUUAUGAUUCCGUAGUAACUACACCGUCGUAAGUUCACAUAAUUAUAUAAUUAUAGUUAUUUGAAAACGAAAAAUAAAUGAGAAAAUAUAUAGUGACCAAAUAUGAAUCAAUCUAAAAUUUUCAUUAUGGAGAUCGUAAGAAACGUGAUGAAGAACUGGAAUGAGAAUUCCUUACAAAACAUUUGGGUUAUAUUAUCAAUGAUGAAUGUUGUAUAUUAUACCUAUGAUUUCAAGUCUCAUACAAAAUUAUAUUGCUCAUAGUCUUUCGAUCAGUUCUUACUAGUGUAUGCAAUAGUUUCUCAUUCCAUACCAGUUAUUUUAUGCUCUGCACUGCCUUAUGCGCGCAGCUAUCAUAUUACUGACAGCUAACCUCCUUCCAACACUUUGCCAUGCGAAGCCUGAAGAUUAAAGUUAACAGGGAUAGGUCUUCUUCUCUCCCAAGUCUUGGACGGACUCUUUCCAAGUCUUCUGAGGACCCAUCGGCUCAGAUCCGUCCAUUAAAAAUUUAUUAUUGAUUACUUAUUAUUAUUGAUUGAUCUAAGAUUCCAAAGACAUGUUCCCGUAAUUUUCAGACUUAGCCAGUUGGUGUGGGCAGAAGUUUUAGAAAUAGUAGAUUAUGGGGAUUUUAUUUAUUCUAACCAAUUUUGAGUUAUUUAUUUUCUUCAAAAAAAUCAAUACUUAUUUUUUAUUGUUAUGCGGAAUUCCAAUAAAUAUUAAAAUAUAUAAUUUUGAUUAUUAUCAUAAAUUUAUUUAUUCAAUAAAUAUUAUUAUACUAUUAUGGAAACAUUUUAUUUUGUAAUGUAUAGUACACCCUUAUCCCACCAACAAAACUACAUCACAAACAAAUUAUAUCAUAUUUAAUUUAAUAAACUCAAAUAAUUUAAUUUAUGUAACAACUCUAUAAAAUUAGAGUGAUUGAUACUUUGCACCCCUUAUGUUUAAGCGUUUUUUCAAUUUGGUUUCAAACAAUUUUUUUGGCAGUAUGCACCCCAAAAUUUGAAAAUUGCUUCGCUUUGCACCCUUUUAAUCGCUCUCCGUUUAAUUGAUAUUGACCGUUAAAGACUUAAAGUUGACAGAUAUGGGUUUACAUUUUCAACACCACAAUUUUAAUUUUUUUUCAUGGGUAUUUUGAAAUAUUCAGACGACUGGGAUGAUUCAAGUGUCUUCAUGUUAGACAGUGCGAUAGGUCGGUCGAGGGGUUUUCAGAAACUGGGACCAAAGAUUGGCGCCAUCAGAUUGGAUUUAUAUCAUUGGAAACUCUCUGUACACCUCUAUAGAAACUGGGACCAAAGACAAGAGGGAGAAGCUCUUGUGAAAUGGAAGAAUAGCCUAGCCCCGUCUUCUUCUCUCGACUCUUGGUCCCUCACCAAUCUCGAUAAUCUUUGUAACUGGACUGGCAUUAAUUGUAACUCUGCAGGUUCAGUCUCUGAGAUUAACCUUUGUGAGAAACAACUUGAUGUAAUGCUGUCUGAGUUUGGUUUCACUUCAUUUCCAAAUCUCAACAAUCUCACCCUCGCAGCUAACUACUUCUCCGGUCCAAUACCACCAGCCAUUGAGAAUUUAACACAGCUUCAAUAUCUUGAUUUGAGAAAUAAUUAUCUAGAUGGUCCAUUCCGUUCCAGGUUAGCCAUCUUCAGAGCUUGCUCAUCUUAAACCUGUCACAGAAUGCAUUGCAAGCUCCAAAUUGGUCCGAUUUCUCUCCCAUGCCUUUCUUGCGCAUCCUCAACCUCAGUAGCAAACCUCCUGCGUCGAAAUUCCCAGAUUUUAUAUCCAGUUCUAAUAGCCUGACUCACCUUAGCCUUAAUUAUAACGAGUUUACUGGUGAUUUGGUACGUGAAUCAGUAUUUGCCGAUCUGCAUAAUCUUGAAAAGCUCAGUCUUGUUGGCAAUUCUUUCGAGGGGCCAUUUCCGCCAGAUAUAUUCAGGCUUUCCAAAUUAAAACAUCUUAGCCUGUCAGAUAACAAACUUUCAGGUUCAAUUCCCAAUGACAUAGGGUUGCUUUUUGAUCUUGAAUACCUAUAUUUAGCCAACAAUUCCUUUGAAGGACCGCUUCCACCAAAAAUAUUCAAGCUUUCAAAAUUAAAAAAUCUUGUUAUUUGGGGUAAUAAGUUUUCAGGUUCUGUUUCCAACGAUAUAGGUUUGCUUUCUGAGCUUGAAAGCCUCUAUCUUGACUCCAAUUUUUUUGAGGGGCCGCUUCCGUCAAAUAUAUUCAAGCUCUCCAAAUUAAGGAUUCUUUUCCUUUGGCAUAAUAACUUUUCAGGUUCUAUUUCUAAGGAUAUAGGUUUGCUUUCUGGACUUGAAACCCUC
rnacentral:lncRNA from 1 species